rnacentral:lncRNA from 1 species
AAGUACGUAAUUGUGUCGAAUACUCUCACCAUGAUUGUCGAUCUAUCGGAUCAGACUAUUACUAUGUUUGCCAAAAAUGCCUGGGCCGUAUGUGGAAUAAAUCAAUUCCACAAGGAGGGGAAACUGCAAAAUUCCGUACAAGGUCACCGGCAAACAGGCUAAUGCAGCCAAGGUAGUAAGAAUCCAUGCCUUCUUUUCACCAAAGAGAAGAUAGAUUGCGCUACUGUAGGCUAUCAUCAUGAAUGUUACGGAGAGGAAUAGAGUAACAAGGCCAAAUAUCAACCUCCUGGGAAGGGCAAAAAGAAAAUCAUCUUCUGCAUAUCGUGCCGUGAGAAUGGAUAGGCAUAUCAGCACCGAAGCAAUGGAUAGGAAGAGGGAAAGAGCAUCCGAAGCUGCAAAAACUUUGAAGGCCUUUUCUUUGGAGAAAUUUGGUAUGCCAGUAUCAUCAUGGUUGCCACCCGGGAUGGUAAUUGCUGCUGCAAACACUACAGUAGCAAUAAGCGCUGCUGCUAAUGCGUAACAUUUUGCUGUGCCUUUCAUCCAUUUCUCCCCUUCUUUUAUCAACUUUUCAUGUUCCUUUAUAAAUACCGUUUUCGGUUUAUCUUCGUUAUUGUUCUCAGAUUCACUGAAGGCUCUCGGGGCAUAUUUUUCAAUUUCCUGUGUAAAAAUCAAAAUGUUUCUAAGAUACAGAAAAAGAGUGGAUAUGUAUAAGAAAAUUAAUUCCCCUUCAAAACAAAAAUUAUUACCUUAAACCAAUGUAACUCGCGUUGCAUUUGUAGAGCUGCACCAGAAACGAGACUGAGCCGGUGCGGAGGGGCCAAUUUUCCAGCCAAAUGCAAGAUGUUAUUUGAAUCAUCUUCGGUUCGUAUUAUAAGUUGUCUAUGCAUACCGGUUUCGCAGAUGAGGUUGAAAAUCUUUUCAUAACGAUUUAAUACUGCCAAUUUGAAUACAUCCUCAUCCAGAUACUCGAGUGCAUAAGGAUAUGACUUUAUAAUCUCUUCCAGAAUCUCGGGAAUCCCAUAUUUUGCCCCAUUAAUGAAUGAUUGUCUAAAUAUUUUCUUCGCUCUUGAUACUUUCAAAACUUCAGUACAUAGGUGGUUAAGCAAUUGAAGAGUCAGAGUAUGCAUUGUUUUUGUUUCUUGGAUAUGCUUGAUGGGUGGUACUGCAAUUAAAAUUAUAUUAAGGACAACAUAACAUUGAAUUCAAGACUUUUGCAUGCUUUAGUGGUAGUUUUGUUGUGUCCCUUACCUAACCAUCCAAUCAGUUCCCAGAAUAUUGCAUUCGCCUUUUGGCAAGCUGUGUGCAACGUAAAAUUGAAGCAGUUCAGAUGCAAAAGCAGGACUAACAGGAGAAAAAACAAAAAAGCAACCUUGAAUCAAGUACCAAUUAAACACUAAUCUAAAUUAAAGUGAUCGUGAGAAGUUGCCAACUCAUAUUGGCUGGUGUAAAGUUUUUUGGGGAUUCAAUAGGUUUCAUAUAUUUCCCUUAAACCGUCACACUUGAAUUUAAAGGCUAGAAUGAAGAAGCCUAAUGAAACUUGGUACAAGCUCAAUUACUCGACUUCUUAUUAAUUAACCAGGAGCAUCAGGUGACAAGAUAUUCACAAAAUCUAUCAGAGCAAUGAAAAUUGUGUAUCCUGCAUAAAUCUCUGAGUAGUAGAGUAUUAUCCAUUGGAAUUUGAUUGUAGAGCUGAUUUCAAAUCCAUUACUCUAACUUAAAAGGAUAAAAAAUGAAGACAAUUUUCUGAGGACAAAUUAAAAUUGUGAGGACCUCGAAUUCAACAAAUUAGCAUUUCUCUACUGAGUGCAAUUUGGCAAAUUGGUUUGACUUAACUCGAAUCUCAGUGAAGUUGAGAAACCAUUUUUAGUACUCAAGUUAGGAUUUGGUCGAGUUUCUCGACCAAAAGUUAAUUUUGGUUGAGCUCAAUUUUGGGCUGAGUUCAGACCAAUGCUUCAACAAUCUAAGCUGAAUUAAACUCCAUUAAUAUUUUAUAAUAUUUGUAGAACGUAUUACUAUAUAAUAAUAUCAAAUUUUUUUAUAAAAUAAGUUUAAGGGAAAAAUCAUCAAAAUUUAUUAAGCUAACUCUCAUAAAUUUGCCUACCCCCUUGUGAACACUAUUUGGAAGGAAAAUUAAUUAGGAAGUCUCUUAAGCAAGCCAGAAAGGUAUCUUGUCCUUUGUAUCCCAUGCAUUCAAAAGUACAAGGACUAAUGAACAUGAGACCCAAGCAUGGUGCCUACUACUUCAUCACAUUUACGGAUGGUUAUAUCUAGAAGUCCAAAGAAUUGCUUUGAUUUAGAUGUUAUAUGAAUAUUGUAAAAAAAUUGAAAAGAAAAAACUAUUACAACAUUAAGGAUAAAUCAUGGACAUGAGUAUCCAUUGAAGAGUUUUAAAAAUCACUAUGAUGAAAAGGAAAUCCAAAGAACAAUGAACUGAAAAAAGUAACCAUAAACUUUUGGAUAUGGUUCACUCAAAAAGGCACAAGCCAACUAUCUAACAUCUUUCGGGGUGGGAAAGGAGGGUUACUAUUUUGAUUGCAACUUAAAUCUUGAAUAGAAUGCCCUCAACAUCAAUUACUUCAAAUCCAUAUAGUUAAGAAGCCAAACAUAACUCACUUGUAAUCCUAAGGAUUAGCAGGUUUAGUUCAUGUAAAUUCUCAUAGAUAUUGUGCUAUAAAGAAAACAAGUGCACUUUCAUUAGAUAUUCUAAUAAAUCAAAGGUUGUGUGAUGCUUAGUGAACAACUCAAUGGGAGUAUAAUUGAAAUUAAGUAAUAUGAAUAUAAUUUCUUAUAGGAUGAUAUUUUGAGUAAAGGAGCAUUGAACAUGAGUCUCAGUUUAUUUGAGGCAAUUAAACCAAAGGAAAAUACUAUGAUAUCUCAUAUCGAAUAAGGGAAAAAGUUCUUGACAUUAUAUAUAUAUAUAUAUAUAUAUAUAUGAGCUUCUCUUAACUAUUUAGACACAUUUUAAUGUUAUGAGGGCUCUUUGAGCCCAAAGUCGAUAAUAUAUAUUUACAUGGUUGGGAGUGAGUUGUUACAAAUGGUAUCAAAGUGUAUCCUCAACCAUGGUAUGAGAGUUAGUUUGUUUGGUCCUGUAAUCCUAUGGGACACAAAUGAGGACUUUAUGUCUUCAUGGGGGUGAUUAUGAUAUCCUACAUUGAAUAGGGAAAAAAGUUCUUAGAAUUAUAUAUGUAAGAGCUCUUCUUAGCCAUGAAAACGUGUUUUAAAUCUCUAAGGUCCCUUUGAGUUCAGAGUAAACAAUAUCUACUUGAUUGGGAGUGAGUUGUUAUAGAUGUUAAAGAUCUUGCUAAGGAUAUGAGUGACUCGACAAGAUAGUAACUUUGAGUAGUGACUUGCCACCUACUAGAUUAUGCCACUAAGUGUGAUUUUACCAUUACAUAUUAAGUCACUGGAUUUAGAUGUGUGUGGCGAAAAACUUGGAGCUAUCUGAUCAUUGUAAUUAUGGGCAUUAAGGUGAAGCUUUCAUGUUUGCAUCAUAAGAUCAUGAUGUUAGGAUAGAUUCUUUAAAAGCGUGAUAUGAUGUAACCAGAAAUGGAGUUCAUUAAUACUUACAUUAUGAUUUCAAUUUUCUAUUUACUAUCCUAUUUAUGAAUUAUGUAUGUUAAGGAUUCAAACCUACAUCACUUGCAUGUACAUGACUUGAGUGAAUUAGGAGUUACAUGGAAAAUCUAAGUCAUAGAUUCCUUGCAAGUUAAUAACUCAUUCACAAUUGGUUCAUGGACUUCAAUAAUCCAUUUGAGGAAUGACUUGCCCUAGUCAUUAGGAUGGGUUUCCCAUGGUGAGUGUACUAGUGUGUUUAGUUAUGUUGGGAAACCUAGAUCUCUCCAUUCCUAUAACCCUAGAUUGUAUAUGUGCAUGCAAAAUACCCUAGGGCUCUAAAUCCUAUGUAAUAGAAGCAAAAAUCAAAAUUUUAACAUUCUAUAAUCUAGAGAAAAGUUAUUAAAAACUUUGAGAAAAUAAAAGGCUAAUCUUAAUAGAGAAAACACCCAAGAGGGGAGGGGGGUGAAUUGGGUUUUAAAAAAUAUUUUUCAAACACAACAAAUUCAAGCAAAGGAAACACAAAUAUAAAGAGAUAAGGUUAGAAAGAGUAAACUCAGAUUUUAUAGUGGUUCAACACUUGUUUGCCUACGUCCACUCUCCUCAACCUCCUAACUAAGUGAAGGUUCCACUAUACUUGAAGCUUCAACCAAGCUUUUAAUCACCUUUAUACUUGGAUUCCAACUUCAAUAGUCUAUUACACAACCCCUUCAAGUCUUAACUCACUUGAAGCUUUUAACACUCAAAUAAUAAGUUCGAAUCUCUCAACCUAGCUCAACAAGGGCUCAAAUACAACUUAAAUGUUAGGAAGAAUCACAAAGGUGCACUAAGGAAUAUGCAAAUGGAGAUUUAAUGCACUAAGGAAACAAUGAGAGCUUUUGAGGCAAGAACAAGUAGGUAGACAAAUAAAUGCAGGUGUUCUCUACCUCAUAAAUGAAGUGGAGUUCUCAAUUUAUAGGUUUCUAGCCUCGGGAGCCGAAAAUGCCAAAAAGUAGUAUUGAUCAGUUGAGUUGAGGGUCAACCGGUUUACUAGCCAUUAGACAAUAAAUGCAUGGUAGGCGACCAUUAUGCCUUGACCGAUCCUUGACCAAACCUCGAUCAGAUCUCGACCGAGAAGGCAUAUCCCUCGACCAAGAAUGCAAAGCUACAAGAAGAGAGAAUAUUUUUUGCAUUUCUCAAUCGGACCUUGAUCAAGAAGGUGUAAUCGAUUGCCCGGUGCCCUAACCAGUUGAGCCGAUUGACCAGUGCCUUGACCAGUUCACCAUUUUUGGCCUAAAAACCUCUUUUUUUUUUUUUUUUUUUUAUUCUUUUCUCUUAUAACACUUAGGCAAGGUAUUUAGGUAAAUUAAUAUGCCACUUUUGAAACAAUUUGCCUAAGGUUUAUUUGCUAAAACUAGGGUUUUGACGGAAAUGUAACUUUAAUGCCUAAACUGAGUUUUUAAAGAGCAUGAAAAUAUAUGAAAUCCUAAGUGCACCAUGCAUUCAUCUUACAUAUGUUUCCUAUUAUUAAAGGGUCUUCUAAUUGUCUUGAUCUUGCAUCCAUUGGGUCCUUUGAUUAAUUUCCAAACUAAUACCUAAAUUCUUUAUAUCAAACCAAUUAACAACUUAACCAUGGUUUGUUAUCAUCAAAACGCGAUUAGGAAAACCCUUGGGCUAACAAACCUUACCUUUGAUUUGAAUGGUUCUCAAAUCAAUUCUACUAAAUGAAGAUGAAAGCCUAAAGAGUCUAGAGGUCUCAUACACCAAAAAUCUUUUGCUUGAUGACUUGAUCCAUGAUCUUGGCACUCCAAAAUGUGGGCUUUGGAAAAGAGGAAUCCUAGGCUCUCUCUCUAGAUGUAGAAGACGAUUGUCUCUCAAAAAGUGAUUGGAACCCCAACCCUUAGAGGGUAUUUAUAGCGUUGCCCUACUAGGCUUAAAUGACUUGAGCCCUCUAAGGCUUGGGUCACUUAAUCUUGUCUAAAAUGGGUCCUAAUUGAUUGGUUAACCAUAUAGGGUCAUUUAAUUAAUCAAUUCAUGUCAAUGAGAUAAUAAAGAGAAAGUAAAAAAUAUAAAUAAUAAAUUUAUAAAUAAAUCUCUAUUUGUUACAUCAUGUCACUCUUUUUAGGACUCAAUUCUAAUAGUUUACACAUUAAAUAGGAUUUACGGUGAGUCAAACAUUGGUCAUUAGGUAGUCUUGACUUCACCAAGCUGCUAUGUUGUAUAAGCUCCCAACCUUGAGAGAAUAUUGAUCUAGUGCUAAGGUCUUCAAUGGAUUUAACCCAUGAGUGAGACCCUAAAGUGGUCAUAUAUUCUCUAUAGAUUGGGUCACUACGAUUGAGGCAUGUGAUAAUAGGUAUUCUCAAGAUAAGCACCAUGAUAUCUUAGGGGUUUGAGACAUUAUGUCCCCUUAGGUGAUCCUAAGGACAUGUGAUCAUGAAAAUUGUGGCCAUAAUAAUUCCUUAAGUGGAAUUUGAUGUAUGCUCUUAGAGAGAUAUAGUAUGUCAAUUGAUCACAUAAUAGGAGGAUCUAAGACUCAAGGAUUGUAGAGGUAGUCUUGAGAGGUUGAUAACAUUCAUCUUGUUAAAUUAUGAAUACCAAUUCAUGGGGAGCUUGCAUGCAAUUGUUAGUAGGUCGCAGACUGAAGUUUUCUAUCUCGAUCUAAUAUCAUAAGGAUACUAAAGUGUAGUUGACUCUUUAUAGUUAGAUUUUGAGUCAACUUUAAAAUUUGAUUUUAGGGGAGCCAACACUUCCCUACGGGUCCUAGUGGUUUCCACUCAAACUCAUAUUCCUUGGUAAAAAAAUAUUUGAGGAAUAGUUGGAUUCUUUAUUUAUAUGUGUGUAUAAGAGCAUUUUGAUAAAUACGGAAGGUUGCACUAGUACAUAUAUAUAGCCUUUUUAGAUUCGGAUAAUUAAUUAAUUGGAACUCAAUAGAACAAAUUAGUUAAUUAGGACUCAAUGAGUUAGAUUAAGUAACCCAAACGUAAGAUGAGCUCAAGUCACUCAAGCUAAGAGGUAAGCCUAUAAAAACUCCUUAAAGGGUUUCAGGCUUAGUACUUUUCAUCCAUUCAAUCUUCUAUCUUAAUAUCUUAAUAAAACCAAAAUGAGAGUGUAGAGUAUAAAAAUAAAAAUGAAAAAGAACUUCUCAUGAGAAGUGAGGUUUGCCUCAACUCUCCUUAUUCAACCCAUUAUCACAUCUUUGGAUUUAAAAUUAUAUCAAAUAAACAUUCAAAUUGUUUUUCUCAAUGGAGAACUAAAUAAGAAGAUCUAUAUAGAUCAACUGACUUGUUUUAUGGAAACUAAAUAGAAAGGCAAAGUUAACAACUACAAAGGUCCAUUUAUAACUUACAAUAAUCAUCUAAACAAUGGUAUAUUACACUAAUGGGUUUAUGAUGGUCUAAGAACACUAUUGCAUGUUUGUUAAAUGGUGUAAAGGUAGAUUCUAUAUUCUAUUUUUUGUAUACGAAUGAAAUGUUGGUUAGGGAUGAUAAUGAGAUGGUUGUCUCUAAAGUGUGGUGGUCGUCAACUUUUAAAAUGAACAACAUGCUUAAAGCAAACUAUGUGUUCAAAGUUAUGAUCCUAAUCAAUCAAUCAAGAAGACUUUUUGGUUUGUUUUACAAAUCAUACACAAUGAAUAUUCUUGAAAAAAUUCUAGAUGUAAAAUUGAAAAUCUAUUGGCAUUCAUAUAGAGAAAGAUAAGACCUUAAGCUUUAACAUGUGUCAUAAGACUUUAGAUGAAUAAGAAAAGAUCACUCAAGGUUCCUAUAUGCUAGCAUUGUUAGUAGCUUAAAGUAUCCAAUGAUGUGUACAUGAACUAAUAUUUGUUAUAUAAUUAGGUUAGUAGCUUCCAAUUAGAUCUAAACCUUGCUUACAAAAAAGCAAUGAACCGGAUGAUUUCAUACCUCAAAGUCACCAUAGGCUAUAUAAUUUGCUAUUGAGGAUUGAAUUUGGACUUGAUUAGCUAUGACAAUGAUAAUUGAGGUAGCAUCAUAAAUGACCCCAAAUCCACAUAUGGUUAUAAUUUUAUAUAUGCUCUAUGAUGUUAGCAUAUAUUGGUGAAAUAGAAAAUAGUCAUGUAUAACAUUGUCUAACAUGCAUGGAGUUGGGAGUACAUUACUUGUCGUUUAGGAAAGUGACUAGUUUAUGAUGUUCAUGCAUAUUUUUCACAAUAUUUCUUGUUCUUUUGAGCAUACUACUAUUUAUUGUGAUAGCAUGGAAACUUUAGCCUAUGUCAAAGACCCCCCCAAGUAUCAUAGUUGAACCAAACACAUCAAUCUUAAAUAUUAGUUUAUAUGAGACAUGGUUACAUAGGAACAUAUUUCUACUUGAUUCAUGGUUAAAAAUCCCUCCCCCCCUCCCCUAUUGACUAAGCUAAUACGUAAAGAUGUUUAUUAGGGCCAAGUUGAGAGCAUUGGAUUAUGUAGAUAAUGAUUACAUAGGAGUUAAGUUAAGAGAAUUGGAUCAUGUAGAUUAUGAUUACAUAUUGUAUAUUUCAAUUAACCAUUAUACCUAUGAUUUAUUCAUUGUCCAAUCUUGUUUGAUGGUGCCAUUUAAUUAUUUAUUUUACUUUAUCGACAUGCACUUUCAUUACUUUGCACAACUGAAACAUAAUGAGUCCAAACCACUUAGAUAGUGUGUUAGGUCAUUGAUAUUUGUAGUACUCCUUUUUGUAUCCAAUAUGACUUACAUGUUAGUAGCGACCAAGUAUAGAUAGUCCUAUUGUCUACAUUUGUAAUGGAGCCAAUUGCCAAAUCUUGUUAAUUUAGUGCUUGAUUUAGUAAGCAUGUGCAAAACUUCAGUUCUUUACUUGAUGCAAUUAAACUAAGAUUUGUACGAUAUAGAAGAUCUAAGGUACACUCAUAAUGAAGAUCUCCAUGUUGGCAUGUAUAUUCAUACUAUAUCUUCUUGGUAAUCAAACAAGAAUGAAUGAAUAUAUUCCUAGCUACUUCCUCAUCCUGUGUAUUAAUCUUAUAGGUAAUUAUAUAGGAUAACUUUUAUGCCCUUGUGAUUUUCAGUCAUAAGUUACAUAUAUGGUGUAGUUUGAAAUAUUUUUCUAGGGGGAUUAACCAUGUUUAACUCAAUGUGAAUAAAUGUGUUUAAGAUAUAAUGAGACACCUUUUAGGGAUGAAUUACAUUGGUUAAGAUGAAAUUUAGUUUAAUUCUCUUACACCUUUCUUAUCAAUGUGUUCAAAAGUUAUACAAUCCAUUGGUCAAUAUAAACAUGGAUGGUAAUGAUAUAGUUGAGAGAAAUGCAUGAUGUUAUUUUGCCUACUAUGCAUGAGUGGGAGACAAUGGAGUUUCGAUUUCAUGAGAUACUCUUAGUAGAACUUCAUCAACUAAGAACUUGAGAGUAAGUUACAUACUUAUCAGUUAAGAUUCCUCAUGGGAGGAAAGUUUAGUUAAGAUUCCUCUUGUGGGAGAAGGUUCAUAUUUAGAUUUGGUGAGAAUCUGUAAGAGUUGUUUGUCUUUUUGUAAUUCCAAUUCUAGGCCUUUUGCAUAUUUUCAAUUUAGUUUGUGGCAGUUGUUAAAUACUUCUACUUUAGUUUUUAGCAAUUAUAAUUUUUUAAAGCUUGCUAUUUAGGUUUAGAUUUACUAUAUGCUUAUUAGAUAUCUUAAUUCUUAUUGUAUUCUCCUUGGUUAAUAAUCUUCCAAUUUGAUUGUGGAGUUCAAAGAUUUUAACCAAAAUAGGGAUCAGGGUUUUCAAAGUUAGGAAAAGUAUUUAAUACAAUUAAUUUUUGAAUAAGUUUGCAAACUAAAUCUUUCAAUUGAACCUAAUGAGUUUACAUACUAAAUCUCUCAUUUUCAGCCUUGGUUGUUUCCACUCUUUGCAAUUUAAUUAGUUUUUUUUCAAAUAUAUAUAUAUAUAUAUAUAUAAUUCAUUUUGUGUACCUAUAUACUCAAGUUUUUGAGUAAUUAUGAGUUGUAUUGUUAUAUUUAGUAGAAUUUGACAAACUAAAAAUGAUUACCUUUGAACAAUCGAGUCCAACAGCACAUUUGUGUGGAUAGUUCAUAGCUACCAACUUGAUUCUUCAUGCCUCCUCUAUUAGGUUGACUAAGAAAAUGGUUUAAUUUCAUAGGAACACCUUAAGAAUAAAAAUGUCAAGAAAAAGGAAGGAAAAUUAUGCUUCGUCUAAUUUGACUCAAAGACUUAAAGGAAAAAACAUAAUAAUAUAAUAGUUAUUAUAAUGAAUAUAAUAAAAAGAAAAUUUGUCAUGUUCUUCCCAAUACUCAUUAAACCCCUUUCAAUGAAACUUUGUAAGCUAUACUAAUACAAAAUAAUGGUCCAAAUAGUAAAAGCUCAAUAAAUGAAUGUUUGAUAAAUUAAUAAUCUUACUUAUAAAACAAAAUAUUCUAGUCUUAACUCAAGCCAAUGUACUAAAUUAGUAAUCUCGCUAAAUACAUAAGAUAAAAAUAUUUUCAAAAGUCUUUAAGGGCUUAAGAAAUAUAAACUAAUAAUUGAUGAAGUAUAAACAAAAAAUCAUAGUAUAGCAAAUAGAACUUCAUAACAUAGUAUUAAGUAAUUUUUUAUAACUUUUAUUUUUCUAAAUUCACUUCUUUUAGAAUUAUCACAUAUUUGAAAUAGCUUUAUCUUUUACAACAUUAAGUUUUGAUGCCACAUCUUUGUUGGGGAGUCUUUUUUUCUUUUACAAUCAAUAACUAUUUUUUUUUAUUCAGUCUCUUAGGUUUCUAUUUAUUAACUUUUUACCAUGUGUACUAUUUUCAAAUUUAUAAGUUAUACAUGUACAAAUAAUGUACAAUAACAACAUAAUACUCUUCAUCAAUUAAUAAAUAACCAUUUAUCUAUAAAUCAAUAACCUUGCUAAGAUCAUAUUUUUUCUUGGUCCCAAGAGUAUUAUUUUAUAAGAGUUUUUCUCUAUAUAGUUCCUUCAUUGUAGGAAUUUCUUUAGGUUAAUAUUACUAAAGUUGUAAUUUAAAAAAAAAAACUAUUAUGGAAACUAAGAGAACUUUGAAAGCUAUAAAUUAGUGUUUUAUAUCAUUCUUUUUUUCUAUGAAUGCCAAAGCCAUUGUCAAAUAAAAAGAGUAAAUAAAGUAAUUAGUUGAAAGUGAAAUAGGUGACUUAAAACUAUUGCUUUGGUACAUGUUUGUUUUAGGUAUAGUAGAUCAUAAGAAAUAAAAUCCUCUAGCUAUGUUUAUUUGAUAGAAUAAAAAAGUGAGUGUGUGGUUGCUCCACAGGAGAAGACCACAUGUUAGCCAAAGAAUAAGUAACUAUAAAGCUUACAAAAGUGUUAAAUGAUCAAUUUCUCACCUAAGCACAUUAAUGAGAACUAAAUGAUGAAUUAAACCAUACUCAUGCACCCAUACUAAGACCCAUGCCUCCAUGCGGGGAGACCCUAAUUGGUCCCUAAAAGGAGAAGUUUAACAAUGGCCACAUCCUCUAUGCCAUGUUAUUAUUCCAAAAACAUAGAAAGUUAACCUUUGAGUUGAUGCUUAUUUGUUUGGUAGUUUCCACAUUCUUCUUACUAACUUGACAUUUGAAGGCUCUACGACCAUAAGGAGCCUAGAGUGCUCACUUUAGGUUCCUUAUGAUUGUAAGGUCCUAACCAUCCAUUGAAGUAAGAAAGUGAACUAAGAGUUGGAAAAAUGGUGUCAUCUAUGGUUAAGAUACAAAAAUUCAGCUCACCAAAAAAUCACAGUAAAGCUACUAAAAAACACCCCACCCCCAGGCAAGGACCUUCAUUUAAGUACUCCUUGAGGUAUAUCCAAAUCAAAGACCUAAAGUUGAAGAAAUGAAGUCAACUAAACUUGGUUCCAUGCAUGAUAAGGUUGAAAAGCCUGCAUAAAAACCUACAUAAAGCUUGCUCCUUUAUAAGAAUAACCUGAACCUACAAGGGAAGAAGACCUAUAAAAGGAAAUCAUAAACAACAAAGAAAAAAAAGUCCCUCUCUCCUUUGAAAAAGAUUUCUUUGAAUGCAGAAACCUAUUUUUUGUAUCAAAAAAUUGGUGGAAUAAAAAUUUUCAAUUAUCUAUGAAGAGUGUUAGCUUCUUCAUAUGGGAAUGCAUUAAAAGCCUUGAAGACAUUGUUUAGAUCUAUAGCAACAAUUGGGCAAUAGAAAACUAUGCAAUAGAGUUUUGGUAGGGAAAGGCAAUCAUGAUAGAAAUGAAGUGGAGCAAUGAGUGAGAGCAAACCCUUCAAUAGAUGGAAGAGCUCAUUAAAAGAAGCGACUAACUCACUCAAGAAAAUGUUGCCUUUAGGGUAAGGGUAGACAAAUACCAAUGUGACUUUGACCAACAGCUCUCAUUGGCAAGCACCAAUAAGAUGCAAGUUAAUGAAUAAUAGUUAUCGAAGCAACUAGACCAACAUCUAGAUUAAAUUGGGAGAGAAAGGUGGGAUAAACCUUAAUUAAACUAACCAAACAGACCACCUUGCCAAAGGCCCCAAUGCUCUAAGGGAUUCUUGCCACCAGAGCUACCACAAAAUGCAUAAUCUUGGUGAAUAAGGUGAUUGAGCCCAAGUCCCUUUAGAAGGAGAAUGAGGCCAUAUGAGAGUUUUCUCUCCCUAAGUUCAAUUUCUUUCAAUGAAACUAAAGACACCCUAGACUACUUAUGCAUUUCUAUGCAUGUGAUAAUCUUAGAGAAGGGAAACAAUCGACUUUUAUGCAAAAUCUUCCCCUCCAUCCUCCAAGGACUAACUUUGUUUUGUCUUUAUCAACUUACCUUAGAGUUUGCUCCUGAUAUCGAGACCCUAAGGGUGAAGUAUGCCUCUUAGUACAUGCACUUAAAGAUUAUCUACUAGAUUUGAGCAACUAAGCAAGGUAUCAAGAUAGUUAUAGAAGCAUAUGGCAAUUGAAGCAAAAGUCCUCACAUCCUUGCAUGAAGCAACUACCACUUGCCCACAUGUCAUAUGCUUCUCUAAUAAAGGCUUAAGAGGAGUCCAAACCCUGCUCAAGAUCCAUUGGUUAUUACUUUAAGAAUUAUUGACUACAACAUGCACCUAUUUUUAGUUGACCUAACAAGUUUAGUUAACUUGCUAAAUAUAUUAGCCCAUAUAUGAACAAGUGAAUAUGGACGAAGGAAAACUAGUGUCAAGUCUUGGGUCGUUUGUGGGACUAGACAAAGUCCUAUGUGGCUCAACUAGGGAAGUCGCUCUAAUGGUUCCAAUUGGUUGUUGCCAUAUAAUGACACAAUUCUUUGUUAUGGAUAUCCUUUUCCCGAUAAUGCCAUUAUGGGAUGACCAUGGAUAUACAACCUAAGAGGAACACUAUUCACAUACCAUCACACCAUUAAAUUCCUAAUACUACAAGGAAUAUGGGAAAUAUAUCGAGACUAGGUGGCAUCAUGAGUAUGCUACACCAUAGCCCUUAAAGCGGUCAUCAAGUGCAUCAACUAGGACCCUUAGGAAGUUCAUAAAUCAAAAGUCAAAUAAAAAUUAGUAGGUGACCCGAGAAGGCAAUUAGAGAACCUAGGGAGUCAUUAUUCUAGAGCCCCUAAACCUAGGAGGUUCCUUCUAGCCCAUGCAAAAAAAAAAAAAAAAGGUUUCAGAUGGCUAUUAGAAAAGAACACAUCUUUACUAGGAAACUACAAGACAUCGUGGGCAUUGAUCCCCAAGUUACAUGUCAUCAACUCAACAUAAACCCUAGUGGUUAGCUCCUUAAAGACAUUAGAUUGUGAAAAAAAAGGUAUCUAGGCUCUUAGAUGCUAGAUUUGGUCAUCUAGGUCUUCUGACAACAAAUAGAAGUUAGUAUGCUAGUUUACAUUAAUAACAUGUUAGUAACAAGUAAGAAGAGGAAUGACUACUUGAUCGACCUCCUAAGAACAUUUCAAACUCUUCAAAAGUAUUAAAUGAAGCUAAAUAAGUGAAGUGCAACUUUAAUGUAGGGUGUGGAAAGUUCCUUAGGUACUUGGUUACAUACAAAGGAAUGAAAGCUAACCUAGGCCAAAUAAAAUCAACUUUGGAGAUACCAAUGACCAAAAGGGCUAGAGAAGUCCAAAAGAUCACUAACAAGAUUGGUUCUUGAAAUAGAUUUAUAUAUUGAACAACAACUAUGUGUCACCCUUUCUUCGACAUUAGCAAGAAGGGAAAAUGGACUAAAAGAACCAAAAAAUGCAACUAAGCCUAUGAAUCACUAAAGCAUUACAUGAUGUUAACCCCCAUUCUGGAUAAACCCUAGGAUAAGGAGGUCUUACAAGGUCUCAAUAGCAGUAGUAAGUGGAGUCUUAUCUCAAAAAAAGAGGAAAAAAUGAGCAAUCAAUGUACUAUGUCUAAAAGACCCUCUUAGAUGUGGAAACCUGAGAUAUAUAUAAAUAUUGAAAAACUGGUGCUUGCCCCUUAGAUCGCCACAUUGAAGCUUCAAUGUUACUUCCAAGUGCAAGGUAAGAACUAAGUGAUGAGAACUCAAACUUAAUACUUUAAUGGCUUUAAAGGGCCCACUUUAGUGUAUUUGAGGUACUAAAAAAUUAACCUAAGGUUUUGUUUUUUGUAUAAUACCUUAGAAAAUUAUGUUUGAUGCAUUCUAUGACCAUUCUACAUGCUUUAAGGUGUUUUUUUUGUUAGAAUAGAAUCCUUAAAAGCAUGACAUGAUGUAAUAAAUUUGGAAUUCAUUAUUUAUUUACUGAUGUUCUAGUUUCACUUUUAUCUAUCCUUAUUCCAUGUAUUGUACUUUAUGAGUAUUCUUGCCUACAUCUUUUGCAUUGUACAUGACUUAGGUGCAUUAGGAGUUGCACAGAAGAUUUAAGUCAUGGGUUUCUUGCAAAUAGAUUAUUUGUUCACAGUCGGUUCAUGAACCUAGGCAAACCAUUAGAGGUUGUAGUGCACCACCUCCUAAUUGGAGGGAUGGUUAGUCUUGGCCAUGGGAUGAGUUUCCCAUGAUAAGUGCACUAGUGUGUAUGGUUGCACAUUGGAUAGGACCUAUGGUGAGUUAUGACUUAACCCUAUCAAGUAGUCAUGACUCCACCGAGUUGUUUCAUUGUAUUAUCUCUCAACCUUGAGAGAAUAUUGAGUUUGUGCUGAAGUUAAUAAUGACUUUGAUUUAUGGGUGAGGUCGUAAGUUGAUCAUAUAUUCCCUAUGGAUUAGGUCAAUGUUGAUGGAAGUCGGUAACAAUAGGUAUUCUUAAUAAAGGCACCAUGAUAUCUCUUAGGAUUGAGACAGUGUGUCCCAUUGGAUGAUCCUAAGGAGGUGUGUUCAUGGAAACUAUGGCUAUAGUAGUUCCUUAAGUGGAAUUUGACAUAGACUCUUUGAGAUCUAAGAUAUGUUAAUUGAACAUACAACAGGAAGAUCUGUAGCUCAAGGAUGGUAGAAGUAGUCUUGAAAAGCUAAUGGCUUUCACCUUGUUAGACUACGAACACCAAUUCAUGGGGAGACUAAACAUAAUGGACAGUAGGUCACGGACCCGAGCACUUAGUGUCUUCGUUGUUAGUUACAUAGGAUACCGGAGUUUAGUUGAUUCUAUGUAGUGCAAUGUUGAAUCAACUUUAAAAUUGGACUAUGAGGGAUCCAUGGUAUUCCUAUAGGUCCCAAUGGUCCCUGCUAUGAGCUUAUAUACCUUGUUGGAAUGGGUAAUGAGGGUUGGAUUGACUCUAGGUUCACUUUUGUGCAUAAGGGUAUUUUGGUAAUUAUGUAAGGUUAUAUAGGAGUAAAUGAACAAGGCCUCUAGAUUAGGCUAAUUGAUUAAUCAAUUAGAACCCAUUUUGGGCUGGAUUAAGUUACCCAACCCAUGUGGGCUCAAGUCACUUAAGCCUACUUAGAAACCCUAUAAAUACCCCCUAUGGGUUAGGGUUUCCAUAACUUUUGUCUUCCAUCAUCCAAAGAGAUAGAAAGUCAUAGCCUUCACCAUCUUUUCCUCCUCAUUGGAAGUGUGCCAAGAUCAAGGUUCGAGUCAUCGGGCGGAAGACUUCGAGUUUACGAGACUUCUGGGAUUUCAAUUUUCAUCUUCACCAUGUAGAUUUGAUUCGAGAACACCCAAAUCUAAUGUAUAGUUUUUGUUAGCACUUUUUGAAUCCUUUUAAAGUAUAAAAAUGUUAUUUUUCUGUUGUGCAUAGGAUUUAGAAAAAACCUAAGAUAGUUAUGCAUGUUCCUAACCUGAUUCAGACUAGGGAAACAGAGAGAGAUUCAGGUUUUUCCCAUCAUUUUUAGUGCAAUAGAACCUUGUUAGGAACUCAUAGAGACAAAAAUGCCCAAGUAAGGAGGAAAUACAAAUUGCACACCCAAAAGGUGUGCAAGACUCAAUCAUGCACUUCUUUCUUUUUGUAAAGCCACAUAGUACACCUCCCAUGUAUACCUUAAAGACCAAACACACAAGACCUCUCUAAUGCUUUGGACCAAAUUUUAUACCCUAUUCAAGCAACUCGAUCUGCAAACCUCUUAAGUGCUUUAAGCCAAGAUGUUGUGCACCCCCUCACUUGAGUCAACAGGAUGUGUAGUAGUGCAACCCCUUGAUGUCAUCUAAAUUACAAACCAUUCUUACCUCUACAAUAGCUAAGUACUUAAUAAUUCUUCUAAUGAUUGGCUCACCCACCAAAGUAGUAUGUUGUUCAUACCUCAAAGUCUUCAAUUGUACUACCAAAACGUACCCUAACCAAAUUACAUAGAGAAAAAGGUGCAACUACUGACCAUAAGCUAACUAAUCAAGAAUGAAGGUGGUUGAUUGCAAUGACAAAGGACGUGACCCUUAGUAUAAGAAGAGACAAGUCUAGAGGAGUGGUGUCCGAGUAGUUGGAAUGACCGGGGAGGGAGGGGGGACAUUGUUUUGUAUAUAAAUGGAGGAUUGUGAAUAUACAAGUGGAAGAAAAUUAUAGAAAGUGAAAUUGUAGAUAAGUUUUUCUUCUUAUAGGAACAAAAGUAGGAAUAAGAGUAACUUAAUGUAAUUUAAGUUUUUAGGUUUCCAUUGUAAUCUUUUCUUUUCAUUAUAAACUUUCCUUAAUUUCUAGUUUAAUGAAUUUUCUAGUCUUUUUAAUUAUUCUUACAUUUCAGUUUUUCAAUUUCAACUUACAAAUUUGCAUUUUUAAUUCUUUACUUAAUUUUUAACAUGCUUAGAUAACCUUUAACACUCUAAGGGGUGAGAGGAGCUCAAGUCUCCCAUAUCUUAGUUUAGCUAUCUAUUGGUUUAUUUGUGCAUUAGUUACAAACAAUAUGAUCUCUAUCAGUAGUUAUAAUGACCAAAACAAGUAACCAUGGGGAAAAAGUCUAUGUUGCAUUGGUUGUGAGCAUUGUACGUCAAGCAAAUUUGGAAGCAUACUUAGGCAUUGUUUUAAUGAUUCUUUCAACUAAGUAUAGGCCUAUUGCCAUGAAAAUAAUCUUAUCUAAAUCAUUUGGUUGUAAGGAUAUAUAUAUAUAUAUAUAUAAAGAGCAAUUAGAGAGAGAUGAACCUUAUUAAGGUGGUUCUUGUUCAUUUGAAGCAGGAAACCUUUUUUGUAUAAAUCCUUGCUUUGAGCCUAAAUCUGAAAGCAUAAGUUCAAAGCCUUGUUGGUGAGUUGUAUAUGAAAGUGGUGAUCCUAGUGAAUCUCUAGGUUUGAGGUUUUCUUUCCUUUAAUUUUCUAUCUUUUAAACUUUGUGUGUGUAUGUCCUUUUUAUUUAUAAAAUCAUUUUUCUAAUCUUUUAGCUGCCAUUCACACUCCUAAAGCUAUUACCUUAGUUGCUAACAAUUUAAAGUUCCUUGUGGAGGCAACCUAACAACUAUACCACUAUUAAUUUUUUUAUUUUUUUAUUUUUUGGUUAAGGAGUUGAGAGUUUCAAUGAAUGAUCUAGUUUAAUUUCUCUUUGUAAAACUUAACUGUUAAAUAUAUUUCCAAGUUUUGAUAAAAGGAAUGAAUUAGAGAAUGACAAACCAAAAAUUAGUGUCGUCACUAGGGAACUUUCAACAUUGAUGACUCUAUAGGUAUUUUUGUGUAUAUGCUUGUUGUUUUAGAAGCUUAACAAGUAUAUUUCACCCAUUCCCCACCUAUCUUUUAGUUGGAUUUUUUUCUUUUUUUACUUAAUUUGUUUUCUUUGGAUUUUCUUUUUAUUCUCAGUUUUCAUUUUUAGUUGUUAAAUCCAACAUUUCAAACAUUUUCUUUAAAGUGAUAUGAUGUAUUAGGGAAAUGAUUUUAAAAGAAGGGUACUAAGAGUGAGUUUGAGAGUGAUUCUAUGAAGCGUUUCUAACAUUUCUAACACUUAAGUGAUAAAAUGUUGAUCUUCAAGGCAUCAUCAGAGGGCUUCUCAAUAUCUCUUCUACUGAAAAAAAUUUCUUGACUGAAAGUGGCUCUUAACUAGAGGGGAGGGCAUCCCAAAAAUUUUAGGAAACCAUGAAGAAAAAUUUAUCAAAAUGGAUGCUUCCAAUCUACCUGUGGGAAGUAAAGAAAAAGUGAAGAGCCAUUGGCUAGCUAGAAGCUAGCCAAAAACUUGUAAAUAGCUUUCAUUUUUUAUUUUCUUUAUUAUUUUUGUUUAUAUUGCUUUGGCCAAUUUAGUGUGUAGGAGUACCAUCAUAAGAACUCUAAGUAUAAAUUUCUCUAUACUCUAUUGGUUUUAUCAUGCUUCAGAGUAGGUGUAAAUUGUUAGCACCAGGAAAGUGUUGGACAUAUAGGAAUUGCGCACUUUUGAGGUUUGCUAACCCAACUUGUAUGAUGACUUAAAUUGCGUAUCUCAAAUUGUACACUUUGAAAGCAUGACUGAAACUCCACACCCUAAGAGAUUAAUUUAAACGGUGCAUCCAAAGGAGCGCAACUAAAAACUGCACACCUUUAAGCAACCAUUGAUAUUGCCCAGCUUAAAUUACACACCAUAAGCACGCCAUCCAUACUAAAAAUGCCUUCCCAAAUAAAACCAUAAUUGCUUAGAGACUUUUGUCCACCCCACCAUCAUAUCAAUUGAGGUGUGGGUAGCCAACCAAAUUAAUUAUUAUCCAAAGACAGAAAAUUAAUUAAACAGGAUUAGCAUAAAAGAAAAUAACUUGACUUAUAAACAAAAGCAAGGGAGAUGCAAUGGCAAACACAAAGCAAUUUAAAAGGGGCAAGCGAGUAAAGAAACUAACAGUGAUAUAUUAUGAGUUGCCAUAAGUUGAAGCGACUUCCACUUCGGAAAGCCCAAGGCCUUUUAGCCAAUACCGUCAAAGGGGCUUUAUCAUCAUCAGAAUCUUUAGCAUCACCGAAAUUGCAUGUGGCAAGGUCAGGAUAACGUUCAACCAGAUGCAGUGCUACAUCUGCAUAUUAUAAAAUUGUACAUGGGAACCCGACGGUAAUUCAUAUCAAGAAAAUAGAUAGGGGAUGGUAAAUAUAGCUCACCAUGAAACCCCACCAUUAGUGCUCUGCGCAGAAGUUCGAAUCCAGGCGAAUUUGAGAAAGGAUAUGGAGGUUCAUCAUCUCUGGUGACGCUUAAUAAAUAUAAAGUCAGCUCUUUAUGACCAUACCUAACAGCGCUGUGAAGAGGCGCAAAAUUGUCGCGUUGGCAGAUAUUGGGCAAGCUUGGGUUUUUGUUCACUAACAACUUGACUGCUUUUAUAUUGCCAGCCCUUGCAGCGUUGAAAAGGGCAGUGGCGCCAUCAGAAUCCCGCAGAGCCAGUGCCUCACUUGGCAUAAACUCAACCAACUUCUCCACGAAACCCAUUCUGGCCUCUCCUAACUCAACUGCUAUGUGAAGCAUUCGGGAAUCAUCUGUUCCGAUCGGGGCAGAGAAUGAUCGUGGAUCAUCCUUCAAUAAUUUUGGAGCACUUUCCCAGUCACCAUUGAGCACAGCUUUGUACAGUUCCAAGUAAUAGAAUUCUGCAGUCACAAAACCAAAAGAUGUAUAGGUCAGCCUAGAUUUCCCUGAUAUCUAUAUUACUUCAACGUUCACAAAAUCCUAAUACUAAAAUUAUUUUUUAAAAAAUAAAUCAUUUAAGUUAUGUUUGGUUCUUAGAAAAUUUGACAAAUAAUACAAAGAAAAAUUUAAAUAAUUUAAAAUUUAAUAAAUUUAUAACUAAUUUUAAUUACAUUUGAUUUUCUUAAAUAUUUUUUUUUCGAUAAAACCAAAUACGGGAAAAUCAUUUUCCUUGAUAUCUUUUCUUUGCUAAUUAUUUUCUUAGACUUCUUUGUUUACCUCUAAUCAACAUCUUUCUAUCUUUCAAUAAUAGUUUGAACCUCCAAUAAACUACAUGAAUUAAAAUUUAAUUUAGUUUCAUUUUUUUUUAACAGCAGGUUGUAAAACACUUCUACUUGUAUACUAAUUAUGCCCAAAAGUUGCAGGAGGACCUCAAACGGAAAUGGACAUGAACAUGGUUUUUAGCAUCUUACCGGAGCUGCUAAUCCUUUGCAAAGAUGAAGGGGAAGAGACUGGAGCAUAUUCAUCAGCAAUGUCGAUUACCAUUGUUUGGGCUGUCAUCGAUUACCGAGAUGGAAAUGAAGAGAAGUCAUUGCAGUAAACUCCUCACCAUGCUCAGCAAUGUCGAUGUCACUGUUUUUAGGACUGUUUGCGCUGUUGUCAUUUCUAAGACGUAGUGAAGAAGAAGAAGCCUUUACAACAAAUUCCUUAUCGUGCAUAUAGUCAUUGCCAACUAUAUGGAAGAUUAUAUUUAACUGCAGCCCUUUUUCCCAGAGUCUUCAAAAGAUACAGGAAAUGGGCCAGGAACCAUUGAAGCAUAAGAGGUGCAAUGAUAGAGUCUUCCAAGUCAACUUUAUUUAGUUGAGUAGAUAGCGUUGAAAAGUUUUGAUAAUUUUUAUUGCGAAAAAACGAUGUUUUAUAUACUUUUAUUUCUAUCAUACUUUAUUAUUGUUUAUAAGAUAACGAAAUAUUCAAAUAUGAUAAACAAUAGUAAACAUAUAUCAAAUAUAAAAAAUUUCUCACAAGAGAUGCAAUUAAUAUUUUUUUUCUUCAAUAAUGUGUAUAAUAUAUACCAUGUGAUGUAUUAUUUCUAUUUUAAGUUUUGUUUGGAUGUAUUUUUUAUUUUUUUAUAUAUAAAAAAUGAAUUAUAUUUUAAAAUUUAUAUGUGAUAUAAAAAGGUUAUUAUUUUUUAGUAUUUGAUAUAAUACAUUUAUAUAUUUACUAAAUUAUGACAAUAAAUGAAAAUAAAGUGGAGCGGACGAUGUAGGUUAAGGAUUAAUGUCUUUCACAUUAUAACAUCUUUCACAUUUAAUCCUUUCUGAUGUGAAUGCAGUACAGCAAAAGAGAAAGUACCAUUAACUUGAAUGCGAGAAGGGUGAUUGAUCUAUCAAUCUGUACGUGUCCUUCUUGAAAGGGACCAGAUUCUAUGGGGUAGCUUAAGGAUUAAUGUGGGUGCCUGUAGCAUGAAAGUGGAAGGAAUUAAUCCUGUGCACCACACAUUGCUAUGAUCGUUUGCAAUAACCAAUUAUAUAAAAUCUAUUGAAAUAUUUUAUAUAAUUAACUUUUUGGAAUUUUUUUAUCAAGUUGUAAAAUAAAGAAAAUUUAGGAAAAAAUAUUUUUGUAAAAUGAUAAAAUUUUACAAAAAUGACAUUUUUUUUGUAAAAUGUAGAAAAGGAUACAAGGCUAUGAAUUCAUAAUUGUAUGAUAACCUUUUAGUAUUUCAAUCUUUGAAUUUUUUUGGAGAUUAUUUCCAUAAAUUCCACAUUCCAAAAACAAUGAUAAUCUUUACACAAUAUUAUUGUCAUUUAAAGUGGGAAAAAAUAUAAAAAUAAAAUAAAAUUUUCAAAAAAUUUAGAGAUUGCAAAAAAUACGAGGAUAUGAAGAAUGUGAGGAUCGUCAUAUUUUUCAUACCCUCCUCACAUUCUUCAUACCCUUACCCAUUUGAAUAUUUUAAUCUUUUAAUUUUUUUUUCAAAUAGUAUUUACUUCAAUUUCAAGUGUAAUUAGUGUUUUUACACAAUACCAUUGUCAAAUGAAGUAAAAAAAAAAAAAAAUCAAAAUUAAAAUUUUCAAAAAAUUUAAAGGGUACAAAAAUGCGAAGAGGGUACGAAGAAUGUGAAGAGCCUCACUUUUCUCGUACCCUCAUCACAUUCUCCAUACCUAUUAUAAUUUAUAAAUUUUAAAAAAAAUAUUUUUCAAUUUUUUUAACAUUAUUUGCAUCAAUUUCAAGUGUAAUUAAUAUUUUUACCCAAUAUUAUUGUAAAGUGAUGUGAAGAAAAAUUUAAAAUUAAAUAAUUAAAUAAUUUUAGAGGGUACAAAAAAAUAUGAAAAUAGUAUGAUGAAUGUGACGAGGGUACGAGAAAUGUGAGGAUACAAGAAAUUUAAAAUAAAAAAUAAAAAUCUCAUACCCUCCUCACAUUCUUCGUACCCCUACAAAUUUUUAAUAUUUUAAUCUUUUAAAUUUUUUGAACAUUAUUUGCUUCAAUUUCAAGUGUAAUUAGUCUUUUUACAAUAUAUUAUUGUCAAGUAAAUUAAAUUUAGAGGGUACAACAAAUAUGAGGAGUGUGCGAGAAAUGUGAAGAGGGUAUGAGAAAUAUAAGGGUACAAGAAAUAAAUAAUAAUAAUAAUUCUCGUACCCUCUUCACAUUCUUGUACUCUCCUCACAUUCUUUGUAUUUUCACCAAUUUUUGAAUAUUUUAAAUUUUUUUCGAAUAUUAUUUGCUUAAGUUUCAACAAAAUUUUCGUACCCCACCAAUUUUGUAAUAUUUUAAUAUAUAUAUAUAUAUAUAUAUAUAUAUAUAUAUAUAUAUAUAUUAACAUUAUUUGUUUCAAUUUCAAGUGUAUUUAGUCUUUUUACACAAUAUUAUUGUCAAGUGAAGUGAAAAAAAAACAUAAAGUUAAAAUUUUCAAAAAAAUUAAAGGAUACAAAAAAUGUGAGAAGGGUAUAAAGAAUAUGAAGAGGGUGCAUGAAAUGUGAGGGUAUAAGAAAUAAAAAAACAAAAUACUCAUCCCCUCUUCACAUUUCUUGUACCUUCCUCACAUUCUUUGUACCUUCACCAACUUUUGAAUAUUUUAAUCUUUUAAUUUUAACUCAUCUACCCUUACAAAUCGUGUCUUUAAGGAAUAUGAGCUUAGAGCAGGAACCAUUGGGAUCCAUAGGAGUACUGGCUCCCUUAGAAUCAAAUUUUGAAAUUGAUUCAACAUCCCACUAUAGAGAGUCAGCUGCACUUUAGUACCCUAUGUACAUUACAAUAAGACACCAAGUACUUGGGUUUAUGAUCUACUAUCUAUUGCAUGCAAACUCCCCAUGAACUUGUGUCCGUAAUUGAUUACUACCAAAAAGUACUAUUUUGUAGAUCUAAUUAUAAUGGUUUUAAGCACCUUUAAGUAGUAAUCAUAUUCAUUUAACCCAAUUAAUUCAUUAAGGUCCUUAGUAAUUGGUUUUAACCAUUUUGUGGCAAGUUUACAUGUUUUUAUUAGCUUGUGAACCAAUUCAAGCAUGCCAAUUGAUGGAGGAGCUAUUUGGGUGAGUUAAGCAAGGAUUUUGGACAAUUACAGGCUUGAAUUUCAAGUGGAAACACGAGCACAAGCAAUGGAGAAGAGGAAAACAGAGUGAAGAAAACAGCUGCAGUCUUCUUUCGCACUUUUGAAGCACUUCCCGAAGUCCAUUUUUUGCAUGCUAUAUACCAUUUGAAAUCUUAGAAAGUCAAGAAUCCAACGCUUCAAACCGUGUAUGAUUUGGAGUUGAAAUGAGGAAGAUAUGGCCUUUGGAAGGCAACUGUAUCAUGUCAAAUGACCAAUUUCGCAAGGUGAAUUUCACAUUGCGAAAAUUUCACAAGGAGAUUUUCUUCAUGGUGCGAAAUUUUGCCACUUCGCACCAUGAAGAAACACCUUGCGAAAUUUCGCAAGGUGGAUUUAGGCACAUUGCAAAAUUCCUUUGAAUCCCCUGUUUUGAGACGUUGUUGAUGUUAUUCCACUGCCGGUUCUCCAAGAUAUUUUGCUUGAUUUUUAGCUUUGUAAAUACCUAUUUUACCCUUGUAAUCAACCAAUGAAUAGGUUGCUUUUGUAAUAGCUCUUGUAAUUUAGCUUGUUAUUGUCUUUAAAUAGAGGUGAAGAGCCUCAGAUCAUCAAAUCUUGUAACCUGUAACUUUAUAAGUUAUAAGAGCACUUUUGUUCAUACGCUUCUUUUCUCUUUUCUUUCUCAUUUUCUUAGUAGCCAAACAUCCUUGGGGGAUGAAAUCCCCAAGGAUGAGAGGCUUAAACCUUUUAGUUUCUUGAAGUAAUGGAUGCCAUGUGAAGCUCCCGUGUCAGGAUGGAGAUUUCCAAGCCAUGAAUGUAAGUAGCUGAGCGUCAUAAAUGUUUUCAUUCAAAGUAAAGCUUUUAAUCCCUCUGACUUGCUUUGAAUGGCCAAUACUUGAUAAUCUUUUGGUCUCAAUGGAUUCUUAUUGUUAGAUCCACUGACGUUCAUUAGUUAUCUCCUACGAGCCAUUGUAUUGCAAGUCGAGGAGAUGCCCUAUAUCAUUAAAAGGGCAUUUAUGAGGUUCAACUACCCUUUUUGUAAGUUUUCAAGGACUAAAACUCAGUUGUUAAACUCAUACCGGUUCGGGAAGUAAGCAUCACCUUAGUUGCUUUCCCAACUCGAGGUGAAAAGUCCCAAAAUCUCCAUUUUUUCACAGUGAGUUAAGCAUGGCUAUCCAAAGCUUUGAGAAACUUCUUUUUCCAUCUUUUAACCUAUUUUCAUGUUAGUUUAGUUUACACACCUUCAUCUUUUUAUGUUUUCAUCUUAACCUAAUUUUUAUUAAGAAAAGUUCACUCCAUCCUCCGAACUUCACCAGUUAAAGUAAAAACUCUUCCCAGUGUUCGAUCCUAGAGCCACUAUGCUAUAGUAGCUUUGCUACUUUAGUGUAAGGACCUUAGGUAUAAAUUUUGUUGAUACCCUUACAUGCCAAGCUACCAAGAGUCGGGUUAUCAGUAAUCUAAUAAGGUGGUGUUGUCACCUAUCAAGAUUACCCCUCAAAUCCUUUAGUUAUAGAUCAUACUUAUUACGUGAUUAAAUGACAUACUUUACCUCUAAUGAGCAUAUGUCAAAUUCCACUAAAGGAAUUAUUCCAUGAUCACAUGUCCUUUGGAUCACCCAAGGGGACAUAUCGUCUCAAUCCCAUGAGAUAUCAUGGUGCCUCUAUUGAGAAUACCUAUUGUCAUUAGCCUCCAUCAACAGUGACCCAAUUCAUAGGGAUACAUGGCCACUUUAGGGUUUCACUCAUAGCUUAAAGUCUUCUAUUAACUUUGGCAUAGACUCAAUAUCCUCUAAGGUUGAGAGUCUAUACAGUAUACUAGUUUGGUGAAUCAUAACAAUUGAUAGCCUUGUGUCAUGAUUCACCGUAGGUUUUGUCUAGUGUGCAUCACAUACACUGGUACUCUUCAUAGGAAACCCAUUCCAACGGCUAAGACCAAUCAUCUCUCUAAUUAGGAGGUAGUGCACUAUAGUCUCUACUGGAUUGCCUAAAUCCAUGAACCAAUUGUGGACAGCUUAUCUACUUACAAGGAAUCCAUGACUUGUACUUUUGUGCAACUCCUAAUGCACCUGAAUCAUGUACAAUGUAAGAAACAUGGGUUGAAUGCUCAAAUCAAUGUUAAUACACUAGAGGGAUAACAAGGAGACAGUUAAGUCUAACUUUGUUACAUCAUGUCUUGCUUAGUUAAGUCUAACUUUGUUACAUCAUGUCUUGCUUAGUUAAGUUUAACUUUAUUACAUCAUGUCUUGCUUUUAGGGUCUUAAUCCUAACAAGCUCCUACUACCCCAAAAGUAGACUAGGGUACUGUAGAAAAAAUAUACUCUACAGUCACGUCACCUUUCUAUACUAUCCCACAACAAGGUAUCACUUGUUUUCUAUAUAUUAUCUCUUAUAGUGGCACUUUAGUUAUUUGGACUAUGCCACAAUCCCAUAUAACAAUAUCUUAGACGAUAUAGCCAAUGGAAAUACUCAUAAGCUAAAAGGCUUCCUUUGUUGCUAUAGAAAUAACAAAAACCACUUAGAGUGUACACAUUCCCUAAGGUAGACUUGCGAGAGUCCUCAUUAGACUGAAAGUCCAAUUUCUCGAUACAAGGACUCACAAACAUAUCAUUCUUCAUUCUCUAAGGAUACUAGAGUAUAUGUUUGAAAUUCGCUCAAAGCUCUAAUCAAGAAAUGAACUAAUAUUCACUCAUUAUUCCUACAACAAAGCAAAUAUCUGGUUUAGCACAUAGCAUUGUAUGCUUAAGGCUAUCCAUUGUAGAGGCAUUGGAUACCUCCUUAAUGUGAUCUUUCUCCACAAAUGUCUGAUUACUACUCAAAAAGUGCUAUUUGAUAGCUUGUAAUUAACUCUUUUAAACACUUUUGAGUAGUAGUUAUUGCCUUUUAACCCAAUUAACAUGUUAAGGACCCUUGCAAUCAAUUCUAAUCAAAUUGUGUUAAGUUUUGGUCUUUUGAUAGCUUUUUGAUCACCAAAGCAAUCCAAGAUUGAGGAGAGUUAUUUGGAAUCCACGACAAAGCAAUGGAAAGCUCAAAUUCAUGAAGAACAAGAUUUGGAGCUCCAUAGCUCUUUGCCAAAGUCGUUCAAAGUAUGCAAGGAAAGAACAAAGGAGAGAGGAAAAACAGAGUGAAGAAAACAGAGGACAAUAGCUGCAGUCUUCUUUCGCACUUUUAGAGCACUUCCCGAAGUCCAUUUUCUACAUUCUAUAUACCAUUUAAAAUCUUAGGAAGUCAAGAAUCCAAUGCUUUAAACGGUGAGCAAUUCGGAGUUGAAACGAAGGAGUUACAGCCAUUGCAAGUAGAUCACUCCAAGUUGAAGGAAGAAUUUUGCACAACGCUGCGAAAUCACCCUUUUGUUGCGAAAUGAUUUCGCAGCCUUUUUGUUUAGUGUUGUGGAUUCCCUCCUGAAGUUGCCCGAUAUAUGCCGCAAGUUGGAAGCUGAGCACCUCAAGAUGAAAGCCAACUUCGCAGCCCUGCGAGAAUAACCUUUUGCUGCGAAGUGAUUUCGCAGCCCUUUUUGUGCAUCUGUGAAAUCUCGCAGACCUCGUUUUCACCUACGAAAUGGUCCUUAGUGCUUCCCAAUAUUUGUGCACCGACUCUUUUAGAUCUUUUCUUCAGAUAUUUUUGUAUAAAUUUCCAUUCUCUCCUAGUAAGCCACCAAUUAUGGGAUUCCUUAGUUAUUAAGUUGGGAAAAGGGGUGAAUAACUUGAGAUAUUUUGUUUUGUAAUUUUCUUUAUAUAUAGCUCUCGGGAGCUUGUUCUCAGGGCAUCAUAUCGAUCAAUAUAUAGAUAUAUCAUAUAUAGAAUCAACGAACAGAGCACUUGCUCUGUUUUUCAUAUAUAUUCUUGUUUUCUCGUUAGUUUUCUUUCUAGCCAACCAAACUCUGAGGAUUUUUCCUCAGAGGAUGAGAGGCUAAGCUUUUUGUCUCUUGGAGUAAGGAAAACCGGCUAAGUUUCCACAUGCAUAAAUUGGAAGUUUUGUUGUUUUAGUUUUUAAUGAAGAGAAAGUGUGACCCGUUAAUGGUUUUUAUAUUUUUAGUUAACUUAAAACGCCUUUAAAUCACCUGGGCCAACACUUGGGAAGGCAAGUGAUCUCUGUCCAUGGAGAUGCACUAGUUUACCCCUUGCGAGCCUUUGGGAGGUGACUUGAAGGUAGGAUUUUCUAGAAUAGGCAACACUUGGUAAGCUUUUGGACUCCAAGGAGACAUCUAUUAGUUAUCUCUUGCGAGCUUUUGACGGGUAAUCCAAGGUUAAAGAUCACCUUGAAUGGCAAGUGCUAGGUGAGAGGUAUGAGCCAUUGCAAGGUGCAUCAGUGAGAGGGAUUUAGUGUUUGAACCCAUUAAUGGGAAGCAUCUGUACAACACCGGUUAGAGAAUUAACUAUAUGUUAAUUCUCUAAUGCGAGGAAAAGAAACAAGUGACCGAAACUCUCUUUUUUGUAUGAGGAACCUGAGCCUAGUGAUCUGAACUCCAAAAAACAUUUUUCUUUGUAAGUAAAAUCAGUUACUAUUUUUGGUUAGUUUAAAACCAAACCUUUUUCAUUCAAACAUCUUUAUGUUUUCUUUUAAAGCUAACCUUGAAAUGAAAAGGCACCAAUUCAACUUUGAAUUAAUAUCAUUUGUGAAGUGAAAACCCAUCCCAGUGAACGAUCCUAGNNNNNNNNNNNNNNNNNNNNNNNNNNNNNNNNNNNNNNNNNNNNNNNNNNNNNNNNNNNNNNNNNNNNNNNNNNNNNNNNNNNNNNNNNNNNNNNNNNNNUAAUGGGAAGCAUCUGUACAACACCGGUUAGAGAAUUAACUAUAUGUUAAUUCUCUAAUGCGAGGAAAAGAAACAAGUGACCGAAACUCUCUUUUUUGUAUGAGGAACCUGAGCCUAGUGAUCUGAACUCCAAAAAACAUUUUUCUUUGUAAGUAAAAUCAGUUACUAUUUUUGGUUAGUUUAAAACCAAACCUUUUUCAUUCAAACAUCUUUAUGUUUUCUUUUAAAGCUAACCUUGAAAUGAAAAGGCACCAAUUCAACUUUGAAUUAAUAUCAUUUGUGAAGUGAAAACCCAUCCCAGUGAACGAUCCUAGAGCCACUAUGCUAUAGUAGCUUUGUCUUUGCUACCCUAGUAAAUGGUGUAAUAGGUUAUAAAUUUUGUUGAUUACUCCCUCAAUCAAGGAGCACCAGCUGGACACGAAUCAGCUGAGACACCAAUUGGGCAUGAAUCAAUGUCCAAGGACAUUGAUCCUAAGAAAGAUAACUCCAAAUCCAAAGAGUAACAAACCUUUCUUGGAGUUUUACAUCAUAUACUUGAACAAAUGCUGAUUAAUGUAGAUGACAUGGCAUAAUUUUUCCUAUUCCUGCAAUGCUAAAAGAUCUUAACCUUAAGAAUAUAUUGCGCAUUCCUCUAAAUUUUUUUCUAGAACUAAGUAAACAACUAGAUCUUGACAGAUGACAAUAUCUUUACAUCAUAUCCAAUGAGUAGAUUAUCAUCCACCUACAAGAUCUUAGAGCAUUACUACACUCCCAUAUGCUUUCAUGUACACACAAGGCCUAUUGCUAUGAAAAUGUUUGGUUGCUAUAUCUCAUAAAUCAAACACACUGCAAUAGAUAAGAGUAAUCUACUAGAUUUGAGUAUGAUCACUAUUGAAAAGGUUUUCCAUAGUUGAAACAAAGUUUCAAACUAUAACCUUUAACUAUAGUCUUAGCCAUAUAAAACUCAAGCUUUCCAUCUACUCCUGUGUUUCUCUUAUAGACCAACUUACACCUAUGAGUUUUAUCUCUUUAGGUGUCCUACAGGAACCCAAACUAUGUUAGAAUACAAAGAUUCUAACUACCUUUUCCUAGCUCAUUACCUUAAGUGAGUAUAAACAUUGUUGAAUGCUUCAUCAUAAUCUAUGAUAUAUAAACUUCCAUUACGAUGAGGCAUUGGUGUACUAGAAAUCAUAGGAAUGGUAUGCCUUUAACCCUCUAGAUCCACAAUAUCCUAUGCAAUAUGGGACUAUUUUCUAAUUUCUCCUCCAAUCUAUAUCAUUUUUUGCCUUAUUCCUUAUCAUACAGUUUUAAAUUUUUUUUUGACAUUUGUGCUAACAAAUAUCUUUUAAUGAUCCUAACUAUAAAGGUAGUAACCCAAAAAUGCUCUUAUAUAUCCUAUAAAUUGACAUACCUCUUAAGAAAAAGGGUAACCACCUUUUUAAAAAAUAGUAGGUAAAAUAUACUUGAUACAUACCUUCAAUCUUUUGUUUGUUUUACAUUUUGGUCUCUUAUAUUUGAAAUCCAUCAUUUUACCUAUUCAAACUUAUUAGAAAUCAACACUUCCAUAUCAUUUGCAAACCCUUUAUAAAUUAUAAAAAUGAUCUUUUUUUUUUCUAUAUUCUUGUUUGAACAUUGGUUUGAAUUUAGGUAAAACCAAUUUUGAAUUCAUAGCCUUGGGUAGUAUUUCCCAAACAUCUUUAUUUUAUUAUUUAUUAUCUAAUCCUUCAUGUCUUGUGGAAGCACGUUACAAGUUAUCUAUGCUAUCCAAGUACACCCCCUAUCACCUACCUUCUAAAUUAUGUGAAUAUGCUUAUCACUGUGAACCGUGCCUAUGUUUGGUAGUGCAUGGGUGUCUUGAUAUAUUGUUUCAUUGUUCAAUUAUUUAUGAUAAAGCGCAUGCUGGGUGAUAUUCUAUUUGAACUAACUUUAAUGUCUUUUGAUAGUGCUUAAAAAGCAGUCCAGGUAUGCACCCUAAAUCUUCUUUAUGAUUUGUGAUUGGUUCUUUUGUUUAGCAUGAUAUUUGUUUAAAUCACCUUAGUCUACCUAGGCACCCUCAAUCAACCAAUUAAUUGUCCCAAUUCUCUCAACUUAGCUAGUAAAGACCUCUUUAAGGCUUAGAGGGGUGCUACCUCUUAGAGGUAACUUCCCAAUAGGUAACCUGAUCCCCGAACCUAGACUCGGGUUUUUCAAAGACACAUUUUUCCAAAAACUAUAGUCACUUCUUUAGGGUUUUCUUUCUUAUUUUAUUUUUCCUUUUAAAAUAAAAUAAAAUAAGUGGUGACUCCAACUUUUCCAAAUUUUUCUUUUUUACCAAUAAAAGCGAAUAUCAUCGAUUGAGUGGGAGCGCAUGUGAAAAAUGCAAGACCACACUAUGGCUUUUGUAGUACUCCGGGUAUUGUUCUUAAGGACUAGCUUAUGGAAAUAGUCAAUACUAGAAUAAAUGAAUUGCUUUCGUUUAAAUCCUAAAGUGAAAAACACUAUGAGAAUAAUGUGAAACUAAGUAAAAGAAAAAUAAAUUAAUAACAAAAAUGGAUGUUGAUAUUAAAUUUGAUUGAUUCAAGUUUGGGGCUUUCCACAAUCCAACCUAGGGUAUAGAAAUUAGAGAAAACAAGGGUCUUUUAAGUAAUAUGAUCUUAGGGUUUUGGGAUCCUUGGCUCCUCAUGAUCAAGUUGAGUUCUAUAACAUAAAAUUGCAUCCGAAACCUAAUUUUUCCUUUUUAAAAUAAAAUUCCUAAAACCAUCAAAUGAAUGAGAUUGAUUACUAGUUUAAAAUUUGGACUUUUAACCCUUCCUACUCCUUAUAGUUUUGUUUUGGGGCAAAUAAUGAUAGAGAAAACGAGGAUAACUAAUGAUCAAGAAUUACCAAAAAUCACUAGUAUCGGGUAAUAACCUACCAUAUCAUUCCCUAAACUAACUCACAAGGAUAGGAUAAAAAAAUGAUAAAUUGUCACCCAACCAAUAAUUAAUCUCAUUGAUAUAAUAAUUUACCCAUUGUCCCUAUAGGUUUCCUAACCCUUAGGUUUUCAUGCUUUAAGCCCCAAGUUAGCUCUUAACCUCUCAUGGGGUUAUUGUCACAUUCACAAUCCAUAAUAGGGUAAAAAUCCAUAAUUUGAAUCAAAAGAACCUAAAAUAAUAUAUUUAAUAAAGAAGAAAAAGAAAACAAACCAAAGUUCUCAUCUUCUUCCACCUUCAAUGUCAAACUCUCUAGAAAAAAAAAAAAAAAAUCCAAGGUCCCUAAAACCUAGAACUAAGAGAGUUUAGAUAAUAUCAUCAAUUACCUAACAUGUGCCACACUCUCAUUGGCCACUUAUUACAAAAAUAAUUACCUAAAAAUGAUUAAAAAUUAAUAAAAUGGUGAUUUCUAGCAGUGUGUGGGGUCCAUUUAGGGGUGAUGGAGUGUCUUAGAUGCAAUUUCCAAGGUAGAGGAGGUGAAACAUCAAAGUGGCAGUGGGUGAAUUUGAAAUUGGUGUCAUUUUGAUGUGGAUUUUGAAUUCAUAAGUUGAAUUUCGAAAUCAUUUCGAAAUGACCCUUUAGAUUUGUGUAGUCGUCUUCAAAUAACCAUAACUUCUUCAUUUCAGCUUCAAUUUGCACACUGUUUGAAGUGUUGGACUCCUGACCUCCCAAGCUUCAAAAAAAUAUAUUGUAUGCAUAAAAUGGGCUCCAGAAAAUGCUCCAAAUUUAUCCUCAAAGUCAGAGUAUAUAUUACCAUCAGAUUUUUGAGUUCUAGAUUUCCAUGUAGCUGAAUCUUGCUUCAUGCCUCAAUUCCUAUGUUUUCUUGCCUUCUUUCUUACUCCAUUAUGAUCAUUUCUCAUAUUCCAAACUCAUGAUAUCCUCGUCUUGCCUUUCCUCAUGGUCCAUGAGUCAUGACUCACCUAUUUCUUCAUUUAACCCUUUCUUGAUCUUUCAAAAUCUAAAGUGAUUCAACUUGCACCAUUUUCUUCCCUUGAACCUGAGAUAAGUCUCCAAAGUACAAAUAAAACUCCUGGCUAGGUCCUUAGCAUUAAUUUAGGUCAAGUUGGGUGAUUUGAAUGUUCUUUGGUGCACAAAUCAUAUCAAAUAUGUGUCAUUAGAGCACAUAUUUUGGCUCCAAUCAUCCCCCUCAACUAAACUUUGCUAGUCCCUAGCAAAUGAAAAGAGUAAAGAAAAAAAUUAAAAAUAUGUAAUGAGAUUCAUGAAACCAUAUUGACUCAACAUAACAUAUUUCACACACAAGAUACCCAAGUAGUCAAAUUUCUUAGAAUUGAGCAAAAUGAAACAAGAUAUGCAAUUUUUUAGUUUUCUCACCUUAUCUUCGUAUACAUAAAUGUGCAUCCACGUUUAGCAUUCCCCUUAGUGUCUCUUGAUUUUCCCCUGAUUAGUUUUUUCCACCUAAACCUCAUGUGCUUAAUUUUGGUUUCCUCUCACAGUAUUUUUCUUUAGACUUUUCUUAAACUCAAACUUCAUCAUUCUUUAAGUUAAAGAGGGGGGGAAAUUUAUUUUGAUUUUUCUUUCUUAGUUUAGGAAAUCUCCUUCUAUAUGGCUUAAUAGGGAUCCACCGGCAACUCCUAAGUUUUCACCCAUGGUACCAGGUAUUGGGAACCUUUAUAGGCUACUUACUCCUCAGGUAUUACCCUAGCUCUAGAUAGAACAAGGUCGAAUUUCCUAAACAUUUAUUUAUUUUUAUUUUUCAAAACUGAGUUUAACUUAUGUUACAAGCAAGAUACUGAUGACUCUUAACCAGUCGGUUUCGGGCACCAGGGCUUGAAGACACAAGGCCAUUACCCCCUCAAAUAAUUUCUCAAGCUUAAAUCAAUCAUUUUCAAUUUUCUUUUCAUCAAUUUGUUUUUUUUUUUUUCAUUUCCUCCUUUUAUUAGUUAAGAACAACUCCUUUUAAUCUAAAGAAAUUAUCUUAAUCAAGAUACCAUAAAGGAAUAUGUGCUUUGUGUGUGCUUUGAGUCUUAAAUAGAAAAUAACCAUAAAAAUAAAAUAAAAUAAAAUUUUGAAGGUAUUCCAAGGAUUCAACCUAAUUAUUUUUGUACUUAAAGGUAUAUAAAGAUAAGGUAAGUGAACUAAUAUUCUUGCUCUAACUGUAUUUUUUCUCAAAUUCUAAAGAAAUAAUACUACUUAAAGCAUUCUCAUGCAAAAUAAACCAUGAGUUACCAAGGCAAAUCAAGAAUCUCAUUAACUAACCAAAGAUAACAUGCAAACUUUUGAAAAAAAAAUUAGGGCUAAUAGACCUUCCCCCCUCAACCUAAAUUACACAUUGUCCCCAAUGUGUAGGAUAUUGGGUCAAAAGAAAGGAAAAAUGGAGAUGUUAUCUCAAGAUCAUCGAGUGAGAAGUUUGUUAUGAGGACUUCAUAUAAACUAGUCUUGCACAAAAGCAACAAGAUUAGUGGCAAAAGUAUGCAUAGAGAAAAAUAUAAAUGGUGAUCUAAAAGAGAGUAUAAGAGUAUCAGUAUGCUCCAAAAAUACCAUAGUGUAUACAAUUAUAUCGAAUAAGGUAUAUAUAGAAAUGAACAUCAAGCACCAAUGAUAGGAUCAACAACUCCAUCUAUCCCCUCCAACACAUGGGUGGCUACCUAGUCAAUAUCCUCCAAUAUAGGUGUAGUAGCUAAUUAGUGAUCUCCACGAUAGGUGUAACGGCCUCGCCAACAACCUGUACCAUAGGGGGGUCAUCCUUAAUAAUGAUGUCCACACUAGUGUCAGUAGUAUGAAUGAAGAUCUCACCAUCGACCUAUCCUGCAGAAUCUGGAAUAUCAAUAGUUGAGGUAAAAAUCUUAGUUGCGGCAUCACUUGAUGUUUGUAAAAUAGGCAUGGUCUCAUGGGCUACUGUCGGUGCUCUAGUGUUAGAGCCAGAAUCAAUCACCUCUGUAGUGUUGCCAUCAACCUCUAAGUUGGUAUCAAUUGGUGUAAUAAAAUCUCCCCUCUGUCUAGAUGGAAUAAUCAAAGAAGUGACCUAUUGUACACAAAAAGUGAGGUCAUCCAUCUAAGUCUCCAUCUUACUUAAGCGAGCAUCAAUGCGAGAGUCCAUGGACACAAAUAACUUUUGAAGUGUGUCUAGACGAGCCAUGAUUGAUAAGGUACUCAGGGUAGCAUCAACAACCUGAGGCAGUGAAGGUUUAAGAAGAUCAAAGGUUGGUAAUGCUAGUGUAGAAAUAGGAAUAUAUAGCAGGCUCUAAGACACAUGAAAGAGGUGGUGGAAGAGGAAUAGGAAGCACUGGUAAGCUCGUGUCAAAAGUAGGAGUAGGUGGAAGCGGGCUCUCUAUAGUAGAUGGAAGUGGAACAACAUGCAAAGCUCUCUUUCUCUUAGCGCCAUAGGUAAUCAACUAUGACCCUGAAUGAAUUGUUUGACCCACUGAUUGAUAACAUAAGUGUGAGAAGUCAUGCGAUGAUCAGACUUAGGUAACUGGCAUCCAUGACGGAGCAAGUAGUAUGAGAGCAACUGAGGCAAAGGAAUAAGAUAACUUUGAGCUAAAGAUAAUUGUUUCUCCUUAACCUUUUGAAAAAAAUAAAAGAUGGUAUCCAUGAUGAGUUGAGGUGGACUCCACCACUUGCCUGUGUACAUGUGAUAUAACCCCUAUAAGACUAAACCAGAACACUUUAUAGAGUGUCCAAAUGGAAAAUGUUGGUCUUAAUGACCUGAUCCACAAACCAUAAGAUCUAUGGCAUCUCAAGGUGAGUGAUGGCUGAACGAUAACAAGUAUCCCGAGGUGCUAAUAUAUGUGCAAUCCUCGAAAAAGCUGGUUGUGAUUGAGGUGAAAAUUGGGCUUCAAGAGGAGCAGAUGAUGGUAAACCAAAGGUUGCAACAAUGGUCUCAGUGGAAAUAAUAUCAAUUCAUCUAUUGAUAGAAAUAUGGAGCUCUCGGUAUCUCCCUCUCCAAUCCUCGAGAGUAGAGAAGAACUCUCUUACACUAGCGACAUAAAAAUAUGGCGGAGGAUCCAUCAAUAAGAGAAAAUAAUAUCGGUCAAGGAGAUGCAUGGACUAUGUAGUGGGCUAGUAAGUACUAAAUGCCUUUAUUUCAUAAGAGAACUCUUGAUCAAACUUCAGUUAAGAUAGGUCCACCCUAGGGGCAUCAUCACAAACUAUUAGAGAUGGAGGACGUGUUGGGCUCAGAGUAGGAGGAGCUGCCCAUGGAUGUGGAGGAGUGGUAGUAAGCUUGGUGGUCUUAAGAGUGGUUGAGUGAUCAAAAUGAGCCUUUGUCUUGGCUUUGACAUGCUUGGCUUGACGAGUGACAUGCCUCUCAGUAGGCUCAAUAAUCAUUCCACCACUUCGACUUUGGACAAGAGGUCGGGCAUGUUUUUGCCUUGGAGAAUGCUUAGUCUCAUUGUCACUUUGAAUAACAACUUUCCUUUUAUAUUAAGCCAUCUGAAAUAAAUGUCAAAAAAUAAACUAAACUUAAAAAAGGGAAAUAAAUAAAUAGAAAUAAAUACAAAAACUCAUAAGGGUUAAGAAAACAAUCUAAAAAAAAAAAUUGGAUGCUCAUGAAAUUUAUGGAUUCAUAUGAAACGGUGGUAGACCAUUCCUAAAAUGCGGGAGAACAUUCAAGGUGUCCAACAAUGAUGAAAACAUGAGUCUUUGAAGCCUUAGAUAUAAUCCAAACAAUACCUAAGUUCAAAUAUCAUGUGACAAGGAAAUCAAAGUGAUUGGUUAGCUUAGGAGAAUGUGUAGAACAAAUAGAAAAAUCUACUAGAGAGUUUAAAAUGUUCUAGAGCAUAUAAAACAUAAAUUAGGCAACAAUUAUGCAAAACUCAUGGAAAAAUAAGAACUUUGCUCUCAAAGUAUUCUAAGAUGUUCAACAAGCCCUAAGAAUCAUGUAGAAAAAAUUUCAAAAUUUUUCUCCAAGUAUAAACCAAAAAUUCUAACACCUUGAAUUUCCAAGCAAAACAAAUGAACGUUGUGUAAUCAAAAUCAAUCUUGUUGAGUUACGUUCAAAUUUUCGGGGGUCGAGCUCCCCGCUAAGCUUGUGGGGGUCGGGGGGCAGCACCCUCUAGAAUUGUUUUUUCAUUAUAUUUAUUAUUUUUUUUUAUCUACCCAACAGAAACAAUAGAAACCCUAAACAAUGUUAUUGAGAGUUUGGUCACACUGCAUUUUAUAUGGAGCAACACCACACAAUGAAACCAUAAAGAUCAAGGAAAAUCCAUGAAAAAUAAACAAGAAAUGAGUAUGAGUGUAAUGCGUACCUGGAAUGUGACAAACCCAUAAUGAACCCUUAAAUCACCUUCAAUGGAAGCUAGGACAAUGAACAAGGGAAGAAUAAACAAGGGGAAGAGGAGAUAAAGUGGUCUAGAAGUGGAAAUGGCCUUUUGUAAAGGAGUUUGGUUGAUUUCGGAGUGAACUCGAAAUAGAAAUUAAGUAUUUUGAAUUGGAACUUUGGUUAAGAAAAGUCAUUUUGAAAUUUAACUAUUGAAUUCAAAAAUAACCUUAUUUUGAAUUCGUUAAUUAAUGGUAAAAAAAUGCCCAUUUUAAAAUGUAACCAUUGGAUUCGAACACUAUCCUAUUUCCAAAUGGCUCACUAUAUACAAAAACAUUUCAAACACCUCAUUUCGAAAUGAAAAAAAAAAAAUCAUUUCUAAAUUGGGCAAAUUUCGAAUUCACCUUCUGAACUUAAAAAAUCUCAAUUCUAAAGCAAAAGUUUCAAUUUUGAAAAGCCCACCAUUUCAAAUUUGCUAAAUGUAGCCUCAAUACAGUGUAAAAAACCUGUUUCAAAAUUCCACUAAUGAUUUCGAAAAUAGCUUCAUUUCAAAAUGGCUCACUGUUGAUUCCAACUUCUAUUUCGAAAUAGCAAUCUUUUUUAUUUCAAAUUUGACGUCAUUUCGAAAUAACCCACUAUGGGUGUUGAAGUCCAUCUUAAAGCAUCAAAAUUGCUCAUUUCGAAAUUCAAAAUUCAUUGUAUUUCAAACUUGUUUUUUGUGAGUUCAAAACACCUAUUUCAACAUUUACUAGUGAUUUCAAAAUCAAUCUCAAUUCAAAUUCACUUUCUAUAUAUUUAAAAUUGCAAUUCCAAGACAAAAAAUUUGAAUUCGAAAGGAUCAUAAUAUUGAAAUCACCCAUUACUGGUCUUCAAAAGUGUCAUCUCCAUUUGAGAUUUCAAAUUCAAAAAUAAAGGAAUUUUGAAUUCAUCCACUAUACCUUUAGCCCUUUAUCAUAAAAAUUUAGGAUUUCUUUCCCAAGGGCUACUCAGUUUUGUAUUUCAUCCUUUGUUUUCAAAGUUCACCAAUGAUCCUCACAAGUAAAUUUUUGGGAGGCCUAUGGUCUUAAAUAUAGAUCAACGUACUUGUAGGAGCUUUGCCACCUUGAACACUUAUGAGGCUUACCUUUUCACUACAUUGAAGUUCACAUUUACCUAUAUCACUUGGAUGUUUGCAAGCUAAGUUGCUACAACUCAUAAACUCAUUAGUAAGUUAAAGACAACUUAAAAAAAUACUAACCAUAUUUCUAAUGACUAAUUGAAAAUGAAAAACUAAACAAAGGAAAAUAAAUAAAAUAAAACAAAAUAAAAGAGAAAUUAAAUAAAUAAAAGUUUUACCUAAAUUUAAUUUUUACCUACUAGAUUUUCAGAAAAUACUUCAACCCUUUUGAACAUUCCCAUAAAGAAAAUGGAGAUUCUCCUCUAAUGUCUCAAAUCUUUCAAUGAAAUGCUUUAAGCGCUGACCACUAACUUUGAAUUCAUUACCAUUCCUCAGAUUUCGAAUGGUCACGAUGCCAUAAGGGAAGACUUCCUUUACCACAUAAGGGCCAUUCCACCUUGACCUAAGCUUUCUUGGAAAAAUGUGACGCUUAGAGUCGUACAACAACACCUUUUCAUCUUGCUUUAACUUCAUUCAUAAAAUAAGUUUGUCAUGGUAGAAUUUGUGUGUUUCCCUUGCAUUACGUAAGCAUUCAUAAUUCUAAUUUUGAUAUGCCUCAAGUUCAUUCAAAUCAUAUUUCCUUUUAGCUCCAGUUUGAUCCAAAUCAAAGUUCAUUUUUUUAUAGCCCAAUAUGCACGAAGUUUGAGCUCUAUAGGCAAAUGACAUGAUUUACCAUAAACAGUCUGAUACGGUGACAUGCCAAAGAUAGUCUUAUAGGUUGUCCUAUAUGCCCGAAGUGCAUCACUCAACUUGGUAGACCAAUCUUUUCUUGUAGUAUUGACUACUUUGGUAAGGAUUCUCUUAAUCUUUCGAUUUGCUAGCUCAGCUUGCCCAUUUGUUUGAGGGUGAUAUGGGUGGACACUUUAUGCCUCACUCCGUAUUUCUGAAAAAGAGUGGAAAAAGGGCUUGUUACAAAAGUGUGAACCUCCAUCACUAAUGAUUGCUCUCAGAAUGUCAAACCUAGAGAAAAUAUUCUCCUUUAAAAAUUUGAGCACCACUUUGUGAUCAUUGCUCUUGCAUGCCACUGCUUUUACCCAUUUAGAAACAUAAUCCACUCCCACCAAAAUAUAGAGAUUACCAAAAGAAUGAGGGAAUGGUCCCAUAAAGUCAAGGCCCCAACAAUCAAAGACCUCAACAACACAAAUAUAAUUUUUUGGCAUUUGAUACUUUGUGUUGAUUUUCUCCAGUUGUUGACAUUGUGGACAACUUCUGCAGUGAGUGUUACAAUCCUUGAACAUAGUUUUCCUAUAGAAUCCACUCUGUAGAAUUUUUUCCUAAGUCUUCCGUAGACCAAAAUGACCUUCACAAGCUCUCUCAUGGCACAUUCGCAACAUGUUUUGUUGUCCAUCCUCUGGAACACAUCUUUGAAUAAUUUGAUUUGGACAAAACUUAUACAAAUAUGGAUCAUCCCAAGCAUAGUGUUUUGCUCACCAACAAUCAAAGACCUCAACAACACAAAUAUAAUUUUUUGGCAUUUGAUACUUUGUGUUGAUUUUCUCCAGUUGUUGACAUUGUGGACAACUUCUGCAGUGAGUGUUACAAUCCUUGAACAUAUUUGGCCUAUAGAAUCCACUCUGUAGAAUUUUUUCCUAAGUAUUUUGUAGAGCAAAAUGACCUCCUGAUUCGCUUGUAACUCCAAAUGGGUCAUUUAAUCAAAAACAUUUAUAAAACCUAUGACCUCAUACUAAUGUAGUAAAGCUACUAUAGUAUAGUGGCUCUAGGGUCGAACUCUGGGAUGGGUUUUCAUUCUACCAGUGAUGUAUUCAAAAUUAGAAAUUGUAUUUAAUGAUUUCCUUUAUCAAAAACUUAAAGUUUAAAAGAAAAUAAAAUUUGAUUUGAAAGUGUUUAAAACUAAACUAACAUAAACUAAUUAAAAAUGGAAGAAAGAAAGUCUCCCGGAGCUAAGGGUUGCUAGGAUCAAGUUCAGAAUAGAAAGUGGAAAAUUCCGGAUUUUUCUCCUCGCAUUGGGGAUUUAACCUAUAGUUAUUUCCCGAACCGGUAUAGGUUUGACAAUGAAGAUUUAAUCCAUAAAAGAUCAAUAGAAAUGGUAGUCAAGGUCCAUUAAUGGCUUAAGACACUAUGGGUCUUCACCUUGAAUCACUUUCCAAUGACUCGUACAUGAUAACUAAUGGACUAAUAUGGAUCUAGCAAUAAGCAUCCAUAAAGACCUGAAGCUUACCAUGUAUUGAUCAUUCAAAGUGAUUCUAAGGGGUUUAAAGUAAAACUUUGGAUUUAGAAGCCGUUUAUGAAUUCCAACUACCUGAAUUUAAUGCAUGGAAGCUUUCCACCUUUUCAUCUGGACUUUUCACCUAGCUUCCUUUACUCCAAGAAACCGAAAGUUUAGCCUCUCAUCCUCCGGGCAAACAUCCUUAGAGGUUGUUUGGCUUCCAAGAAAAGGAAAAUAAUAAAGAGCAAAGAGAACGAGAGAGCUCUGUAAAAUUCUCAGUGUAAAAACGUAAUACGUAUUCCAUAUAUUCCAAGAGAUGAUUUCCACCCCUUAUAAAGUCUUUACAAAAGCUAAAGCUUAUGAUUGGUUAAUUACAAGGAUAAUAAAGGAAAUUACAUCACAAAAUACAAAGGAAAAUAUCUAAAGUGGAGUCGGCAAAGGGCAGAGCAAAAUUCGCAACACGCAUAGGUUAUGCGAACCAUAUGCGAAUGUUAUGCGAAUUUCGCAUAACCUCUUGUGGAAUGCGAAAUUUUCGCAUAUGCUAGAGCAGUUGGCUUCCGAAGGCCAUAUCUUCCUCAUUUCAGCUCCAAAUCGUACAUGGUUUGAAGUGUUGGAUUCUUGACUUCCAGAGCUUUGAAAUGGUAUAUAGCAUGUAAAAAAUGGACUUCGGGAAUUGCUCCAAAAGUGUGAAAGAAGACUGCAGCUGCUACAUCUUGAUUUUUUUUCACUUUGCUUCUCUUUGCUUCUCUCCUUUGCUUGACUUGUCUUAAUGAUCCAAAAAGCUGUCAAAACAUUAAAACUAGCCACAAAUAUGAUUAGAAGACAUUGCUAGGUCCUUAACAUGCCAAUUGGACUAAAGAUGGAGAACUACUACACAAAAGUGCUUAAAACAUAAUGCAUUAAAGGUGUAAAAUAGCACUUUUUGGGUAGUAAUCACCUCCACAAGCUCUCUCAUGGCACAUUCGCAACAUGUUUUGUUGUCCAUCCUAUGGAACACAUCUCCGAAUAAUUUGAUUUGGACAAAACUUAUACAAAUAUGGAUCAUCCCAAGCAUAGUGUUUUGCUCAAGAAAGAAAAUACUUUUCAUCUCCAUGUUCCAUUCUGAGGGAAGCUCUCUAGUUGCCAAGUAGUUGACUAUAUUUGCAAACCAAGGAAACUUCUCCACUGCACAAAGUGCAUCAUCAAGAAACUCAUCAUUAAUCUAUGCUUCGUCAAAAAGUGACUCUACUUUAACUCAAGAGAGAUGAUCAGCAACCACAUUCUUUACCCCUUGCUUAUCCUUGAUUUGCAUGUUAAAUUCUUGAAGAAGAAGGAUCCAUAUGACAAGUCUUGUUUUGACAUCCUUUUUGUUGAGUACAUAUUUCAAGGCCGAAUAAUUAGUAAAAAUUACUAUUGAAGUUCCCAAAAGGUAGUUCCUGAAUUUAUCAAGUGCGAACACCACUGCAAGGAGCUCCUUUUUAGUAGUUGUGUAGUUCUUCUGAGCAUCAUUGAGGGUCUUACUAGCAUAGUACACCCUAUAUGGUUUUCCAUCCUCCCUUUGACCUAGUACGACUCUCACUGCAUAGUGACUGGCAUCACACAUCAACUCAAAUGGAAGAGACCAAUUGGGAGGUCUCACAAUUGCGGUAGUAGUGAGAAGUGACUUUAGUCUCUCAAAAGUUUCUUGACAUGCUUUAGUCCAUAUAAAUUCUGCAUCCUUAAGUAACAAAGCAUAAAGAGGUUGAGAGAUUUUUUAGAAGUCCUAUAUGAACCUUCUAUAAAAAUCUGCAUGCCCCAAAAAUAGUAUAAUUCACAUGUUUAUUUUAUUUUAAAAAUUAAUUGGAUAAUUAGUUUUGGUAUAAUUUUUGUUAAUUUUAUUUUAAAGAUUCUUUGUAUGAUUAAUUUGUAUAAUUUUUGUUAGUUUAAUUUUAAAAAUUCAUUAGAUGGUUAAUUUGUAUAAUUCAUAUGUUAGUUUUAUUUUAAAAAUUAAUUAGAUGAUUAGUUCAAGCAUAAUUUUUGUUAAUUUUAUUUAAAAAAUUCUUUGUAUGAUUAAUUUCUAUAAUUUUUCUUAGUUUUAUUUUAAUGAGAUUGAUUACCAGUUUAAGAUUUGGCUUUUUAAUCCUUCCUACUCCUUAUAGCUUUGUUUUGGGGCAAAUAAAGAUAAGGAAGACGAGGAUAACUAAUGAUCAAGAAUUACCAAGAAUCACUAGUAUCGGGUAAUAACCUACUGUAUCAUUCCCUAAACUAACUCACAAUGAUAGGAUUAAAAAAAAUGAUAAAUUGUCACCCAACCAAUAAUUAAUCUCAUUGUUAUAAUAAUUUACCCAUUGUCCCUAUAGGUUUCCUAGCCCUUAGGUUUUCAUGCUUUAAGCCCCAAGUUGGCUCUUAACCUCUCAUGGGGGUGAUGUCACAUUCACAAUCCAUAAUAUGGUAAAAAUCCAUAAUUUGAAUCAAAAUAACCUAAAACAACAUAUUUAAUAAAGAAGAGAAAGAAAACAAACCAAAGUUCUUAUCUUCUUCCACCUUCAAUGUCAAACUCCCUAGAAAAAAAAUCCAAGAUUCCUAAGACCUAGAACUAAGAGAGUUUAUAUAAGAUCAUCAAUUACCUAACAUGUGGCACACUCUCAUUGGCCACUUAUUACAAAAAUAAUUACCUAAAAGUGAUUAAAAAAAUUAAAUGGGGAUUUCUAGUCGUGUAGGGUCCACUUAGGGAGGAUGGAAUGCCCUAUAUGCAAUUCCCAAGGUAGAGGAGGCAAAACAUCAAAGUGGCAAUGGGUGCAUUCGAAAUUGGAGUCAUUUUGAUGUGGAUUUCGAAUUCAUAAGUUGAAUUUUGAAAUUAUUUCGAAAUGACCCUUAAGCUUUGUGUAGUUGUUUUCAAAUGGCCAUAACUUCUUCAUUUCAGCUCCAAUUUGCACAUUGUUUGAAGCAUUGGAAUCAUAACCUCCCAAGCUUUGAAAUAAUAUAUCGUUUAAAUAUAAAAUGAACUCUGAGAAAUGCUCCAAAUUUGUCCGCAAAGUUGGAGUAUAUAUUACCAUUAGAUUUUUGAGUUUUAAAUUUCCAUGUAGCUGAAUCUUGCUUCAUGCCUAAUUUCUUAUGUUUUCUUUCCUUCUUUCUUACUCGAUAAUGGUCAUUUCUCAUAUUCCAAACUCAUGAUAUCCUUAUCUUGCCUUUCCUCAUGGUCCAUGAGUCCUGACUCACUUAUUUCCUCAUUGAACCCUUUAUUAAUCUUUCAAAAUCUAAAGUGAUUUAACUUGCACCCUUUUCUUCCCUUGAAUCUGAGAUAAGUCUCCAAAGUACAAAUUAAACUCAUGACUAGGGCCUUAGCAUCGACUUAGGUCAGGUUGGGUGAUUUGAAUGUCCUUUGGUGCAUAUAUCAUAUUGAAUAUGUGCCAUUAUAGCACAUAUUUUGGCUCCAAUCAAGCUUACCUGCCAAAUUCUGCAUGCCAAACAUUGAGUGAUAGAAUGGAGUGGGUUGUCCGAAGAUUCAUUUGAGGCUCUAUAGUAUAUUUGUGAGAGCACACAGAUUAGAUGAUAUGUAGUUGGUUGCUCUCUUCCCUAUGUCAUUUAGUUGAGUAGCAUAGAGGUGGCUGGCCUCAAUUAAGCAUUCGAGACUCUACACUUGGGAGGAUGUGGCCUAUGAGUUUUUGACACUGUUUGCCUUUAGUGCCGAUAUUGAUUUUUUUUUUUUUUUUACCAAACAAAGCGUCGAGAAUGUUACUUAACCAUCCCUAUAGUAAAAGCAAAAUUUGUUGCUUUUAGUGCUGAUAAUGAUGUUUCUAGGCGAGAGUUAGAGGCUACUAAGUAGAGGCCAAAUGAAUCUGUUUCUUCAUUUAUUAGUCAUUAGAGGGCUAAGGUGGUUGGUAUGAUAGAUUGACUAAAGGAGUAAGAUAGGAUUAACGUGCUUCUUUGGAAACUUCAGCCGAGGUUUGCCAAACAUCUUGUAGGUAUUCCAUUUGAAGACUUAUGAAGUUUGGUUCAAGUCGCUUUUAGUGUUGAGGAGAGUAUUGCUAGAGGGUUAUAGAAAAACAUUAUUCCUUCCUUAGAUAAUAAAGGAAAGAAGCCUGUAGAGGUUAGCACUAUCAGUUAUCAUCAUCAAGGUCAGUUUAUCAAUCAUACCAAAGGUCUCCUACAAUCAGAGCCCACUUUCCUCAUCCUUUGUGCCAAUAUUAGUCCACCUAUAUUCAACAACCUUUCAUUACUCGGACCAGUAUGCAACCACGACUUCCAUAUCCUAGAGGCAUUGGUUCUCAAUCAUUACUCAUGUUCCCACUCAUAUUUUUUACACACGUGAUCUUUAUCGAAGAGGGACAUAUUUGUAGACCCUCCAUUCUAUCUCCUUAAUAGAUGCCCUAUUAAGUGUUCUUUCAAUACUCCACAAUGGUUCCCUAGUGGCUCUUUGCUGCCCAUAUAGCCUACCUAUUUUAGCCACCUUGGAGGCUUUGGUUAAGGAAUUUAUUUGACCCCUUAUUUUGACCCUUGGCAGAAUCGAGUUAGAUUUAGGUUUUUCUUUUUUCUUUUUAGGAUAGUUCCUUUAAGUACAUUUCUAGGAUAGAAUACUUAGGCAUCAUUUUUCGAUCACCUUGGCCCAUUUAGACACUUUUGGCCAAUUUAGGCACAUCCGACCCAUUUAGGAUCACCCUAACCCAUUUAGAUACAUCUGGCCUAUUGAGAUCACCUUGACCGAUUCAGACACUUAGGUACAUCUAACUCAUUUAGGUCACCUUGGCCCAUUUAGACACACAUAGGCCCAUUUAGGCGCAUCCGACUCAUAUAGGAUCACCCUAGCCUAUUUAGACACAGCCAACCUAUUUAGGAUGACCUUGUCUCAUUUAGACACAUUUGUCCUAUUUAGGAUUACCUAGACCCAUUUAGGCACAUUCAACCCAUUUUGGUCAUCCUAGCCCAUUUAGACCACUUAGGCCCAUUUAGGCACAUUAGGCACAUUGGACCCAUUUAGGAUUACCCUGGCCUACUUAGGCACGCCUUAACCCAUUUAGGUCACUUGGCCCAUCUAGGCACAUUUGGCCCAUUUAGGAUGACCUAUGCCAAUUUAGGCACAUUCAACCCAUUUAGGUUGCCUUGGCCCAUUUAGAAACACCCAAGCCUAUUUAGGUCACUUAGGCCCAUUUAGGCACACCUUGGCCUAUUUAGGUCACUUAGGUCCAUUUAGGCGCAUUCGACCCAUUUUGGAUCAACCUGACCCAUUUAGGUAUAUUUGGCCCAUUUAGGAUCAUCGUGGCUCAUUUAAACACACCCUGGCCCAUUUAGGUCAUUUAGGUCCACUUAAGAACACAUUAACCCAUUUAGGUCACUUAGGCCCAUUUGACCCAUUUAGGAUCACCCCCAGCCCAUUUAGACAUACCCAAGCCCAUUGAGGUGACUUAGGUCAAUUUAGGCACAUUUGGUCCAUUUAGACACUUUGGGCCCAUUUAGGAUCAUCUAGGCCCAUUUAGGCACAUCCAACCCAUUUAAGAUCACCCUAGCCCAUUUAGACACAUUCGACCCAUUUAGGAUCGUCUUGGCCUAUUGUAGCACAUUUGGCCCAUUUAUGAUCACCAUGGCACAUUGGGCCCAUUUAGGGUCACUUAAGCCCAUCUAGGCACACCCUAAGCCCAUUUAGGUCACCCGUUGUUUCACUUCUUAUUGCAUGGUUUGCGUGAUUGCAUUGUUGAACUUCCUUGCAUGGCUUGCAUGACACUUUGUUUUUUUUUUUUGUUAUUAUUAAUUACUUCUUUAUUUUUAUUUAUUAUCUUUCUAUUUAUUUAUUUAUUAUUUACUUAUUUAUCUAUUAUUAUUUCAGCAUUUUCUAAAUUAUUUUUAAAUACUAUUCAUUUGUUCAAUCUAAUUUUAUUUUUGUGUUUUUGUAGGGAAAUUUACCAAAGAGAGAGCCAACGGAGAUGGAAAGUAAGAAUCACCAAAAUGAAAAAGGAAGAUAAUGGCGAAAGAGAGUAAUACUUACCAAAAAGAGAGGGGAUUGUGAGUUGCAUUAUAAAAGUAUGGAGAACACAAUUUGGGAAGUUUAUCAAAGAGAGAGCCAAUGGAGGUGUAAAACAAGAAUUACCAAAGUGAAAAAGGAAGACAAAGCGACAGAUAGUAAAACUUACCAAGAGAAGAGGGGAUUGAGGGUUGCAUUAUGAAAAUAUGGAGAACAUGUUUUGGUACUGAGAAAUUCAACACAUGGAGAAGGUUUUGGAGUAAGGAGAGGAAGGAUUUCGUCAAGGUGGAAUUUUAAGAAAAAAGGAUAUUCAAUGUGGUAGGAAGGAAUGUUUAGCAUAUUAAGGAAGAAUGUGGGGAUAGGUAGGGGGGAAGAAGAAUAAUUGCAAUUUGUUUUUUUUUUUUUGGUAGAGAGAACACUUUGGCAAAUUUUUGGGAGGUUCAACGUGCAUGUACAAUAAGAUCUCUUGAAAGAGCACGUAUAGAAGAGGGCACAAAUUUUUUUAGGAGACAAUUAGUUGCAUCUUAAAAGGGAAUUGAAGGUAAAUAUUGAUGAUGAUAUUGAUUUUAUUAGUUUCGAAAAUAUUGAUAUUAGUUUCAUGAAUAUGGAUGUUUUAGUUUAGAUAGAUAUUGAUGUUUUAGUUUUGAAAAUAUUGAUGUUUGCUAAGAUGUUUUGAUUUGGAUAAAUUUUGACAUUUUAGUUUUGAUAAAUAUUGAAGUCUUGGAUGUAUUUGCAUGUUGGUUAUAUUAAAAAAAAAAAAAAUUCCAAAAGUUUAGUUUUCAUGAAAUUGAUUGUUAGUUAUUUCUAUAAAAAAUAAAAAUAAAAAUAAAAAUAAACAUAAAUCUUGGAAUGUAAUUUUGAUUAAAUUAAUUGUUAGUUGUUUUUUUUUUAAAAAAAAUAUAUAUAUAAAUUCUUGGAAUGUUCAUUUGAAUAUUUUUUUGUUAAUUUUGUUUUAAAAAUUUAUUGGAUGAUUAGUUUGGGUAUAAUUUGUAUGUUAAUUUUAUUUUAAAAUUUCAUUGGAUGAGUAAUUUGUAUAAUUUACAUGUUAGUUUUAUUUUAAAAAUUCAUUGGAUGAUUAAUUUGUAUAAUUCACAUGUUAGUUUUAUUUUAAAAAUUAAUUGGAUGAUUAGUUCAAGUAUAAUUUUUGUUUGUUUUAUUUAAAAAAUUAAUUUGAUAAUUAGUUGAAGUACAAUUUUUGUUAGUUUUAUUUUAAAAAUUCAUUGGAUGAUUAAUUUGAAUAAUUUUUAAAUUAAUUUUAUUUUUCUAAAUUCAUUGGAUGAUUAGUUCGGGUAUAAUUAGCUUGUUUAUUAUAUUUUAAAAUUUUAUUAGAUGAUUAAUUUGUAUAAUUCACAUGUUUGUUUUAUUUUAAAAAUUAAUUGGAUGAUUAGUUUUGGUAUAAUUCUUGUUAAUUUUAUUUUAAAGAUUCUUUGUAUGAUUAAUUUGUAUAAUUUUUGUUAGUUUAAUUUUAAAUAUUCAUUAGAUGAUUAAUUUGUAUAAUUCGCAUGUUAGUUUUAUUUUAAAAAUUAAUUAGAUGAUUAGUUCAAGUGUAAUUUUUGUUAAUUUUAUUUUAAAAAUUCUUUGUAUGAUUAAUUUGUAUAAUUUUUCUUAGUUUUAUUUUAAAAAUCAAUUGGAUGAUUAAUUUGGGUAUAAUUUUUGUUAAUAUUUUUAGAAAUUAAUUGGAUGAUUAAUUUGUAUAAUUUACAUGUUAAUUUAAUUUUAAAAAUUCAGUGGAUAUUUAAUUCAUAUAAUUUGCAUGUUAGUUUUAUUUUAAAAAUCCAUUAGAUGAUUAAUUUGUAUAAUUCACAUGUUAUUUUUAUGGGAUGAUUAGUUUGGUUAUAAUUCACAUGCUGGUAUUAAUUUAAAAAUUCAUUGGAUGAUUAUUUUGAGCAUAAUUUUUGUAAAUUUUAUUGGAUGAUUGGUUUGUAUAAUUUUAAUGUUAGUAGAGUUUAAAAUUUUAUUGAAUGAUUGCUAGGUUAAAUUCCCAUGUUGAAUGUGUUUUAAAAACUCGUUAAAAAAAUUAAAUAAAAAUUCUUUGAAUGUUUAUUAGGUUAAAUUCUCAUGUGGGCAUUAUUAUUAUUAUUAUUAUUUCAAAGAUAAAAAAACAAAAAAAUCAUUUAAUGCCAUAUUUGGUUGAAUUUUCAUGUCAAUAGUUUUUUUUUAUUAAAAAAAAAAUUGUUGAAGUUUGUUAGUUUAAACGUUUAUGUUAAUAUAUUUUUAAAAUUCAUAGGAUGUUGUUGGCAUAAUUCUUAGUUGCCCUUAUCUUGAUACUUAUUGUGUUUGUUCCUUGAAGAAUUCUUAUAUUUGAUUUAAAAAAAAAAUCGAAUUGAAAAUUACUUUUUGAAAAAAAAAAAAGGAGAAAAGAAAAAAAUUGAAUUUUUUCCAUAUUGAACGAGGCUUCUUGAUUUCAAAUGGAAGACAAUAAAAAAGAAAUAAAAAUCCUUAUUGUGUAUAUAUUGUUUGAGGUUUACUAAUUCACUUGAUCCUUUUUUUCUUCUUUGAAAAAGAAAAAACCAUCUUCAAAAGUAUUUAAACCGUCAAAAGGAUUUGGAAACAAAUACUCAUUCUAGGUUUAAGGACCAUAUUUUAUUUUCAAAUCAUGCAUUCUACUAUUUUAUUUUCAUCUAAGCUGCAUUCUACUUUUUUUUUUUUCUUCCAAAAUGUUGUUUUUUAUUCCACAUAGAUUUGAAUGUAUUAGAUAAUUUUGAAGAUGGCCACCUAACACAUGCGACCCAUCUCUAAAACCUUUCUAAAAUAAGAAAGUCAUCCAAGAAAAUAAAAAUAAUAUAAGAAAAAGGCAAAGUUGUUGCCUUUUUUUUUUUUUUUUUUUUUUUUUUGGGCCUGUAUUUAUUUAUUAAUUUAUUUUUGUCAAUCUCCUACAAGAUCAUAUCCCACUUACCCCCUUACGCAGCAAGAAGAGCGCGUGGGACACCCACUUCGACCCCACAACUUUAUGAUGAAUCUGAACCCUGUGGACAAUAAUACCACGUGCAUACGAGCCUGUAACACUCAUUUAUGGGUUUAAAUUCAUUCAAAUGAGUCAGUAGUAAAAGCUAUGAAAUAGAUCGAACCCCACCUUCUUUUUCGUUUUUAAAUUUUCUGGGGUCCCUCAGUUACUUUACAGAAGGUGGCAGAGAAAGAGAGAGAGAGAGGAGUUAUUAGAGUUACAGACGAACAAUCACUUUCAAUGCUGUUGUCUUCUUGUUGUAAGGGUAAAAUAAGAGGCAAACAAAUUAAUGAAUUCAUUAUCUUACCUUUCUAUUCAAAUGCCUUCCAAGAAAUGUUUUGAGAGCUUUGAGUUUAGUCUAUAAUAAUGGUAGUAUAUUUCAAUGAAUAUGCGUUCUAGAAAAAUAUAUACCUUUAGCAUAUACCAAGAUAUCCUAGGGUUUCAAGUCGUGUUACAACGGGGAAGUAAUAACCAAUCAAAACACAUGACUUUGUUUUCUAAAAAAUCACUCUUCUUGGAAAACAUGCAAGGAACUUAAGCAUCAUAAGUUAAGCAAUCCUAGAUGGAUGUUCGAGUAUCCAGCUCUUUUCUUUAAUCCUAGAUGGAGAGAGACAACAUCUGCUCUCUCUCCAGCAUGCAAGUGUGCGUCCUAGGCAGCUCUUUUGUGCUUUAAAUGAAUUGAAUACUUGAUCUUAUUCUGCCAUUGUUUUGGCUCAAACCUAGGAAGUAUAUUUACCCUGACUUCUUUUCAUGUCUUCAACUUACUUAAAGGCUCACAAGUCCCAUUGGAAGCAAGCAGUUAAGGAUUUUUGAACUAAAAUGAUCAAACAUAGUCUUGCUUUACUAGUAGGUUAUACUCUUUUCAACAGUUUAAAUUGCUUUUGUUGAUAGAUUAUAUGGAUGUUUUAACACUCCAAGAAAUUGGAAUGAAGCAAAAUAUGAAGAAAGAAGAAAUGACUGUCAAUGGAUAUAUUUAUUCUCUUUUAUUUCUAUUGAUACUAAAAUUUUUAGGGAUAAAGGAAUUGUUACUGUUGUCCAAAUAUUUAAAAUUCAUCUGGAUCUGCAAGAAACCUGCAAGGGAAUAUUUUCUUAGAAAUAAUGGUUUAAAUAAGGAAAAGAAAAUAUAUAGAUGAAUUGACUGAAGGUUGCAGACAAGGGACCAACGACCAGGUAAUGGAAGACUGGAGAAAGGGAUUCAUCGGUUUGAUUUUUCUCCCAGCUGGCCCAGUUGUUUAUUUCAAAGUGCAGUUUAGAACAACUUUCAACAUUUGAAUAAGGAAAAGAAAAUAUAUAGAUGAAUUGACUGAUUCAAAGGGCAUAUUACAGUCAGUCUGUGCGUAACAGGGCGGGUGACUUCAAAUGGAUACACUGAGGUCUAUCUGUGCGUGUUAGGCAUUCAUGAACCUGUUUUCUUCGGUCAAAGAGCUGCCAAUACAAGGAAAAAAAAAAUGGCGAAAAUUAAGUAAAGUAUGACUUCUGGAAGAUUUAUCGCCUUCGUAAAUGAAGUGAGAGUUUUGACCGAAUUGAAGUAAAAAAAUUAAAUGCAAAACUUCCACUAAAGCUUGGCAUCAUUUUUCAAGGUUCUUUGUCAAUCCCUCAUUCUCCAGAACCAUGGGAUUGGUAGAGAAACUCAUUCUUCUCAACCAUGGCUCUUAACCAAUGGUUAAUUACCUUGCAACAAUGCAUGAUAUUAUUGAUGAAUUGGACCUUCUUAGAGAAGCCAUUCCAAAUUAAUAACUCAUCACUUACACAUGCAAACGUGUCGCCCCGAAUUCAAUGAAUUGUUGUUAUAUGCACACGAGAUACUAUGAUCACAUUUGAUGAGUUUCAUGACAAAUUAGUCGAAUAUGAAGCCUUCCUCAUGUAGCUUAAAACCAAAUAUGUCAUCAAAGAAGAUAGCAAUAAUCACCCCCACACAAUGAUAUCUAUUAUAAUACAUUAGCUGUAUCGAACACAAAUUUCCUUCAAUAUGUGUCUCAAUAUUAAAGUCCACGUAGAAUCAGGUGUGCACCAUAUUGGGGUUGGAUAGUUAUAAGACUGAAAGGAGCAUGAGCAUAGGAUGGCGAAAGUUCAAAUGAGAAGCGUUGUAAGAUCAUUGCCAAAGCUGUUUUUGCCUCCAUCAUUGCAAAAUUUUGUCCAAUGCACACCCGAGGACCCCAACCGAAUGGUAAAAAUGAAACUUGGUUUUUUGUUGCCUUUGAAACUCCUUCAGCAAACCUCUCUGGAUUAAACUCCUUUGCAUCGUCUCCCCAAAUUUCAUGAUCAUGGUGAACUAGGAUGGUGGGCAAAGAGACCUGCACUCCGGCUGGAAAAUACAUGUCUCCCACUUGAGUGUCCUUAGAAACCAUUCUGGUAAGCACUGUUACUGGUGGAUAUAACCUAAGAACCUCAUGAAAAAUCAUGGUAACCUGUGGUAGAGAAACUUUAGAAGUUGUAGCAUGAAAAUUGUUACUGAAAUACAUCUUAAAUCCUUAUGAAGGACACUGACGGAUAAAGGAAUUGUUUAAAAUAGUAAUGCAGAAGAGAUAUUGGUCUAAAUCAUGCAUGGCAUGAUGUCAAGUAUACAAAGGAUAUAAUAAUUUUAGAACCUCAUGAAAAAUCAUCAUAAUCUAGAGAAAUUUCAAGUCAUGGCAUGAGAAUCCAUUCCUGAACUAUAAGUAAAUGAAAGAAAAUGUUCAGUACAAGAUAAAAAAAAUAAAAAAAAAGUUAUGCGUUUUCAUUUUUACUCCAUUUAUUUUUCUCUUUUUUUUUUUCCUUUUGUGUGUGUGUGUGUGAGGGUGGGGGUGGUGGGUGGAAUAGAGUGGACUGAGUACUCACAAUUUUUAGGUGGUUUAAGCCAUCAUUUUCAGGUUUGUUAUUCCCAAAAACCUGUAAAACCUCUUCUCUUGCACGAGCUUGCCAGUCUGUAUGUUGGCUUAGCAGGACCAUUGUCCAUAAAAGCAAAACUGAGGUUGUCUCUUGGCCAGCAAGAUAGAAUAGCUUACAUUCAUCAAUGACAUCUUUGGCACUCAUUCCAAUCUUCGUGUUAUUUUGAUGUUCUUGAAUUUCUCUAAAAUUGGAUUCCAUUAAUAUACCUAAUAAGUCACUAUUAGCAGUUUCGCCAGCCUCCAUUGCCUUCUCCCUUUUGUUGAUGAUGCCCCCCAACAAUGCAUGUACUUCUUUGCUUAUUUGCUUCAUCCUCUUGUUCGUCUUUGUGGGAAAAAACCUGCAACUUAGUAAUUCCAGUAAAUAAAAGAUCACAUGAAGAACACUGACAUUAAUUUUUUGAAGCUUGUAUAACACUUCAUAGGCAGAAACUAUCAGACAAUAACUAAUGGUUUCAUCUACACAUGUAUUGCGGUGGCAUCUUAUCAUCUUGGCACAAUAUCUGGCCAACACAAGGCAUGGGGAUGCUAGACCUCAAUUUAUGAAACACACUACUUUCUAAGUGCUACACAGAAAGAACAGAAAGAACAGUCCUAGUAAAUGAAGUAUAAAGGCAUGAAAACAUAAAAUUGUCCAGGUAAAUGAAGACAUGCAAUGAAGAAGAAAACUAUUGCAGGCUACACAAAUCACAACCACAUAAAUCAACCACCCACCCAUUUUCAAACUUCCAGCUCUCAUGCACUGGCACAGUUCGGUCCUCUUAAAGAUUAAAGUAGGCAUCUAAAAUUUUAUUGGUUUCAAGGAAGAGAACCUUUUUAUUCUAAAUAUUUAAUAGUAGAUUCCUUUCUUAGCUUACCAGUAUAUAUAUAAAUUACUCAGGACCUUAAGAAGUUGAUAUUAUAAUUUAAACAAUGUUAUAUCAUGUGUAUUAGGAGAGAACCAAUCUCACCCACAAAUAAAGAGCACUCAAUUGUCAAUUCUUAAGUUUAUGACUAAUAUAUGUAUACUUAUAUAGUUUAUGUAUCUUUUGGAAAGUCAUGUGUAUAUUUAAAAGAUUAUAGUGUACACCAAUAAUAAUAUACCUGCACCAUUCAUCUAUGCACCUCCUAGAGCUCCCAUGAGUUCUUUUUUUCUCCUUCAUCCUACGUUUCACCAUGGCUGAAGCAAGCUCAACCAGGCUAUCCCACCUUCCCUUACCUAUCAAUACCACCAUGAACCUUAACAAUCUCAUUGCCAUCAACACAAUUAGCUAGCCAACUUCUACUCAAGCUCAUCCUCACUAACUAUUACUCAUGGAAAACAUAGUUUGGUGCACUGCUCUUUGGAUAUGACCUACUUGGCUACAUUGACGAAAUAAAGCAAGGACAAACAAAUCUCAAUCCUAACUAUACUUUUUGGACAAGUAGGACAAACUUCUUCUUCUAGGGAUCAUCGGCUCUCUCAGCCACAAAGUCGUACCUGUGGUUCAUUCAUGCAAAACUUCCACUAAAGCUUGGCAUCAUUUUUCAAAGCUAUGUCAAUCCCUCAUUCUCCAGAACCAUGGGAUUGGUAGAGCAACUCAUUCUUCUCAACCAUGGCUCUUAACCAAUGAUUAAUUACCUUGCAACAAUCCAUGAUAUUAUUGAUGAAUUGGACCUUCUUAGAGAAGCCAUUCCAAACCAAUAACUCAUCACUUACGCAUGCAAACGUGUCACCCCCGAAUUCAAUGAAUUGUUGUUGUUAUAUGCACACGAGAUACUAUGAUCACAUUUGAUGAGCUGCAUGACAAAUUAGUGGAAUAUGAAGCCUUCCUCAUGUAGGAAGAGCUUCGCUCCACUAGCAAUCUUGGUACCAUUAAAGUCAACAAUACACAAUUUUCAUCUUCCCAUUGUGACAAAAACGCUAGCCAAAAAUAUUUCCCUAGUAGGAAAGGAUACCAAGGCCAGCGUCCUCCUCAUUUUGGGAAUCAACACCCCAGCAAGAAAGCCACUAUGAUUUGCCAAUUCUCUGAGAAGAAAGGUCAUACUGCUUGCUAGUGUUACAUUUCUAAGAAAUUGUUCCUUUCAUCCACACCUACUACUAGUCCAAUUAUCCCCACAAACAACUCCUUAACCAAUUGGUUCGUAGAUAUCAGUGCCUCACAUCUUGUUACAUUUUAUCUUAACAACUUGUCUCUCUGCCAACCAAUGAAUCUUGUCAUUAAUAUUUUUCACAUUUCCUAUACUUGGAGGGUUGUUCCAAGAUUAAAUAAAGUAUUUUCCCAUGCUAGUCUAAAUAUAGUCUUUUCCUUUUCUUGGAGGGUUGUUCCAAGAUUAAAUAUGCUCAGUUUCAGAAUUGAGAGGACUUUUUCAUAUUGCUAAGAAAAAAACUUGUGAGUUUGAUUUUUCUAUCAAAGGUUUAUCUCUAAGGUGGAUUCCUCUGAGUGGUGAGCUUAAUUGUGAGUUCUUAUCUGUAAGGUGAUGAAUUUCUUAUCCUUAAAAGUGGUGAACUUGUGUUAUUAGCUCAUCAUUUUAUUUCCUUAAAACGGUAUCAUUUUGUGUUGGAAAAUGUAGUUACAAGCUUCCUUCAAGUUUCUCAUGUAUCAACCCACAAUCAACUUGUAGAUAUACUCAACAAACCAUUGCCCAAGUCCCACUUUACAUUCUUUCAGUCCAAGAUUGGCGUUUUUUAUGGAAGCACCAUCUUGCAAGGGCAUAUUAGGAGAGAACCAAUCUCACCCACAAAUUAAGAGCACUCAAUGGUGAAUUCUUAAGUUUAGGAGUAAUAGAUGUAUAGCCUUGUAUAGCUGUUGUAUCUUUUGGAAAGUCAUGUGUAUAAGAUUGUAGUGUACACCAAUACUAAUAUACUUUCACCAUUCAUCUAUUUACCUCUUUAAUGUGGAAUGACAACUGCACCAAAAGAUACUUUGGUGCCUAUACAUCCAUUAGUUUUUCAAUUAAACUGUUGAACAAAUGCCAUGAAUUGAGGUACUUUUGAGAGAUAAGAAAGCUCUUACCUUCAUCAAUUAAGCAAUGAAUGAAGGUACUUUUGAGAAGAUUUUCAGUGCAACCAUAACCAAGGAAGUAUGAGAGAUAUUACAUUUUAAGUACACAUAACAAAGUUAACAAUACACAAAAGGUUAAUCUUCAAACUCUUAAAAGAGAAUUUGAAAGUUUGAGUGUGAAAAAAAAAAUUGAAUUAAUCUCUAAUUAUUUUUCUAGAGUAUUAGAUGUUGUGAGUUUACAAUAAAAAUAUGUCAAAAGUUUGAAUGAUAGUUAUGUGGUAAAAAAAUAUGUUUAAUCUUUAGAUUCCAAAUAAGUUUAACUAAAUUGUUGUUGUCAUUGAAGAAUCUAAACAUUUAGAUUCUAUGACCAUUGAUAAACUCAUGAGACCACUAUAAGCUCAUAAAAAGAGAUUAAAAAGAAAUAACUAAGAAAAAUUGCAGCUUUUUUAAGCAAAUUAAACUUACACUAAAGGAGAAUGAUGAAAACAUUAGUUAAAGAAGUCAAAACAAUCAUGGAUAUGUCGAAGACGUGGUCAUAGACAUGGCUAAGACAAUAGAAGAAGAGAUAAGUUUAAUUUAUCAAACAAUGAAAUAACAAGUCAAAAUUCACAUUCCUUAGGAGGACAUGAAAGAUGACACAACUUAAGGCACAGUAAAAGAAGAGGAUAUGAUAAAUUUCAAAUUGAAUGUUAUAAUUAUAAAAAAAUAUGGUCAUGAUGCUUAUGAAUAUAGAAAUGCUACAAACAAUAUGAAAAGACACCUCCAAGGUACUAAAAAUAAAGAUCAAGAAGAACCAACCUUAUUAUUGGCAUAUAAAGGAGAAAGCUAGGAGAAAAUUACAUGGUAUCUUAACCUCUAAGUAAAAUCAUAUGUGUGGAUUCAAAAAUGUGUUUGUAGAGCUUAAUGAAUUUGAAAGUGGCAAUUUUGCCUUUGGGGCUACAUGUAAAAUUCCAAUAAAAAGAAGAGGUAAAAUCUUGAUUCAUAUGAAAAUGGAAGGCAUAUUUCAAAUGUCUACUAUGGUGUAACAUGGAAAACAAUAUAUUAAGUUUAGGUCAACUCUUAUAAAAGGGCUAUGAUAUUUAUCUCAAAAAUAAAAGUGUCUUAAUAAGAUACUAACAUGCCAAUAUAAUUGGUAAUGUGCCCAUGAUAUAAUGUUUUUGAAUAACAUUCAAAAUAAUAUUGUAAAAUGCCUAAAAUCUCAUGUCAAUAAUUCCUCUUGAAUUUGACACUUAUGAUUUGAACAUCUUAAUUUUAGAGGAUUGAAAUUGUUAAGCAUGAAAAACAAUGAAAUAAUUGUUCUUUAAUAAUUUGUGUCAAUUGUGUGAAAGAUGUUUACUCAGAAAAUAUGUCUAAAAAAGUUUUCCAAAGGAAGAAACAACAAGAGAAGAAGCUUUCAGUGCUCAUUAAUGUGGAUAAUCCAGUUUUAAUUUUUAUGGGUGAUUCUAGUAAAAAAUAAAAAAUAAAAAAAUUUGGUUGUAUCUUUAGCUCAAAAAUUUGUUGAAGAAACUUAAUUUACCACAAGAGAAACCAAUAAACAUCUAUAUGAAUAUAAAAUUGGUGAUUGCCUUAGAAAAGAUAUCUAGUUCUCCAUGAUUGAAGCAAGUAUAUUAAUACAAAAUAUCAUUUAUUAGAAAGUAUAUUAUGAAACAUGAAGUACACAUAAAAUUUGCAAAAUCUCAUAAUCAAAAUUUGAAAAUGCUUAUAGAGCCUCUCAAGUUUAAAGAUUUUAGAUAGCUAAGGAUGCUACUUUUACAAAUCAAGUUGAAAAGGGCAUGUAAGUUUAACUAUAUUUAGAAAGUUUCUAAAAAUUAGAAUUUGAGUCUUUCUAAAUAUUAAUUAAAAUAUUUUAUAUUAAAAGGUUGAUUUAGUUUCACCCUUAGAAUCUAAGCCUUUCAAAGUGCCAAUAGUUGUUAGUUGUAGAUAAGGCUUUCCUUUUUACAGCUCUGGGUUCUAAUCUAUAUAACCUCCUAAUGGUACAAAGUGCACCUUUUUCAUAGAGGCAAGUAGUAACCUAUUGUUAGCCCCUUGAAAUGGACUAUGAGGCACUAAGGCCUCAUGGGGCAAUAGCUUCACAUCAUGAGUAACCUAUGAUGGCAAUAAGGUGGCACAGGGGUACAAUUCCUUGUGCAAGGAGAUGGCUUGGUGAGCCAUGGGCGUAAUGCCAUGAUAGGUACAACACUAAAAGAGACUUAGAUGAGCAUAUUGUUGUGGUGACUUAGAUGAAAUACAUGAGGGUGCAAUGCCUUGUGCAUGGGGAGUCAUAGGUGCAAUGCCAUGACAUGUUGCCAGACCAAGAAGAGGGUUUGGGCAAAGCAUAGAGUCACAACAUCAACAAGGUGAAUGUCGGAGCAUGUUGCCUCAACAUGGAUGCAAUCUAGAUGUGUAGGCCAAAAGAGAACUUAACAUGCACAUGAGCCAUUUAUAUAGAUUCCUACAACAACAACAUUCAAAGUUGGACUCGAAGUAGGAUUGCAAGUCAAGCAUGAGUAGGAGUCUUGAUGUGAAUUGUAAUUGUAGUAUGAUUAGGACUAGGACUUAGAGUCUACGUAAGAGUGUUUAUUUCCAUAACCUAUUAAGAAAAGUCCUUAUAUAACUAGGAGUAAAACUCCUAGUCUAACAGAGAGCAGGUGGUGCCACUCUAUAAAUAGGGAGGGUUGGAUAGACUUUAGAGAGAGAUCAAGAGGAAGCCUGAACUACCAAAAGUAUUGUGGAAGUGUAGCUAAAGUCUUGUAUUCUUAUUCAAUAAGUUAAUAAAAUAUAAUUUAGGGUUGAUGCCCUAUAAAUCUUGUGUAUUGCCUUGCGUGUUGUCAUCUAGUGGGGAAAGGUGUAGGUUAGCUUAGAGAGCUUCUAAGUAUUUGCAUAGAUGUGAAAGUUUAUGUGGGAAUUUUGCACCUAUGACAAUUGGUAUCAGAGACUAACAAGCAAAUGGUUGGGGGAAGUACUAUAGAGACCUUAAGAGAAAGGAGCUCAAGACUAGAAGAAUUGUUAGGGGAAUAACAAGGUGAUAAGUUGGUUGGCUUGAGAAUCCUUGAAACAAUUGAAGCACACUAGUUCAACAUAGGAGUAUAUCGAGGAAUUUAGUUCCUUAAUGCUCGACAUAAAAAAUAUGUCCAAUGAGGACAAAUUGUUCAACUUCAUGUUUGGAUUGUAGGGAUGGGCCUAAAUUGAGUCACAAAGAUAAUGGGUGUGAGAUCUUUCUAUUAUAAUCAUUGCAACAGAUUGUUUGGUAGUCUAUAAGUUGAAUGGUGUGAACUCUACAAAUCAGAAACCUAAACUAGAUGGAGCAAAGAAACCUAAUAAAGAGGGGAAAUCUUCUAAGAAGUCAUAUGAGAAGAAUUUGAAAAAGCCUGCAGCAUCGUAAUCGAAUGAAAAAACUACUAAGUAUGGGUAGCAAACAACCAAACCCAUGGGUUGAUUCAUUUGCAUGGCCCUCACUGUGCUAAGAAGUGUCCAAAAUGGGAAAAACUAUCAGCCCUUAUGGCUACUAAAAGUAGUGGUGAUUCUGACAUGGAUACACCUUUAAGAGUUAAUCCUUCAUAGCUCUUGAACAUAAUCCACGCAAAUGCACUAAUUCAAAAAGGGUUGAUUCAUGUCCAAGUGCUAGUAAAUGGCAUGUAGGUAAAACCAAUGAUGGACAGAAGGGCAACCCAUAAUUUUGUGGCUAGUAAGAAGCCAAGAAGCUCAGUUUGGAACUAGAACAAUACACUAUUAAGAUCAAGGCAAUAAAUAGCAAAGCCCAACAAAUUAAUGACAUUACCAAAAAAGUCUCACUCUAAGUCGGAAAUUGAGAAGGCAACUAUAGCUUGCUAUGUGUACCCUUAAACGAUUUUGAUUUGAUCUUAGGGAUCGACUUUUUCCUUAAGGCUAAGCCGGCAUUGCUCCCAUACCUUGGUAGGUUAAUGAUCAUGGAUGAGAGUCAACCUUGGUUAUUUUUUCUAUAAAGGAAAAAGUCAUAGAGAAAGGUCAAACCAAGAUGGUUUCUACGCUUCAAAUAAAGAAAGGGUUGAAGUGUGGGAAUGUCACGUAUAUUAUAACCUUGGUUGAGAACAAAGCAGAUCAUUCAAUGGAGGUGCCACAUAGUGUAGCCCAUAAUAAAAAAGAAUUUAAAGAUGUGAUGCCUACAAAAAAACCCAAGGAGUUGCCUCCUAAGCACCAUAUAGACCAUAAAAUUGAGUUGCCACCUAGGACCAAACUUCCUACUGAUCAGGUCUCAUAUUGGAUGUCACCUUCGAAUUACUUGGGUUAAGGAAGUAAUUGAAGAAACUGUUGGAUGCAGGCAUGAUCCAAUCUUCAUGGGUUCCCUAUGGUACUCCUAUUCCAAAAGAAGGAAGAUGGGACCCUAUAGAUGUGUGUUAAUUAUUGGGCCUUGAACAAAGUAACGAUCAAGAACAAGUAUCCAAUCUCCUUAGUGGUAGAAUUAUUUAAUAAAUUGGCCAAGGCAAAGUUUUUCUCCAAAUUGGACUAGUGGUUAGGAUACUAGCAAGUAAGGAUUUUAGAGGGGAACGAAAAAAAGACUACAUGUGUAACCCGCUAUGGGUCAUAUCAGUUCCUCAUGAUGCCAUUCAAACUAACUAAUGCCUCAAUAACAUUCUACAACCUAAUGAAUGAUAUGCCAUACGAGUUCCUAGAUGCCUUUGUUAUGGUUUGCUUCAAUGCAUUAUUGUUUAUAGCAAGACCUUAGAAGAGCACGUGAAUCACUUGAGACUAGUGUUUCAAAGACUAAGAGAACAUGAAAUCUACGUGAAGAGAGAGAAGUGUGAGUUUGCACAAAGGCAUAUUACCUUUCUAGGAUGUAAGAUAGAGGAAGGGUUGAUCGAGAUGGAUGAAGUGAAGGUCCAGGCCAUUAAAGAUUGGCAUGCUCUAAGCAAGGUGACACUGGCAAACUACUAUUGAAGGUACAUAAGGGGUUACUUCAAGAUAGUGGCUCCCUUUACUAACCUUCUAAAGAAGGAUAUUUGCUAGGAUUGGGGGUUUGAAUGCUAGAAAGCUUUUGACAAGUUGAAAGUGGUGAUUUUAGUUAAAUUGGUGCUACAUUUACUAGAUUUGGAUAUCCUAUUUGAGGCCCAAACAAAUGCAUCAACUAAGGCCUUGAACUUGGUGCAAGAAAGGCACCCAAUAGCCUUUGAGAGUCAAAAACCUAAUGAGUUAGAACAAAGAUACUCCACUCACGAGAAAGAGAUGACAACGAUUAUCCAUUGCUUAUAGUAGUGGAAGCAUUAUCUAUUGGGGAGUAUAUUUACUAUAGAUGGUCACAGACAACAUAGUUAAUACCUUUUUCAAGAUGCAGAAGGAGUUGAGCCCUAAGCAAGCUAGGUGGCAAGAAUUCCUUGGCGACUUCAAGUUUGAAUGGUUGUAUUGACGAAAAAGACAUAAUGUAGUUGUAAAUGCCUUGAACCAAAAGGAAUUAACAGAGUAUGUAAUCACUCAAUCACAUAUGAUUUCAUAUUUUAAUGAGAAGAUCAAGCAAGCUGCUAAGCUUGAUUCUACUUAUGAGAAUAUGAAACAACAAUUCAAAGAGGGGGCUACUAAAAAUUUUUGGCUAGAAGAUGACCUCUUGGUGGCUAAAAGAGGUAGGCUAUAUGUACCAAGAAGUUGCUUACAUAAGGAGUUGCUAAGAGUGGCCUAUGAUGUCAAGUAGACAGGUCACCCUAGCAAAGAGAUGACAUCAAUAGUAUUGUCCAACUACUAUUACUAGCUAAAAAUAGGAUAGGACAUCCAGACUUAUGUUCUAUAUUGUUUGAUAUGCUAGUUGGAUAAGACAGGCAAGAAGAAAACAAUAAGGUUACUACAACCUCUCCCUAUCUUAAAGAGACCUUAGAAUAACAUAUCUGUGGACUUCAUCGGUGGCUUUCCAAAAGUGAGGGAAUUCAAGUCUAUCUUCAUGAUAGUAGAUAGACUCUCUACGUAUGUUGUUUUCAUACUUACACCACAUGCAUGUCCCGUAGAGGAGGUGACUAGGCUAUUCUUCAACCAUGUGGUCAAGUACGUACUUCAAGUUGCCUAAAGACAUAGUCAGUGAUUGUGAUGCUCGAUUCAUUGGUCAAUGUUGGACUGAGUUGUUUAAACUCCUAGGAUUGAAGUUGAAGUUCUAAAAAACAAAUGAUUCGUAGAUAGACGGGCAAACAAAGUGUAUCAAACUUAAGGAAUACCUCAGACACUAUGUUUUUAUAACACAAAAGAACUGGAUUGAUCUAGUGGAGAUAGCUCAUUUAUCCUAUAACUUGCAUAAGAGUUCAAUAAUAGGGUUGAGUCCCUUUGAAUUGGCUAUAGGGCAACCACUAAUUAUGCCUUGGAGAUGUUUAAGCAAAAGUUUGGUGGUAAUUGUCUUAUAGCUUAUAAAUUUGCAAGGUCUUGGCAGCAGAUGCUCGAUGAAGCUUGUAAAAGCUUAGAGAAGGCAUUUACAAAAAUGAAAAAGUAUGCGGACAAGGGCCGAAGACCCUCAUAAUUUAGAUUGGGGAUAGGGCCCUUCUAAACCCUCAUAUAUGGAAUAAAAUUAGCAGUAAGACUAUGUAGAGGGUGUUGAUUCCCAAAUAUGAUGGACCUUUCAAGGUGAUGUAGAGGGGGAUAAGUAGCUUACAAAUUGAAGUUGCUGGAUAGGUUAAAGAUAUACCUCACGAUCCAUGUGAGCUUCUUAAAGCCUUACCAUGAAAACCUAGACUCAAGAAGGAUACCAACAAGGCGAGUGAUUAGAAAGAAAUUUGAUCGCGAGUGAUAUCAACAAGGUAGAGAAGAUAUUAGAUCAUUGAACUGUGGGAAUGAGUAAGAAAAAUUGAAGAAUUGAUUUUCUAGCUUAGUGGAAGGAUAGUCUUGAAUUAGAGGCUAGUUCGGAAUGAGAUGUAAUGCUCUGGAAAUUUAAGGAGGUAGUCUAAGCCUACCCAUAGUCCAAGUCAAUGAGAGCAUCAACUACAUCAAGUAGAAGUGGUUUGUUAGCCCCUUGACAUGGACCAUGCGAUACUAAGGCCUCAUGGGGUGACACCUUGGCCUCUUGAGUGACCAAUGACAACAACAAGGUGGUAUAAGGGUGCAAUGCCUUAUGGAGGGAGAUGACUUGGUGAACCAUGGGCACAAUGCCAUGGUAAGUGUAGUACUAAGAGAGACUUGAAUGGGCAUAUCAAUGGGGGGCAACGAAGCCAACUUAGAUGCAAUACAUAAGGGGUGUAAUGCCUUGUGCAUAGGGAGUCAUGGGUGCAAUGCCAUGAACUAAGAAAAGGGCUUGGGCAAGGCACAGAGCUGUAACAGCAACAAGGUGGAUGUAGGAGCAUGUUGCCUUGACACAAAUGCAAUCUGAACAUACAAACCAAAAGAGGGCUUAUCAUGCACACGAGUCAUAUAUAUAGAUGCACACGGUAGUAGCAUGAAGAGUUGGACUUGAAGUGGGAUUACAUAUCAAGCAUGAGUAGGAGUCUUGAUGCCUAAUGUAAUUAUAGUCUAAGUAGGACUAGUACUCAAAUUCCAUGUAGGAGUGGUUACUGCCACAACCUAUUAGGACAAUUCCUAGUAGAACUAAGAGUAGCACUACUAGUCUAAUAAGGAGUGGGUGGCACCACUUUAUAAAUAGGAAGGGUUGGAGAAACUCUUGAGAGGGAUCUAGAGAAGGAAAUCAUAAGGGAGGUCAAAACUCACCGAAGCUAUUAUGGAAGUCUGGCUAAAGUCUUUUAUUCUUAUUUAAUAAGUUAAUAAAAUACAAGUUGGGAUUGGUGCCUUGUAAACCUCAUGUGUUGCUUUGCAUGUUGUUGCCAUCUCAUGGGGGAAGGUGUAGAUUGGCUUAGAGAGCUUUUAAAUGCCACAUAGACAUGAAAAUUUAUGUGGGAAUUUUGUGCCUAUGACACAUAACCUUUAAAAGUCUAUUCAAGGGGGACCCUUCAUCUCCCUUCAUAUAUUUAAUUAUUUGCCUGUUUUUUCAACCCUAUUAAUGCAACAUAGGUGAAUUUGCCCGAUGGUUUAUAAGAAAAUUCAUGUCAGUUAUGUUCAACAUGUUAAAUUCUACUAGGCUUAUGUAUCGGUAUGUAGAUUAUAGCUUCUUCCCCUAAGCCCAAAUUUUUCUUUGGUUUCAUGGUGUUAACAUUUCAUGAAAGUAAAUGCUCCAUUGAAGAAUAAAUUUACCUAAAAUUGAAUAUGGUGUGCUAGGACAUAGAGAUUUAUUAAAUGUUAGGAAAAUGUAAGGGUGACUUGAAACCUAAAUUUGAGCAAAUAAAAAGUCUAUUUAACAGUGCUUUUAGAAAACACUUACAUUAUAGAAAAAAAAACAUUUUUGAAGAAAAACCAAAUGUUUGACCAAAUUUAGAAAAUACUUUUAAAAAGUUCAAAAUUAAAUUAUUUGUAAUGCUUCUUGGAGAAACACUUCACAUAUUAUUCUUCCAAAAAUACUUCUAGAGAAAACCCUUCCACUAAAAGCACUUAAAAUAGAAACUCAAGCAAAUCUACUCUAAAUCUGCCGAAGCACUGCUAAAAUAAUGAAAAAACAAGCAGACUCCUGUAUAUUCAUAAAACUGAGCAGCAUAUUUCUUGAAAUAUUAUAUGAUUUUAUGCAUACCUCCAUCCUGGGAUAUAAACUGACAUUGCAACCUUGAUUGCAAGAUAUGUCUGUUCUUUCUGGAGUUGGAAUAUCCUUCUUCCUUCUUCGUAGCUACUGCCAAAUGCUGUCCGAGAAAUCACAUCCCCUGUCAAAUUUUCAAGAUAGGGCCAAACAUCCAACUCACAUGAUCCCUUCACCGAAAGCUUCUUCCAUUUGUUCAACAUGUCGCUACAACUCAAAUGAAAUGCCGGUAACAUAUUCUAUAACAAGUUCAACCACAAAAUAAAUUAAUAAAGACGAAGAACAUCUCUUCGUUGGUAAAAUUAUGGAAACGGCCCAUUGGAGAAAGAGGGAAAAAGACUCUAUAUGAGUAUGUGAAAAAGAAAGGGAAAAAGAAAGGAAACAGUAGGACACUUGGUAUGUGAAAAACUAGUCACCAGUACUUCAUUAAAAUGACUGAAAUAUUUGGGAAUUCUGAUGUUUAUACAGGUUUUUAUAGGAUUAAAAAUAAUUUUUCAAUUACUUCCAUAUUUAAAAAUAAAAAAUAAAAAAAAUUAGAAAGUUUUCUGGAUGGAAAGCUAGGUUAAUGAUCUUUCUGGAAACUAAGGUAAAAUAUUGUCGUUUGAAAACUGGGCAUUGAAAAUUACCUUCAACUUUUCUGGAUGGAAAACUGGGUUGAUCAUCUUUCUACGUUUGGCCCAUUGUUCACCUUCCAAAACCACUAGACCAGAAACCAGCAACUUGACCAACGGGUGUGAGGGUGUCUUUUGAAAGAUAUUGGACUUCAACAAAACAUCCCUCAUUAGCUCAGGCUCCAUAAUGUUUACCCUUGGACUUGGACCCACCCAUGUAAAGAAAUUUUUUCCUGCAUGUUUAUGCCAUUAUUGGAUAGUGUUAGUCCGGAUUGCUUUUAGUUUGGAUAAUUGUUUUAAAGACCGACUGGUUUGAGCAGUCAGACCGUCGACUGAAAGCAAAUUUGAUCCGGAUCAGCAAUUGAGCCGGUAGGGCUAUUGAACCGCCAUCGAACCGGACGACCCAGCCGUUGAACCAUUGACCUGGUGAACUGGGUCGCCGGUUUGGGCCUGGACCUAUCUCUAAGUGAAACUCUUUCGGCCAAAAUGGGCCAUGGUUUUAGGUUGAAAUUGGGCGAGUGGGCUACCGCUUGGGCCACUCACAGACAUCCACACUCAGGGCAAGCCGACUAUAUAAAGAGAUGUUUAUUCCUCAUGCCAUUCAGAUAUGGGACUAACUUGGGAAAAUUAGGAUAUCAUGACUAUACUAUUUAUGCCUUAUGUAAACAUUUCCACAACACUAGCUUAAAAAAAAAAAAAAAAAAAAAAAAUCUUCCCAAAAUUUUUAUAAUAAUAAAAAUGCAAACAAUUUAAAGUAAACUAAUAUAAUUUUUUAAAAACUAUAAAAUAAUAAGGUGUAUAACUUUUAAUAUCUUUAUAUAUAUAUAUAUAUAUAUAUAUAAAUUAAAUAACUUCACAUCUAAAUAUUUUAUAUAUUUUAUUUAAGAAAAUCUUAAAAUAUUAAUACAUCUACAUAUUAAUUUAAUAAUAUUAAAUAAAAAAUAAAUAUUAUUAUUUUUUAAUUUCUUUAUAUAUUUAAAAUAUUUUAAAUUUUAAUAAUAUAUAAAUUACAUAUUUAUGAUAUCAUUGAUUUGACAAUCAGUUUAAUCAGUGAAUCGUAAGUUGUUAACUUUUUUGGUUUAAUAAUCAAUCCAAUUCUAAAACCGUCGAUUUGGACUACAUAUACCAAGUCUUCUCGAGCUUGUAAUAAAAGAUAAAGAAGAUGAAAUUGUAACAUCUCAAAAUUUGAGCUUGUGGCAUAUGGAAAUCAAUCUAUACAUAAUUACUAUGUAUAUAUUAUCAAAUAUAUGAAUGUAGAAGCUAUUUUAAUUAUCAACCAUAGAAUUGGCAUGGAAUAUUAUAACAUCCCAAAGGUGCGUUGACUUGAAACAUCCCAAAUUAAUUCUAACACUUAAAAAAAAAAAAAAGCAAAAGGUGAAAAAGGAAAAGAAAAAUAGUUAGGAAGAGAAGAACAAAAACUAAACAAAUGAAUCCGGAAUACUAAAAACAUAGAGUAAAUGAUAGGAUCAAGAUACAAAACAAAUGGGAUAAAGAUAGGAUCAAGACACAAAAUAAAAACUCAUAUUUAGCUUUCGAUAUGAUUCAUUUGAUAAGGAUAAUAAAAGAAAAAUAAAUAUAUAAUAUUAAUUGUUUUAUUUAUACAUCAUCACACCGUCUCUAUAUGAAUACCAUCUUCCUAAGAAGAAUAACAUGACUAACAACAAUCCACGACAAUAGUUUUGGAACGAUUGCCAUUUGUUUGUUAAUAUUCUAUUGUCUUGCUAGUAGGGCAUGGACAGCUUUAAUAAAGUAAUUUUUUAGGAGAGUGCAUGUCAUUGGAUUCUUAUAAGGAUGCAUGCCUGUAUCUAGGCUUCAAAUUUAACGUUUUAUCGGUUAAUAAUGCAUUGGGCUCCUCCCAUCCGAUGUUUGAUAGGAUGGAUAAGAAGAAGAAAGUGAAGUAAGAUCAAAAUAUCUGAUCACAUUUAUUUAAAAACUGAAUAGGACAAAUGGGUGAAAUGAUUAGUAGUGAGUCGCCCGGGAUAACACGGUCUGGGACAUUCAUAAUUGCAUUCUUUAUAGCUUCAUUAUUGUUGGUAGACAGUUGAGUGCAUUGUCUUUGACCAUUCCAUGCUAAGCAAGAAUGAUAAAAUUAAAUAGCAGAGAAAAAGAGAAGAAAAAUAAAAGAAUGGUACUUAUACGAAGGUGCUAUGCAGUCUAACAGUACCUGAAGAGAAAGAGUUGGCAAUCAAACAAGGAACAAUGCCUAAGUAUAGAGGAAGUGCUCUGUGCAGAACCUCUACACACGCACAGGGUACUCUACACAAAGAGAUGGCAAAGGAGAACCCUACACAGAGGCCUGCGCAAGUGAUGUGCAUAAUCAGAGAAGAGAAAACGUGCAUAUAUAUAUAGAUGGCCUGCACGAAAUCUGCGCAAAGAGCAUAUAUAUAUAUAUAGAGAGAGAGAGACACACACACACACACGCACAGGGUACUCUACACACAGAGAUGGCAAAGGAUCCUCCUCUGCGCGCACUCCUAGGGCAAUGAAUCCCAAGCACAAGGAGUUCCUGGAGUAGAGAAAGCACGAACGGAGUUAUGAGGUAGCAUUUCUUGAGGGCUCAAAAUUCUGAUAAUGAGUGAUACCUAGUAUCGAAAUUUUGAUACUCAUGUUGAUACCAUGUAACAAAGAGACUUCUCAUGCAUAUAUUCUAGGAGGUAACACUCAACUAUUUUUUUUUUUUUAAAGAAAAUACUAACCUUUUCAUGGUAUCAGAGCCUCCAAACCUACCAGCCAAGAAAAAUGUCUUCACACAUACUUCCAUCCUCCACCCUACAAAUAGAACCUGAAUCAAACUUUCAAUCCUUUCACCAAUGUUCUAGCUUGAUCUCCAUCAAACUGAACACCACCAAAUUUCUAUUGUAAUGCAACCAAAUCGCUCCCUUAGUUUGUAGCCUUAGUGUUCUACAUUAUUUGUCAAAUAGAGAAAAAUUUGCUGAAGAAGUUAAGAAUGACAAGGAGGAAAAAUCUCCAAACUCGAACUAUCAAAGGUGGAUCAACAAUGAUGGACUUUUAACUUCAUCGCUUCUUGGAACCAUAAAAGAAAAUGUCUUAAACUUGAUUGGUGGUGAGCCAGUUUAUCAAGUGUGGAAUUCCCUUGAGGAGUAGUCAUUGCCAAUUACAGUAAAGAAUGAAAGGAAUUUGAAAAAUAUGUUAAUAAUCAUUACAAAGGGUUUUCGAUCUCUUGAAGAAUACUUGACCAUAACAUUCAUUGCUAGUAUUUCAUGCUUAUGAGUUACUCAUUUCAGCCUUUCUUGGACUCUUCAUGGUUCACAAGUCCCAAGUCUUUUAGUUAUGCAUGUUUAACCCCUUCUACUUGUUUGGUUGAUAUUGACUUUUGUACUUAUCAUUUUUUUCAUCUCUUGAACCUGAAUUAGACUCAAAAUGGAAAUUAGAUUCAUAACUAGGGUCUUAGCAUUAAUUUGAGUUAAGUUAGAUAAUUUGAGCUUUUUAUAUUGUAUAAAUCAUAUCAUAUAUAUAUGUCAUUGGAGCAUAUAUUUGGUUCUAAUUAACUGCAUAGGGAAUCCUAGAUCUCUUUGUUCCCCAUCAUAGGACUAGGUUAGGAGCAUGAAAUCUACAUAGGGCAUUUAGAUCCUAUGAACGAAAGCAAAAAUAUAAUUUCUAACAUUGAAGGAUCUAGAAAAGUGUCAUAAAAAACUUUACCUUUGAUUUGGAUUUUCCCAAAUCAAAUCCAAAGUCAUUGGAAGCCUCGUAAACCUAUUAUCUUUUGUCCUAUAACUCUACCUCGAUCCUCAACACUCAAACAAUAAAGUGUUUGGGAAGGUGAAGGCUAAAGCUCUCUCUUCUCUUUAUAUGGUGGAAGAAUACUAACUAGAAACCCUAACCCCUAAGAGGAUAUUUAUAAGGUUCCUUACUAGGCUUAAGUGACUUAAGCCCAGUAAGGGCUUGGGUCACUUAAUACAACCUAAAAGGGUCUAAAUUGAUUUAUUAACCCAACAAAGUUGUCUAAUUAAUUAAUUAGUCCAAUCCAAAGAUACUGUUUACAAACCCCUAUGCAACCUUGUGUAAUUAUCAAAAUGUCAUUAUGCACAUAAGUAAACCUAAAGCUUAUGCAACCCUCAUAAAUCAUGUCAUCAAGGUAUAUGAGCUCUAGUAAGGACCAUUAGGACCUAUCGGAGUACUACUCUCUCAAAAUCCAAUUAUGAAGUUCAUUCAACAUCUCACUACAGAGAAUCAAUUACACUUUGAUACUCUAUGUAAAUAACAACAAGAUGAUGCUUAGGUUCAUGAGUUACUACCCAUUACAUGCAAACUCUCCAUGAACUAGUGUCCAUAAUUUAACAAGGUAGUAUUAUCACAUAUUAAGAUUACCUCUCUAAUCGUUGAGUUAUAAAUCCAUCUAUUAUUUGAUCAAUUGACAUACUCUAACUCCAAGGAGUAUAUGUCGAAUUUCACUAAGUGAAAAGCUAAUGGUCAUAGUCUUCUCAAUGACAUGUCCUUUGGAUCACCUAAGGGAACAUUGUUGGAAUUGACCAUCAAGAUGGGUUUCACAUGAUGAGUGUACUAGUAUGGAUAGUUACAUAUCGUAUAGGAUCAAUGGUGAAUCAUAACAUAAGACUAUUGAUUGUCAUGAUUCACCAAGUUACUAUACUGUAUCAACUCUCAACCUUAAAAUGAUAUCGAGCUUAUGCCAAAGUCAACAAGAGGAGGCUUUGACCUAUGGGUGAGAUCCUAAGGUGGUCACAUAUCCCUAUGGAUUGGAACACUAUUGAUGAAGGUUGGUAGCACUAGGCUUUCUCAAUAAAGGGACCAUGAUAUUUCAUGGGACUGAGACAAUGUAUUGCCUUGGGUAAUCUAAAGGACAUGUGAAAGAAGACUAUGGUCAUAACAUUUUCUUCAAUAAAAAUUUGAUGUAUGCUCCUUAGAGCUAGAGUAUGUUAAUAGAUCACAUAAUAAGUAGAAUCUAUAACUUAAGAAUUAGAGUGUUAUUCUUGAUAGGUAAUAACACUAUCUUGUUAGAUUAUCGACACCAAUUCAUGGGGAGUCUGGAUGUAGUGGAUAGUAGGUCAUAAACUUCAGUUUCAUCUUAUUAUUAUUAUUUACAUAGGGUACUAGAAAGAAAUUGAUUUUCUUUAGUGGAAUAUUGAAUCAACUUUAGAAUUGGAUUCUAAGGGAACCAGUACUCUUAUAGAUCACAAUGGUCCUUGCUUUGAGCUCAUAUACUAUGAUACAGUUUAUAAGAGUUGGAUUGGAUCUAGGUCCACUCUUGUGCAUAAGAGAAUUUUGGUAAUUACAUAAGGUUGCAUAUGCAGUAGUGAACAAGUUCUCUAGAUUUGGUUAAUUGAUUAACUAGAUGACCCUAUGUGGUUAAUUAAUUAAUCAAGACCCAGUUUAAGUUAGAUUAAGUGACCCAGGCCCUAUUCGGAUCAAGACACUUAAAUCCAGUAGGAGAACCCUAUAAAUACUAUUGAAAUUGAGCCCUAAAAGCAAGACAUGAUGUAACAAAGUCAAACUUGACUCUCCCCUUGUUAUCCUUUUAUGUAUUGACAUUGAUUUGAGCAUUCAACUCAUAUCUCUUACAUUAUCAUGACUUAGGUGCAUUGGGAGUUGCAAAGAGGAGACAAGUCAUGGGCUCCUUGUAAGUAGAUAAAAUGUCCAUAUUCAGUUUAUGGACUUGGGCAAUACAAUAAAGAUUGUAAUGCACUACCUCCUAAUUGGAAGGAUGGUUUGUCUUGAUCAUAGAGAUAGAUUUCCCAUGGUGGGUGGACUAGUGUAUGUGAUACACAUUAGACAAGACCUACAUUAAAUCACAACAUAAGACUAUUAGUUGUUAUGAUUCACUAAGAUAUUGUACUAUAGGAACUCUCAAUCUUGAGAGGAUAUUAAGCUUGUAGUAAUAUUAACAAAAGACUUUGACUUAUGGGUAAGACCCUAAAGUGGUCAUAUAUCCCUAAGGAUUAGGUUACUGUUGAUGGAGGUUGGUGGCAAUAAUAUUCUCAAUAGAGGGACCAUGAUAUCUCAUGGGUUUGAGACAAUAUGUCUCCUUAGAUUAUCCAAAGGACACGUGAUAAUGAAAUUUAUGGUCGUAAUAAUUCCUUUAGUUGAAUUUCACAUACACUUCUUAGAGUUAGGGUAUGAUAGUUAAUCUUUUAAUAAGUGGGAUUUGUAACUCAAUGAUUGGAGAUGUAAUCGUGAUAGGUGAUAACACUACCUUGUUAGAUUACGAACACUAGUUCAUGAUGAGCUUUCAUAUAGAAAAUUGUAGGUCACGGACCUAAGCUCCAUCUCAUUGUUAUUUAAAUAGGGUACUGGAGUGUAGUUGAUUUUCUAUAGUAGGAUAUUGAAUCAACUUUAUAAUUGGAUUCUAAGGGAGCUAGUACACUUACGAGUCUUAUUAGUCCUCGCUUUGAGCUCAUAUACCAUGUUAGCAUGGUUUAUGAGGGUUGGAUUGAUUCUAUGUUCACUCUUGUGCAUAAGGGCAUUUUGGUAAUUGCAUAAGAUUGAAUAGGGGUUAGUGGACAAGGUCUCUAGAUUGAGCUAAUUGAUUGAUUAGAUGGACUUAUGUUGUUAAUUAAUCAAUUAUGACCCGUUUUAGCCUAGAUUAAGUAACUUAGGACUAUAUGGGCUCAAGUCACUUAAGCCCAAUAAGGAAACCCUAUAAAUGCCUCUUCAAGGGCCAGUUAGGGUUUCCAUGACUUUAGACAAUUAUCUUCCAUCUCCAAAGAGAGAGAGAGAAAGAGAGGGAGAGAGUCUAGAUUCCCACCCUUGCAAAGCUCACACUUUGGAGUGUUAAGAUCAUGGUUUGAGUAGUCCAAAUCUAGGAACAUCCAAACUAUUUGGGCACAUUUUUCACCAAGAGAAAUUGAUCUAGGGCAUCCAGAUCUAGAUCUAUGUAUGAGUCUCUCAAUCUCUAACUAUUUAUUUUGUAAUGAUUUUUGAAGCCAUUAUUUUUAUGCACUAGAUUUAGAGAACCUAGGGUUAAAUGCAUGCACCCCACGAGAUCUAAGGCAUAGGAACAAAGUAAUCCAAGGUUCCUAAGAAAUACCCCCUUAGAGGUUAGGGUUUCUAAGGUUUUCAAUUGUCUUCAAGAUCUAGAAAGUGUAAGAGAGAGAGCUUAGGAAUCCUCCAUUCCAAAGUCCACUCUUUAGAGGUCUAAAAUCGUGGUUCGAGUAAUCGAGCAUAAGAUCUUGGAUGUAAGAGACCUCCAAACUCUUCAGGUUUCUUUUUUACCCAUGAAAUUGAUUUGGGAACAUCCAGAUCUAGAUAUGAAUGUUUCUUUUCUAGUUUUAUUAAUCUAAAUUGUUUUAAAAAUCAUGUUUCAACUCAAAUUAGUUUCUAUAGAAGCUUAGGGUAGAUUUACAUGUACCUAUACAAUCUAAGAUAUGGGAAUGGAGUGAUCCAAGGUUCUCAAUAGACACACUAUCUCACUCUCAUGAGAUAUCAUGGUGCUUCUAUUAAUAAUAUUUUUUGCUAGCUGCUCCAUAUGGAUAUAUGACCACAUUAGGGUCUCACCCAUAAAUCAAAGUUUCUUGUUGAUUUUAGCAUAAAUUCAAUAUAUUCUCAAGAUUGAGAGUCUAUAUAUCAAGUAGCUUUGUGAAUCAUGACAACUAAUAGCCUUAUGUCAUGAUUCACUAUAGGUCUUGUCCAAUAUGUAACCAUACACACUAAUGUACUCACCAUGGGAAACCUAUCUCGAUGGUCAUGAUAAGCCAUCCCUCCAAUUAGGAGGUAGUGCAUUAUAGUCUCUAUUGAAUUGCCCAAAUCUAUGAACCAACUAUAAACAACUAAUCAUCUUGCAAGGAACCCAUGACUUAUGUCCUUUAUGCAAUUCCUAAUACAUUGAAGUCAUAUACAAUGCAAGUGAAAUGACAUGUUUGUUCAGGUAACCAAUCAAUACAAAAUGGGAUAGUAAGUUGAAUAAAAAACAUAAAUAAAUAAAUUUAUUAAUGAAUCUAAAACUGUUAUAUCAUGUCAUGCUUUCCAAGGCUCUAUCCCAAUACGUUGGAUUAGGUGACCUGAAUCUAGUUUAAGCUUAAGUCACUUAAACCCAUAAGAAACCCUAUAUAAAUCCUCUCAAAGGUUUAGGGUUCACAAUUUUAACGUUUUGGCCAUCAUUUUCGAGAGAGAGUAAGAGUAAGCCCUAGCCACUCUUAAGACAAGAAGAGAAGCUCACCCUUCUGUUGUGUUAGGAUCUUUGAAGGGAGAAAUCGGAUAAAAGAUCUUUGGGUAGAUGAACUCCACAACAUCCCCAACAUCUUCUUUGACAUCUUCCUGGGAUUAGAUUCGAUUUUGGAAUAUCCAAAUUACAGGUAUGAAACUUUAACCUCUACGUCUAGAUCAUAAUAUGGUUUUAGUUACCACAUAUUUCUACUAUGUUAGAUGUAGAGAGCCUAGGACUAGAUUGCAUGGACCCUACAUGAUGCAGAGCCUAGGAAUAGAGUAACUAGUGGUUCCUAACAAUUUACAAUUAUAAAAUGAUGAAAACUAAUGUCUUUUCACCAACUAAACCUUAUAAAGCAUUGAAAUCAUUAGUUUCAUUGCAAUUUCAAGUUAAAUAUUAAAAUGCACUAAGUAUGAGUCUCACACACAAAAUGAUCCCUAAUGCUCAUUAAUAUAUGUAUAUAUAUAUUUUAUUUUUAAAAAGUCAAAAGGAUAAUGAAGAUGAUAACAAACCAAUAAUCAAAGCAAACAUUUGAUAAUGAAUAAAUAUGUUAUGUUUAGUGUCAAAAUAAAAUAAACGCUAAAUUUUCUAAUAAAAGAAUUUGAUAAUAGGUUGUGACUACAAGCUAGAUAUCAAUUUCAUAUUGAUACAAAAACAGAGCUUAAACCAAUUUGAAAAACAAGCAUAAAAUCAACAUGUAUCAAAUCGAAAUCAACAUGUAUUUCAAUAAAUUAUAAAAAAAAUCAAUACAACACUAACAAUGGUAAUGUUAUUCUUUGGGAUAAAUUAAUAUAAAAAUAAUAAAGGCUCUAAGGUAUCAAAAUAUCAUUAAUGAAUACAAAAUCUAAUUCAACCAAUUUUAGGCAUUCUCAUAUGAAUUUAGAAGUAUAAAAUGAUGAAAACUAAUGCAUUUUCACAAGCUAAACCUCAUAAAAGCAUUGAAACCAUUAGUUUCAUUGUAAUUUCAAACUAAAGAUCAAAAUGCACCAAAUAUGGGUCUCUCACACAAAAUGAUUCCUAAUGCUCAUUAAUCUAACAUAUAUAUAUAUAUAUAUAUAUAUAUAUUCAUAUAAGAUGAAAACAAAUAGAAUUCAACAAUUUUUAAAGGGCUAAUUUUUUUUAAAAAAUGAUAAUAUAUUGAAUGAAAGCAUGGAGUGUAGUUGGGGAGGCUUCAAGACUUGUUCAUAGCUUUGAUCUUUCUCUUUGAUCUCCAGUUUGACAAAGUUUCACCUCCUUUUAUUUCCAUAGAAUCGUCUCAUUUGAAAAUGUAGCUUUCUCUUUGUAUUUAUUGCUAAAAGGAUGAUGAUAAACCAAUAAUCAAAGUUAACUUUUAAUAAUGAAGUAAUAUACUAGGUUCAAUGUCAAAAUCAAAUCAACACCAAAUUCUCUAAUAAAGGAAUUUGAUAAUAAGUUGUGACUGCAAACCACAUAUAAAUUUCAUUUUGAUACAAAAACUGAGGUUGGACUAAUUCGAUAAACAAACAAAAAAUAGGUGGUUCAAGAAUUGAUUUGAAAUUAAUACUUGAUUAAAUACAACUACCCAAAUUGAUACUACUCUACAACAUAGAACCAAUGUUGAUCCCAAUAUGAUAACAAGAUCUAUGCACCAUGAAAAAUCAACAAAAAAAAAUUACCAUAGACUUGCAUUGAAUCCAAAUCAACACUAAUUUCAAUGAAGUAUUAAAAAAUCAAUACAAUACAAACAAUGGAAACAUCAUUCUUUGGGAUGCAUGAAUACAAAAACAAUUAAGACUUUGAUAUAUCAAAAUGUUAUUAAUGCUUUAGUAAAAAAAUCUAAUUCAACAAGUUUUAUCAAUUUCCAUUUGAAUUUACAAGUAUAAAAUGAUGGAAACUAAUGCAUUUUCAAUAGCUAAACCUCAUAAAAGCAUUAUGUAGACUUUCCUUUUUGUCCUCAUAACACAUGCUUUUAAUUGUACUUAGUACCCCUCAUUUUUUAGCAAUUUAAAUUUUUUUUUUUGGUUAUAAAUUAUAUGAAUGUUUUAACACUUGGAGAAAUUGGAACGAAGCAAAAUAUGUAGAAAAAAGAAAUAAUUAUCUAUAGCUAUCUUUAUUUUAUUUUUUAUACGUUUCUAUUGACAUGGAAUAAAUCAUCAAUAAUUGUUGUGAUUAAUAGCGUUGAGAAAAGUCAAUGGCCAUAAUAAUAUUCUAUUGCCAUUUUUUUUUUUGUAAAAUAUUAGAUCAAAUCACAUCUUCUUGUAAAAUUAUCAUUAAGAUUUACAUGAUUUCUUACAACGUAGCUUAAAACCAAAUAUUUCAUCAAAGAAGUUAUCAAUAACCAACCCCACACAAUGAUAUCUAUUAUAAUACAAACUUCUUCAAUAUGUUUGUUUGUGAGUGUAAAGAAAGAAAGGUAACAGAAAUUGAGAAAGUAAAAUAAAAGAAAAUUUUUCUCUUUUUUUGUUUUAUUUUUUUUUUCUCUAUUUAUUCUGCUAUUUACAGAGUAAUAUAUAAAGUAAACCUAACUAACAAAUUCUCUAACUAUUCAUCUAACAAUAAUAGAAGAAAACCAAUGAGCAUAUGACAUGUGUACAUCUUGUAACUAUAUGAAACUAUCUCUUAACAUUCUCCCUCAAACUUAAGGUAGAAAGAUUUUCUACUUUGAGUUUGUUUCUUAGAUUUACAAACUAAGUGCUUAAGACAGCUUUCAUCAAGACAUCUACUACUUGAUCAAUGGAAGGCACUUGUUAGAUUAAAACCUUUCUUUGCAGAACCUUUUCCCUAACAAAAUAUAAAUCCAAUUCAAUGUGUUUUGUCCUAGCAUGUAAUAUUAGAUUAACAACCAACAUAAUAGUGCUAAGAUUAUCACACCAAAUAACUGUUGUUGUAGGCAAAGUGAUUUUAAUUUAUGAGAGAAGAGAUAGUAACCAAGUGAUUUCUGCAACCAAACCAGUUAGGCUUCUAUACUCUGCUUUUGUACUUGAUCUAAAAAUAGUAUGUUAUUUCUUUUACUGCUAAGUGACUAAAUUUGAACGAAAAUAUACAAAAAAUCCUAAAGUUGAUCUUGAGUCAUAAAGAUCAGAGGCCUAAUCGACAUCACAAAAUGCUACAAGAUCAAGAGUAGGAGACUUUCUUAAAUAUAAUCCAUGAUGAAGAGUUCCUUCAAGUAUCUAAGAAUUAUUUUGACUACUUUCUAAUGAGAUUCUAAUGGAGCUUGCAUAUAUUGACAAACUUUAUUAACACUAUAGGCAAUUUCAGGCCUAGUAAUUAUUAUCUACUACAAAGCUCCUACAAUUGAUCUGUACAACUUCACAUCCUAAAUUGAUUCACUUCCAUAGCCUGAAAGUUUUUGUCAAUUGGUCAUGGGAGUAGAAAUAGGAUUGGCACUUUGCAUUUUGGAUUUGUAUAAUAGAUCAAUUAUGUAUUUUCCUUGAGAGAUGAAUGCUUUCAACAAUAUGCUUCACUUCAAUCCCUAAAAAUAGUUGAUUUCUCCAAGAUCUUUUAAGGCAAACUCUCUGUUUAAAUUGGUAAUGAGAUGCAUCACAGCUUGUUCACUACUACUAGUGAUAAGAAUGUCAUCUACAUACACAAGAAUAUAGGUAGAAUGAAUUUUUGUCACACAAAUGAAUAGAGAUUGAUCUGACUUUGUAGAGAUAAAUCCAAAGGAAUAUAGGGCUACACUUAACUUUUCAACCAAACACUUGGUGCCUGUUUUAAGUCAUAUAAAGUUUUAUGUAAUUUGAAAACAAGAUGAGAUUGGUUGUGCUGAAUAAAUCUAGGAGGUUGUUCCAUAAAAACUUCCUCAUGCAACACUCCAUUCAAAAGGAAUUAUUAAUGUCUAAUUGAUGAAUUAACCAAGCUCUAGACAAAGCUAUAGUAAGCAUAACCCGAAUAGUUGCAGGUUUAACAAUUGGAUUAAAAGUUUCAUUGAAAUCAAAACCAACAACUUGAUGAAACUCUUUUGCAUAUAUGUUUAACAAUCAGAUCUAGUUCUCUUGCUCUAUUUAAAUCCCUGGCAUUUAGCGCCUCCUUGUCAUCUCUCUUUGUCGCAAAUUUCUCUUCUCAGGAUAAGCCCAAUCAUGAUCACCCAAUUUGUUCUCAUUGUGGGCUCAUGGGGCAUAUUGUGGACCAUUGCUACAAGUUACAUUGGUGCCCAACUGGGUACAAGCCUAAACCCAAGGCCCAAAUGAGCUCUCUUCGGUCCACCAACAAUCCAUUAUCUUUCCCUGAGCCAUCAAAGGACAUCCACUUCUCUUCUUCAGCUACAACUACCAUACCACCCUCUCCACUUUCUGGUUCUCUCUCAACAGAUCAAGUUCAAUAGCUCAUAAAGUAGACUUUGUUCACUUUGGAAGGAUCCUUUGUCAUGCUCAAAUCUUAUUAUGCGCAUGCAUUGUUUAACUAAGAUCAUUAUAAUUGUUUCCCAAAGUGAGUCAAUGCCAAAUAUUGAAUAAUUGGUUAAGCAUAACUCUUACACACAUUCUAAAAUUUAUGCUCUUAAAUGUAUGUGACUCACUUGCGACAUUUGGAAAUACCCCUAAAAUGGAUACAAAAGCAACGAUGAAUGAAAAAAAUCACAAUGUACAAUGGCUCUAUUUUCAAAAGAAAAAAAAAUCAAUAUUGAUCAUAGUGUACAAUGGCUCUACUUUCAAAAGAAAAAGAAAAUAAAAAGGAAUAUGAUAUCAAAUUAAGGGAAAGUCAAGUUGUGUUGUAUAUAGAUCAACAAGACCUUGUUAAAUGGAAAUCCAACAAUCUUAAAUCAAAUUAAUUAGAUGUGUACUUUAAUUAGAACAAAUGCAUGACUAGAUCUCUUCUAAGUGAUCAAAUUUUAAAUGUAGAACUGGACAAUAAGUUGUAUUCCCUUGAACAUCAAUACUUAUGUUUCUAUGUUGGUCCUCUUAUCCACUAAUGGUUAUGCAUUGGGUUUCAAAACUAAAAUUACAAUUAACUUUGACCUUUGGACUUGAAACCUCAUUCUUGAUGGAUUGAUGUAUAAUAUCUAAAGUAAUUUUGUAAUUGAUUGAAGAAACUCCUACAAGACAUUUAAAGAAAUCUAGUACACCAUUUCUUAUUUAUCACUUUUUUGAGUUGUUUCAAGCACUCUAAGUUUCUGGUUCUUUGUCAUUUGAGGUCAAUUCUCUUAGUUUUUCGCAUUUUUUUCAUAUAGUAUUGUUUUACCCUCAUUUUUAGUAUUCCUAGUUGUUUAGGGGUUUUUUUUUUGUUUUUUUGUUUUUGGAUUUUUAUCUAUUUUUCUUUCUUUUAAUGUCCUUUUAUAUUUCAUCACCUUGUUAUGGCAAGUCAUCCUCAUCCUCAUGAGCUGACCCCUCCAAGGUCACCUGAGGCCGUUUAGAGCAUUGCUCUCCAAGGUCCUUUUGGCCUAAGAGCUCUUUCUAUUGAGUGCUUCCAUUGUCAGGAGGCAUGAGACCGAUACUACACCUCUUUCCAUAAUUGACUAGUUGAGGUUGAGCAUUCAGUCAAUCUCAAAGUCUUCUAGGAGACUUCUUUUCUUACUGUUGUUAGAGAUUGAGGAUAAAAGACGUUACUCUCUCUUUAGGGGACUUUCUACCCCCAUCUUAUUUUCAUUUUCUAUCUGUUGUAAUUGGAGUUACCUUUCAGGUGAUUUUGUAUGAUCAACCAUUUCUUGUCUCUUCCUGUUCCAUCCAACAUGUCCUUAGCAUGCUGCAACUUGAGUCUUGCUUUGGUCAGAAGCUAUUCUCCAAGCCAACAUGGUUGCUAGCUACUUCUACCAUUCUACUCAUCGUACCCAGAUCUGUCAGUCGUUUACUCAAUUCAUUCAUGCCAUACUCUCUGGCUACCAAUUCGAUAUCAACCAAGUGGUUUUGGAUAGCAUUACUCCUUCCCGUGAUCCAUCUUUUUGAGGAGGCACCCCUCCCUUUAACCUUCUCAUCUCGUAGAUUUUGGAGGAUGUAGGUUUUGGGAUAAACCUUGCAUUAGGGGUCCAAGCUAACCAUGCCCUCUUGGAUGGAUGCUCCUAGGCUAAGCAUUAUAACCACAUUUAGGGACUGAUGGCACCUCCAACCCACCAUGGUCCUGAAAAUGCGGCUCAACAAGCAGCUUAGGAGGCAACAACAUAUGAGAAUGAGCUCCAAGCUAUGAAGCAAGGUGUAGUACCUGAGGUAAAUUAUCUCAAGCCUUCUUUAAGAACUUGUUCUAGUUGAGGUCAUGCAAGUUCUUCAUGAGCUACUCAUGAGCAAUGUUAGAAAUGCCACAAAAUGUCAGUGAUAUUUCACCAAUAUUUCGGGUAUCGAUGGGGCUCGAUAGAUAAAUAGGAUGGAAAUUUUGGUUAUUAAAAAUUUCAAUUAUUUCCCUCAUUUUUCAUUGAUAUAUUGGCUAUAUGCUGAUAUAAUACCGAUAUAUCAGUUAUAUUGGUGAUUUUUUAGUGCCUUGCUUACUUUUAGGCCAAAAGGUUUCCCCAUUUUUACCAAAAGGUUUCUCGUUUUUGCCAAAAUGUUUCUUUUAUUUAUUUUUAUUUUAGGCCACAUUCUCACACACACGACCAUACAAUAGUCGUUCCAGAUGAGAAAGUCACCAUCUAUUAAAUAGGCAAUUUUGUUCUCUUAAGUUGUUGAUGUGGGACAACUUUUAUUGACAAGUUUAAAAAUCUAAUCAAACAGGUAAACAAAAUUUACAUUGGUGAGACUCAAACCCGAGUACACAAGUUUGUCGUGAAAGGACACUAGCAUUGAACCAUAUGUGAAUUUGUAGUUUUAAUUGUAUAUAGAAUUAUAUAUAUAAUGUACAUAUCUUUUAUACGUUAUAAUAUUUUUAAUAUAUAUUAUAAUAUUAUUUAAUAAAUUAAACUAUUAUAAAUAAGUUAUUUUUAAUUAUCUUAUUAUAUAUUUUGUAUACCAAUUAAAUACAAGGUAAAUAUCAAUUUUAUAAAUAAAAUAUUAACAUUUUUAAUAUAAAAUACUUAUCUAAAUAUCAUUGUUUUUUUUUUUAUCCCUCAAUAUAUUCAAUUUAGACAUAUUAUCAUUCUAAUAUUAAUGUGCUUUUAAAUUAGUAUAUUAUUGCCUACUAUUACAAAUUUAUUACAUAUUACUAUAUAUAUAUAGUAAUAUGUGUUUUUUUUUCAUGUUUUAUCAUUUUUUUUUUGAAGUUUCCAAGUAUUUUCAUGAAUUUCUGUUUCAUCAAUUUUUUUUUUUUGGGUCAAAAUAUUCCACCGUUAUUCCCUGAUAUAUCUAUAAAAUCCAAUGAUCAAUAAAUCCGUGAUUACUGAUAUUUUCAUUCUUGCUCAUGAGACAUCUUCUUCUACCCACCCACCUGAGAGACAUUCGAUUCCAUGGCCUAUCUCCAGCAACCAAUGGACUCCCAGGAUCUUUAGCUUCAUCAGAUCCAGGGACAACUCCACUAUAUCAUUUCCUAGAUCCACUCUAAAGGCGCAUUGAGCUCUAUGUCUCCACCUCCUUCGGAUACUUAUAUAUGUGUGUGUGUGUGUGUGUGUUCUUUUUCUAUUGUUAAUCUGGAUUUGUGUUUUUUUUGCAUAUCUUAUGUAUCCAAAAUCAUUUUUUUUCUAUAUAUAUUCUUCUUUCUCUUUAACUCUUGUGUGCUUUCCAAUGUUUAUAAUUCAUAUGUUUUGCCAUUUUUAUGACAAAAAAUAAAAAUAAAAAUCAUUGACCAUAUUUAAUUCACUUAAAUAGGGGAAGCAUAGGCAUCGAUAUAAUAGAAAAAAGAUAAAGGAACUCCUUGAAAAAUAGGAGUUAAUAAGUUUUGAAUUAUUUAUUCAAUUCAUUCUUUUACUCAUUUAAUUCUUAAGGGAAAUUGUAAUAGUGGAGAAAAUUAAACCUGAGACAUUGGAGGAAAUUAGAUCAACUAUUGAAAGCAUAACUUGGAAGUUUAAGAGAGUUACCUAAUAUAGAUAUAUCCUAUAAGAUAUUUCUAUUUGAAUUGUCUUUCAUUUUAGAACUAUUAUGAGUCACAAAAGCUUCUUCUCAUGACUUUUAUUGUCUAUUUUUUGGUUGGAGAUAGACCUCUAGGCAUCAUAGUUGAUCUAUUGUGUCUUAUCCAGCUUCUAUUAUGUUAUGUUGAUUUGUAUACAUUUAGAUUCCUUUCGAGCUUUACUUUGUACCUUGUUAUCACUAUAGGGAUAUGUUUCUCUUACAUGCUUUCACAAUGUAUCGAGCAAAAUCUCCAACUAUCAUGUUCUAUUGCUUUGAUCAUAUCUUAUCUCACACAUUUUUCCACCUUUGUUGAAGUUUUUUUUUUGUGUGUAGGUUAUAGGAUUGGAAAAUAAGUACUACUAGAUGAUUCAAAACAUUCCCUUAGUUUAUUUUUAAUUAAGCAUUAAUGUUUGUUAUGUAAACUCCGUUAUAAGAGUUCGGGUGGGUUUAUGUAAUGAUGUUUUGUCACAAGAUUGCCAUAAAGGGAAAUUGUUAGGACAUUAAGCCUUGAUUAUAUGUCGUCAAUUUGGUUCCUUUUUAUAUUUGGCCAUAGAAGUCUUUUUAGAUAGUGACUUGCUCUCUAUUGAAGAUUAAGAGUUGUAAUUUGUCUAACCGAGAAUUCAUAAGUACAUCUAAAAAAGUUUGGCUUGUAGUAAGUUAGGCUUCUUUGAGGUAUAAAUAUGAUUGCUAAUUGUUUUGAACUUAAAAUUAAUUUUUAUAAAGUUUUUUAAAAAUAGAGGAUGCUCAAGUGGGGAGCAGUGCUUAAGUGUUGUGACCGCUCAAGUGCCCCACAUUGCUUGAGCUCCCAAAACGCUCAAGCCACCUUUGUAAGCUCGAGAAAUCGUGAAUCUCUAGUCGAGAUUUUUUCACGCAAAAUUGAUUUGGAAGUCUUCUAAAACCAAACCUUUUGGAGAUUUAUUCCUACAAAUACCUCUUUAUAACCCUUUAAGGGUUAUAGAUUGUUUUAGAGAUUAGUGAGAGAUCUUACAUUCUUUAGAGAGAGUCUCUUAGAGAAAAAGCCUAAUGAGCCACACCAUUCCCGAUCUCUCAUUCAAGGAUUCAAUAUUUGAAUCUUGGUUUGAAAACUUACAUCCCUUUAGCAAGGUUGAAAUGCAUUCAUUAGAGUAAUAGGAGGUUGCUACGUUGCAGACAUGGAUCAAGUUUUAAGUAUUGAAGAGUAAGUCUUUAGGGUAAAGUGGCCAAGUAAAUCUAUGUAACUUGAUAUCAUAUAAUGGAUUUAGAUUAGCGAUCAUAGACUUCAUGGUUUUUUAUCUCCACAGUUAGUGUGGGGGUUUUCCAUGUAAAAAAUCUCUUGUACCUCAUUGUUUAUUACUUGAUAUCUUGUUUGAAUUGCCUAUAAUAGAAAUGAUUGAUAUACCUCAAUAUAUCGUAGGAUAAAAAUUGGGUAUAACAUAUAAACUUUAUUUAAAUUUUUUAAUACAUCCAUUUAGCCCUCCUCCCCUAGGUAUUUCCCCACUAGACUUAGGGGCUUUUUCAAACCAUAAGUUAGUUCACCCUGAGCUAUUGGUUUAUGUUGUUGACCAUCAUUAGUUGAUUCAUUUUUUUUAUUGCACUUGUUAGUCGAUUAAUAUAUAUAUAUAUAUUGUUUUCUCAUACCUAACUUUGGUUUCUUGUGAUUCUUCCACCUAAAACCUACCAAUUAUUUUACAUCAUAAACCAGAGUUUCACCACUUGUUUUGUAUUCUAACCUUAACAAUUCAUCUUCUUUAAAAGUAACAUCUCUACUGAUUUUUGCCUUCCUCAAAUUUAGAUGCUACAACUUAUACCCCUUCACUUUAGUAGGAUGUACAAGAAUUAAACAUUUCUUUCUUUGCUCUUGGUUGCAACUUUUUAUCAUUUACAUGUGCAUAUGUUGUUGACCCAAACACUAUAAGGUGUUGGUAACUUCCUGGUUUACCUGUCCAUAUUUUUUGAGGCGUUUUGAACUUUAUGGAACUCGAAGGGAAUUUGUUAAGCAAGUGACAUGUUGUAUGGAUAGCUUUCGCCUAUAACUUUUUAGGUUAUUUUAUAUUUAUCAACAUGCAUCUUACUCUUUCAAGAAUAGUAUGAUUCAUCCUUUUAGCCAAGCCAUUUUGCUGAGAUGUACUCUUCACUGUUCUUGUUGGGAUUAAGCCCCUAAAGGAAAGACAUGAUGUAACAAAGUUAGAUUUAACUAUCCUCUUGCCAUCCAUUUGGUGUAUUGACAUUAAUUUGAGCAUUUAACUCAUAUCUCUUACAUUAUUAUAUGACUUGGGUGCAUUAGGAGUUGCACACAAGAUACAAGUCAUGAGUUCCUCAUAAGUACAUAAGUUGUCCACAAUUGGUUAAUGGAUUUGGUCAAUCCAAUAAAUAUUGUAGUGCACCACCUCCUAAUUGAAGGGAUGACUUAUCUUGGCCAUUGGGAUGAGUUUCCCAUGAUGAGUGCAUUAGUUUAUGUGAUACAUAUUGGACUAGAUCUAUGGUGAAUCAUGAUGUAAGGCUAUCAAAUGUCAUGAUUCACCAAGCUAUUAUGAUGCAUGGACUCUCAACCUAGAGAGGAUAUUGAGCCUAUGCUGAAAUCAACAGAAGGCUUUGACAUAUGGGAGAGACCCUAAAGUGGUCAUAUAUCCUUAUGGAUUAGGUCACUAUUAAUGGAGGCUAGUAACAAUAGGUAUUCUUAAUAGAGGCAUCAUGAUAUCUCAUGGGCUUGAGAUAGUGUGUCCCCUUGAGUGAUCCAAAGGACAUGUGAUCAUGAAAUUUUUGGCCACAACAAUUCCUUUAGUGAAAUUUGACUUAUGCUCCUUGGAGUUAAAGUUAGAGCAUGUCAGUUAAUCAUAUAAUAAGUGGGAUCUAUAACUCAAGGAUUGGAGAGGUAAUCAUGAUCGGUGAUAGCACUACCUUGUUAGAUUACGAACACCAGUUCAUGGGGAGUUUAUAUGCAAUGGAUAGUAGGAUGUCGUGGACCUGAACUUUGUCUCAUUGUUAUGUACAUGAUUCGUGCCCAAUUGGUGUCUCAGCUGAUUCGUGUCCAGCUGGUGCUCCUUGAUUGAGGGAGUAAUCAACAAAAUUUAUAACCUAUUACACCAUAUACUAGGGUAGCAAAGACAAAGCUACUAUAGUAUAGCGGCUCUAGGAUCGUUCACUGGGAAGGAUUAGCAAGCUAUCAAUGAUACCAAUUCCAAGUGAAUUGGUCUUGUUUCAUUUCAAGGUUAGCUUAAGAAAUAAAACACAAACUUUGAUUGGUAAAGAUUUAAACUAACUAACAUAACAAGUACUCGGAAUAACUUAGGAAGAAAAGCAUUCCUUGGAGAGUUAGGUUCACUGGGGUGGUUCCUCAUGCAAAAGACAUAGCUCCGGUCAGAUGGUUCCUUUCCUCGUGUUAGAGAUUCAACAUAUAGUCACUUCUCUAACCGGUGUUGUACAGCUACCUCCUUUAAUUAGAUUUCACUUUAAUUCUCUCACUGAUGCAACUUGCAAUGGUUUAAGCCUCUCACUAAGCCUUAACCAUUCAAGGUGAUCUUUAACCUUGGAUUACCCGUCAAAAGCUCGCAAGAGAUAACUAAUGGAUGUCUCCUUGGAGUCCAAAAGCUUACCAAGUGUUGGCUAUUCUAGAAAAUCCUACCCUAAAGUCACCUCCCAGAGGCUCGCAAGGGGUAAACUGGUGCAUUUCCAUGGUUGGAAAUCACUUUCCUUACCAAGUGUUGGCCCAAGUGACUCUAAGGUGUUUUAAGUUAACUAAAAACAUAGAAAUCACUAAAGGAUUUCACUUCCUCUUCAUUACUAGCUAAAACCACAAAGCUUUGCAUUCUUGCACUUGGAACCUUCCCCGGCAACCUUAGCUCCAAGGAAUUAGAGGUUUAGUUACUCAUUCUCUGGGGAAAAUUCCUCAGAGAGUUCAUAACUUAGUAAGAAAAUAAAAAUACAAAGUGAGAAGGUAAGGCAAUACAAAGAACUGAACUUUACUUGCUUACCCAAAACUUUACAAAAGGAUCUCCUCUCUAAGAACAGGCUCCCGAGAGGUAUAUAUAUGAACAUAAUAUAAAACUAAUUAUUACAUAGAUAUUUUCUCUUUUUACUAACUUAAAAGCUAAGGAAUCUUGUAAUUGGUGGCUUACAAGGAGUAUUUUGGGAUUUAGACAACAAAAAUCUGAUGUAAAAUAUUUCCCAAUGUCGGUAGCAAAUAUCGGGAUGCUCCAGGAACCAUUUCUCAAGAGAAAAUGGUGUCUGCGAGAUUUCGUAGGCACUCAAGAAGGGAUGCGAAAUCAUUUCGCAAGAACAUGCUAUCUUCGCAGGGCUGCGAAGUUGGCUUCCACCUUGAGGUUCUCAGCUCCCAGCUUGUGGCAUAUAUCGGGCAACUUCAGAAGGAAAUACACCCUACUGUACAAAAAGGCCGCGGAAUCACUUCGCAGCAAAAGGGUGAUUUCGCAACACUUUGGAAAAUGCUUCCUUCAGCUGGGAGUGAUUGGUUUGCAAAGGCUGCAACUUCUUCGUUUCAACUCCGAAUUGCGCACCAUUUGAAGAAUUGGAUUGUUGACUUCCUGAGAUUUGAAAUGGUAUAUAGCAUGCAUCAAUUUGACCUCAGAAAGUGCUCCAAAAGUGGCUGCUACGACUGUCAUCAAGAAUAUGCUUCUUGGCAGAUUCUCUUUACUUUUUCUCCUUGCAUUCCGGAUUUACUCUUGGCAAAUGACUUCCAAGCUUUGCCCAAGAUUCCUCAACACUCUCCUCAAUCUUGAAUUGCUUUGGUGAUCAAAUUACUAACAAAAACACCAAAACUUACACAAAGUGAUUAAAAUUGCUUUCAAGGGUCCUUAAUAUGCUAAUUGAGUUAAAAGGCCAAAACUACUACUCAAAAGCGUUUAAAAGGAUUAAUUAUAAGUUAUCAAAUAGCACUUUUUGAGCAGUAAUCACUCCCCCCAACCGACAUAUUGCUAGUCCCUUAGCAAUAUAGGAGAGAAAAAUGAAAAUAAAAAGCAAACUUAACCUAUAAUGUACAACAUCAUGCUGAACAAAAACAAUUCUCAAGUGGCAUGAUGAUUUAAUUCUCUCAUGAAACAUUAAAGAAAUACAAACCCAAAUUUCAACAAGAGUUAUAACAAACUAUGCUAAACACUUUCAAUCAAGGGAAUGCAUUAUGCAAACUGAAGUUUUAAAAUCAUUUCCACUUUCAAAGAACCAAACUUUAUUCUUCCUCAAAAAUCUAUGUGUAUAGGUUCCUUAGGUUCCGAGAAUAAUAUGCUAAACUAAUCUCUCCCCCCAACCUAUCUCUUUUCAACACUUAGAAAACUGACCAAAAUCAAUAAAGAAAGAACACAUUUUUUUUUUUUUUUUUUAAGGAGGCUUUAUGGGAUACUCUUUCUGAAUUGUCCAUGUAAUGGGGGUCCAUCGAUGACUCCCAACCAAUUAAGGUUUAGGGCAUCAAGCUUUAAGGAUCUUUCAACCACUAACUCCAUGGAUUUUUCCCCGGACUUUUGAGAAUGAAUUUCUAAUACCCAAGCACCUAGCAUAUGCUAACUCUACCUAUUCACCCUUAUAACGAGCAUUGAGGUCGGUGACUCCCAACCAAUUAAGGCUUAGGGCACCAGGCUUUAAAGAUUUUCACCAUAUACCCCUCAGACCUUGCUCGGGUUUUAAGGCAAGCAAACAACUUUCUUUAUUUCAAAGGCUCAUUGGCCUUUUGCAGGGUGUUUCAAUUUUAUCAAAUGAGGUCAAAUAUACCAAGUCCCAAAAUUAUCCUAAGUCAAGAGGGAAAUAGCUUUUCAUGUUAUAAUCGGAAUCUAAUGUGUACAGUGUGUGAAUAGCUUAAAGUGGAAGAACUAAAUUCAAUUUCAAUAGAAGCUUCAACAAUUGAACCACUUUAGUGAGCAUAAUCCAUACUCUAAGUCAAGUGAAAAACAACAGUUCAAUUUCUCCUGUUUCAAUUUGAAAAUUUUUCCUCAAAAUUCAUGGAGAAUAGAGUAAAAAGAGUAAAAAGCAAAAACUACAACUAAUUUACCAAAAUAAUUGCAUUACCAAAAAGGCUUAGCAUACUUCCUUUAAUUUAGCAUAACUUCCUUCAUCAUUCCCCCCCAACCGAACCGAGCAUUGUCCUCAAUGUGAUAUGAGUGACUGUAAUUAAAGGGAGGAAGUGGUACCUCCUGAGUGAUAUCAAAUUCGAAUACUAAUUGGAGAAACCACAUGUUUAAAAAAGAAUAGAAUAUGUGAGAAAAGGAAAUAAGAAUAAGUUAAUGCUAACUGUUAACAAAAAAAUAUUAAACUUGUAUUACUUUGAAUCCAUUUGAGUACACUGAAAAAGAAAAGCAAUACAAGCAAUCCCAAAUAUAGUACCAAAAUAAUGGGAUUUCUUUCAAACUAAAAAUGAAAUACAUAAAACAAAGAUAGUAGAUAUAUAUAUAAUGAUCUAAUGAGUGGGUGGUGCUGGGGCUAGGCAGAUGGGUCUGCCUCUUCAGUUGGUGCUUCAGCUGGGGCUUGAGGCUCUGAGGGAUGAGAGUGUGGAUCUGCUGGAGUAGAAGUGGAGGGCUCAACAGCUGGUGGCAGGUCGAAAUGAAGCUGAAACUGCCUUAAGAUGACAGUGUGUUGAGCCUGAGUGGCCAACAUCUGCUCUUGGCAUGCUCUAAUGGCUGCCAUCUCUUGAGCUAGACUGCUCUGAGAUGUUGUGAGGGUCUCCAAUGCACGGCACAACUCUCGAUAUUCAGAAAUGGGUAUGGCCAUCCUCGGCUCAGCUGAAAUGGAUGGCUGAGAUGAAGCUGGAGCAGCUGGUGGAGCUCUGGGAAUGGCAGGAGCAGCAACUGUGAUACCCUCAGGUAUGUGUCGUGGGGAUGCUCUCCUUGUAGUUGGCUGAGGACGCUCAGGCUGGUCAACUCUAUAAGCUGUCAUGUUGUUCCAUUUGUCGAGAGUAAAAAGCUCACGACAAAUGCGCUUUCGCUCCAACUGAGGCUCAGAAGGAUAUCCCAAGUGCUCCAGAAUUUGGCAUAGCAGCCUUGGAAAGAGGAGGGGAAUGCAAUCAGCUCUCUGAAGCUUCUUUUUGUGUACAUUAUCUUCGAAAUAGAGAAGGACUGCCAGAAUCAGAUGAUGAGGCCCAAAGAAAAAUCCUUCAGACAUCUUGUAUAGGGCUUCUAAGAGGACUCCUCUUCUUUGAGUCCAAUGCUGCAAUGGGUAGAGGUUAUGACGCAAAAAUGCAUCAAUCAAAAACAUGAUUGGAGGAAGCUCCCCCCUCAACAGAUGUGAUCGAUUGGCAGCUCCUCUGGAUAGGGUGCGCACCAUCUCCAGCUCAGUAGGAUUGGUCCAAGCUCUAAAAUUAUCGAAUUGGGUUGGCUCAUAGGGAAUUUGCAAGGCUUCAGCUAUAUGGCGUGCUCCCAAUAUGCCAUGCCUCCCAUCAAUAGUGAAAUGAAUUAAAGUUGGAUCCCUGACCUGGUUAGUUGUCAUGGAUUGAUAGAAAUCCAUGGCUACCCUUGGGUAGAAAAAGUCUCUUGGAGUCAGUAGGUGCUCCAUAUGGUAUCUCCUCAGCAGGUUGAAUGUCUGUGCAAGCUCCGGCUGCAAUCGGAAUGCGGCUAUGUCAAAGCAUAGCUCAGAGUGGAAUGGCCGAGCUCUACAGUCCAAAUUUCCCUCAAUUGGGGGCUGAGUUAGCAUUGGCCUCUUGAUUAUUUCUUCCGGAGCUAUUUCGGAUUGAAUUUGGGGCUCUGGAAGUGGCGGCUAAGGCUCCUGAGAUUUCGCUUGCGGCGCCAGAAAUGGCACCGGCGACGGAACUGGCGAGGAUACCGGAGAUGGAACUGGAGUUGGAACCGGUGAUGGCUCUGGAGAUUGCUCCGUCUAGUCGAUGGGUUCUGAGCUUUCAACCCUGGGUCUCUUUUGCAGUGGCCGACCCCCUGACCUGGUAAGGUAACGUCUCGCCAGAGGCUUUGGCGGCGCUGGCUUCACCGGAGGAGGAGUUGCUUUCAGCUGCGAAGGCUCAGAAACGGGAUCCGGGACUGGCUCCUUUCGCAAGCUUCUCUUGCGGCUUGAAGGGGAGGAAGACUUGGCCCCUCUGGUUUGCGCCAUUUCGGGUUACCGAAAUUUGGCCAGAGCGGAUGGUCGGAGAAGAUGAUCGGAGGCUUGCGCGGUGAGGCUUGAGGAAGGAGAUGGACGGUCUGCGAGAAUGGACGGUAUAAUUUUGAAACCCUUUUCGCAGCUCAAAUGACCGGUAUAAAUAGGAAUAACGGAAGACUAAGGGUCAGUUUGAGUUUCGCAGUAAAAUGCCAUUUUCGCAGCUACUUCGCAAUGCGUUUCGCAGCUGCGAAAUUAAUGUUACUGUGCUGCGAAGUGGCACACGUGUGUCAAAAUCUCCUUCGCAAUUGCGAAAUACCCUGCGGAAUGGGACUUUUGUUGCGAAAUCUGGGCUUUACCACUUCGCAAGUCGUUUCGCAGCUGCGAAAUGGGGGCUCCUGUGCUGCGAAGUGGCACUCGUGUGCCAAACUUGCCUUCGCAGCUGCGAAAAUUCUCGCAGAGAAUCCCAAAGUGUUGCAGAAUGAUUUGGCAACAAAAUGCUCAUUUCGCAAAAGUUUUCUUUAGGCUGCGAAAUCUCGCAGAGCUCUGUUUUUGCUCUGUUUCACUCUGUUUUUGCUCCGAUUUCGAUCCGAUUUUUUCUCUUUCAAUUUCCUUGAAAUUUCUUCCACCUGAGAUCAUUUAAAAAGAUUAAAACACACCUAAAAACAUGAUUUAAGAUCAAAAACUAAGAUCAAAUGUAUGGAAAAAAACUUGAAAAUUUACAAAAUUUACAAAAAUUUUGGACUGUGGUAAACCAUGUCUAGCAAACCCUUCUUUGCUUAGGCUUUUUGAGGCUCAAGGAGGUUGAUAUCCUCCUUUUCUAGUUUGAAUGGCUCCAUUAAUGGCUUGAGACGAUAUCCAUUGACUUUGAAGGUGUCCUUGCCAUUUGAAUUCAAUAAUUCCACAUCUCCAUUGGAACAUACUCGGUGAAUUAUGAACGGGCCUAUCCACCUUGACUUGAGCUUCCCAGGAAAGAUAUGGAGUCUUGUGUCAUACAGUAAAACUCUUUACCCUUCCUGAAAUUCCUUAUUGGAGUUUAGUUGAUCAUGCCACUUCUUCAUCCUCUGUUUUGCAACUUUGGAAUUGAUAUAGACAUUAUUUCUUAAUUCCUCCAUCUCAUUAAGGUCUAGAUAUAUUUUUUCUCCGGCUCUGAUCAAGUCCAUGUUCAGCUUCUUUAUUGCCCACCAAGCUUUGUAUUCAACUUCCACAGGGAGAUGGCACGCUUUGCCAUAGACAAGACGAUAGGGAGACAUGCCAAGAAUAGUCUUAUAAGCUGUUCUAUAUGACCACAAUGAAUCAUGAAGCUUAAUAGACCAAUCUUUUCUGCUGGAAUUCACCACUUUCAUCAAUAUGUUCUUUAUUUACCUCUUAGCUAGCUCAACUUGCCCGGAAGUCUGAGGAUGAUAAGGUGUAGCCACCUUAUGCUUCACUCCAUACUUGGAUAACAGAGCUUCAAAAGGUUUGUUGCAAAAAUGAGCACCUCCAUCACUGAUUAUGGCUUUGGGUACCCCAAAUCUCGAAAAAAUGUUCUCUUUAAGGAAUUUGAGAACCACCCUGUGAUCAUUUUGUUUACAAGGGAUUGCCUCAACCCAUUUAGAAACAUAAUCCACCCCCACCAAGAUGUAAGAAUUACCAAAAGACAUUGGGAAAGGUCCCAUGAAGUCAAUACCCCAUACAUCAAAUAGCUCAACUAUUAGAAUGGGGUUCAUAAGCAUUUGAUUUAUUUUUGUUAACUUUCCAAGCCGUUGGCAUCUGUCACAACUUCUACACAUGAUGUAGGCAUCUUUGAAAAGAGAUGGCCAAAUAAACCCUGAUUGCAAUACUUUCAUGGCUGUUUUCUGAGAGGCAAAGUGGCCUCCACAUGCAUUCUCAUGACAAUGAUAUAGAAUCCCUUGCUGCUCAUCUUCAGGGACACACUUCCUUAUGAUCUGAUCUGCACAAUACUUAAAAAGAAAGGGCUCUUCCCAAUAAUAAGCAUGAAUUUUGGCAAAGAAGUGCUUCCUGUCCUGUGCAUUCCACUCACUUGGAAUUUCUCCAGUUACUAAAUAAUUAGCAAUAUGAGCAUACCAAGGAGUUUUCACUAGGAACAUGAGUGAUUUUUCAGGAAAAUCAUCAUUAAUAGGCAAGGGAUGGGAAUUAUGUGCUAUAACUAACCUUGAAAGGUGGUCAGCUACCACAUUCUCCACUCCUUUCUUAUCUUUGAUUUGAAGAUCGAAUUCUUGUAACAAAAGAAUCCAUCUAAUCAACCUUGCUUUUGCAUCUUGCUUUGUCAAUAAAUACUUCAAGGCUGAAUGGUCAGUGAAGACAAUGAUGAAAGACCCCACUAAAUAAGCACGAAAUUUGUCCAAAGCAAAUACCACAGCUAACAAUUCUUUCUCUGUAGUUGUGUAGUUCCUUUGAGCUUCAUUCAGUGUUUUGCUUGCAUAGUAAAUCACAUAGGGCUUCCCAUCUUCCCUUUGGCCAAGCACAACUCCUAUAGCAAAGUCACUGGCAUCACACAUCAGUUCAAAAGGUAAUUGCCAGUUAGGGGCUCUCACUAUUGGAGUUGUUGUUAAAAAUUUCUUCAGUUGAUCAAAGCUGUUUUGACAUCUUUCAUCCCAUAUAAACUUAGCAUCCUUAGCUAACAGCUCACAAAGAGGUUUUGAAAGACUUGAAAAACCUUUUAUAAACCGCCUAUAGAACCCUACAUGGCCAAGGAACUGUCUUACUCCUUUCACAGUUGUUGGGGAUGGUAAUUUGACAAUAAGCUCCACCUUUGCUUUAUCAACUUCAAUGCCUUUUUCAGAGAUGAUAUGGCCAAGGACAAUUCCUUGACGUACCAUAAAAUGGCAUUUCUCCCAAUUGAGCACCAGGUCUUUUUCAAUGCAUCUGUGAAGAACUGCUUCCAAAUUGACUAAGCAUUCCUCAAAUGUACCUCCAUAUACGGUGAUGUCAUCCAUGAAAACCUCCAUAAUUAGUUCCACCAUAUCACUGAAAAUACUCAGCAUACAUCUUUGAAAUGUAGCAAGUGCAUUGCAUAAACCAAAAGGCAUUCUCCUGUAAGCAUAUGUUCCAAAUGGACAUGUAAAAGUGGUUUUUUCCUGAUCUGCCAAAUAAAUUUCAAUCUGAAAAUACCCUGAAUACCCAUCCAAGAAACAAUAGAACGGAUGUCCAGAGACUCUCUCCAGCACUUGGUCAAUAAAUGGCAAUGGAAAAUGAUCCUUCCUGGUUACAGCAUUCAGCUUUCUAUAAUCAAUACACACUCUCCAACCUGAAGUGAGGCAUGUAAGUAACUUCUUCUCCUUUUUCAUUCUGAACCACUGUGAUUCCUAACUUCUUUGGUACCACUUGAGUAGGACUCACCCAAGGGCUAUCAGAUAUAGGGUAGAUGAUUCCUGCUUGAAGUAGCUUCAGCACCUCAGCUCGCACCACCUCUUGUAAAUGAGGAUUCAAUCUUCUUUGAAGUUGACGAAUUGGCUUUGUCUCCUUCUCCAUAUAUAUAUGAUGAGUACAAACUAAAGGACUAAUGCCUUUCAAGUCGGAUAUUUGCCAUCCUAUUGCCUUCUUACACCUCUUGAGAACUUCCAUUAAACAAUUCUCUUGAUGACUGGUCAGAGAUGAAGAUAUCACAACAGGACAUUGAUUAUUUUCUUCAAGAUAUGUAUAUUUCAGCUCCACAGGUAGAGACUUCAGAUUGAGUUUUGGAAUUUCUUUUUCAGCAACUGCCUCCUCUUCUUCAUUGAACAAAGGUAGAAUCUCUUCUAUCUUUCUCCAACUUUGUAGAGUAGCAAGCAUAGUAGGAGAUUCAGACAAACCUUCCUCAAAAUCCACAAGACUUUCAUUCAACUUGUCUUGCAUAUUUUGAUUACAGUGCUCCUCCACCAAAGUGUCAAUAAUGCACAGCUCUUCUGGACCCUCUUCUUCUUCCGGAGUGAUUUGCUUUUUAGACAUAUAGAAAAUAUUGAGAUCAAGUGUCAUGUUGCCAAAAGUGAGUUGCAUCAGUCCAUUCCUGCAGUUGAUGAUUGCAUUUGAGGUAGCAAGAAAUGGCCUUCCAAGGAUGAUAGGAACUAAAUUAGCUUCCUUUAUAGUAGGAUCUGUAUCAAGAACAAUAAAAUCUACUGGAUAGUAGAAAUUAUCCACUUGAACCAAUACAUCCUCAAUUACCCCCCUUGGAAUUUUCACUGAUCUAUCUACUAGAGAUAAAGUGAUUGCUGUUGGCUUCAACUCUCCAAGUCCCAAUUGCUUGUAGACGGAAUAUGGAAGCAAAUUCACACUUGCUCCCAAGUCUAACAAGGCUUUCUCCACUACCUUUCCUCCAAUCAUGACUGAAAUGGUAGGACUUCCUGGGUCUUUGUACUUCAAAAGAGACUUACAUUGUAAGAUUGCACUUACUUGCUCAGUCAAGAAGGCUUUCUUAUUUACAGUCAACCCUCUUUUGAUAGUACAUAAGUCCUUAAGGAAUUUUGCAUACGUUGGAACUUGUUUAAUCAUAUCCAGCAGUGGAAUAUUGACUUUCACUUGUCUCAAUACUUCAAGGAUUUCAGCUGCAUUUCUAAUCCCCUUUUUCCCAUGUAAUGCUUGAGGAAAAGGUGGAGAGGUUGAUUUCUUCAGCAUUUCUUCCUUCAUAAGUUCCUUCUCUGGAAUUGCAUUCAUUGUUGAAUCAGAGUCCUUCUUUUCUUCACUGAUCUCACUCUCUUUAUCUUCCAUUUCCUUCCCUUUCUUUAUCUCUUCUUCAUUAUCAACAUGUGGCUUGGGUGUUGGUUGCUCAAUUUUUUUACCACUCCUUAGAGUGAUCAAGGCGUUCACAUCUUUCACCUGUGAUGAUUCUCCCUCUUGGCUUUCCACUUCAUGGACACCUUUGGGAUUUUGGUGAGGUUGAGAAGGAAAUCUUCCCUUUUCUUGUAGUGUAUUCAAAUUUGUAAGCCUUGAAAUUGAAUAUUGGAUGUUAUCAAACUUUUGGUUCAUAUCAUUUUGCAUUCCAUCCAUCCUUUUAUUCAACAUACUCUCCACUCUAUCAAUUCUUUGAUAGAUUUGAGCAUUGGUGGCUUCUUGCUUUCCAACAAAAUCUCCCACUACCUUGCUGAGAUUAGCCAUUACUUGUUCAAGACUUGAAGAUUGUUGAGAUGGUGGAUCCGGCUGUUGGUAUUGAGUUGCUCUGGCCUUCCAUGAGAAAUUUGGAUGAUUCCUCCAACUUGAGUUGUAGGUAUUUCCAUAAGGCGCAUUGUUAUUGGGCUUGAAUUGCCCAAUAACUUUUGCUUGAUCUCUAAACAUUUCCCUUUCAGCUGAAAUUGCAGGGCAUUCCUCCACCAAAUGUUCAUAUGAUUGACAAUUAGGACACAGCUUCACUUGCACUGGUGCUUCAGCAACAGCUUGCACUUCAUGUAUUCUUUUCAGCUCCAGCUCCUCCAAUCUUCUUGUCAUAGCUGCCAACUUUGCUUUCAUAUCAUCAUCUUCUUUCAAGGUAUACAUCCCAGCCUUUGUAUUGAAAGCAUUCGGUUGAGACUUCAUCUUCCCCACUUCUCCUUUAGUUGGUUCAUCCCAUCCCCUUGAAACAUCAGCUAUAUAGCUCAAGAAAUCCAUAGCUUCCUCUGGAUUUUUUCUCAUGAAAUCUCCUCCACACAUUGUCUCGAGGAGUUGCUUCAUUGAGGAGGACAUACCAUCAUAGAAAUAGCUCACCAGUAACCAAGUAUCAAAGCCAUGGUGAGGGCAAGCAUUUAUAGCUUCCAUAUAUCUUUCCCAACACUCAUAGAAUUUCUCAUUCUCUUUAGCUGAGAAGUUUGAAAUUUGACUUUUCAAGCCAUUUGUUCUAUGAGUGGGAAAAAAUUUCUUGAGGAAUUCAGCUUGUAAGUCAGUCCAAGAACGGAUACUCCUUGGCCUUAAAGAAUUAAGCAAAAUUUUGGCCUUAUCCUUUAAAGUAAAAGGAAAUAACUUAAGCCUCAUCAAAUCAAUUGAAGCUCCUCCCUCUUGGAAUGUAUUACAAACAUCUUCAAAUUCCUUGAUAUGUGCAUACGGAUUCUCACUUUCCAUCCCAUGGAAAGUUGGUAGAAGUGGAACAAGAUACGGUCUGAUCACUAGCUGCUCUGUAGGGGGCACUAUACAUGAUGGUGCACUCAUACGAGGUGGAUGCAUACGGUCCCUCAUUGAUCUGAAUUCAUUGAGAUUGUCUUGACGACCUUGGUGACUAUGCUGAUCUUCAGGUGUAGCUUCCAUGAUAUUCAAGCUUACUUCGAAUUCUCUUCUCUGAGGUGUAUCACACUUAACAAGCCUUCCUCCACUGUCUCGUAUCCACUUUGGCAUACACAACUAGUAUCUAUCUGCAACUUAAUGAAAAUAAAGAACAACAACAGAAACAGGGCUACAACAACAAAAUUAAUCUAGGCUAAAUUUUAAAAUAUAAACUUAGAUUAUGAAUAAAUAAAUAAAGAAUGAGAAUUAGUAAAGUGAAAGAAACGUUACCAACUUGUGAUGAAAAUCACAAGUGCUCAAAAAUGGUAUCACUAUAAAUUUGACACCUUCCCUGGCAACGACGCCAUUUGAUUCGUGCCCAAUUGGUGUUUCAGAUAAUUCGUGUCCAGCUGGUGCUCCUUGAUUGAGGGAGUAAUCAACAAAAUUUAUAACCUAUUACACCAUAUACUAGGGUAGCAAAGACAAAGCUACUAUAGUAUAGCGGCUCUAGGAUCGUUCACUGGAAAGGAUUAGCAAGCUAUCAAUGAUACCAAUUCCAAGUGAAUUGGUCUUGUUUCAUUUCAAGGUUAGCUUAAGAAAUAAAACACAAACUUUGAUUGGUAAAGAUUUAAACUAACUAACAUAACAAGUACUCGGAAUAACUUAGGAAGAAAAGCAUUCCUUGGAGAGUUAGGUUCACUGGGGUGGUUCCUCAUGCAAAAGACAUAGCUCCGGUCAGAUGGUUCCUUUCCUCGUGUUAGAGAUUCAACAUAUAGUCACUUCUCUAACCGGUGUUGUACAGCUACCUCCUUUAAUUAGAUUUCACUUUAAUUCUCUCACUGAUGCAACUUGCAAUGGUUUAAGCCUCUCACUAAGCCUUAACCAUUCAAGGUGAUCUUUAACCUUGGAUUACCCGUCAAAAGCUCGCAAGAGAUAACUAAUGGAUGUCUCCUUGGAGUCCAAAAGCUUACCAAGUGUUGGCUAUUCUAGAAAAUCCUACCCUAAAGUCACCUCCCAGAGGCUCGCAAGGGGUAAACUAGUGCAUUUCCAUGGUUGGAAAUCACUUGCCUUACCAAGUGUUGGCCCAGGUGACUCUAAGGUGUUUUAAGUUAACUAAAAACAUAGAAAUCACUAAAGGAUUUCACUUCCUCUUCAUUACUAGCUAAAACCACAAAGCUUUGCAUUCUUGCACUUGGAACCUUCCCCGGCAACCUUAGCUCCAAGGAAUUAGAGGUUUAGUUACUCAUUCUCUGGGAAAAAUUCCUCAGAGAGUUCAUAACUUAGUAAGAAAAUAAAAAUACAAAGUGAGAAGGUAAGGCAAUACAAAGAACUGAACUUUACUUGUUUACCCAAAACUUUACAAAAGGAUCUCCUCUCUGAGAACAGGCUCCCAAGAGGUAUAUAUAUGAACAUAAUAUAAAACUAAUUAUUACAUAGAUAUUUUCUCUUUUUACUAACUUAAAAGCUAAGGAAUCUUGUAAUUGGUGGCUUACAAGGAGUAUUUUGGGAUUUAGACAACAAAAAUCUGAUGUAAAAUAUCUCCCAAUGUCGGUAGCAAAUAUCGGGAUGCUCCAGGAACCAUUUCGCAAGAGAAAAUGGUGUCUACGAGAUUUCGCAGGCACUCAAGAAGGGCUGCGAAAUCAUUUCGCAACAACAUGCUAUCUUCGCAGGGCUGCGAAGUUGGCUUCCACCUUGAGGUUCUUAGCUCCCAGCUUGCGGCAUAUAUCAGGCAACUUCAGAAGGAAAUACACCCUACUGUACAAAAAGGCUGCGGAAUCACUUCGCAGCAAAAGGGUGAUUUCGCAACACUUUGGAAAAUGCUUCCUUCAACUGGGAGUGAUUGGUUUGCAAAGGAUGCAACUUCUUCGUUUCAACUCCGAAUUGCACACCGUUUGAAGCAUUGGAUUGUUGACUUCCUGAGAUUUAAAAUGGUAUAUAGAAUACAUCAAUUGGACCUCAGAAAGUGCUCCAAAAGUGGCUGCUACGACUGUCAUCAAGAAUAUAUUUCUUGGUAGAUUCUCUUUACUUUUUCUCCUUGCAUUCCGGAUUUACUCUUGGCAAAUGACUUCCAAGCUUUGCCCAAGAUUCCUCAACACUCUCCUCAAUCUUGAAUUGCUUUGGUGAUUAAAUUACUAACAAAAACACCAAAACUUACACAAAGUGAUUAAAAUUGCUUUCAAGGGUCCUUAAUAUGCCAAUUGAGUUAAAAGGCCAAAACUACUACUCAAAAGCGUUUAAAAGGAUUAAUUAUAAGCUAUCAAAUAGCACUUUUUGAGUAGUAAUCAGUACAUAUGGUAUUGGAGUGUAGUUGAUUCUCUUUAAUGGAAUGUUAAAUCAAUUUCAAAUUUGGAUUUUGAUGGAGCAAAUACUCCUAUGGGUCCUAGUGGUUCUCGCUUUGAGCUUAUAUACUAGGUAACACAUUUUAUGAGGGUUGGAUUGACUCUAGGUUGAUUCUUGUGCAUAAGAGAAUUUUGGUAACUACGCAAGGUUGCAUAAGGGAUAAUGAACAAGGUAUUUGGUUUGGGCUAAUUGAUCAAUUAGAUGACCCUAUAUAGUUAAUUAAUCAAUUAAGAGCCAUUUUGGGCUAGACUAAGUGACUCAUGCCUUGAUGGGCUUAAGUCACUUAAGCACAAUCGACAACCUUAUAAAUACCCCUUUAUGGGUUAGCAUUUCCUAAUGACUUUUAAUGAGAGUUGUUUUCCACCUCUAGAGAAAGAGAGAGAGAAAGUCAUAGCCUCAUCCCUUUUGUUGCGCACACUUUAGAGUGCCAGGAUUGUGGUUCAAGUCAUCGGGUGGAGGAUCUUGGGUAUAUGAGACCUUCUUAGAUGAGAGGCUACAUCACAUGGACAUGCGUAGAGCACAUGCACAAGAUGUGCAUAGGCCAUGUGCAUGGGAAUUGCAUGACACAUGCACAUGGGCAGUAGCAUGAGGAGAGAGACUCUCUAGUUUUUCCAAGUAUGUUCUUCAUCGGAUGGAUUUUGAUCUGGGAACAUCUAAAUCACAUGUAUGAGUUUCAAAUCUCUAGAUCUAUAGUUAUUAAUGGUUUUCAUUGCUAAUUUAUUCCACUACGAUAGAUUUACAAAUGCCUAGGGAUAGAUGCAUGCACCCUAUGAGAUCCAAGGUAUAGGAACGAAGUAUUAAUCUAGUGGUUCCCAAGUAAUGAUAAUAGUAAGAUAUCAAGAUUGAACCUAGCACUAAUUAAACAUCUGGUAUUUAGACCUAACUCAUAUUAAUCUAAAUAGGAUCCAAAGAUUGGUAAAGUCUAGACUCUUUGAUUCCAAAAGAUCUUCUAGUUUACGAAUCCUAUAUAGAUGGUAAAAUGAUCAAGAGUACUAGAGGUAAGGAAUAUUUGGAGUUAGUGCAUACUAACAUGUAUGGAACUUUUAGAGUCUAUGCAUGGGGAGGGUAUGGGUAUUUCAUCACUUUUAGUAAUGAUUACUUUAGGUUUGGAUAUGUACAUAGGAAAUCCGAUGCCUUGGAUACAUUCAUUGAAUUUAAGGCGAGAUAGAAUAACCUAUUGGGUAUACAUACCAAGUCAUUUCAAUUAUAUCAAGUUGAUAUGUUUGGUAAGUUUGAUUCUUUCUGUUAGAGCAUAUGAUUAUUUUCUAGUUAUGUUCAUCAAGGUCUCUACUGAAAAACGAAUAAGUGGAAAGAAGAUAUCAAACUUGGAUGGACAUAGUAAGAUUGUGGAUAGGUUUCUCAUAUUUUCUCAAAUUCUUUUGGGGAUAUGUCUUAUAGAUUGUGUAAUUACUUUUUUUUUUUUUUUUUUUGCUUUCUUAAGAGGUGUAUUAGUUUAUAGGAUAUCUAAGAGGAUUUUUGGGUUAUAUUGUAGUCAAAAUCAUCAAAAGAUAUUUGUUAACAUAAAUGUCCCAUUUUUCAUGAAAAUUAUAUGAUAAGGAAGAAGGCAUAGAGUGAUAUCGAUUGGAGGAUAUAUUAGAAGAUAGUCCCACAUUGCAUAGGAUACUAUGGAUCCAGAGAGUUAAAGACAUACCAUUCCUAUGAUUUCUAGUACACCAGUACCUCAUCAUAGUGGGAAGUUUAUAUCCCACAGAUAAUGAUGAAGCGGUGAGCAAUGUUUAUGCUCACUUAAGGCAAGGAUGUGUGAUCAUGAAAUCUAUGAACCCAUAGUAAUUCAUUUAGUGAAAUUUGAGAUAUGGUCUUAGUGAGUUAGAGUAUGUUAUUUAAUCACAAAAUAAGAUGAUCUAUAAGUCAAAGAUUGUAAAGGUAGUCUUGAAAGGAUGAUAACUUUCACCUUGUUAGACUACGAACAACCAAUUCAUGGGAAGACUAUAUACAAUAGAUAGCAAGUCACAAACUUGAGCACUUGGUGUUUCGCUGUAAUAUACAUAGGGUUCUAGAGUACAAUUAACUCUCUAUAGUAGGAUAUUGAGUUAACUUUAGAAUUGGAUUCUAAGGGAUCUAGUAUUGUCCUAUGGUUCCAUUGGUCUCUACUAAAGCUCAUCUUCCUUGAUAGCAUGGUUUAUGAGAGUUGGAUAGGUUUUUAGUUCACUCGUGUGCAUAAAGGCAUUUUGGUAAUUGCAUAAGGUUACACAAGGGUAACUGUGCAGUAUCUUCGAACUUGGUUAAUUGAUUAAUUGGAGCCUUAUUUUGUUAAUUAAUCAAUUAGCAACCUUUUUGGGCUAAAUUAAGUGACCCACACCCCUAGUGGGCUCAAGUCACUUAAGCAUAGUAGGAGUAUAAAUACCUUUCUCAAGGGUUUGGGUUUCUAAUUCAAUCUUGUCAUUCUCUCCCCAUAGUCUAGAGAGAAAACCCUAGUCUUCAACCUUGAGAUUUCCAUCAUUUCAGUGCCUAGACUCAAGGAGGAGUCAUCGAGUGGAUGAUUAUGGGUUUAUAAGAUCUUUCUUAAAUUUGGAGCUUUCUACAUUAACAAGAAUUGAUUUGGGAACAUCCGAAUAAUACGUAUAACACUUUUCUCUAGAUCUAUGAUAUGUUUUUUAAAUACCAAAGUUUUCAACUAUGCUUAGAUCUAGAAAGCAUAAGAUAGGAUUACAUGCACCCUAAUAAUCCAAGGCCUAGGAAUAUAGCGAUCUAAGGUUUCCUACCAAAUAUAACCCAAUAAGUAAGAAUGAUUUAUAGGAACUAAAAUUUCUUUCAAAAAGAAAAGAAGUUUAUUGGAGUAAGAUAAGUAUACAAGAGAAGGAAAAAUGCAAAAGGAGUAGACAAAUACAAAGCAACAUUGGUGCAAAGGAUUACAAGCAAGAAUAAUGCACCAACAAGACGAGGGCAUUUGCUCUCAUUGCUCUUUUAGUAACUAUAAGAUUAAAAAUCUCUUUGAUAGCUUAAAUUAGUUGAAAAUUUUCAAAUGGAUGUGAAAUCCAAUUUUUUGAAUUGACAUCUGGAAGAAGUGUAUGUAGAAUAAACCAUAGUUGGUAUACAUAUAUAGGCAUGAGAAUAAAGUUCCAAAAUUGAAAAUAGCCUUGUAUGGAAUAAAACAAACACUAAGAGCAUGGAAUAAUAGAAUUGACCAAUAUUUUCACGAUAAUAAUUUUGUUUGAUACCUUAAUGAACAUGCUCUUUACAUAAAAGUGAAAGAAAAAAGUGAUAUAUUACUUAUUUGUUUGGAUGUGAAUUAUUUGAUCUUUAUUGGAACUAAUCCAAUCAUGUUUAGUGAGUUCAAAGAAGUAAUAGGACAAAAGUUUGAGAUGAUUGGAUUAGUCUCAUAUCAUACUCUCUUGCCAUAGACUUGAAGACAAUUGAAAAGAGUACUUUUUAUUUCUCAAGAAGACCAUGCAAAAUAAAUUUUUAGAAAGUUUAACUUGAAUAUGUGUAAUAUGGUAAACACAAUAAUAUAAUGCAAAGCUAAAUUAUCAAAGACAUGUAGAAGGAGAAAAAGUGGAUUCAACAUAACAUAAAAUCUUAGUUGGAACCAUACACUAUUUGACUCAUACAAGUUCAAACAUUCUCUUUGGAGUUGGAUUUGUCCAUCAUUAUAUGGAAGCACUAAUGAUUAUUUACACUAAGACCUCCUAGUGAAUUUUUCACUACAUCAACGACACAUUUGAUUAUGACUAAUAUUAUUCACCUUUAACAAUUUUAGACUUGUUGGAUAUAAUGAUAGUGAUUAAGGUGGAGACUUGGAUGAUACAAAGAGAACCAAUAGCUUUGUAUUCAUCAUGGGAGAGAUACCAUGUUCACUUGGACUUCAAAGAAGCAACCUAUUAUGAAACUUUCAAUCUAUGAAGUGGAAUUUGUGAAAAUGUUUACAAAAUCUCAUAAUCAAAUUGUGAAAACGUUUACAAAGUCUCUCAAGUUUAAUGAUUUUAGAAUGCUAAAGAUGCUACUUUUACAAAUCAAGUUGAAGGCAUGAGUGAAAAUGUUGACAAAGUUUAAAAUUUUUAGAAAACUAAGGAUGCAUUUUUACAAACCAAGUUGAAGGGAGGAUGCUAGUUAACCUAGAUUUAGGAAGUUUCUAAAAAUUAGAAUUUGAGUUGGAUUCUAAAAUGCUUGAUUUAGUUUGUAUAUUUGUUAGUACAAGAUUUUAUAUUUUACCAUUAUGAGUAUCUUUUUUUGUUUUUUUAGGAGUUAAUAUCUAUAAAUAAGAUGUUAAUAUCUAAAUAUAUAAUUAAAAUUGUUGUGUUUGCAAUUUUAAUGAAAUCUAGCAUUGGAUACUUAACUACAUCCCACAAAACGACAAAAAAAUGGUGGCGAUUUCAUGGAGGCUAACCAUUCACUAGCCUUUAGCCAAGUUGUGUUUCAACAGUAAAGUAAUUACCUCAGUCAAAACACAAAAUUUAGUUUUCUAAACAAUUAUUGUUCUUGGAAAACAUGCAAGGAAUUUAAGCAACUUAAGGUACUUAAGCAAUCCUAGUUGGACGUCCAGUAUUCAGAUCUUUUCAUUAAUUGGUUUUUCUCUUUUUGUACCAACACCUGCUCUCUCUCUCCAGCAUGCAAGCAUAAGUGGUAGGCACCUCUUUUGUGCUUUAAAUUAAUUGAAUACUUUAUCUUAUUCCGCCAUUCUUUUGGGUCUAACCCAAAAAUACAUUUACCAUGCCUUCUUUUCAUGUCCUCAACUUACUCAUAAGUCCCAUUGGAUAUGAUGUACUGAGUUUCAGAUUUUUCAAGUAAAAUUAUCAACAUCGUCUAGCAUAUAUACUAAUAGGUUAUACUCUUUUCAACAGUUUAAAUUGUUUUUGUUAAUAGAUUAUAUGGAUGUUUUAACACUCAGAGAAAUUGAAAUGCAGCCAAAUAUGCAGAAAAAAAAAAUGGUUGUGACUAAUAGUUAUAUUUAUUCUCUUUUAUUUCUGUUGAUACUCAAAUUUUUAGGGAUAGAGCAUCAACAAUCCUUGUGAUGAGUUACUAAUGUUGAGAAAAGUCAAUGACUACACAAUGUAGCUUAAAACCACAUAUGUCAUCAAAGAAGACAUCAAUAAUCACCCCCACACAAUGAUAUGUUGUAUAAUUCAUUACUUGUAUCAAACACAAAUUUCCUUCAAUGUGUGUCUAUGAAUAAAAGAGAGUUCUUGGUUUAUAUUCGACAUACACGCUAUAUAGGCCAUGCUAAAAGCAAUUGAUAACAAGAAUCUCAACACUGAAGUCCACGUAGAAUCAAGUGUGCACCAUAUUGGGGUUGCAUAGUUAGGAUACUGAAGGGAGCAUGAGCAUAGGAUGGCGAAAGUUCAAAUGAGAAGUGUUGUAAGAUCAUUGCCAAAGCUAUUUUUGCCUCCAUCAUUGCAAAAUUUUGUCCAAUGCAUACCCGAGGACCCCAACCAAAUGGGAAAAAUGAAACUUGGUUUUUUGUUGCCUUCAAAACUGCUUCUGCAAACCUCUUUGGAUUAAACUCCUUUGCAUCAUCCCCCCAAAUUUCAUGAUCAUGGUGAACUAGGAUGGUGGGCAACACGACCUGCACUCCAACUGGAAAACACAUGUCUCCCACUUGAGUGUCCUUAUAAACAGCUCUAUGAAGCAUUGCUACUAGUGGGUAUAACCUAAGAACCUCAUGAAAAAUCAUGGUAACCUGUGGUAGAGAAACUUUAGAAGUUGUUGCAUGAGAAUUCCUACUAAAAUACAUUCUAAAUCAGUAUGAAGGACACUGAAGAAUAAAGCAAUUUCUUAAAAUAGUGAUGCAGAAGAGAAAAUGUUCUAAAUCAUGCAUAACAAAAUAUCAAGUAUGCAAAGGACAUUGCAUAUCCCAUGCAUAUAACAACUUAAGAACCUCAUGAAAAAUCAUCAUAAUCUAGCAGAGGAAUUUGAAAUCAUGGCAUGAGAACCCGUUCCUGAGGUACUAAGUGAAAGCAAAUGUUUAGUACAAGAUAUAAAAACUUAAGAGAAACGUGUUUUCAAUUUUACUCCAAUUAUGGGGAAAAAAACAGAGUACUAUAUGAUUUUAGUGAGAAUCACUAAACUAAAGAUUGGAUUGAGUACUCACAAUUUUUAGGUGAUUUAAUCCAUCAGCUUCCGGUUUUUUAUUCCCAAAAACUGUAAAACCUCUUCUCUUGCACAAGCUUGCCAGUUUGGAUGCUCGCUUAGCAGGACCAUUGUCCAUACAAGCAAAACUGAGGUUGUCUCUUGGCCAUCAAGAGAGAAUAGCUUACACUCUUCAAUGACAUCUUUGACACUCAUUCCAAUCUUCUUGUUAUUUUGAUGUUCUUGAAUUUCUCUAAAAUUGGAUUCCAUUAGUAUACCUAAUAAGUCACUACUAGCAGUUUCGCCAGCCUUCAUUGCCUUCUCCCUAUUGCUAACGAUACCCCUCAACAAUGCAUAUACUUCUUUGCUUAUUUGCUUCAUCCUCCUGUUCCGUCUUUGUGGGUAAAAACCUGCGCGCAUGUUAGUAAUUCUAGUAAAUAAAACAUCACAUGAAACACACAUACAUUAAUUCUUAUUUUCAUCCAUGCCUUCUACUUCUCCAUUAAUUUUUUGAAACUUGUAUAAGGCUUCAAAGGUAGAAACUAUGAAGACAAUAACUAAUGGUUUCAUCUACACAUGUGUUGUAGUGGUAUCUCAUCAUCUUGACACAAUAUCCUACAAACAUAAGAUUGAGGAUACUAAACAUCAAUUAGAGAAACAUACUACUUUCUAAGUGUUAUACAAAAGAAGUAAUUGACUAAAAGGGGAUGAAGUGAUCUCAGAGUUGUAAAUCUAAUAUCUCUUAUGCUUGACCUUGAAAAGUAAUCCAUUUUUAACAUAAAUUCUCUUCGAACAUAAAUUCCCUUCAACCUUGUUAGCCAAACACACACUUGAGCAUUGUGAAACUUUCAACCUAUGAAGCGAAAUUUGUGUUGGCAUCAUUUGUAGGUCAUGAAAUUUGUUCAAGAAACUUAAAUUACCACACAAGAGACUGAUAAAGAUCUAUAUGGAUAUAAAAUCAACAAUUACCUUAUGAGAAAAAUCUAGUUCUCCAUGAUGGUGUUGAAUUUUGAAUUUUGCCUUAGUAUCUGCUGGAAUUUGAAUUUUGAAGUUAAAUUUUGUAGCUGGAGUCUUACAAAAAAUAUGCAACAUCCAAAUAUUUUAUUGUUUUUAUUUGGUCAAGAUUUGGUUUCUAUUUUAUUGGAAGUAAUUGUUCAUCAUCUAGUAGCUUGAUUUUCUAUUAUUCUAAUGUCAUUUCAGUUACAAGCUCAUGUAUAAAUUCAACACUCUUCAUCAAUAAAAUGUGUGUUCCAGCAAUCCAAAAAUAUAUAUUCUGCAUAAGUGUUUCAAUCUAAGAUCAACAGAUGGAAGACAGUAUAUUGAUACAAAAUAUCAUUUAUUAUAGAGUACAUUAUGAAAUAUGAAGUGCAAUUAAAAUUUACAAAAUCUCAUGAUCAAAUUGUGAAAACAUUAACCAAGUCUCUCAAGUUUAAAGAUUUUAGAAAGCUAAGGAUGCUAUUUUUACAAAUCAAGUUGAUGGGAGGAUGUUAGUUAAACUAGAUUUAUAAAGUUUCUAAAAAUUAGAUUUUGAGUUAGGUUUUAAAAGUUAAUUAAAAUAUUUUAUACAAAAUUCUUGAUUUAGUUUGUAUAUUUUGUUACUGCAAGAUUUUAUAUUUUACUAUCGUGAGUAUCUAUUUUUUUUAGGUGUUAGUUUCUAUAAAUAAGAUGUUAUGUAAUAGUUGAUCAAGUGUACAGGUGGAUGAUAAUAAAUUUUUUCUUAAUCAUCUCAAUUAUUUAUAUAUGUAAUUGCUUAUGUGUUUUUUCAACCACAUUGCUGCAACAUAGGUGAAUCUGCUGGUUGGUCUAUAAAAAUUCAUAUCAAUUGUUCAACCUGUUACAUUCUGUUAGGCUUAUGUAACGAUGUAGAUUAUAGUCUCUUUCCCUAAAAUUUCAUGGUGUUAACAUUUCAGGAAAGCAAAAUUUCCUAAAAUGGAAUAUGGUGUGCAAGGACAAAGAGACUUAUUAGGCAUCUAAACUCCAGGGAAAUCUGUCGAAACACUGCUGCAAAAAGAAAACAAAGCCCCAAAUAACUCUUUGAUCUUUUGUACCAAGCAGACUCGUGUAUGAAUAGUUUCAGAAAAAUAAGCUGCAUAUUUCUUGAAAUAUUUUUAUGCAUACCUCCAUCCCGGGAUAUAAACUGACAUUGUAACUGUUAAAAGGUAGUCUUUUUUCUUAUUUUUCCUUGUGUGUUGAAUACAAUACUAUAUAGAUUCAGAACAAAGGAACCUAUUCUAGCCUAUACAUAUCUUGCGGCAAAAAAUAAGGCCAUCCCUUGAAGUAUGGGAUUUACAUAAACAGAUUUCUAUACUUAUCUCAUUAGACAGCUCACGACAACACUCCCCCUCAAGUUGGUGCAUAGAUAUCUUUUAUGCCCAACUUGUCAAGUGAGUUGUAGAAAUUCCUUACAAACACUGCUUUUGUGAGUACAUCAGCCAACUGGUCUUCUGAUUUGACAAAUGGAAGCUGAAUAAUCUUUUCUUCAAGGUUUUGUUUGAUGAAGUUCCGAUCCACCUCAACGUGCUUAGUGCGAUCAUGUUGAACCGGAUUGUGGGAGAUAGCAAUGGUCGUUGUGUUAUCACAUAACAAGUUCAUUUCGGAACUAGGAGCAACAUCGAUCUCAGCUAGCAGCUUUUUCAGCCAAAUGAGCUCACAUAUUCCCUUGACCAUUCCCCGAAAUUCAGCUUCAGCACUAGAUAGGACAACUACUUUCUGUUUCUUGCUCCUCCAUGUAACUAGGUUGCCUCCCACAAAAGUAAAGUACCCAGCAGUGGAUUUCCUGUAUGUGAUGUUCCCUGCCCAGUCCGCAUCUGUGUAGCCAGCAACCUUCAAAUGACCAUUCUUUGAGAACAUAAGCCCUUUCCCCGGAGAGGACUUCAAAAAAUGAAGGAUUCGCAUUACAACAUCCAUAUGGUCUUCACUCGGCCGGUGCAUGAAUUGACUCACUACACUCACAGCAUAAGCAAUGUCUGGCCGAGAAUGAGAUAAAUAGAUGAGUUUACCCACUAACUGUUGAUACCUCUGUUUGUCCGCUGGUACCUGGUCUACAUAUUCUCCAAGUUUAUGAUUUUGGACAAUUGGAAUAUCAACAGGCUUACACUCUAGUAAUCCCACCUCUGCUAGCAAGUCUAGUAUAUAUUUCCUUUGGGAAAGAAAUAUGCCUUGUCUUGACCUUGCCACUUCAAUGCCCAAAAAAUAUUUAAGCCCCCCUAAGUUCUUCAUCUCAAACUCAGUUGACAAUUGAUCUUGAAGCCUGGAUAUUUCUUCUACAUCAUCCCCUGUAAUUAUCAUGUCGUCUACAUAGACUAUGAGGGCUGUUAUUUUUCCCAAUCGAUGUUUUGGGAAGAGAGUGUGGUCAGAGUUGCUUUGUUGAAAUCCAUAUUUCCUCAUUACCGAACUCAACCUGCCAAACCAUGCUCGAGGUGAUUGCUUUAGUCCAUACAAUGCUCGUUGUAACCUACAUGCAAUCUUUGCCUCUGAUGUAGCAGUAUAGCCUGGUGGAAUAUCCAUGUAAAUCUCCUCUUCAAGAUCACCAUGGAGAAAGGCAUUUUUUACGUCAAGUUGGUACAAUGGCCAAUCUAAGUUUGCUGCAAGAGACAACAGAACUCUAACAGUUUUUAGUUUUGCUACAGGUGAGAAAGUUUCCUGAUAAUCUAUACCAUGUUUCUGUGUAUAACCCUUUGCUACCAACCUCGCCUUGUAUUGAUCAAUCGACCCAUCUGCUUUAUAUUUAAUAGAGAAAAUCCACUUGCACCCCACUGUCUUCCUCUCUUCCGGCAACACACUCAAAACCCAUGUAUUAUUUUUCUACAACACCUCCAAUUCUUCUUUUAUAGCUUGAGCCCAUUUCAGAUCCGAGAAAGCUUCUUCAACCCUACUUGGAAUCUGACAUGAGGAGAGUGUAUGUGCAAAAGCUCUGAGAGGUUCAGAUAAUCUUUGUGUAGACACAUAAUUGGCUAUUGGAUACUUGGAUCGUCGUUCUUCUAUGUCUAGGGAGUAUCGAUUUGGAGGCUUGCCUCGAUUGUGUCUGAAAGGUAGAACAUAACCCGCAGAUGUAUCUAUAGCAUUAGUUUGUAAAGGUGUGGUAGGAGAGCUUACCUCAGGAAUAUUCUUAGUAGGAGGGUCGUUGGGUACUAACGAGUGAGGGAAUACAUCAGAUUCUGCAUCUUCCGAUGAUUCAGGUGCUGGUUCAGCUUCAGUUCUCAGAGGUUCAGGUACAGGAUCAUGUUCAACCAUGUCGUUGUCAUCAUUCGGAUGUGUUGGAUUGUCACCAACGUCUAACACUUCAACAUCAGACCAAUUCCGUUCUUCACCAUAGAUCUCCCCCUGAAGAGGGGAAUUGGAUAUCGGUGACAAAAAAAAAUUCAGAUUCAAGGAAGGUGACAUCCAUGGUAAUGUAGGUUCUUUUAGCAAUGGGAUCGUAGCAUCUGUAUCCCUUUUUGUGUACUCCAUACCCCAAGAAUAAACACCGGACAGCACAUGGGUCCAACUUAGUUCGUUGAUUUUUAUGGAGGUGAACAAAAGCAACACAACCAAAAAUUCGGGGAGGAAUCAUCAAAACAGUCGGUAAGGAGACAUGAUAAGAAAGCACCUUUAGUGGAGUCUGAAAUUGUAAGACUUUGGUGGGCAUACGGUUCAGUAGAUACACGGCUGUGGUAACAGCAUCACUCCAGUAUCUAUUCGGCACAUGUGCAUUGAUCAAUAGAGCACGGGCAGUUUCUAAGAUAUGCCUAUUUUUCCUUUCAGCAAUACCAUUCUGUUGUGGGGUUUGUGAACAUGAGGUUUCAUGGAGAAUACCAUGGUUGUUGAAGUAUGUCUGGAAUUAUUGAUUAACAUAUUCCCCUCCAUUGUCAGAACGAAUGAUCUUAAUUCUUGCAGAGAAUUGUGUCUGAACCAUGGCAUGAAAUGAUUGAAAAAUAGAAAAUACUUCAUCUUUGUGUUUUAGGAGGUAAAGCCAUGUCAUUCGUGUGCAAUCAUCAACAAAUAUUACAAACCAACGAUGACCAGAAGACGUAGUUACUAGUGAAGGUCCCCAAACAUCGGAACGUAUUAAAUCAAAAGGAACCAUACUUUUAUUCAUGCUCAUGGGAUAAGAAGCCCUAUGACUUUUGGCUAAGAUGCAAGUAUCACAUUUAAAACCUAAAUGUGUUACAUUUGAAAAUAACCCAGGUAAUAAGUGCUUCAAAUACCCAAAUGAUGGAUGCCCAAGUCGAUGAUGCCAUAACCAAAUCUGUCUCUCCUUGUUACCAACCUUGUGGUGCAUGUGAUUUGCUCUUCCCGAACUGAAGGCAUCCACGUAGUAUAACCCCCCCUCCUCUUAGUACCACACCCAAUUAUCUCAUUGGUGAGAAUAUCUUGAAGAAGGCAAAAAGUAGAAUACAUCAAUACCACACAAUUAAGAUAUGAAGUAACUUGGCUUACAGACAUCAAUCUAUUUGAAAGAGAGGGUACAAGUAAUGUAUUAGAUAAUGAAAGGGAAAGAGAAAAAGUCACUGUUCCAGCCCCUGUAACUAGAUAGGUGACCCCAUUAGCAUUUGCAACACAGCUCCUUCUCGGCUGAGUUGUAUUAGAGAAAUCCUUUGAAUCAAAUGUCAUAUGGUCUGUAGCCCCAGAGUCGAGAAUCCAGUCCUCAUCAUCCUUGUGAGUAGAGAUAUGAAAUGCCUUACUCGAAGUACCUGAAUCAUGUGAAGAUUCAGCUUGAGGAAUGAGGGAUAACGAAGCAUCACAAGUAACCACUGCAGCUCUCCUAGUGUGGUUAUCAUUAGCAAUGAUUUCCCAUUUUUUUCGUGCUUGAAGGUCAUUCCACCAAUCUGGAUAUCCAUGCAGUUUGAAGCAGGUGUCACGGGUGUGUUUGGAGUUGCCUCAAUGGGUACACUUCAUGUCGUCAGAUGGUGGUUUAGUUUUGGAUGAGGAGUUGGAUUUCCCGCUGCUUAGGGAAAGAGCUCCAGGUUUCGGUGGCAUCUGGUGAUGGCUGCCCUUGAUCCCUUUGGAAGCCAUAACUGCUCCUGGAGGAGUAUCUGCACCUGAGAUCAUCAAGGUCUGCCUGACCUCUUCCCUACGGACAAAUGCAUAGGCCUGUUCCACCGUAGGGAAUGGUUUAAUUUGUAGAACAUCACUCCGAGUUUUAUCCAAUCUGUCAUCUAGUCCAUCAAGGAAGGUAUAAACUCGAUCUUCUUGUAGAAUGGAAUUGUAUUUCUGUAUGUCAAUUGCACACUCCAUCGGGUUAGGACGAUGAAAAUUGAUUUCUCGCCACAGCCCUUGAAGGUUGUUGUAGUAUUUUUCAAUGGAUCCACCCGCCUGCUUCAUACGAGUAACCCGACGUCGGAGAUCAUAGAUGUCCCAUCAAAAUAGGUUAUAGAAGCAGAAUCCCAAACCUAUUUUGCAGUUGGGAAUCGGAUAAAAUUGGCAAUCAAGGAAGGGUCCAUCGAAUUGAUCAACCAUCCCUUGACAAUGGCGUUUUCGGUGCGCCAUCUCCUGAAUGAAGGAUCGGUUUCUGGAGGCUGAGGAGAAUCUCCAUUGAUAUAUCCCAGCUUGUCCUUGCCAGAGAUAUACAUCUCGACAACCUGGGACCAUAAGGCAUAGUUGGAUCCUUCCAACUUGAUACCGAUCGGAGUAGUUGACGAAUCAGCAAGCAGAGGUUGAGGGGAGGUCUGGGCUCUAGUCAGGACCUCGGUCACUCUUGUAGUUAGAUCGCUAAGGAUGGAAUCAGUCUGGGGAAUGAGAGGUUGUGUUAUGUCUCUAGAUUCCGCAAUGGAGUCUGUCGGUUCUGGUUUGACAAGAUUUGUUGUAUAUUAACGGAUAACCGGCUGGAAGGAAUCAGAGGGAAGCAGCGCUGGAAACUGACCAGGAAGAUGAAGAUGAUACCAGGUGGGUCUUCCGGAGUUUUUUCCUGGUCAUAGUGGCUGAGCAGAGGUCCUAGGGACGUGCUCUGAUACCAUGUUAAAAGGUAGUCUUUUUUCUUAUUUUUCCUUGUGUGUUGAAUACAAUACUAUAUAGAUUUAGAGCAAAGGAACCUAUUCUAGCCUAUACAUAUCUUGCGGCAAAAAAUAAGGCCAUCCCUUGAAGUAUGAGAUUUACAUAAAUAGAUUUCUAUACUUAUCUCAUUAGACAGCUCACACUAACAGUAACCUGGCUUGCAAAAUGUGUUUGUUCUUUCUGGAGCUAGAAUAUCCUUCUUCCUUCUUCAUAGCUACUACCAAAUGCUGUCCGAGAAAUCACAUCCCCUGUCAAAUUUUCAAGAUAGGGCCAAACAUCCAACUCACAUGAUCCCCCCACCGAAAGCAUUUUCCAUUUGGUCACCAUGUCGCUACAACUCAAAUGAAAUGCCGGCAACAUAUUCUAUAACAAAUUCAACCAAAAAAUAAAUUAAUAUCCAGUUUCAAAUUCAAUAUACAGCCAUUUAUCACUGACCUGUGAAAUAACAAUUUAACUAGUUCAUAAAGUAUGUACUACUUAAAGUCACCAUAUGUUAGGAAGAGUCAUAUGGGUGGAGGAUGAGGAAUAUUCAGUUUUACCAUGGAGGCACUGACUAAAGAAAUCAUAGAAAAAAAAUGAGCAUAUUCAUGAAAAGUUAGAUGUACUGGUAAUAUUAAUGAAAAGUUAGAUGUAUUGGUAAUAAGCAAGUAAGAUAAGAAAGUUGUUAAGAUCUUACUGUCAUAUGUAUCAAGUAUUUUGAUCCUUAUGGUUUACUUUGGCAAAUAAAACUUCUGAAAAUUUCUAUUGGAGACUGGAAAAAGACUUUAUAUGAGUAAGAAAAAAAAAACAAGGUAAAGGUAGGACACAUUGGGUAUGUGAAAAUACUUUAUUAAACUGAUCGAAAUAUUUGGGAAUUUCGAUAUUUAUACAGGUUUUUAGAAAAAAUUUUAUAAAAAAUUGGUAGUUAUUAUUUUUCGAAUACUAAUAUAAAUUUAUCUUUCAAAGACACAAUUUUAGUGUAGUUUUCAAGUGUUAAAAUUAUUUUUUUUAAAAGACAACUUUAUAAAAUUCAUUUCUUUUAACUUUUAAAUGAUAACUUUCUAAUUAGUAUCUAGCAAACUGAUGUAGAAUUGAAAAUAAUUUUUCAACUAACAUAUUUUAGAAGAUUAUAUAUAUAUCAACCUAAGAUACAUGAGAUGAGAAAUGGGUAUUCAUAACCUCCAAAUCUUAUAUAUAUUAUCGCUUAAAUUUUUGUUCCACUGCAUUCACAUGUUCAAUCUCUUUUCCAACAGUGGGAGGGCUAUGCAGAGAUUAUGGAACUGUAAUAUGUCACAAUUGAAACAGUUUCAAUUAUGGAACUGUUUGUUCACUUUCACAGUUUGUGAAAAGAUUAAAAAAAAAAACAUGGAAAUUAAGGUAAAAUAUUCUGGUUUGGAAACUGGGCAUUGAAAAUUACCUUCAACUUUUCUAGAUGGAAAGCUGGGUUGAUGAUCUUUCUACGUUUAGCCCAUCGUUCGCCUUCCAAGGUCACCAGACCAGAAACCAGCAACUUGCCAAGUGGGUGUGGGGGUGGCUUUUGAAAGACAUUGGACUUUAGCAAAACAUCCCUUAUUAGCUCAGGCUCCAUAAUGUUUACCAUUGGAUUUGGACCGAACCAUGCAAAGGAAUUUUUACCUGCACGUUUAUGCCAUUAUUGGAUAGUGUUAGCCUCAAAUUGCUUUUAAUUUGGACUUCACACAAAUUCAACUUUGGGUAUCAAAAUUUAGUUGAACCCAACUUGGACCAUCGAAAACAAUGAAAACUUCAGCCAUAGUUUCUAUGAUGAGUUAUUAUAAAUGGACUAAAUCAUUUUUUCAGAAUUGUCUCAAUGUCAAUUGAUAUUAAGGAAUGAACUCUAUUCAUUGUAGCCUUGAGAUUAAAUAAUGAAAUCAAGAGGGCUAUCAAUAUGCUUGGCAGGCUGGGUGACAGUUUUGGAUAGAUGCAACAAUUUUAAUUAUAUAUUUAGCUUUGGAUUCUUUCCAGAGAAUAUUCUGCAAUCUAGCAUGGGAUACUUAAAGACUACAUCCCACAAAAAGACAAAAAAAAUGGUGGCAAUUUCAAGGAGGCUAAUCAUUCGCCUGCCUUUAGCCAAGGAUUAGUUCCAAACAAAACCUUCCGAAAAGAAAGGGGGAGAGCCCUUCUGGAUGGACUUGGCAUCGACACAAUAGAAUUGGCAUCGAAAGAAAAAUAAAGAUUUAACCAAUUGAGCACAAAUAACUGACAUAAAAAUUAACACUUGAAAAAAAAAGUUGAAAAUUUGGCAUAAAUUAAAAGUUAUUCACAGCUCCCAGAAAUUAAACAAUUGAAAAGUAAAAACAGUACUUUUCAAAGUGGUUAAGAAAUACAGUUAGCAAAGAUUACGAACUACCACUGAAAUCUAAACCUUUGGUGUAAUUUAAAAAAGAGGAAAAAAACAGAAAGGAAAAGAAAAAUAGUUAGGAAGAGAAGAGCAGAAAACAAACAAAAGCUUUAGGGGAGUAUAAAAAAGUUGGCCAUAAUUUGAAGAGAUCAGCAAACUUUAAUACUAUGAUGAAAAGUAAUAAGUCAUAUCGGUACCGUAUUUCUUAAUGAAAUGAAAAUGGAAGGGCAGGACACGUGGAGUAGUAUCAUCGGAGAGGCUGAUUGGUCUUGAAUAUGCUUCUUUUAACAUCAUGGACAUCUCUUUGAAGUCCCCAUGUAAAAGCCUAUAAGAAUUCCCAGCCAGGCCUUGCUCUCUAAGGCAUCUUUCUAACCUCUUUGGCCUCAACCACACCCAAUUCAGUAGCCUCCAUAAACAGCUUAUGAGCACAGUAAGGAACCCAAAAGAAAUUGCAACUGAGCUAUGCUUCAUUUCCAGUUUGAGGGACUUCUAUCAGGAGAGGUAUGUUAAAUCACUUCAGAGUGAGAAAAUGACUUUAUGCUGCCGCUGUGUAUAAAUUGGCCCCUAUUCUAUUCCCUCGUGCCGGCAAACAUAGAAGAUUUCGUAAAUGCCUAAUGGGGAGAAGAAUGACUAGUAUUUUAAAAUCUAUAAAUUAUCUAUUUUAAUUGUCUCCAUCAAUAUGGCUUUUAAACUUCUCAAUGAAUUAUUAAUUUAUUCUAUUUGAUGCAUUUCAAAGUUUGUGCAAUCGUCACUGCUUAUUAAAAACUGUAUAUGCCAUGAAUGUAGAAGGCAAAAUUUGAGCAUACGGAAUAUGGAAUUCUAUUUGAUGGACCAGCUUUCACUUGUGAGUCGAUGGAGCAUGUGGAUGCUCACUUUCAGAGCCUCAAGGGACAGCUCGCAUCCCUCACAUCUUGGCAGAUGUCUCAGGGUGCUUCCAGCUCUACAACUCCAUCUGAUCUGGACUUUUUGAUACUUCAUGUUUUUUUGAUACUUUAUGUUUUUUUUUUUUUGUUUUUUGUUUUUUUUUUUGUUUUGUUUUGUUUUGUUUUGUUUUUUUGUUUUUGUUUUUUUUUUUUUUUUGUGGAUAAGUUUAUUUUGUACACCUAACCCAUGUUGGCUCAGUUUAUCACAUAUUUUGUUUGUCUAGAUGUACUUUUAUUUUCUUAUCUCUUGUAUCCAGAACCUUUUUUACCAUAUAUGUCCAUGUGUUUGCUUUUCUUUUCUCCUUUUCGUAUGCUUACUGCUUCAUCAUGCUCUUUGUCAUUUUUUGCAACAAAAAAGGGGAGAUGGAUUGUUGAUUUGAUUGAGUGUUUUGAUAUUCAUAUUUUUUUUACAUCUGUUUCGUGGCUUGCACCCUUACUCGUAUACCUAAUUUGAUAAAAUUGAUCAGUUAUCUUUCUUCCCACACACUACUUUACCUGGGUAUGUUGUUUAGUGUGUGGAAAUUCUAGGUACUAGGGUAUUGCUCAUUUUUUGGAUGUGGCUUCUAGUCCUUUGCACGUUAGAUGAUGAAUUGGUUUAGAUAAGAGGUAUUGAGAGAUUUGUAAACUCCAUUUGAGAGUAUUGAGGGGUUUAUGCAAUUUGUAGUUUAUCACAAAAUUGCAUAGGGGAGAGAUUGUUCGUACAUUAGGUGAUGUAGUUUAAAAUUGUCAAUUUUGUUCUAUUCAUUUUGGUUUAGGAUCUUUCUAGAUUGUGUCUCACUCCCCAUUGAAGACUCAAGGUUAUUAAUUGAUCAACUAGGAUUACAUAGGUAGGUGUAAAAAGAUUUGGGAAAGACAAGUUAGUGUUUGGUAUGACAUGGCAUGGAUUGAGUAGUUUAACAUUGAUGAGCAAAAUGAUUUUCUAACCGGGUUUAAAAAAUGCCUAAAGCGCUCAAUCACUCUAAGAGCAUUUGAGUCCUAGCAACAAAAUUCUCUAGAAUUUUGGAGAUCUGUCUUUCUAUUUUUAAAGGAUUUAUUUUGAGGAACUUUUUAGAAUUAGUCCACUAGGUUCCUAGGCUUAUAUAUACAUUGCCUAAAAAGGUUUUUGGUUUGAUGCUUUUGAGUUGAAAAACCUAGAUUGUCUUCCUAUUUCCAAAAUUCUAAAAGAAACAUUCAUAUUUACUUAUGCAUAGUUGAGAUGGAGAUUUGUAUCCUCCUCAAGUGCUGAAGUGAGAUCCUCUAUGAGCACAUGAGAUGUUGCAUUGUGGAAGCAAAACACAAUGUAAGUGUUAGGUAGUAAGUCUUAGUAGUAGCUUUCUAAUGCGACUCAUGGUAGCUUAGUUUUAAAGGCGUAUCAACAAAAUUUAUACCUUGAAUACUAUUACUAAAGUAGCCAAGCUACUAUAGCAUAGUGGUUCUAGGAUUGUUCACUGGGAAGGGUUUUCGCAAACACAAGUGAUAUUCAAAUUAGGAAAAUAGGUGAUUUUCUUAUGGAUGUUAGCUUUAAAAGAAGAUGUAAAUGUUUUAGAAAGAUUUAAACUAAUCUAAGCUAACAUUAAAGACUAAAAUGAAAGGGUGUAAAAACAAGUUUCUCAAAGAUAGGAUAGCUAUGCUCUGACUCUUAUGCAAAUUGGAAAUCUCAAGAUAGGCUCCUUGAGUUGGGGUUGCAACUAUGGUGAUGCUUGCUUCCCGAACCGGUAUGGAUUUAACAAAUCAAGUUUUAAUCCUUUAAAAUGGAAAAAUAGAUGGUAGUGAAUUUCAUCAAUGGUUAUUCACCUUAGACUUCCUUUGAAUGGCUUGUAAGAGAUAACUAAUGGUCUAAAGCCAAAAGCUUCCCAAAUAUUGGCAACUCAAAGUCAUUCCAAGUGAUAAACUCACCUUUCAAUGGCCAUUGAAAUUGGUUAUAACGGAUUAAUGCAAAACUUGGAAUUGAAAACCUCACCUUCCAAUAGCUCGUAGGAGAUAACUAAUGGAUAGAAAUCCAAAAGCUUAUCAAGUAUUGGCCGUUGGAAGUUGUCCAAAGGAAAUAAAAACCAAACUUUGCAUUAAUGAACCUUUAAUGAAAAACGGCUACUUUACCUUCCGGGUGCGAGAAAUUUCCAUGGGAUUGCAUCCAAGUCAUCACAUAACAUCCAUACUCUGAGAAACUAAAAGUUUUAGCCAAUCAUCCUCUGAAGAAAAGCUCUCAGAGGCUGUUUGGCUUCCAAGAAAAUAAAAUAGUAAAGAGAAAAGAUAAACGAGAGAGCUCUCCCCUGUUUUCUAAGUGUAAAACGUAAUAUGUAUCAUAUCCUUCCAAGAGGUGAUUUCCACCCCUUAUAUAGUCUUUACAAAAGCAAAAGCUUGUGAUUGGUUAGUUACAAGGAUAAGAAAGGAAAUUACAUCAAAAAAUACAUAAGAAAAUAUCUAAAUUGGAGUCGGCAAAAACAGAGCAAAAUUCGCACCACGCAUGGGCUGUGCGAAUUUUGAAGGUGUUGUGCGAAUUUCGCACAACACAAGGUGUCGUGCGAAUUUCGCACAACACAAGGUGUCGUGCGAAAUUUUCGCACAACCUAGAGCGGUUGGCUUCCGAAGGCCAUAUCUUCCUCAUUUCAGCUCCAAAUCAUACACGGUUUGAAGCAUUGGAUUCUUGACUUCCUGAGCUUUCAAAUGGUAUAUAGAAUGUAGAAAAUGGACUUCGGGAAGUGCUCCAAAAGUGCGAAAGAAUACUGCAGCUGCUGUCCUCUGAUUUUUUCACUUUGCUUUCCUCUUCUCCAUUGUUCUUUCCUUGCAUACUUUGAACGACUUUGGCAAAGGGCUAUGGAGCUCCAAAGCUUGGUUCUUCAUGAAUUUGAGCUUCCAAAAGCUUUGCCAUAACUUGUCCAAUUAGCUCCUCCAUCAUUUGGCAUGCUUGAAUUGAUUCAUAAGCUGAUAAAAACAUGUAAACUUGCCACAAAAUGGUUAAAACCAAUUACUAAGGACCUUAAUGAAUUAAUUGGGUUAAAUGAAUAUGAUUACUACUCAAAGGUGCUUAAAACCAUUAUAAUUAGGUCUACAAAAUAGCACUUUUUGGUAGUAAUCACUUUCAUCAGGUAAAAUUGAGUACAUACCCCAUUAUAUAUGAUGGAGAGCUCCUCAAAUGCAUAUCCUAGAAUCAAAAUCAAUUGAUACUAAAUUAACACCUAACCCAUAUUUCAAACAAAAUCUUGCUAUUUCACAUUUUCAGCACCAAUCCAUGAAAAUGGUGUUUUUGGGGAGCAAUUUCAAUUGAUUUAGAAGAUCAUAUGAGAUCUUACUCUUCCCAUCUUGAGACUUGAGACUUAAGAGUAAUCUGUUUUCAGAUAGAUUCAAUAUCACUAUUUGAUUAAUUUCUAUGUACAGUAUGUUUUUCUAUAUUUUAAACUCAUAAAAAUUCCAUCCUUUUAAUUCUAUUAGAAUAACGUAAAUCAUAUGGAAGUUAGAUUCUAAAUCUCCAAUCUUCACAUCAUCAAGUAUCAACUAUAAGAACUCAAACUCAACACUUUAGUGGCUCUAAAGAGUCUAUUUUAGUGCAUUUGAGGUAUUUAAAAAUGACCUAAUGCUUGUUUAUUGUGCAUCUCUCAAGUGUGCCACCAAACUAAAUUGCACACUCCCUCUAGCAAUUUAAAUUGACCACUUUCCCCAUGAUUCAAAUGUUGCAUGGCCCCUCAACAAUUGAACCCAACAAGAGCACUCAAGUUGUGCAUGUCUGUAACAUCUUAAUUGCACUUUUCCCUACCACUAUAGUAGUGUAUCCCUAGGGCCACUCAACAUGCAUUGUCACGCCCCAAAGCCCACUCCAAGGACAUGAUGAUCUUUUCACACCUAGCUCAAGCCCAAGGGCUCAAAGUGGAAACGACACAAACAUUUGUAUUGUAACUGGAAAUUUAUUAAUUACUAAAUUCCUGGAUCAAACAUUUUAAUUAUGCUUGCAAAUAGGAGAUAUAACAUAUACUUAUUUUCAUAAAAACUUUUGAGCUCAAAAUGCUAAUACCUUCAAACUUUUCAACAAAAAUUUCUCAUAUCCAUUUCAAAACAAUUUCUCAUCAAACCACUCCGAAUACAUUCAAAAUAUCUUUACUCUGGUUAUCGUAUGACAAAUGGUGCCCAAUUAGGUGGGACCUUGCAAUUGAGUAACUAGUUUCAAAUUUGUUCGAUUUAAGGUUAACAAAACCAAAUGUCAACAAUUAUAACCCAUUGACUAGGGUCAUAAGGUCAACUAUUAUAAUCCAUUAACUAAGAUCAUAUAAUAUCAACUAUUAUAACCCAUUGACUAAGGCUAAAAAUGUCAACUAUUAUAACCCGUUGACUAAGGCCAUAUAAUUCAGAGUCAAAUAUUUUAUUUCAUUAAUUCAAACUUACAAAACAAAACAUCAUAUCUCCUCAAUUUUUCAUUUUUCAUAAACAAAGAAUAUACUCAAAUAUACUUUCAAUACAAAACAUAUAUUUGAUUUAUGUUUAAAGAUAAAAAUAAUAUUUUUACACAUUUCAAAAUACAAUAUAAAAAGAAAAUUAUUUUCUUUUACAAAAAUCUGCAUUAAUUUCAUUUACCUUGAAGAAGCACUCAAAAUCUUAAAUUAUUUAGCUUUGAAGAAUUUCCUCACCUAACAUAAUAUCAUACACAAUAUUGAUUAUUGAUUGUUUAUCUAAAUAUAUAAAUUUGACAAUCUUAAAAAUAUUUUAUUUAGUAUUAGGGAUCCUAAUUAAUUUCUCAUGUUAAUAUUAUUACCAUCCAAUAUUAUUUUCAACUUCCUAAACAAUAAUUUAUUUCUUUUUUCUAACUUAUCUAAAUUAAAUCUUUUAAGAAUAUUUAUUUGCAUUAAACAUUAUUACUAUUAUUUAAAUCUCCUACGAAAACUUAACAAAUUCCCCAUACAAAUCUUUUUUUUUCCCAGCAACUUCACACCAACUCCAUUCAUUAUUAUUAUUUCUUUUAUUAUUAUUAUUAUUAUUAUUAUUAUUAUUAUUAUUAUUAUUAUUAAUUUCAAUACCCAACAACAGCUUAACCUAUUUCUCUUCCAAGCCAUCAACGUCCUUUUCUUCCUCAUUGUUUACCAAAAUACUAUUUACUUCCUUUCCUAGGUCAAUGUGCUGACCAUUUCUUAGUUUUUUUUUUCAACAUACAUCUUUCAUCAUUUUUUUUCUCCUCUCUAAAGUCAAAACUUUUAAUCUCCAUACUCACAAAUUUUAUGUUAUUUUCACAUCCGAAACUAUAUAUAUAUAUAUAUAUUUAUCUAGAUCUAUUCGUUUGAGCAAUCAAAAUUUGUCGAUCUCCAUUAAUAAAUCAAACUAUGUUCAUAUUUUUUUAAAUAUUUUUGACCUAAAUUAAUUAAACGAACUCUAAUCAAAGAAUAUCUAUAGUGUUCAAAACUAAUUAACGAAUAUAAAAUAUUAAUUUAAGUAUUAAAAAUCUUACUUGAAAAAUUGAUCUUCAAAUCCUAAACCUUCAAAUCUUAAACCAUAUGCUCUCUAAUAUUUCUGGUCUCUAUGUAAAAGGGUUUUCUGAAUAGAGAGGAUGGGAAAAGUCUAAUUUAUACCUAGGAGUUUUAAAUAAGAAAAUACCUUUUUGCCCUUAUUAAAUUACUUAAUUAAUUAUUAAUUUCUAAAUUAUGAUUUUACCCCUAAAUUGGGUUUAGGGCAUUAUAUGCACACUAUUCCCACUUUUGCAAAGGUUGCGCACCUGAGAAAACUCCUUUCAAUGAUUUGUUCACUCACCAAAGUAAUGCAAGCAUCUAAGCCUUAAGUCAUCAUCUAUACUAUCAAUUCUCCCAUACUGAUUGCAUUGAAAGCUAAGUGCAACCACCAACUCCAAGUUGACAAGUCAAGUACAAGAAAGAUGGCUAGUUGACUACAUUGACACAUGAUCUGAUCCUCAACAUGGGCAAGAGGUAGUUCUAGGAGAAUAGUUUGAGCAAUAAGAAUGGAUUACCUAAAGGGAAACCCAUCUAUAAAUAGAGGAUUGUUUGGGCGCGUGCACACAUACACACACACACACACACAUAUAUAAAUAUGUAUGUAUGUAUGGGGAGAAGAAAAAAAAAAGGAAUGUUGAAGAGUUUGAAUCUUUAAUGGAGGUGAUAUUAACCUUCUUAGGAUUUAGUUAGGAAUUUAAUUUGGUAAUUAAAAUGACAAUUAAUUAUUUGGAUAGGAUUUGUUAGGUAGUUUCCUAUUUCUUUCUAUAUAUUUUCCUUAUUUUUAUAGGUUUCCUAUAGUUAUAUAAAUAGAGAACAUUUUCUCUUCUUUUCCCUAUGAAUGAAUAUAUGACUAGGUAAAAUUAAGCUACACGUUUCUUAAUGGUAUCAAAGCCAAAUUCUAAUUACUAGGAAUAAUGGUUAAAAUAGCAAUGAUAGAUGCUUCCAAUUAUGAUAACAACUUGAAGGAGGCAGAAAGAAAACCUAUCCCUCAUUAGAAUUUUGUGACCAAUGGUCAUGGUCACUCUUCUUAGCUAAUUACCUCUCACAAAUUAACUUAAUGGAGAAAAUUAUCUUUAAUGGCCUCAAUUUGUCAAACCUUUCAUUCAUGGGCAUGGACAAAUUGAAUAUUUUAUUAGAGCAACAUCAAUACCACAAGGAAUAAUUCUCAUCAAGACAUAGGAAGUAGAUAAUGUCAUGAUUAUGUCAAGGUUGAUCAACUCAAUGGAACUCAAGAUUAGGAAGACAAACACGUUCAUGACCAUAACUAGAGAGAUUUAGGAGGCUACCAAGGAAACCUAUUACGACUUGGUAAUUUGCUCAGGUCCACGAGAUAGCCAUACAAAUAAAAAAUACUAAGCAAGGUAAUAUGAAUGUAAUUCAGUACUAUAAUACACUCAAAACUCUUUGGUAAGAACUUAAUUCGUUCUAUGAUUAUGAAUAACAUUGUGCAUAAGAUAGUGAAAUGUUCUAAAAGAUGAUUGAGAAGGAUUGAGUAUUUGCAUUCCUAAUGGGGUUUAAAUAAUAAAUUAGAUGAGGUUUACCUCUUUACUUAACAUUACCCUAGUUAUUACAAAACCAGUAAGCUUCACAUUUCAGCCAAUGAUCCAAAAUUCAAAAGGAUUCAUGGAAGGCCCUAGUGUGACCUUCAUCUCCUUUAAAUGCUUCCAGAAUUCCAAAUAUUCAUUGACAAGUGAUUAACCAUCAUCUUUUCCAAAUGCAUCUUUAGAUGUCAUAUACCCAAAGGUGUUCAAAUUCGUAAGAUAUUAACCAAGUCUAGAUAUUAAAAAGGUAUAUCAUCCUCUACCAUUAGAAAGAAGAACAUACAUUAUCCUCUAUUAGUGAAAGCACAUAUGUCAUCAUCUCAACAAAUCAAGCAUGCGUGCAAAUUUGUCUUCUUGGUCUUCUAAUUAUGGUCAAGCAAGUAUUAAUGAAGUACUUAGUUUGAAGCAUCUGUUUAUCAUCUAUAGUGGUUGUAGUUGCUAAUCCAAUAAUUGCACUCCUUUGAAAGUGGUACAAAUUAUUCUUCCUUAUUCCUUGCAUCACCACAAGUUUACUUGGCAUAACUUUCAAAAUCCCAUAUUUUAUAGUAACAAUAUUGAACCCUAUGGGAUCUAAUACUCCAAUUGAGAUGAGACACUUAUUCAUACUAGGAACAUACCAAACAUCACUCAAAAUUUUAGUUGAUUCAUCAUGAGUCUUCAACUGGAUGGUAUCUAUUAUUGUUAUCUCACAAGCAUUAUCAUUCCCCAUGUAAACAACUCCAUCUUAUAGUUCUUUAAAGCAAGAAAACCACUCCUUGUAAGAAUGCAUGUGAAGGUGGACCUAAUAUCCAAAAUCCAUUCAUCUAAGUUAUAAAACAAGGAUAAGCAAACCAAAGCAAAGUUUGACCCAUCUUCUCCAAACUUAGCCACACAAGCAUCGAAUACUAUUUCUUCUUUAUUCUUAUUUUGUAGCUUAGGACAAUCAUUAUUCUGACACUACCAAAAAUUAAGUAUGGUUGAACCAUUUAUAUUUACUUUUCUGACAUAUUUAAGUUGACGCAAAUUGAAUUGUCUGUCGCUUAUAUGUAACUAUUUACCAACAGUAAUUGCAACAACAAAUACCUGUCGGCAAAAAUAUUAUUGCAAUGGAUUUAAACCAUUGCAAAUGUUCAACUAAUAUACUUUGUUACAAAAGCAAUUUACCUAUAAAAUAGAAAAAAAAUAGUUUUAUUAUAGUGGAUAAUAAUACCACACAUAAUUUGUUCCAAAAAUAAUUGUAGUCAUAUGAAUAUAAAAUAUUUUCACCAUAGUUGUAUGAUAAAUACGAUAUAGCUAGUGACAAAACAAUUUUAUGAUUAUUUUUUUAGGUUCAUACAAUAUUUACAUUUUUUUUAAUCAUAAUGGUUUUAACAUUUUAAUAUUUUUUAACUACUUUUAAUUGUCCAUUUUAGAAAGAAAUACAUUAAAUAUAUAUAUAUAUAUAUAUAUAUAUAUAUAUAUAUAUAUAUAUAUAUAUAUAUAUGUAUGUAUGUAUGUAUGUAUGAUAUAAUUUAUGAUAUCGAAUAAUAAUAUUUAAAAUUUAAAAAUACAUUUUAUAGAGAUUUAUCUAAUUUGAAUGUAUUCAAUAACAUAAAAAAAAUGAUAGUACAUGUAUAAGUAUUUUUAUUUUAAAAUGUUGAUAAUUUUAUUUAUAAAUUUAUAUUUAUUUUAUAUUUAAUUAUUAUACAAAAUACACAAGAAUCAAAAUUAAUUAAUUUAUAAUAAAUUUAUUUUAAUUAAUUUAUAUAUAUAUAUAUAUAUAUAUUAGUUCAUGCAUGUAUAAUUUAUAUAUAAUAUGUAUUUAUAUAUAGAUAAUAUUUAUUAUAUAACUGCUUAAGUAUAUAAUAUUUCCAUUUAUGAAUCUUAUAUACAUUCUUUAUAUUACACAUAACAAAGUUGACUUGGAGGCACAAUUGCUUCCUUUCAAACUUGAGGUCAAGGGUUCAAUCUCAAGAAACAAUAUCCAAGCCAAUAUCCAAAACUAGCAAGGAGAGGAGUGUACAAGAUGCUCCAUGUGAAUGUAAUGAAAUCGAAAUUUCAUGAAAACCUAAAAUCUUUUAUUACUUAUAUUUCUCAACCAACUUAAUUUGUUGGUAAUAGUGAUGGUCUAAAUCCAUUGGAUAGUUUGUCGCUAAAUAUUUUUUAUUGGCAAUGGAAAAUUCCCAUCAAUAGACUUUUGCCAACACACCUUUCCUCUCCUACCAUGCGAUGGGAUUAUCAAUUGGUAAAUGUUUAUUUUGACUGUGCAUAUUAGUCGAGAAAAGUCAAAUUUCUUGUAGUGCAAUGACCCUUGUCAUGAAAAAAGACACAUUCAUCUUUUGCAAGUAUACAUUUAAAUUAAGAAUUGUCUUCUUUUCUAGGUUUUCAACUUUGAGAUUAGUCAUUAACUGUUAAAGCUUCCAAUGAUAUAUCUCUAUGAUCGCUAUGGUCCUUCUUCCUUUAUUUAGAGCUUAGCAAAGUGGAACACACAACAUUGAAAGUAAUCUUAUCCUUACCAUAAAGUAAGGUGAUGGUAAGAUCUUCAUACACAUCAAGAAACAAAUUCAAUAACAAUAAGGCCUUAUUCUCAUCUUCAAUGAUCUCAUCUAAAUUCAACAAAUUUGCUUCGAUUCUAUCAAAUGCGUGCAUAUGAUCAUUCAUAGACAUAUCUAGUUGAUACUAGAAGCAAAAAAGUUUUUUCUUCAAAUAUAGUUGAUUUUCUAGACCUUUUUUUUCAUAUACUUGUCCUCCAAUGUCUUCCAUAAAUGUUUUUGUGGAUAUCUCUUUCAUAAUGGAAUAAUUUUAAGCUUUAACAAGAUAUAAGUGGAUGGAACUAUAAAAUUGGCAAUUGAUCCCUUACCCAUUCUUUAGCAUUCAUGUUUUCAAGUUUUUCUUCCAAACCAAUAUCCAAAUCCUAUUGACAUAUCUAAUUAAUGCCUCUUAUUGCCACAUUCCAAAAGUACUAGUCCUAUCAAAGUUUGCAUUAUUAACCAUAGUUUUAACUAACGAAGUUUUUACCUUUUCUUUUAACUAGUGCAAUAACAAAUAACCUUGAAACCAACCUUGGAUAGAACUACUGCUCUUAUACCAUUUUGUUGUGCUUUAACCUAAUCCCACAAGACUUCCAAAAGUACCAAAUAAAAUACAAACUAAACUAGUCUAUAAUAUAAAGAGAAAUAUCAAGAGAAAUAAAAAUAAAGGAGGGUACACAAUAUUUAUGAGGUUUAGUAAGGAUGUCUUACCUAUAUCAUCAGACAAUGAUAAUCAAUCCACUAAUCUUCAAAUCAAAAUUACAAAAUCAAGUUGGGAAAGAUUGUCUCACAAAAUGGCUGCAAUUACAAAGAUUGACUGAAGCUACUCUAAUAACUUUGCUAAAGUCAUUCUCACACUACUAUGAUGAAAAGACGUAAGACUCAUUUAUAGAACCUAAAUAAGUCCCCGAGCCUUGACAAAACUAAUUCAUAAUUCCUAUGGACAAGGACUCCUAACAUAUAACAAAUUAUGAAAUCAUAAUCCUUAUAGGACAAGGAUCCCUAAAAUAUAUUAAACUCUUAAUUGAGCUAAAAGCCAAUACCUAAUAUAGAAGCCACACCAUAUUUUCCAUAACUCUACUAUGUAGAUGGUUGUUAAGAAAAAUUAUCACUUCCAAAAGUUAAAUAACCAUUUAUUUUUCCUUCCCUUUCCAUUCAUCCAGACAAUAACAAUAAAAAAUGUAGUGUAACUUUUGUUACUUUGCUACUUGUUCUCUCAAGUUACUUGCCUACUUGCGAAUGACCUCCACAAUCAAAUUAAGUAAAUGGAGAAAUAAUGUGGAGUUCCAAGAUAUAGGUAGAAAAGAGUGGAAAACCCCUAGUUCUACAAAAUAGUUUGCAAUUUUGUCUCUAGAUCUCUCAUUUUCGUGGUAAUGGCCAUUGAAGAUGUCAUCACUGAGAAGAUCACAAAGUGAAGAAGGCAUGACUGAGAGUUGGUAGAGUAGAGAGUUAAGGUAGAAAAUAGCAAAGAUAGGAUUUUGACGUUUUUAGAAUUUGUAGAUAAAAAAUAAAUACAAUCCAAAAAUCACUUUCAGAACAUGAUUUUACCUAACCAUGCCAAACAUAUAUUUUUUUUAUGUGGUUUGUAUUUGAUGUUCUCGAAAACAUUGAAUACAUUUUGGAUUGACUAUUAAACACAACCUUAGUAAUUAAAUCAGCAUAUUGAUAAAUUAUCAAGAGGCUCUUAUCAAUUUGGUCAACUCUUAGAAAAGUGUUGUUGAAAACACUAAAUACAAUCUAUAUAUUUAAAAAAAAAAUUGAAACAUGAAUUUACUUGACCAUACCAAACACAUUAUUUUUUAUUUGGAUUGUGUUCAAUAUUUUCAAAAACACUAAAUACAUGCAAUUUGAUUAACUAAUGAACAUGAACUUAGUAAUUAAAUUAGAAAUUUCAAAUGAAUUAAUGUCUUUUAUUUUGCAAGCAAAUCAUGAUUUUUUGUUUUCUACUAAAAUUUUGAAUACAUCACUAAAAGUAACAUCACCACUUUCUGGUUAGAAAGUUUUAAGAAGAUAUUUUUUAUCAACACAUAUUGUUGUUUGCUUUGAUGUCAAGAUACCAAAUCCUUUUUUCCUAAAAUUUUUCCUUUUUAUGCAAAUAAUAAAGUGUGGUUUUUUUCUUGAUUCAUUUUUUAACAUAGUUUUCCAUUCUACAUUGUUAAUAUACCAACACUUUUCAUUUUUUCUUGAAUUUUGGAUGUUCCUUCAUUAUUUGAUGAACUAUUUCCUUAGCCACAACCAUGAUGACCAUGACCAUGACAAUGAUUAUUUGGCUUCCUUCAUACCAAAUUUUUUCCCUCUUGUUGAUAUAUUAAACUUUGUUAACAAUUUUCUUUUAUUUAUAUAUUGAGUCUAAUACAUCAUACUUCCAAGGGUCAUAUUGAUGUCACUCAACUUCAAGCUACUUUUGAGUUAACUAUAUUACUAGGUAUAUGUGCAACAUUAGGUUGAAUUAGGGCACAAGGAAUGGCUACCACAUGUAUGCUAGGUGAAAUAUUAGAGUGUUUUUUUUCUCUUUUCUUUUUUUGUCAAGGUUAAGGAUUUGAGUAACUAAAGCCUCUAUAAAGUCUUUGAGGUAUCCACUAAGAAGCACAAGGAGUGUCGCAUGGGGGCUUGGAAGAAGAAUGUAAGUUACUUGUAUCUUGUUUUUAUAUUUAGUAGAUUGUUUGUGGUUGAUAAACUAUUCAUGUAACGACCUGCUCCCAACCAUGUAGAUAUUGUCCACUUUGGACCCAAAGGGGCCUUCAUGGCUUUAAAACGCCUCUACAAAAUUAAGAGAAGUCCAUACUUAUAUAGCGCCAAGAACUUCCCCCUCUAUCUGAUGUGGGAUGUUAAAAACACCCCUUUCCCCAUGUAGACACAAUGUCCUCGUUGUGUCCCACGGGAUUGCGGGGACAAACAAACCCCUGAACUAAGGUUGAAGAUUGACUUUGAUACCACUUGUAACAACCCAUUCUUAACCGGGUAGAUAUUGUCCGCUUUGGACCCAAAGGGGCCUUCAUGGCUUUAAAACGCAUCUACAAAGUUAAAAGAAGUCCAUACUUAUAUAGCGCUAAGAACUUGCCCCCUAUCCAAUGUGGGAUGUCACAAACACCUCCAUCCCCCACCCCAUUAUAUAAAUAUAUUAUUAUUAUUACUUUCAAAAGACCCUGCAACACCAUUACUCCAAGCCACCAACUACACCCAUUAUUAUUAUUAUAAUAAUAACAUUUUUUUUCUCUUGUUUCUUCCUUCUUGGACAUCCACACACAUCUUUUUUUUUUUUUUAUGACAUCCCACAUUGGAUAGGGCCAAAGUUCUUGGUGUUAUAUAAUUAUGGACUCCUCGUAACCCUGUAGAUGUGUUUUAAAGCCAUGAGGGCCUCUUUGGAUCCAAAAUGAACAAUAUCUACAUGGUUGGGAGUGGGUCAUUACAAAUGGUAUCAAAGCCAAUCCCCAACCUCGGUGUGGGGUUUGUUUGGCCCCGUAAGGGUAUUUGUUUGUUUGACCCCACAAUCCUGUGGGACACAACGAGGACAUUGUGUUUGCAUGGGGGUUGUUUGUGACAUCCCACAUCAAAUAGGGGGGAACGUUCUUGGCGCUAUAUAAGUAUGGACUCUUCAUAACCUUAUAGACGUGUUUUGAAACUGUGGGGGCCCCUUUGGGUCCAAAGUGGACAAUAUCUACAUGGUUGAGAGCGGGUCAUUACAAAUGGUAUCAAAAUCGAUCCUUGAUCUCGGUGUGGGGUUUGUUUGGCCCCAUAAGGGUGUUUGUCUGUUUGACCCCAUAAUCCCGUGGGACACAAUGAGGUCGUUGUGUGUGCAUAGGGGGAGGGGUGUUUAUGACAUCCCACAUCGGAUAAGGGGGAAAGUUCUUGGCUCUAUAUAAGUAUGGACUUCUCGUAACCUUGUAGAUGCAUUUUAAAGCUGUGAGGGCCCCUUUGGGUCCAAAGUGGACAAUAUCUACAUGGUUGGGAGUGGCUCGUUACAAUUCAUGGAUUUUUACACCCAAAAGGUUUUAAGCAGUUUUUUCAUGUUACAUUUUGUGUCAUACGUUUGAUUGAUUAUUCCUAUUCAAAGAAUUGAUGAAAACUUAAUUAUAAUUGAUAUAGCUAGGUGUUUAGGAAUGUUUCUAUUUAAAGUGCUUUUAAUUGAUUGUUUUUUUAGAAACAUUUUUUAAAGAAUCACCUCUCAAGAGCUUCUCAAAAAAGCAUUACAAGUGAUUUUUAACUUUUUAAAGAAUGUUUUCUAUGUUUUUCCAAGUGUAUAGUUUUUCUCUAAAUUUUUUAUUUUUAUUUUUUAAUACCAGAAGCAUUUUCUAAAAGUACUACUAAAUGGACUCUUAAAUUUUGAGGAUAUUUCACUUAGACAACCUAUUCAUCCCCCUCACUAUGUAGUUUUGUGUCUCAAGAUAAAAGUUCUCUCCUUUAUUUUAACAUAAUCUUUGUUUGAAGAAUUGUAUUUUUACUUGACUUUUGUUUUUAAUAUGUCUUCCAAGGCUUUUAAUGAUCCCAUAAAUUGGUCAAUGGCUAUAGAAUCCAAAUAUUUAGGCUUUUCAAUAACAAGAAAAUAAAAGAUGAAAACUUUUUUUUUUUUAGUUACACAAAUAUCAUCAAACUUUCACCAUUUAUUUUUACUUAAUUUACAUAUGUCAAUAUUUUUGAAAAAUAAUAAAAGAUUCUCUUAUAUUUAAACUUUAAAAUUCACUUUUAAAAGUAUGAAAUUGAACUUUAAAAAAAAAAAAAAACUUAUCAAAACUUUUAUAUUUAUUUGUAAUAUUUUUCAUGUUUCCUUUGACCUGGUUGCACUUAAAAUCAUUUCAAAGUUGUCUACAUCUAUUUCUUAAUAAAUGAGGUUAAAAGCCUUCUUGUCUUUCUUUCUUAUAUCUUCGAAAAGUUUAUUUAAUUUUGGGAUAGAUUGGUUUUAUCCAAUAGCUCCUUGUAGUUUUUCUCUACAAUCUCUUAUAUAUAUCUUGCAACCAAAUAAAACCUUUGUCUUGAUAUUCAAAUCGUCAAAAUUGUUAAAACUGUCUUUAUUGAGUUAAGCAACUUAAUUGAAUUACACGUCUUUUGAAAAAUAAAAUAAAAUAAGAAUCUUAUUAUAUGCAUAAAUUUCAUGAAAGUCUUGCAACAUAUAGGGGGUAGGCCUUGAAGUUAUAGUGAUAAUUUAUUCUACUAAAAAUUUUGAUCUCUACAUUGAUAUCAUUUUUUUAGGAGUAAUAGGGAUAAAUACACAAAUAAUAGUACUAUUAAAAGAGAUAAGUAGAGGAGAAAAUUAAAAGAAAUUUUUUGUGUUUUUAAUACUUUAAUUGAAGUAUUAUAUACACAACUCCAAUUACAAUAUGUUUUAAUUCACUUUUAAAAACUAAAUCAAAUGUAAUUUUUGAAAACUUCUUGAAACUCAAAUUUAGAUUUCAAUGUGUGAUUGAAUGAUAGGGAUGGUAAAAAAUAGGUAAAUAAAACAUAUGUAAUAUUAUUGUAUAUUAUUAAUUGCUUCCAUACCAUUAGCAUAUCAAUGGCAUCUUGCUAAGAAGAAGAACCACCGACAACAGUCCAUUAUAAUAGUUUCAGAAUGAAUGACAUUUAUUUGUUUGUAUUAUAUUGUUUUGCUAUUUAGGCCAUAUUCACAUGAACUGACUUUUUGUUUGGAGUAGUGUUUUAGUAGAGUAUUCAUAGUACACCUAGAUAUAGCCUAUGGGUUGCAUUAAUUAAUGGUUUUGGACCAACUUAACAAAAUUCUAUGCUAUCAUAAAUGCCAAAUUUUGGCACCCCUUGCCAAAUUUUCGCAUACCCUGCCAAAUUGAUGAUUUUGCCUUGCGAAAUGCUUUGUUUUCCUCCAUCUUGCUAAUGAUAGUUUUGGCAACCCCUUGCCAAGUUUGACAAGGGGUUUUGAAGUGCUCCAAAGCUCGGAUUCUUCAUGUGCUCCAAACUCUCCCUCAAUCUUGGCCUAUUUCAGUGAUCAAAAAGCUACUAAAAACACUAAAACUUACCAAAAAUUGGUUAGUAACAUUUGCUAGGUCCUUAACAUGCCAAUUGGGAUAAAAGGUCUAACUACUACUCAAAAGUGCUUAAUACAAUUAAGUUUACGCUUAUAAAAAUGCACUUUUUGAGUAGUAAUCAAUAAAGUAGUUGAUUGCCCAUGAUUGCGCAAUGCCAUCAUAAAGGAACCGAAUGCCCAACACACGUACAUGUGAGGUACCAUAUUUUUUAAGAAAGACAAGUCGGUUUGCAAUUGAUGUUAAUAUCUUUCCAAGGCAGAAACAUCAUUUUGUAGGCAUAAUUGAAUUAGUUAAACUUAAACCCCAAUUUGCAUUCUUUCAAGUAAAAUUAUUUUUAACCUAUAAUGCUCAACACUUUUAUGAGAAUCAUAAAAGUAUCAGAAUCAUAGAGAAUUAUUGAAAGUGAUUUUGUAGUGUUGUUGAUAAUAUGUCACAUGACUAUAAAAAUGCUUUUAAUAUUAGUAAAUUAUCAAAAAGGACAUCAAAUUUAAUUUCAAGGAAAUAUUAUAAUAAACUAAUACUUUUUCAUGAUAAAAGAAUUUAUAAACAUUUAUAGUAAAAGAAUAUAUAAACAUCUAUUUUACUAACAAAAACUAAAAAAUAAUAGUUCUUGCGAUUACAAGAAAAUUUUAGAAAAUAUUUGCAACAUGAUUUGGAUUAAUAGACAAACAUCAAUCCUAAUAUAAUAAUUUUUAAAAUAAAAAAAUCAUUUGAUUAUUUAUUCACUUAAAAAUAAUAAUUUUUUAUUACUACAAAAUUUUGAAAAAUACUUACAAAAAAUCUAGAUUAAUAAUGAAAAAUUGAAUAAAAACAUAUUAGUUUAGUUUCUAAAAAAAAAAUAGUAAUUAAAAGCAAAUGAGAAGACAAAUUUUCUCAUAGUAAAAAAAAUGAGAAAAUUAUAUAUAUAUUUUUUCAUAUUAGUGUUAUAAUAAAACAUCAACAAGAUAUAAAAUGACCAGCAAUUCGAUCACAUUCUUCUUACAUCUCUCUUACAUGAUAGAACCGUCUUUCUCAACUCAUGAAUCCACUCUACUCUCUUUUUUACUAAAGCAAAUGUAACCCUUGAUCAUCAUCAUAAGGUUUAAAUUUCAUAUCUAUCCUAGCAUUAAUCAUUAUUAAGUUGUAAAAACCAUCAAAGUAAUAACAAUGUUGACUUAUUUUUCAAGAGAAAAACUAUGCAUUUCUCAUAUUGUUCCACAUCUAUUCUUCAAAAAGGCAAAUGUUCAAUUGUUCUCCUCAAAGAUAUCUAUGGUUAAAUAUUUCCUUCUUACCUCUUGGUAAACUACUCCAUCGAAAUCUAGAAGAUGGUAACACUCGCCCUUCAAGGGCCUAAUUAUAUUAUCCAUUCAUUUAAGGAUAACCAACAUUAAGGUAGAUAAUAUUUACCUACAAAAAAAAAAUUAUAUAAGAUUAUGAAAAUCUAAUCACAAAAGUAACUUUCAUAUUUUUAGUCACUAAUCUCUAGAAGGAUGAGGAAAACCUAAUUCUAGCAUUAUUUUUAAUGCCUAUGAAAAGAUGCAUGCAUCAUGAGCAAAACCUUCCCAUCUAGCCAAUGCAAAUGUGAAAUACAUAUUGAAAUAAUAUAUGACCAUAAUAUUUUAGGUAGUUAUGCUUUUUGUACCAAUAUAUGAUAUUUGCCUAUCUCUAAAAACCAUAAUGGGCAUAUGAGUUCCAUUAAUUACCCCUAUACAAUUCUUAAAAUAUGGUCAAUAACAUCAACAUUUCUUAUUUUAUCAAGGGUCUCCCUAAACUAUGAAUCACUUGGUUUUAAAAUAUCCAUAGCUAUAAGACAAACAACAUCUAAUAUAAUCUCAAACCAUCUAGAAAUAAAUUCAUUGGAGUGCUAAAAUCUUUCUUAGGUCGUCAUGUUGUCAGGUCUAUGAACUAUUGUAGUGAGAAACAUUGCUAAAGCCUCUAUUAAGGGCAUAUCUAAACCUUCUCUUAGACCAUGCCUUUUAAUAAGUAUUUCACGACCAAAAGUAUUUCCUUGGGGUUCUCCUACAAAAGUAUCCAAUUUAUUAUAUUUCACGACCAAAAUAUAAAUUAACUAAAUAAACUUAGUAAAAAAAUAAAAAUGUAUCUUCAAUUUAUUAUCCCACCAUUCAUUUUUAGCAUUAGUGGUUUGCCUCAUAAGAUCCCACCCAAGGCCAAUCUUUUUCUGAAUCAAGGCAUUCCAAAGUUGUCAAUAUUUUUUAAGAGAACUUAAUAUAUUCUUAGGUUGCUUAUAUUGGUAGGUUCUUCUAGGUAGAUUGUUGAAUACCUUUGUCACUUUUUUCCAUCCAAUUUACUAAAGUGACUAUUUGGUCUAUUUUUAGCCAAAAUCUUAGCAACACAAACUGUGAGAUAUGCAUUAACAACAAUAUCAUUCAAUAUACUUUGCUUUAUUGAUCAUUUUCUUUACCACUUGUUUGUUGUAGUGGUUGAACUAUACUGUUAGACAUCUAAUAACAAAGUAAAGAACAAAGAAGUAUUAAAAGAAAAUGUUGUCAAUGUACUUUUAUAUUUUAUAGUUUAGACAUCUAAUGAGAACCAUAAAAAAGUGAACCUUAAAGAAAUUGGUCAACUAGAGGAAUAUGAAUCUUGGAAUACUGAAUAGGAAAGACUCACAUUCAUGGAAUAAAUUAAUAUAUAAUAUUGUAAUUUUAUUAAUUCUUUUCAUUAGGUUGCUAAAAGUUGAAAAAGAAUUCCUCAUGAAACGGAUUAAAUAAUUUCCUCAUGAAAGAAUCCAAUCAUGGCCUCAUUAUGAAGUACUGAAUUAACUCAAUGAACUUGAAUAUCAUCUAAUAAAUUCUUUCAUGGGUUUGUUUUUAUAACUUUAAUGUUACCAAUAUAGAAAGAAAUGAAACAUGUUUUAAAUAAUGUAAGAAACUAUGGUAGAAAAGUGGAAAUAAUUAAGGAUAAGAGGCUUUAUAUGAACUUUAAUAUUGUUAGUAACAGAGAGGCAAAUGAGAUAUCUCAAUAUUAAAUUAUGCAUAAUUAGUAUAAUUUUUUAAAAAUAAAUGGAAGAGAAUUUAGGAGGAAAAUAAGUAAUUAGAGUAUGAGAUAACAUGAAUGCUUAAAAUUGUCAAUCAUUAAAUUUAAGAUAAUUGUUAAUAUUUCACUACAUUUUCCAACUCCAUGAAUUAAAGCAAUGGGAGGAAAUGAGUUGGAUUUCUUAAUAGUAUUAAGUGUUGGAUUGACACAAAAUUAGGGUGCUAGUGGACACUUGAAAUGAGGACCAAGUAACAAUUGCAGAUAGCAUUUUACUCAUCCAACAUAGUUAAAAUUUUCAAAACCCAAUUCUUAUUUAGUACUUUUAUUGAAUAUAUGGGUAUAGUUUAACUUCAAAUCUAAUAUGAGUGUACUUUGAAUUUCCUAAAGCUUACAUGUUUCUUCACAUAUUAACAAAGAGAAAAGAUUAACAUUUUUUACAAUUACAAUUUAUUAGGACUCAAGGUUUAUUUCCUAAACUUUUAAAGUGGGGAAAAAAAAGUGUAAGGGAGAAAAAAGGAAAAGGAAAAGAAAGGAAAAACAAAAAGAAGAAAAAACUAUUAAAAGGCAUUAGAAGCCUAAGAUGGGCAUAUCCAUGAUUGAGGUGUAAAUGGGGGUGACAAUUCAUGUUGGUGGAUAGUGUUUGUGUUGUGUCAAAGCCUAGGUGUUCUACUACAUAGCUUAACCCAUCCCCAACACUACUAAUAAUCAGAUUAAGUUAGGUCUUCUAUAUGUCAAUAUGAUUAAUAUCUCAAGAAAAAGAUGUUUUUGUCUCAAUUGACCAAUCUAUUUAGAAACAAAUUUAAAAUGAGUCAAAUAUGGGUCAAACGUCUUUCAAAUAUAAUUAAGUUAAUAGUGGGAUUAUUAAAUAGGUUAAUUCGAGUCAAAUUCGUGUUAUGCAGGUUGACCAAAAAAGUGCUUAUUUAUUAAAUGAGUUAUAUAAGUCGACACAAAAUUUACCUAAACUCAUUUAUACUUGACCCAAACCCAUGAAAAGCGUGUUAGGUUUGUGUAAUGUCGGGAAUCGUAUCAAACUUUGUCAUCCCUAGGUUCAAACAACUCCAAGACCCUAUUUUUAAGGAGAAUAUAUGGACUUGAGAUUGCUACAUUAUUUAGACUAAUCCACACCUACUUAUUAAGGGAAAAAAAAUAAAAGAGGAGAAAUGUAGAGUAUAGGAUGAUGGGACAAGGCACAAAAUGACAAGACGUAGGAUGGUAGGACAUAGGAUGAUAAAAAUCCACUUCAAUUAAUAUUUCCAUAAAUCAAGAGUAAUCAAAUAUUAAAAUAUUUUAUUCUCCUAAUUUAGGAUAUAAUAUCUAUUCUAAAUAAAUCAAGAGCAAUCAAAUAUUAAUAAUAUUUGAUUCUCUUAAUUUAAGAAAUAAUAUUUAUAUUCCUUAAUUUUAGGAUAUUUAUUAUUUAUUUCUUCUAUAAUUCACAAUGCAUUCUUGUAUAAAUUUAUGAAAAGAAAUAAUAAAAAUUCAUUGCUUCUAUUUUCAAAUUAUAAAUUCUUCUUGGUAUUAGAGUUAGAGGAGGAGGCUCAAACUUGGGUUUUCUCCAAAGGUGGUUGAAUACCCUAAAAGACUUGACCUAUCCACACAAACAAUGUCUUACUCUUCAUUCAUUCAUUCAAAAAUAAAAUAAAAUAAAAUCCUUAGUGCUCUAGCUUUCCAUCAACAUUUUUUCUAAUUUGAUUUCAAUCAAGCUAAACACAACAAAUUUUCUACUAUGGGGAAAUCAAACUAUCCUCUUAGCUUGUGGCUUCGGUGUUUGAACCUUUCAUCAAUGUUUUACCCUUUCAUUGGUGUUAUUUUUAGUUUGAUUUUAAUCAAGUUAAACACCAUAAAUUUUCUAGUAUGGCAAAAUCAAAUCAUUCUCUUAGUUCAUGGUGUGUUCUCUAACAUCUCUUAGGUGGAGAAAGACUUGCUAAAGAAUUAAAUAUGAUGAGGAAAGCAAAAGUUUUAUCCUACAAUACUAGUAAUCAAUUAAUAAUAACAUAUUUGUCACUUCAUGAGUUCUCAAAACCAUGAUAAAAGACAUUUUCAUUAUGAUCCUUGGGACUAACAAGAUAUAUAAGGUAUAAACUUCUCUUAAGGAGUAAUUGCUUCCUAUUAUAGUUGAAAAAAAAAAUGAUCUCUUCAAGAAUAUUUAAGAGAUUUCAAAAAUAUAUAUGAUAAUCUCAUGACAAUCAAAAGCUAAUUUCAGACUAAGACAAAGUUUGUUGAUUCACUCAUGGUUUAGGAUAAUGGAAUGAUUUUUUUUAACCUACUAUGCUUUUCUAACCAAUUCAUAGCAACUCUUUAGGGACAUAAGCAAUCACUUACCACCAAAGGGAUGGAAAGAAAAUUUUUAUAGAGUAUGCACAAUUUUUUAUUUGGACAACAUAGUUAUGGUCAUAAUGGUUGAAAAUGCAUAAAUUUUAAUUUGAGGGGAAGAAGCUUUACACUUUCUAUGUGUUACAAUUCUUUUAAAAAAAUAUACUUUUAUGAUUUUAUCAAGUCCUUGUCAAAGGAUAUCUUCAUCAUGUUUUGAGAUAAGCUGGGUGUGCAUAUUCUUUCCCACUCCAAUUUAAGCUUGCAUAUUAAGAGAAAGAAUAAAAUAAGAUAAAAAGCACAUAGGAUAGCAACACGUAGGAUGAUAAAAAUCCGCUUCAAUUAAUAUUUCCACAAAUCAAGAGUAAUGAAAUAUUAAAAUAUUUGAUUCUCCUAAUUUAGGAUAUAAUAUUUAUUUUAAAUAAAAAACAAACAAUCAAAUAUUAAUAAUAUUUUAUUCUCUUAAUUUAGGAAAUAAUAUUUAUUUUCCUUAAUUUUAGGAUACUUGUUAUUUCUUUCUUUGUAUAAUUCACAAUGCAUUCUUGUAUAAAUUUUCUAAAAGAAACAAUAAAAUUCAUCAUUUUCAUUGCCAAAUUAUCAAAUCCUUUACUAAUGACCUUACGAUUAAAAUCUUGUUUGUUUGGUAAGUGUUGAACAAAAUGCCUUAGUAGCUACAAACGUGAUGGAAGAUGUGUGAAAGUUGUUGUGAACUGAGGAAGCUUAAGAAUCUAUUAAGAAGGUUGCUGAGGUGUGAAGAGAUGCUGAAAUUGAGGCUGUAACCAUAAAACAACUUAGUCAAUGAAGCUAAUAGAGUUUCAUAGAGCUGUUAUGCUGUUAUUGUUAUUUUAUAGGAAGUAGCUCUUAGUUCCAGCUAUUUUUUCUACUUUUCUAUUGUUUUCUAUUGCAAACUUGUGUAUAAAUGUUGCAUUGAUCAUUCAAUGAGAGUAGACAUUUUUGUUGUCUCAAAUGCAACUUUUGGUUGUUGCUUCCAACACUCUAGAUUCUAAAACCUAUGGAUUAGUAUCAGAGCCUUCUAUUUUGAAGGACCUGUGAGGAUUGAGUGAAGCCAAAAUACCUUCACACAUAUUGAACUCCAAAGCCAACAUAAACACACAACCUUUAACAGCUUGUAACUAUCAUUCUACAACAAAUAGAUGGAGCCACAAGCUUUUUGUCAGUACCAGUUUUCAAUGGUGAUAAUUAUCAGGCGUGGGCUAUUAGAAUGACAGUCCACCUUGAAGCUUUGGAUCUUUGGGAGGCAGUAGAAGAAGAUUAUGAAGUACCACCACUUGUAGACAAUCCAAGUAUCAAUCAAAUGAAGAUUCACAAGGAAAGAAAAGCAAGGAAAGCCAAAGCCAAGGUUUGCCUCUUCUCUGCAGUUUCACCUUCCAUUCUCACCAGAAUCAUGCAAAUGGAGUCUACUACAGCAAUCUGGAAGUGAUUUCGCAGCAUUUUUGUACAGUAAGGUGUUUCUCCUUCUGACGAUGCACGAUUUAUGCCGCGAGAAGGAAGCUAGAAACCUCAAGGUAGAAGCCAACUUCGCAGCCCUGUGAAGAUAGCUUGGUGUUGCGAAAUAAUUUCGCAGCCCUCUUGAGUGUCUGCGAAAUCUCGCAGACACCAUUUUUCUCCUGCGAAAUGGUUCCUAAAGCUUCCCGAUAUUUGCUACCGACAUUGGGAGAUAUUUUCCAUUAGAUUUUUGUUGUCUAAAUCCCAAAAUACUCCUUGUAAACCACCAAUUACAUGAUUCCUUAGUUUUUAAGUUAGUAAAAAGACUAAAUAUCCAUGUAAUAAUUAGUUUUAUAUUAUGUUCAUAUAUAUACCUCUCGAGAGCCUGUUCUCAGAGAGGAGUUCCUUCUGUAAAAGUUGGGGUAAGCAAGUAAAGUCUCUUUUCUUUCUACUGCCUUACCUUCUCACUUUGUAUUUUUUACUUAUUACUAAGUUAUGAACUCUCUGAGGAGUUUUCCCUAGAGAAUGAGUAACUAAACCUCUAAUUCCUUGGAGCUAAGGUUGCCGGGGGAGGUUCCAAGUGCAAGAAUGCAAAGCUUUGUGGUUUUAGCUAGUAAUGAAGAGGAAGUGAAAUCCUUCAAUGAUUUCUAUGUUUUUAGUUAACUUAAAACACCUUGGAGUCACCUGGGCCAACACUUGGUAAGGCAAGUGAUUUCCAACUAUGGAAAUGCACUAGUUUACCCCUUGCGAGCCUUUGGGAGGUGACUUCAAGGUAGGAUUUUCUAGAAUAGCCAACACUUGGUAAGCUUUUGGACUCCUAGGAGACAUCCAUUAGUUAUCUCUUGCGAGCUUUUGACGGGUAAUCCAAGGUUAAAGAUCACCUUGAAUGGUUAAGGCUUAGUGAGAGGCUUAAACCAUUGCAAGUUGCAUCAGUGAGAGAAUUAAAGUGAAAUCUAAUUGAAGGAGUCUCUGUACAUCACCAGUUAGAGAAUUGACUAUAUGUUGAAUCUCUAAUGCGAGGAAAUGAACCAUCUGACCAAAGCCGUGUCUUUUGCAUGAGGAACCACCCCAGUGAACCUAAAUCUCCAAGGAAUGCUUUUCUUCCUAAAUUAUUCCAAACUUCUGUUAUGUUAGUUAGUUUAAGUCUAAACCUUUACCAAUCAAAGUUUGUGUUUUACUUCUUAAGCUAACCUUGAAAUGAAAGAAGGCCAAUUCACUUGGAAUUGGUAUCAUUGAUUGCUUGUUAAUCAUUCCCAGUGAACGAUCCUAGAGCCACUAUACUAUAGUAGCUUUGUCUUUGCUACCCUAGUAUAUGGUGUAAUAGGUUAUAAAUUUUGUUGAUUACUCCCUCAAUCAAGGAGCACCAGCUGGACGCAAAUCAGCUGAGACACCAAUUGGGCAUGAAUCAAAUGGCGCCGUUGCCGGGGAAUGAGUGUCAAGUUUAUAUUGAUACCAUUUUUGAGCACUUGUGAUUUUCAUCACAAGUUGGUAAAGUUUCUUUCACUUUACUAAUUUUCAUUCUUUCUUUGUUUAUUUAUAAUCUAAGUUUAUCUUUUAAAAUUUAGCCUAGUUUAGUUUUAUUGUUGUAGCCCUGUUUCUUUUGUUUUCUUUUGUUUUCAUUUUUAGUUGCAGAUAAAUACUAGUUGUGUAUGCCAAAGUGGAUACAAGACAGUGGAGGAAGGCUUGUUAAGUGUGAUACACCUCAGAGGGGAGAAUUUGAAGUAAUCUUGAAUAUCAUGGAAUCUACACCUGAAGAUCAGCAUAGUCACCAAGGUCGUCAAGACAAUCUCAAUGAAUUCAGAUCAAUGAGGGACCGUAUGCAUCCACCUCGUAUGAGUGCACCAUCAUGUAUAGUGCCCCCUACAGAGCAGCUAGUGAUCAGACCGUAUCUUGUUCCACUUCUACCAACUUUCCAUGGGAUGGAAAGUGAGAAUCCGUAUGCACACAUCAAGGAAUUUGAAGAUGUUUGUAAUACAUUCCAAGAGGGAGGAGCUUCAAUUGAUUUGAUGAGGCUUAAGUUAUUUCCUUUUACUUUAAAGGAUAAGGCCAAAAUUUGGCUUAAUUCUUUAAGGCUAAGGAGUAUCCGCUCUUGGACUGAUUUACAAGCUGAAUUCCUCAAGAAAUUUUUUCCCACUCAUAGAACAAAUGGCUUGAAAAGGCAAAUUUCAAACUUCCCAGCUAAAGAGAAUGAGAAAUUCUAUGAGUGUUGGGAAAGAUACAUGGAAGCUAUAAAUGCUUGUCCUCACCAUGGCUUUGAUACUUGGCUAUUGGUGAGCUAUUUUUAUGAUGGUAUGUCAUCCUCAAUGAAGCAACUCCUCGAGACAAUGUGUGGAGGAGAUUUCAUGAGCAAAAAUCCAGAGGAAGCUAUGGAUUUCUUGAGCUAUUGAUUCGCGUGUAACUCCAAAUGGGUCAUUUAAUCAAAAACAUUUAUAAAACCUAUGACCUCAUACUAAUGUAGCAAAGCUACUAUAGUAUAGUGGCUCUAGGGUCGAACUCUGGGAUGGGUUUUCAUUCUACCAGUGAUAUACUCAAAAUUAGAAAUUGUAUUUAAUGAUUUCCUUAAUAAAAAACUUAAAGUUUAAAAGAAAAUAAAAUUUGUUUUGAAAGUGUUUGAAACUAAACUAACAUAAACUAAUUAAAAAUGGAAGAAAGAAAGUCUCCCGGAGCUAAGGGUUGCUAGGAUCAAGUUCAGAAUAGAAAGUGGAAAAUUCCGGAUUUUUCUCCUCGCAUUGGGGAUUUAACCUAUAGUUAUUUCCCGAACCGGUAUAGGUUUGAAAAUGAAGAUUUAAUCCAUAAAAGGUCAAUAGAAAUGGUAGUCAAGGUCCAUUAAUGGCUUAAGACACUAUGGGUCUUCACCUUGAAUCACUUUCCAAUGACUCGUACAUGAUAACUAAUGGACUAAUAUGGAUCUAGCAAUAAGCAUCCAUAAAGACCUGAAGCUUACCAUGUAUUGGUCAUUCAAAGUGAUUCUAAGGGAUUUAAAGCAAAACUUUGGAUUUAGAAGCCAUUUAUGAAUUCCAACUACCUGAAUUUAAUGCAUGGAAGCUUUCCACCUUUUCAUCUGGAAUUUUCACCUAGCUUCCUUUACUCCAAGAAACCGAAAGUUUAGCCUCUCAUCCUCCGGGCAAACAUCCUUAGAGGUUGUUUGGCUUCCAAGAAAAAGAAAAUAGUAAAGAACAAAGAGAACGAGAGAGCUCUGUAAAAUUCACAGUGUAAAAACGUAAUACGUAUUCUAUAUAUUCCAAGAGGUGAUUUCCACCCCUUAUAAAGUCUUUACAAAAGCCAAAGCUUAUGAUUGGUUAGUUACAAGGAUAAUAAAGGAAAUUACAUCACAAAAUACAAAGGAAAAUAUCUAAAGUGGAGUCGGCAAAGGGCAGAGCAAAAUUCGCAACACGCAUGGGUUAUGCGAACCAUAUGCGAAUGUUAUGCGAAUUUCGCAUAACCUCUUGUGGAAUGCGAAAUUUUCGCAUAACCUGGAGCAGUUGGCUUCCGAAGGCCAUAUCUUCCUCAUUUCAGAUCCAAAUCGUACACGGUUUGAAGCGUUGGAUUCUUGACUUCCAGAGCUUUGAAAUGGUAUAUAGCAUAUAUAAAAUGGACUUCGGGAAGUGCUCCAAAAGUGUGAAAGAAGACUGCAGCUGCUACAUCUUGAUUUUUUUCACUUUGCUUCUCUUUGCUUCUCUCCUUUGCUUGACUUGUCUUAAUGAUCCAAAAAGCUGUCAAAACAUUAAAACUAGCCACAAAUAUGAUUAGAAGACAUUGCUAGGUCCUUAACAUGCCAAUUGGACUAAAGAUGGAGAACUACUACACAAAAGUGCUUAAAACAUAAUGCAUUAAAGGUGUAAAAUAGCACUUUUUGGGUAGUAAUCAGCUAUGUAGCUGAUGUUUCAAGGGGAUGGGAUGAACCAACUAAAGGAGAAGUGGGAAAGAUGAAGUCUCAGUUGAAUGCUUACAAUGCAAAGGCUGGGAUGUAUACCUUAAAAGAAGAUGAUGACAUGAAAGCAAAGUUGGCAGCUAUGACAAGAAGAUUGGAGGAGCUGGAGCUGAAAAGAAUACAUGAAGUGCAAGCUGUUGCUGAAGCACCAGUGCAAGUGAAGCUGUGUCCCAAUUGUCAGUCUUAUGAACACUUGGUGGAGGAAUGCCCUGCAAUUCCAACUGAAAGGGAAAUGUUUAGAGAUCAAGCAAAUGUUGUUGGACAAUUUAGGCCCAAUAACAAUGCGCCAUAUGGAAAUACCUACAACUCAAGUUGGAGGAAUCAUCCAAAUUUCUCAUGGAAGGCCAGAGCAACUCAAUACCAACAGCCGGAUCCACCAUCUCAACAAUCUUCAAGUAUUGAACAAGCAAUGGCUAAUCUCAGUAAGGUAAUGGGAGAUUUUAUUGAAAAGCAAGAAGCCACUAAUGCUCGAGUCGAUCAAAGAAUUGAUAGAGUGGAGAGUAUGUUGAAUAAAAGGAUGGAUGGAAUGCAAAAUGAUAUGAACCAAAAGUUUGAUAACAUCCAAUAUUCAAUUUCAAGGCUUACAAAUUUGAAUACACUGCAAGAAAAGGGAAGAUUUCCUUCUCAACCUCACCAAAAUCCUAAAGGUGUCCAUGAAGUGGAAAGCCAAGAGGGAGAAUCAUCACAGGUGAAAGAUGUGAAAGCCUUGAUCACUCUAAGGAGUGGUAAAAAAAUUGAGCAGCCAACACCCAAGCCACAUGUUGAGAAAGAAAAAGAGAUAAAGAAAAGGAAGGAAAUGGAAGAUAAAGAGAGUGAUAUCAGUGAAGAAAAGAAGGACUCUGAUGCAACAAUGAAUGCAAUUCCAGAGAAGGAGCUUCUGAAGGAAGAAAUGCUGAAGAAAUCAACUUCUCCACCUUUUCCUCAAGCAUUACAUGGGAAAAAGGGGAUUAGAAAUGCAGCUGAAAUCCUUGAAGUCUUGAAGCAAGUGAAAGUUAAUAUUCCACUGCUGUAUAUGAUUAAACAAGUUCCAACGUAUGCAAAAUUCCUUAAGGACUUAUGUACUAUCAAAAGAGGGUUGACUGUAAACAAGAAAGCCUUCUUGACUGAGCAAGUAAGUGCAAUCUUACAAUGUAAGUCUCCUUUGAAGUACAAAGACCCUAGAAGUCCUACCAUUUCAGUCAUGAUUGGAGGAAAGGUAGUGGAGAAAGCCUUGUUAGAUUUGGGAGCAAGUGCGAAUUUGCUUCCAUAUUCUGUCUACAAGCAAUUGGGACUUGGAGAGUUGAAGCCAACAACAAUCACUCUAUCUCUGGCAGAUAGAUCAGUGAAAAUUCCAAGAGGGGUAAUUGAGGAUGUAUUGGUUCAAGUGGAUAAUUUCUACUAUCCAGUAGAUUUUAUUGUUCUUAAUACAGAUCCUACUGUAAAGGAAGCUAAUUUAGUUCCUAUCAUCCUUGGAAGGCCAUUUCUUGCAACUUCAAAUGCAAUCAUCAACUGCAGGAAUGGGCUUAUGCAGCUCACUUUUGGUAACAUGACACUGGAUCUCAAUAUUUUCUACAUGUCUAAAAAGCAAAUCACUGCGGAGGAAGAAGAAGGUCCAGAAGAGCUAUGUAUAAUUGAUACUUUGGUAGAGGAGCACUGCAAUCAACAUAUGCAAGAAAAGUUGAAUGAAAGUCUUGAGGAUAUUGAGGAAGGUUUUUCUGAAUCUCCUAUUGGGCUUACUACUCUACAAAGUUGGAGAAAGAUAGAAGGAAUUCUACCUUUGUUCAAUAAGGAAGAGGAGGCAGCUGCUGAAAAAGAAAUUCCAAAACUCAAUCUGAAGCCUUUACCUGUGGAGCUGAAAUAUACAUAUCUUGAAGAAAAUAAUCAAUGUCCUGUUGUGAUAUCUUCAUCUCUGACCAGUCAUCAAGAGAAUUGUUUAAUGGAAGUUCUCAAGAGGUGUAAGAAGGCAAUAUGAUGGCAAAUAUCUGAUUUGAAAGGCAUUAGUCCUUUAGUUUGUACUCAUCAUAUAUAUAUGGAGGAGGAAGCAAAGCUAAUUCGUCAAUUUCAAAGAAGGUUGAAUCCUCAUCUACAAGAGGUGGUGCGAGCUGAGGUGCUGAAGCUACUUCAAGCAGGAAUCAUUUACCCUAUAUCUGAUAGCCCUUGGGUGAGUCCUACUCAAGUAGUACCAAAGAAGUCAGGGAUCACAGUGGUUCAGAAUGAAAAAGGGGAAGAAAUUACUACACGCCUCACUUCAGGUUGGAGGGUGUGUAUUGAUUAUAGAAAGCUGAAUGCUGUAACCAGGAAAGAUCAUUUUCCAUUGCCAUUUAUUGAUCAAGUGCUGGAGAGAGUCUCUGGACAUCCAUUCUAUUGUUUCUUGGAUGGGUAUUCAGGGUAUUUUCAUAUUGAAAUUGAUUUGGCAGAUCAAGAAAAGACCACUUUUACAUGUCCAUUUGAAACAUAUGCUUAUAGAAGAAUGCCUUUUGGUUUAUGCAAUGCACUUGCUACAUUUCAAAGAUGUAUGUUGAGUAUUUUCAGUGAUAUGGUGGAGCGAAUUAUGGAGGUUUUCAUGGAUGACAUCACCGUAUAUGGAGGUACAUUUGAGGAAUGCUUGGUUAAUUUGGAAACAGUUCUUCAUAGAUGCAUUGAAAAAGACCUGGUGCUGAACUGGGAGAAAUGCCAUUUUAUGGUACGACAAGGAAUUGUCCUUGGCCAUAUCAUCUCUGAAAAAGGCAUUGAAGUUGAUAAAGCAAAGGUGGAGCUUAUUGUCAAAUUACCAUCUCCAACAACUAUAAAAGGAGUAAGGCAGUUCCUUGGCCAUGCAGGGUUCUAUAGGAGGUUUAUAAAAGGUUUUUCAAGUCUUUCAAAACCUCUUUGUGAGCUGUUAGCUAAGGAUGCUAAGUUUAUAUGGGAUGAAAGGUGUCAGAAUAGCUUUGAUCAACUGAAGAAAUUUUUAACAACAACUCCAAUAGUGAGAGCCCCUAACUGGCAAUUACCUUUUGAAUUGAUGUGUGAUGCCAAUGACUUUGCUAUAGGAGCUGUGCUUGGCCAAAGAGAAGAUGGGAAGCCCUAUGUGAUUUACUAUGCAAGUAAAACACUAAAUGAAGCUCAGAGGAACUACACAACUACAGAAAAAGAAUUGUUAGCUAUGGUAUUUGCUUUGGACAAAUUUCGUGCUUAUUUAGUGGGGUCUUUCAUCAUAGUCUUCACUGACCAUUCAGCCUUAAAGUAUUUAUUGACAAAGCAAGAUGCAAAAGCAAGGUUGAUUAGAUGGAUUCUUUUGUUACAAGAAUUCGAUCUUCAAAUCAAAGAUAAGAAAGGAGUGGAGAAUAUGGUAGCUGACCACUUGUCAAGGUUAGUUAUAGCACAUAACUCCCAUCCCUUGCCUAUCAAUGAUGAUUUUCCUGAAGAAUCACUCAUGUUCCUAGUGAAAACUCCUUGGUAUGCUCAUAUUGCUAAUUAUUUAGUAACUGGUGAAAUUCCAAGUGAGUGGAAUGCACAGGACAGGAAGCACUUCUUUGCCAAAAUUCAUUCUUAUUAUUGGGAAGAGCCCUUUCUCUUUAAGUAUUGUGCAGAUCAGAUUAUUAGAAAGUGUGUCCCUGAAGAUGAGCAGCAAGGGAUUCUAUCUCAUUGUCAUGAGAAUGCAUGUGGAGGCCACUUUGCCUCUCAGAAAACAGCCAUGAAGGUAUUGCAAUCAGGGUUUACUUGGCCAUCUCUUUUCAAAGAUGCCCACAUCAUGUGUAGGAAUUGUGAUAGAUGCCAAAGGCUUGGAAAGCUAACAAAAAGAAAUCAAAUGCCUAUGAACCCCAUUAUGAUAGUUGAGUUAUUUGAUGUAUGGGGCAUUGACUUCAUGGGACCUUUCCCAAUGUCUUUUGGUAAUUCUUACAUUUUGGUGGGGGUGGAUUAUGUUUCUAAAUGGGUUGAGGCAAUCCCCUGUAAACAAAAUGAUCACAGGGUGGUUCUCAAGUUUCUUAAAGAGAACAUUUUCUCAAGAUUUGGGGUGCCCAAGGCCAUAAUCAGUGAUGGAGGUGCUCAUUUUUGCAACAAACCUUUUGAAGCUCUGUUAUCCAAGUAUGGAGUGAAGCAUAAGGUGGCUACACCUUAUCAUCCUCAGACUUCCGGGCAAGUUGAGCUAGCUAACAGGGAAAUAAAGAACAUCUUGAUGAAAGUGGUGAAUUCCAAUAGAAAGGAUUGGUCUAUUAGGCUUCAUGAUUCAUUGUGGGUAUAUAGAACAGCUUAUAAGACUAUUCUUGGGAUGUCUCCCUAUCGUCUUGUCUAUAGUAAAGCAUGCCAUCUCCCUGUGGAAGUUGAAUACAAAGCUUGGUGGGCAAUAAAGAAGCUGAACAUGGACUUGAUCAAGGUAGGAGAAAAGAGAUUUCUAGACCUUAAUGAGAUGGAGGAAUUAAGAAAUAAUGCUUAUAUCAAUUCCAAAGUUGCAAAACAGAGGAUGAAGAAGUGGCAUGAUCAACUCAUCUCCAACAAGGAAUUUCAGGAAGGGCAAAGAGUUUUGAUGUAUGACACAAGACUCCAUAUCUUUCCUGGGAAACUCAAGUCAAGGUGGAUAGGCCCGUUCAUUAUUCACCGAGUAUAUUCCAAUGGAGUGGUGGAAUUAUUGAAUUCCAAUGGCAAGGAUAGCUUUAAAGUCAAUGGAUAUCGUCUCAGGCCAUUCUUGGAGCCAUUCAAACCAGAAAAGGAGGAGAUCAACCUCCUUGAACCUCAAAAAGCUUAAGUGAAAAAGGGUUUGCUGGACGUGGUUUUACCACAGUCCAAAAUUUUUGUAAAUUUUGUAAAUUUUCAAGUUGUUUCCAUACUUUUGAUCUUAGUUUUUGAUCUUAAAUCAUGUUUUUAGGUGUGUUUUAAUUGUUUUGAAUGAUCCCAGGUGGAAGAAAUUUCAAGGAAAUUGAAAGAAAAAAAAAAUCAGGUCGAAAUCGGAGCCAAAAUAGAGUAAAAACAGGGGAAAAACAAAGCUCUGCGAAAUGAGCAUUUUGUUGCCAAACCAUUCCGCAACACUGUAGAAGUCUCUGCAAGGGUAUUUCGCAGUUGCGAAAGCAAAUUUGGCACACGAGUGCCACUUCGCAGUACAGUAGCAUCCAUUUGGCAGCUGCGAAACGCAUUGCGAAGGGAAAAAGCGUGAUUUCGCACCAAAAGUCCCAUUCCGCAGGGUAUUUCGCAAUUGCGAAAGUGGUUUUGGCACACGAGUGCCACUUCGCAGCAUAGGAACUCUCAUUUCGUAGCUGCGAAACUCACUGCGAAGUUGCUGCAAAAAUGGCAUUUUGCUGUGAAAUUGACGUUUUGUUGCGAAACUUAAACUGACCCUUAGGCUUCCAUUUUUCCUAUUUAUACCGAUCAUUUGAGCUGCGAAAAGGGUUUCAAAAAUCAGAGCGCCAUUUUCGCAGACCUUUCAUCUUCUUCCUUGAGCCACGCCGUCCGAGCCUCCGGUCAUCUCCUCCGAUUAGCAACGCCGGCCAAAGUUUGGUAUCCCGAAAUGGCACGAACACGAGAGGCUAAGUCUUCAUCUUCUUCGAACCACAAGAAGAGUCUGCGAAAGGAGCCAAGUCUAGGUUCUGCUCCAGAGCCUUCGCCGUCAAGGCCAAAUCCUCCUCCGGUGAAGCCCGCGCCACCAAAGCCACCUGCAAGACGAUACCUUACCAGGUCAGGAGGUCGGCCAUUGCAGAAGAAACCCAGGGUGGAGAGCUCAGAACCCAUCGAUUUGACUGAGCAAUCUCCAGAGCCUUCACCAAUUCCAUCACCGGUUCAAACUCCAGUGCCGUCUCCAGUUCCCUCGCCUAGUCCCCUGCCAGUUCCAUCGCCGGUACCAUCUCCGGCACCGCAAGAAAAAUCUCAGGAGCCUCAAGCGCCACUUCCCGAGCCCCAAAUUCAAGCUGAAACAGCUCUGGAAGAAGUAAUCUGGAGGCCAAUGCUACCUCAGCCCCCAAUUGAGGGAAACUUGGAUUGUAGAACACGGGCAUUUCACUCCGAGCUUUGCUUUGACUUACCGGCAUUCAGAGUGAGGCUGGAGCUUGCCCAAUCAUUCCAGCUGCUGAGAAGGUACCAUAUGGAGCAACUGCUAGCUCCAAGAGACUUUUUCUAUCCCCGGAUAGCCACGGAUUUCUACCAAUCCAUGACAACCAAAGAGGUAAGGAAUCCGACUUUGAUUCAUUUCACAAUCGAUGGGAGACAUGGCAUAUUGGGAGCACGACAUAUUGCUGAAGCCCUGCAAAUUCCCUUUGAGCCAACCCAAUUCGAUAAUUUUACAGCUUGGGCAAAUCCUACUGAGCUAAAGAUGGUGCGCACCCUUUCCAGAGGAGCUGCAAAUCGAUCACAUCUGUUGAGGGGGGAGCUUCCUCCAGUUAUGUUUUUGAUUGAUGCCUUUUUGCGUCAUAAUAUAUACCCAUUGCAGCAUUGGACCCAAAGAAGGGGAGUCCUCCUGGAAGCUCUUUAUAAGAUGUCAGAAGGAUUUUUCUUUGGGCCUCAUCAUCUGAUCAUGGCAGCCCUUCUCUAUUUUGAAGAGAAGGCUCAUAAAAGGAAGCUUCAGAGAGCAUAUUGCAUUCCCCUCCUCUUCCCAAGGCUGCUAUGCCCAAUUUUGGAGCAUCUGGGAUACCCCUCUGAGCCUCAGCUGGAGAGAAAGCGAAUUUGCCGUGAGCCAUUCACUCUUGAUAAAUGGAAUAAUAUGACGGCCUACAAAGUUGAUCAGCCUGGGCAGCCUCAACCAGCUGCAAGGAGAGCCUCCCCAAGACAUAUACCUGAAGGUAUAACAGUUGCUACUCCUGCCAUUCCUAGAGCUCCACCAGUUGCACCUGCUUCAUUUCAGCCAUCCACAUCAGCUGAGCCGAGGAUGGCCAUUCCUAUAUCUGAAUAUCGAGAGUUGUGCCGUGCAUUGGAGACACUUACAGCUUCUUAGAGCAAUCUUGCUCAAGAGAUGGCAGCCAUCAGAGCAUGCCAAGAGCAGAUGUUAGCCACUCAAGCUCAACAAGCUGCCAUCUUAAGGCAGCUCCAAGACCAUUUCGAUCUGCCACAAGCUGUAGAGUCCUCCACUUCUACUCCAACAGAGCCACACCCUCAUCCUUCAGAGUCUCAUCCUCCUGAGCCCCAAGCCCCAGCUGAUGCACCUACUGAAGAGGUAGAUCCUUCUGCCUAAUCCCAGCACCACCCCACUCAUCAGACUAUAUUAGAUAUCUAAUAUUUUCAUGUAUUUCAUUUUUUUUAGUUGAAAAGAAAUCCCAGUAUUUUGGUACUAUAUUUGGGAUUCCUUGUGUUACUUGUCUUUUGCAUUGUAAUCAAAUGAAUUUAAAGUAAUACAAGUUGAAUAUUUCUUGUUAAAAGUUAGCAUUAAGUUAUUCUUAUUUCCUUUUCUCACAUAUUCUAUUCUUUUUGAAACAUGUGGUUUUCCCCAAUCAAUAUUCGAAUUUGAUUUCAGCAAGGAGGUACCACUUCCUCCCUUUUAUUACAUUCACUCAAAUCACAUUGAGGACAAUGCUCAGUUCGGUUGGGGGGUAUGAGGAAGGAAGUAUUCUAAAUCUUUUUGGUAUUGCAAUUAUAUUGGUUAAUUAGUUGUAGUUUUUACUUUUUACUCUUGUUACUCUAUUCUCCAUGAAUUUUGAGGAAAAAUUUUCAAAUUAAACCAAGAGAAAUUGAACUGUUGUUUUUCACUUGACUUAGAGUAUGGAUUAUGCUUACUAAAGUGGUUCAAUUGUUGAAGCUUCUAUUGAAAUUGAAGUUAGUUCUUCCACUUUAAGCUAUCCACACACUGUGCACAUUAGAUUCCGAUUAUAAGAUGAAAAGCUAUUUCCCUCUUGACUUAGGAUAAUUUUGGGACUUGGUAUAUUUGACCUCAUUUGAUAAAAUUGAAACACCCUGCAAAAGGCCAAUGAGCCUUUGAAAUAAAGAAAGUUGUUUGCUUGCCUUGAAACCCGAGCAAGGUCUGAGGGGUAUAUGGUGAAAAUCUUUAAAGCCUGGUGCCCUAAGCCUUAAUUGGUUGGGAGUCACCGACCUCAAUGCUCGUUAUAAGGGUGAAUAGGUAGAGCUAGCAUAUGGUAGAUGCUUGGGUAUUAGAAUCUCAUUCUUAAAAGUCCGGGGAAAAAUCCGAGGAGUUAGUGGUUGAAAGAUCCUUAAAGCUUGGUGCCCUAAACCUUAAUUGGUUGGGAGUCAUCGAUGGACCCCCAUUACAUGGACAAGUCAGAAAGAGUACCCCAUAAAGCUACCUUAAAAAAAAAAAUGAUGAAAAUGUGUUCUUUUCUUAUUGAUUUUGGUCAGAUUGCUAAAGUAUUGAAAAGAGAUAGGUUGGGGGGAGAGACUAGUUUAGCAUAUUAUUCUCGGAACCUAAGGAACCAAUACACAUAGAUUUUUGUGGAAGAUUAAAGUUUGAUUCUUAGAAAGUGGAAAUGAUUUUAAAACUUCAGUUUGCAUAAUGCACUCCCUUGAUUGACAGUGUUUAGCAUAGGUGUUAUGACUCUUGUUGAGAUUUGGGUUUGUAUUUCUUUACUACUUCAUGUGAGAAUUAGAUCAUCAUGCCACUUGAGAAUUAUUUUCCUUUAGCAUGAUGUUGUAAAUUUUAGAUUAGUUUGCUUUUUAUUUUCAUUUUUCUCUCCUAUAUUGCUAAGGGACUAGCAAUAUGUCGGUUGGGGGGAGUGAUUACUACUCAAAAAGUGCUAUUUGAUAGCCUAUAAUUAAUCCUUUUAAACACUUUUGAGUAGUAGUUUAGGCCUUUUAACUCAAUUGGCAUGUUAAGGAUCCUUUAAAGCAAUUUUAAUCACUUUGUGCAAGUUUUGGUGUUUUUGUUAGUAUUUUGAUCACCAAAGCAAGUCAAGACUGAGGAGAGCUAUGAGGAAUCUUGGGCAAAGCUUAGAAGUCAUUUUCCAAGAGUGAAUCCGGAUUGCAAGGAGAAAAAAGCAAAGAGAAUCUGCCAUAAAGCAUAUUCUUGAUGACAGUCGUAGCAGCCACUUUUGGAGCACUUUCUGAAGUCCAAAUGAUGUAUUCCAUAUACCAUUUCAAAGCUCAGGAAGUCAAAAAUCCAAUGCUUCAAACGGUGCUCAAUUCGGAGUUGAAAUGAAGAAGUUGCAGCCGUUACAAGCCAAUCACUCCGAGCUGAAGGAAGCAUUUUGCAAAGUGUUGCGAAAUCACCCUUUUGUUGCGAAGUGAUUUCGCAGCAUUUUUGUACAGUAAGGUGUUUCUCCUUCUGACGAUGCACGAUUUAUGCCGCGAGAAGGAAGCUAGGAACCUCAAGGUAGAAGACAACUUCGCAGCCCUGUGAAGAUAGCUUGGUGUUGCGAAAUAAUUUUGCAGCCCUCUUGAGUGUAUGCGAAAUCUCGUAGACACCAUUUUUCUCAUGCGAAAUGGUUCCUAAAACCUCCCGAUAUUUGCUACCGACAUUGGGAGAUAUUUUCCAUUAGAUUUUUGUUGUCUAAAUCCCAAAAUACUCCUUGUAAACCACCAAUUACAUGAUUCCUUAGUUUUUAAGUUAGUAAAAAGACUAAAUAUCUAUGUAAUAAUUAGUUUUAUAUUAUGUUCAUAUAUAUACCUCUCGAGAGCCUGUUCUCAGAGAGGAGUUCCUUCUUUAAAAGUUUGAGUAAGCAAGUAAAGUCUCUUUUCUUUCUACUGCCUUACCUUCUCACUUUGUAUUUUUUACUUAUUACUAAGUUAUGAACUCUCUGAGGAGUUUUCCCUAGAGAAUGAGUAACUAAACCUCUAAUUCCUUGGAGCUAAGGUUGCUGGGGGAGGUUCCAAGUGCAAGAAUGCAAAGCUUUGUGGUUUUAGCUAGUAAUGAAGAGCAAGUGAAAUCCUUCAAUGAUUUCUAUGUUUUUAGUUAACUUAAAACACCUUGGAGUCACCUGGGCCAACACUUGGUAAGGCAAGUGAUUUCCAACCAUGGAAAUGCACUAGUUUACCCCUUGCGAGCCUCUGGGAGGUGACUUUAAGGUAGGAUUUUCUAGAAUAGACAACACUUGGUAAGCUUUUGGACUCCUAGGAGACAUCCAUUAGUUAUCUCUUGCGAGCUUUUGACGGGUAAUCCAAGGUUAAAGAUCACCUUGAAUGGUUAAGGCUUAGUGAGAGGCUUAAACCAUUGCAAGUUGCAUCAGUGAGAGAAUUAAAGUGAAAUCUAAUUGAAGGAGUCUCUGUACAUCACCAGUUAGAGAAUUGACUAUAUGUUGAAUCUUUAAUGCGAGGAAAUGAACCAUCUGACCAAAGCCGUGUCUUUUGCAUGAGGAACCACCCCAGUGAACCUAAAUCUCCAAGGAAUGCUUUUCUUCCUAAAUUAUUCCAAACUUCUGUUAUGUUAGUUAGUUUAAGUCUAAACCUUUACCAAUCAAAGUUUGUGUUUUACUUCUUAAGCUAACCUUGAAAUGAAACAAGGCCAAUUCACUUGGAAUUGGUAUCAUUGAUUGCUUGUUAAUCAUUCCCAGUGAACGAUCCUAGAGCCACUAUACUAUAGUAGCUUUGUCUUUGCUACCCUAGUAUAUGGUGUUAUAGGUUAUAAAUUUUGUUGAUUACUCCCUCAAUCAAGGAGCACCAGCUGGACGCAAAUCAGCUGAGACACCAAUUGGGCAUGAAUCACACCCUAUGCCCAUUUAGGCAUCCUCGGUCCAUUUAGACACCUUAGGCCCAUUUAGGCACCCUAGGCUCAUUUAGACACCCUUGGCCCAUUUAGGCACCCUAGGCUCAUUUAGGCACCCUUGGCACAUUUAGGCACCCUAGGCCCACUUAGUAACCCUAAGCCCACUUAGACACCCUUGGCCCAUUUAGGCACCCUAGGUCCACUUAAGCACUCUAGGCCCAUUUAGGCACCCUACGCCCACUAAGACACCCUAAGCCCACUUAGACACCCUUGGCCCAAUUAGGCACCCUAGGUCCACUUAGGCACUCUAGGCCCAUUUAGGCACCCUAGGUCCACUUAGGCACGCUAGGCCCACUUAGGCACCCUAAAUCCACUUAGACACCUUACGCCCAUUUAAGCACCCAAAGCCCACUUAGGCACCCUUAGCCCAUUUAGGAACCCUAGGCUCAUUUAGGCACCCUAGGUCCACUUAGGCACCCUACGACCAUUUAGGCACCCUAGGUCCACUUAGGCACUCUAGACCCAUUUAAGCACCCUAGGUCCACUUAGGCACCCUAGGCCCAUUUAGGCACCCUAGGUCCAUUUAGGUACCCUUGGCCCAUUUAGGCACCCUAGGCCCACUUAGCCACCCUAGGCCCAUUUAGGCACCUAAGGACCAAUUUGGCACCCUAGGCUCAUUUAAGAACCCUAGGCCCAUUUAAGAACCCUAUGUCCACUUAGACACCUUCUGCCCAUGUAGGCACCCUUGGUCCACUUAGGCACUCUAGACCCAUUUAGGCACCCUAGGUCCGCUUAGGCACCCUAGGCCCAUUUAGGCACCCUAGGUCCAUUUAGGCAUCCUUGGCCCAUUUAGGUACCCUAGGCCCACUUAGGCACCCUAGGCCCAUUUAGGCAACCUUGGGCAAUUUAGGCACCCUAGGUCCAUUUAGGCACCUAAGGAUCAUUUAGGCACUCAGAGGCCCAUUUAGGCACCCUAGGUCCAUUUAGGCACCUUAGGGUCAUUUAGGCAUCCAUAGGCCCAUUUAGGCAUCCAUAGGCCCAUUUAGGCACCUUAGGCUCAUUUAGGCACCCUUGGCCCAUUUAGGCACCCUAGGCCCACUUAGACACCCUGAGCCCACUUAGACACCCUCUGCCCAUUUAGGAACCCUAGGUCCACUUAGGCACUCUAGACCCAUUUAGGCACCCUAGGUCCACUUAGGCACGCUAGGCCCACUUAGGCACCCUAAAUCCACUUAGACACCUUACGCCCAUUUAAGCACCCAAAGCCAACUUAGGCACCCUUAGCCCAUUUAGGAAACCUAGGCUCAUUUAGGCACCCUAGGCCCACUUAGGCACCCUAGACCCAUUUAGGCACCCUAGGUCCACUUAGGCACUCUAGACCCAUUUAGGCACCCUAGGUCCACUUAGGCACCCUAGGCCCAUUUAGGCACCCUAGGUCCAUUUAGGUACCCUUGGCCCAUUUAGGCACCCUAGGCCCACUUAGGCACCCUAGGCCCAUUUAGGCACCUAAGGUCCAAUUUGGCACCCUAGGCUCAUUUAAGAACCCUAGGCCCAUUUAAGAACCCUAUGUCCACUUAGACACCUUCUGCCCAUGUAGGCACCCUUGGUCCACUUAGGCACUCUAGACCCAUUUAGGCACCCUAGGUCCGCUUAGGCACCCUAGGCCCAUUUAGGCACCCUAGGUCCAUUUAGGCAUCCUUGGCCCAUUUAGGUACCCUAGGCCCACAUAGGCACCCUAGGCCCAUUUAGGCAACCUUGGGCCAUUUAGGCACCCUAGGUCCAUUUAGGCACCUAAGGUUCAUUUAGGCACUCAGAGGCCCAUUUAGGCACCCUAGGUCCACUUAGACACCAUAGACCCAUUUCGGCACCCUAGGCUCAUUUAGGCACCCUUGGCUCAUUUAGGCACCUUAGGCUCAUUUAGGCACCCUUGGCCCAUUUAGGCACCCUAGGCCCACUUAGACACCCUGAGCCCACUUCGACACCCUCUGCCCAUUUAGGAACCCUAGGUCCACUUAGGCACUCUAGACCCAUUUAGGCACCCUAGGUCCACUUAGGCACCCUAGGCCCAUUUAGGCACCCUAGGUCCAUUUAGGCACCCUUAGCCCAUUUAGGUACCCUAGGCCCAUUUAGGCACCCUAGGUCCAUUUAGGCACCUUAGGGUCAUUUAGGCAUCCAUAGGCCCAUUAAGGCAUCCAUAGGCCCAUUUAGGCACCCUAAGUCCACUUAGACACCUUAAGCCCAUUUAGGCACCCUAGGCUCAUUUAGGCACCGUUGGCCCAUUUAGGCACCCUAGGCCUACUUAGACACCGUAAUCCCACUUCGACACGCUGCGUUCAUCUAGGCACCCUAGGUCCACUUAGGCACCUUAGGCCCACAUAGUCACCCUUGGCCCAUUUAGGCACCUUAGGUCCACUUAGGCACCCUAGGCCCAUUUAGGCACCCUACGUCCACUUAGGCACCCUUAGCCCAUUUAGGCACCCUAAGUCCACUUAGGCACCUUAGGCCCAUGUAGGCACCCUAGGCCCAUUUAGGCACCCUAGGUAACCUUAAGCACCCUACGUCCACUUAGGCACCCCAGGUCUAUUUACGCACCCCUUGCCCAUUUAGGCACCCUAGGCCCACUUAGGCACCCUAGGCUCAUUCAGGCACCCUAGGUCCACUUAGGAACCCUAGGCCCAUUUAGGCAUCCUUGGUCCACUUAGGCACCCUAGGCCAAUUUAGGCACCCUAGGUCCAGUUAGGCACUCUUGACACAUUUAGGCACCCUAGGCCCAUUUAGGAACCCUAUGUCCACUUAGACACCUUAUGCCCAUUUCGGCACCCUAGGUCAACUAAGGUAAUCUAGACCCAUUUAGGCACCCUAGGUCUACUUAGGCACCCUAUGCUCAUUUCAGCACCCUAGGCCCAUUUAGGAACCCUAUGUCCACUUAGACACCAUAUGCCCAUUUAGGCAUCCUAGGUCCACUUAGGCACUCUAGACCCAUUUAGGCACCCUAGGUCCACUUAGGCACCCUACGCCCAUUUAGGCACCCUAGGUCCAUUUAGGCACCCUUGGCCCAUUUAGGUACGCUAGGCCCACUAAGGCACCCUAGGCCCAUUUAGGCACCCUAUGUCCAUUUAGGCACCCUAGGCUCAUUUAGGCACCCUAGGUCCCCUUAGGCAACCUAGGCCCAUUUAGGCAUCCUUGGUCCACUUAGGCACCCUAGGCCAAUUUAGGCACCCUAGGUCCAGUUAGGCACUCUUGACACAUUUAGGCACCGUAGGCCCAUUUAGGAACCCUAUGUCCACUUAGACACCUUAUGCCCAUUUAGGCACCCUAGGCUCAUUUAGGCACCGUUGGCCCAUUUCGGCACCCUAGGCCUACUUAGACACCGUAAGCCCACUUCGACACGCUGCGUUCAUCUAGGCACCCUAGGUCCACUUAGGCACCUUAGGCCCACUUAGGCACCCUUGGCCCAUUUAGGCACCUUAGGUCCACUUAGGCACCCUAGGCCCAUUUAGGCACCCUACGUCCACUUAGGCACCCUUAGCCCAUUUAGGAACCCUAGGUCCACUUAGGCACCUUAGGCCCAUGUAGGCACCCUAGGCCCAUUUAGGCACCCUAGGCAACCUUAAGCACCCUACGUCCACUUAGGCACCCCAGGUCUAUUUACGCACCCCUUGCCCAUUUAGGCACCCUAGGCCCACUUAGGCACCCUAGGCCCAUUUAGGCACCCUAUGUCCAUUUAGGCACCCUAGGCUCAUUCAGGCACCCUAGGUCCACUUAGGCACCCUAGGCCCAUUUAGGCAUCCUUGGUCCACUUAGGCACCCUAGGCCAAUUUAGGCACCCUAGGUCCAGUUAGGCACUCUUGACACAUUUAGGCACCCUAGGCCCAUUUAGGAACCCUAUGUCCACUUAGACACCUUAUGCCCAUUUCGGCACCCUAGGUCAACUAAGGUAAUCUAGACCCAUUUAGGCACCCUAGGUCUACUUAGGCACCCUAUGCUCAUUUCGGCACCCUAGGCCCAUUUAGGAACCCUAUGUCCACUUAGACACUAUAUGCCCAUUUAGGCAUCCUAGGUCCACUUAGGCACUCUAGACCCAUUUAGGCACCCUAGGUCCACUUAGGGACCCUACGCCCAUUUAGGCACCCUAGGUCCAUUUAGGCACCCUUGGCCCAUUUAGGUACGCUAGGCCCAUUUAGGCACCUUAGGUCCAUUUAGGCACAUCAGGCUCAUUUAGGCACCCAUAGGUCCAUUUAGGCACCCUAGGCUCAUUUAGGCACCCUAGGCUCAUUUAGGCACCCUUGGCCCAUUUAGGCACCCUAGGCUCAUUUAAGCACCCUUGGCCCAUUUAGGCACCGUAGGCCCACUUAGUAACCCUAAGCCCACUUAGACACCCUUGACCCAUUUAGGCACCCUAGGUCCACCUAAGCACUCUAGGCUCAUUUAGGCACCCUAGGUCCACUUAGACAGGCUAGGCCCAUUUAAGCCCCCUAAGCCCACUUAGGCACCCUUGGCCCAUUUGGGAACCCUAGGCUCAUUUAGGUACUCUAGGUCCACUUAGGCACCCUAAGCCCAUUUAGGCACCUUAGGUCCAAUUAGGCACUCUAGACCCAUUUAGGCACCCUAGGUCCACUUAGGCACCCUAGGCCCAUUUAGGCACCCUGGUCCAUUUAGGCACCCUUGGCGCCUUUAGGCACCCUUGGCGCCUUUAGGCACCCUAGAACCACUUAGACACCCUUGGACCAUUUAGGCACCCUAGGUCCAUUUAGGCACCGUUGGCUCAUUUACGCACCCUAGACCUAUUUAGGCACCCUAGGUCCACUUAGACACCUUAGGCUCAUUUAGGCACCCUAGGUCCACUUAGGCACUCUAGACCCAUUUAGGCACCCUAGGUCCACUAAGGCACCCUAGGUCCAUUUACGCACCCUUGGCUCAUUUAGGUACCUUAGGCCCAUUUAGGCACCCUAGGUCCCUUUAGGCAACUUAGGGUCAUUUAGGCAUCCAUAGGCCCAUUGAGGCACCCUAGGUCCACUUAGACACCUUAGGCCUAUUUAGGCACUCUAGGCCCACUUAGACACCCUAAGCCCACUUAGACACGCUGCUCCCAUUUAGGCACCUUAGGCCUACUUAGGCACCCUUGGCCCAUUUACGCACCCCUAGGUCCACUUAGGCACCCUAGGCCCAUUUAGGCACCCUCGGUCCCCUUAGACACCUUAGGCCCAUUUAGGCAUCCUAGGCUCUUUUAGGCACCCUUGGCCCAUUUAGGCACCCUAGGCCCAUUUACGACCCUAGGUCAACUUAGGCACCCUAGGUCCACUUAGGCACCCUAGGUCCACUUAGGCACCCUAGGCCGAUUUAGCCACCCUAGGUCCAGUUAGGCACUGUACACCCAUUUAGGCACCUUAGGCCCAUUUAGGCACCCUAAGUCCAAUUAGGCACCUUAGGCUCAUUUAGGCACCCUAGGCCCAUUUAGGAACCCUAUGUCCACUUAGACACCUUAUGCCCAUUUAGGCACCCUAGGUCCACUUAGGCACUCUAGACCCAUUUAGGAACCCUAGGUCCACUUAGGCACGCUAGGCCCAUUUAGGCACCCUAGGUCCAUUUAGGCACCCUUUGCCCAUUUAGGUACCCUAGGCCCACUUAGGUACCCUAGGACCAUGUAGGCACCCUAUGUCCAUUUAGGCACAUAUGGCUCAUUUAGGCACCCAUAGGCCCAUUUAGGCACCCUAGGUCCACUUAGACCCCUUAGGCCCAUUUAGGCACCCUAGACUAAUUUAGGCACCCUUGGCCCAUUUAUGCACCCUAGGCUCAUUUAGGCACCCUUGGCCCAUUUAGGUACCCUAGGCCCACUUAGUAACCCUAAGCCCACUUAGACACACUUGGCCCAUUUAGGCACCCUAGGUCCACUUAGGCACUCUAGGCCCAUUUAGGCACCCUAGGUCAUUUUACGCACCCUAGGCUCAUUUAAGUACCCGAGGCCCAUUUAGGCACCCUAGGUCCAUUUAGGCACCUUAGGGUCAUUUAGGCAUCCAUAGGCCCAUUUAGGCACCCUAGGUCCACUUAGACACCUUAGGCCUAUUUAGGCACCCUAGUCUCAUUUAGGAACUCUUGGCCCAUUUAGGCACCCUAGGCCCACUUAGACACCCUAAGCCCACUUAGACACCCUGCGCCCAUUUAGGCACCCUAGGUCCACUUAGGCACCUUAGUGUCACGGACUUAGUCGUUCACUAAGCUCGUGCGGCACUUAGGCAAGUCAAGACGCUUGAUCUUGCUAAGUCAGCCUUGAUCCUCAAUGCUUAGCUUGCUCGGCUAAGACACUCACGACUCGAAAUCUUAAGAAGCUUGGUAGGCAACUCCUUAAUGAAUGGAAGCUCUUAUUAACUCAAGAAAGCCUUUACAAGUGCUUAGAUGCUCACUUGCUUGGUUAGGAAGUGAUUUGGGUGGUGCCUUGGCCAAAUGAGGCCUUCACCUAUUUAUAGGCACCAAUGGAACUCUCUGGAACCUUGGAGGGUUCCUUAGAAAUGAAGAAUAUUCUAGAACAUCCUACCCUAUUCUAUGUACAACCCUAUGUACAAGAGAUUCUUAGAAGUCUCUAGAAAGCCCUGGACUCCUCCCAUGCCUUCCUCCAUAGUGUAGAGAUGUGCGGACAUCUCUAGGCAUUUCUAGAACCUUCCACACUCUUCCCACCAAUGGCUUAUUGUAAAUGGUUCCAGGAGUCUCCAGAAGCUUCCCUCUUUCUAUAUAAGCCCAUAGGGAGGGUCAUUUGAAACAUCCUGUGACACUCUCCCCCACUGAUGCCGUCGACGUCCUCGUCGUUGCCUCAUUCUGAAACCUCUCGAUGUGUUUCCAGAAUUUUCUCAAGGCAUCCGCAUGUUCCCAGCUUACCGGUCUCUUAGGUAGUCCUUUCCAUCGGACUAGAUACUCUAUCACAGGAGGGACCCCUUGUCUCCUAGUGACCCGUUCAGCCAGGAUAUUCUUCACCUCCUUCUCCUGUGAGGCUUCAGAUAGAUGCAGACCCAUGCGCUUUCGAUGCUUAGAGUGUUGCUUCUUCUUACCGAUUGAGUUCACCUUUCCCUUGGUGACCUCUUCCAUGUGUGUGCGGGCUACCUCAGCUCGCUCCUCUUUUUCCUCCUUUACUUGCACCCCUGCUAGUAAGGAGGUCUUAGGCGUACUAGGCUUCGGGUUAAAUUGGAGGGCACCUAGUAGCUGCAUUGAGCCCAUAUGUGCUUCGUCCUCCUGCUCCCUCUCCUCGAUCAUGGCACUGAACGCCUUCCUCUUUGGACAAUCCCGUGCCCAAUGUGGACCGUCACACAGGAAGCAUUUGAUUUUAGGUGUAAACUCCUUCCUUUCCGCCUUAUCCCUUCCUUCUCGGACGUUAGACGUCUUUCCUGAUCCCUUUUUAGGAGCAUUGUGGUCCCUUGGAACCUCGUCUCCCCUACCCUUGGCGUGGCUAUCCUCCAAAGACUUAACCUUGGAGGAGUCUCCUCUCUUAUAAUCCGUUAAAGACUCUGCUACUGCCAUAGCAGUGGCUAAGUCUUAAACGCCUCGGCGCCUUAAUUCUUGCUCGGCCCACCCUUGCAGGUUAUCCAUGAAGUUGAAUAACAACUCCUCCUCAAUUAUGUUAGGAAUCUCAAGCAUGAGCGAAGAGAAUUCCUUGACAUAUUCACGUAUCGAGCUUGUGUGCUUGAGACGCCUCAUGUUUUUCCUAGCCAGGUAAGCCACGUCCUCGGGGUAGAACUGCCUCUUGAUCUGCCUCCUGAAGUCCUCCCACGUCCCUAUGGUGCAAAUGCCUUUCUCCAUAUCGGCAAACCUUCGACGCCACCAUAGAGUAGCUGUGUCAGUAAGGUAGAGGGUCGUAGUUCUCACCUUAGCCACCUCAUUCGUUAAUGCGAUAGCUUCGAAGUAUCGCUCCAUAUGCCAUAAGAAGUUAUCCAACUUCUUGGCAUCCCGCUUGCCACUAAACCUAUGUGGCUUCGGCACCUCCACCCUAGAUGCCUCCUAUGUGGUCAUGACCCGUGCCGACACAGCAGCCUUGUAGAUGUCCAACUCCUGCCUAACCUCCUGGUCUCGGGACUCCAUUCGAGUGGCCAAGGCCUCUAUCCUUGACUCCAUGCUAGCAAGCAUGCUCAAGACCUUUCCUUGGAAGGACACAAACUCCUCGUGCGACACUGGUUGAACCUGUGAGACUAGCACCCUCUCACGAAGGUCUUGGAUCUGCUCCCCUAGAUCCUCUAAGCCCUUCUCCAUGCCUUGCUCGAUCAAGUCCAACCCCUCCCGAGUGUCCGCCAUGGCUAGCUCUACCUUGGCUAACCUUGCCUCCAUAUUGGCAACGGCAUCACGAGACUUAUCCUUCUUAUCCCUGCCCCGUGCAGUAGGCUCGGUCUCCCUUCCACGGGUUUGCUCACUAGUCUCCUCCACGUUAGAGCCCGACAUGCUUCCUUUGCUAUGCCCACCUUGUAACCGUGCUCUGAUACCACUUGUCACGGACUUAGUCGUUCACUAAGCUCGUGCGGCACUUAGGCAAGUCAAGACGCUUGAUCUUGCUAAGUCAGCCUUGAUCCCCAAUGCUUAGCUUGCUCGGCUAAGACACUCGCGACUCGAAAGCUUAAGAAGCUUGGUAGGCAACUCCUUAAAGAAUGGAAGCUCUUAUUAACUCAAGAAAGCCUUUACAAGUGCUUAGAUGCUCACUUGCUUGGUUAGGAAGUGAUUUGGGUGGUGCCUUGGCCAAAUGAGGCCUUCACCUAUUUAUAGGCACCAAUGGAACUCUCUGGAACCUUGGAGGGUUCCUUACAAAUCAAGAAUAUUCUAGAACAUCCUACCCUAUUCUAUGUACAACCCUAUGUACAAGAGAUUCUUAGAAGUCUCUAGAAAGCCCUGGACUCCUCCCAUGCCUUCCUCCAUAGUGUAGAGAUGUGCGGACAUCUCUAGGCACUUCUAGAACCUUCCACACUCUUCCCACCAAUGGCUUAGAGUAGAUGGUUCCAGGAGUCUCCAGAAGCUUCCCUCUUUCUAUAUAAGCCCAUAGAGAGGGUCAUUUGAAACAUCCUAUGACAUUAGGCCCAUUUAGGCACCCUUAGCCCAUUUACGCACCCUAGGUCCACUUAGGCAGCCUAGGCCCAUUUAGGCACCCUAGGUCCCCUUAGACACCUUAGGCCCAUUUAGGCACCCUAGCCUCAUUUAGACACCCUUGGCCCAUUGAGGCACCCUAGGCCCAUUGAGGCACCCUAGGCCCAUUUACGACACUAGGUCAACUUAGGCACCCUAGGUCCACUUAGGCACCCUAGGUCCACUUAGGCACCCUAGGCCCAUUUAGGCACCCUAGGACCAAUUAGGCACUGUAAACCCAUUUAGGCACCUUAGGCCCAUUUAGGCACCCUAAGUCCAAUUGGGCAGCUUAGGCUCAUUUAGGCACCCUAGGCCCAUUUAGGAACCCUAUGUCCACUUAGACACCUUAUGCCCAUUUAGGCACCCUAGGUCCACUUAUGCACUCUAGACCCAUUUAGGCACCCUAGGUCCACUUAGGCACCUUAGGCCCAUUUAGGCACCCUAGGUCCAUUUAGGCACCCUUUGCCCAUUUAGGUACCCUAGGCCCACUUAGGUACCCUAGGACCAUUUAGGCACCCUAGGUCCAUUUAGGCACAUAAGGCUCAUUUAGGCACCCAUAGGCCCAUUUACGCACCCUAGGUCCACUUAGACCCCUUAGGCCCAUUUAGGCACCCUAGGCUCAUUUAGGCACCCUUCGCCCAUUUAGGCACCCUAGGCCCACUUAGUAACCCUAAGCCCACUUAGAACCCUUGGCCCAUUUAGGCACCCUAGGUCCACUUAGGCACUCUAGGCCCAUUUAGGCACCCUAGGUCUCUUAGACACGCUAGGCCCAUUUAAGCACCCUAAGCCCACUUAGGCACCCUUGGCCCAUUUUGGAACCCUAGGCUCAUUUAGGCACCCUAGGUCCACUUAGGCACCCUUGGCCCAUUUAGGCCCCCUAAGCCUAAAUGGCACCCUAGGUCAACUUAGGCACCCUACGUCCACUUAGGCACCCCAGGUCCAUUUAGGCACCCUUGGCCCAUUUAGGCACCCUAGGCCCACUUAGGCACCCUAGGCCCAUUUUGGCACCCUAUGUCCAUUCAGGCACCAUAGGGUCGUUUAGGUACCCUAGGUCCACUUAGGCACCCUAGGCCCAUUUAGGCACCCUAGGUCCAUUUAGGCACAUAAGGCUCAUUUAGGCACCCAUAGGCCUAUUUCGGCACCCUACCUCCACUUAGACACCUUAGGCCCAUUUUGGCACCCUAGGCUCAUUUAGGAACCCUUGGCCCAUUUAGGCACCCUAGGCCCACUUAGUAACCCUAAGCCCACUUAGACACCCUUGGCCCAUUUAGGCACCCUAGGUCCACUUUAGCACUCUAGUCCAAUUUAGGCACCCUAGGUCCACUUAGACACGCUAGGCACAUUUAAGCAGCCAAAGCCCACUUAGGCACCCUUGGGCCAUUUUGGAACCCUAGGCUCAUUUAGGCACCCUAGGUACCCUUAGGCACCCUAAGCCCAUUUAGGCAUCCUUGGCCCAUUUAGGCACCUUAGGCCCACUUAGGCACCUAGGUCCACUUAGACACCUUAGGCCCAUUCAGGCACCCUAGGUCCACUUAGGCACUCUAGACCCAUUUAGGCACCCUAGGUCCACCUAGGCACCCUAAGCCCAUUUAGGCACCCUAGGUCCAUUUACGCACCCUUGGCCCAUUUAGGUACCCUAGGCCCAUUUAGGCACCCUAGGUCCAUUUACGCACCUUAGAGUCAUUUAGGCAUCCAUAGGCCCAUUUAGGCACCCUAGGUCCACUUAGACUCCUUAGGCCCAUUUAGUCACCCUAAGCUCAUUUAGGCACCCUUGGCCAAUUUAGGCACCUAGGCCCACUUAGACACCCUAAACCCACUUAGACACGCAGCGCCCAUUUAGGCACCCUACGUCCACUUAGGCACCUUAGGCCCACUUAGGCACCCUUGGCCCAUUUACGCACCUAGGUCCACUUAGGCACCCUAGGCCCAUUUAGGGGACCCUAAGUCGACUUAGACACCUUACGGCCAUUUAGGCACCCUAGGCUCAUUUAGGGACCCUUCGCCCAUUUAGGCACCCUAGGUCCAUUUACGACCCUAGGUCAACUUAGGCACCCUAGGUCCAUUUAGGUACCCUAGGUCCACUUAGACAGCCUAGGCCCAUUUAGGCACCCUAGGCUCAUUUAGGCACCCUUGGCCCAUUUAGGCACCCUACGCCCAUUUAGGCACCCUAGGUCAACUUAGGCAACCUAGGUCCACUUAUGCACCCCAGGUCCAUUUAGGCACCCUUGGCCCAUUGAGGCACCCUAGGCCCACUUAGGCACCCUAGGCCCAUUUACGCACCCUAGGUCCAUUUACGCACCCUAGUCCCAUUUAGGCACCAUAGGUCCACUUAGACACCCUAGGCCCAUUUAGGCACCCUAAGCCCACUUAGGCACCCUUGGUCCAUUUAGGCACCCUAGGCUCAUUUAGGUACCCUAGGUCCACUUAGGCACCCUAGGCCCAUUUAGGCACCCUUGGUCCACUUAGGCACCCUAGGCCCAUUUAGGUACCCUAGGUCUAGUAAGGAACUCUAGACCCAUUUAGGCACCUUAGGCUCAUUUAGGCACCCUAGGUCCAAUUAGGCACCUUAGGCUUAUUUAGGCACCCUAGGCCCAUUUAGAAACCCUAUGUCCACUUAGACACCUUAUGCCCAUUUAGGCACCCUAGGUCCACGUAGGCACUCUAGACCCAUUAGGCACCCUAGGUUCACUUGGGCACCCUAGGCCCAUUUAGGCACCCUAGGUCCACUUUGGCACCAUAGGCCCAUUUAGCCACCCUAGGUCCACUUACACACCUUAGGCCCAUUUAGGCACCCUAGGCUCAUUUAGGCACCCUUGGCCCAUUUAGGCACUCUAGGCCCACUUAGACACCCUAAGCCCACUUAGACACACUGUGCCCAUUUAGGCACUCUAGGUCCACUUAGGCACCCUAGGCCCAUUUAGGCACCGUAGGUCUAUUUAGGCACAUAAGGCUCAUUUAGGCACCCAUAGGCCCAUUUAGAAAAUUUCGCACAGCCUGAUGCAGUUGUCUUCCGAAGGCCAUAUCUUUCUCAUUUCAGCUCCAAAUCAUACAUGGUUUGAACCGUUGGAUUCUUGACUUUCUGAGCUUUGAAAUGGUAUAUAGAAUGUAAAAAAUGGACUUCGGGAAGUGCUCCAAAAGUGCAAUGAAAGACUGCAGCUGUGUCCCCUGUUUUCCUCUUCUCCAUUGUUUCUUCCUUGUAUACUUUGAACCACUAAGGCAAAGGAUUAUGAGGCUCCAUAGCUUGAUUUCUUCAUAAAUUUAAGCUUUCAAAAGCUUUGCUCUGAACUAUAAAUAGCUCUCCCUCAUUCUUAAAUUGCUUUGGUGAGCAUAAAGCUAUCAAAAAGCACCAAAACUUAACACAUUUGUUAGAAACGAUUGCAAAGGUCCCUAAUAUGUUAAUUGAGUUAAAAGAUAAUAAUUACUACUCAAGGGUGUUUAAAAGAGCUAAUUACAAGCUACAAAAUAGCAUGUUUUGAGUAGUAAUCACUCCCCCCAACCGACAUAUUGCUAGUCCCUUAGCAAUUAAGGAGAGAAAAACUAAGCAAACGUAAUAAUAUACAUAAAAGAAGUCAUGCAAUUCAUUCCAAAAAAUAAUUGAGUGGCAUGACUGAUAUCCAAACACAUCUCUCCUGGUGAACUAAAGAUAUGAAGAUUCAAAAUGCAAUAGGAGUUGUCAAAGCUUAAACUUAAACAAAAAGUACAAAGAGUGGAGAUUAUGCAAUUAAGUAUCAAAAGAAUCUCUACUCUCAAGGUUUCAAAUCAAACUCUUCCAUAAUAAGCUAAGUGUUAAUGAAAUUAGCUUCCGGAUAUAGUAUAUACAACUAUCCUCACCCUCCAAACUAAGCUUUUCUCGAAUAUUGGCAAAAUUAAUCAACUCUUAAUAGGUUAAGAACGCACCUUCUUAUUCACAAUUCUUUUUUUUUUUACUCACUAAACUUAACCAAUUCACCUAUGUAGCAAGCAGAGGAUCGAUGACUCCCAACCAAUUAAGGUUUAGGGCAUUGGGUUUUAAAGGCUUUCGCCACCCCUUCGGAUCAUACUUAGGUUUCAAGGAAAGAAUAGAGGCUUAUUCUCUUUUUCUUUUUCUAAGACUCAUUGGUCUUUUUCUAAGACUCAUUGGUCUUUAUGAGGUGUCCCAACACUAUUAAAAAGAGGUUAAGUAAUAAACCAAGUCAAAAUUUUCCUAAGCUUAGAAAGUGAGAAAGUUUUACAUCUUAUAUCCGGGAUCUAAUGUGCACAGUGUGUGUAAAGCUCGAAAUGGAAGAAGAAAGUUCAAAAUCAAAGAGGCUUCAAUAGAUUAUCAACUUUGAAAGCAUAAAACAAACUCUAAGACUUAAAUAAUUAAGUUAAAACUCGACUUAUCCUAUUUUAUUUUUGAAAAAUUAUCUUUAACAACCAGAGAGAAUGAUUCAAAAAACUUUUUAAAAAAUUUAAAAUUUAAGCAAAAAUUAACUAAAAUACCAAAAUAACUUAAUAUUGACAACAAAACUUCCUUUCUCAAUUCUCCCCCCCAACCAAGUUGAACAUUGUCCCCAAUGUUUCAAAAGCGAUUAAAAAUAAAGGGAGGAAGUGGUACCUCCUGAGUGAGAUAAAGUCUGAGUGUAAAGGAGGUAUGGAGUACCUUAAACCACAUGUUCCAAGGACAAAAGAGUAAUGAGAAAAGGGAAUAUAAUCAAAAAGGAUAUAUAUAUAUAUAUAUAUUACUUGAAAAAGAAAUAUACAAUGUAUGAUUUCAAGUACUAUUUCCAAUCCCAAUUUAUAACACAUGCAAAAGAUGGGAUUUACAAGUCUAAAAUAAAAAGUAAAACAUAAAAAAAUCAGAUAUGAGUGGGGUCAUGUGAUGGCUCUGCUCUGAUCUCCUCCUCUGGUAUAGGCUGCUCAGCUGGCAAGCUCUCCUCAUCUGGCACUAGAGGCUCGGAUGGUGCAGACCUAUCAUGCCCAAGAGGGAUCUGCAUACUCAGAUGCUGCUGAAUCUGAUGAAGGAUCGUGGUAUGCUGGGCCUGAGUAGCGAUGAUCUGAUCCUGGUGUGCACGAAUAGUGGCCAUCUGGUGGAUAAUAGAAUCCUGAGCAGUGCUCAGUGUCCGCAAUGAACGCUCUAAGCCUCUGAAUUCUGUAAGAGAAAUGGUGACAGUGGGCUCAGAUGAAGGAGGAGGUGCUGGGGUAGCUGGCACGACUGGUGGAGCACCCUGAGUGAUAGGGGAGGUAGAAUGUAUAGCCUCGGGCAUGUGCACUGAGGGCUGUGCUGCAGGGGCAGGAGGUGGUGUCUCUGUGAGAAUCUCAUCCUGCUGGGCCUGAGGUAUCUGCUCAUCUCGGGGUAGCUCUGGAGGUGCAUGUACAGCUGGGGCUCCCUGAGGUGCAAAGUAGGCUACCAAGUGAUGCCAUUUGUCGAGAGAGAAGUCCUCUCGGCAAUGGCGGCGCCUCUCAAGACGGGGCUCUUCAGGAUAGCCCAAGUGCUCUAAAAUCUGGCAGAGGAGCCUCGGAAAUAGUAAUGGGAUGCCAUCUGCCCUCUGAAGCUUCUUCUGAUGGACUUUCUCUUCAAAAUGAAGAAGAGAAGUCAUAAUCAAAUGAUGAGGGCCGAAGAAAUAGCCCUCAGAAAUCCUGAAUAACGCCUCAAGUAUAGCUCCUCUCCUCUGAACCUUAUGCUGAAGGGGGAAUAGGUUGGCACGCAGGAGCACAUCAAUGAGGAGCAUCCCAGAUGGAAGCUCUCUCCUGGUCAAUACCGAGGCUGUAGAAGUCCCCCUGGACAAAAUGCGGACCAUGUCACUCUGAGAGAAUGAGGACCACUCCCUGAAAUCUGCCUGAAACACGGGCUCAUAAGGUAUACGGAGGGCCUCAGCAAUGUGGCGAGCUCCAAUGGCACCCUGGCGUCCGUCUAUGGUAAAUUGGAUGAGAGUAGGAUUGCGGAGGCCUCGAGUAGUCAUAGAUUGAUAAAAAUCUAAAACUACUCUGGGAUAGUAGAAUUGCCUAGGAGUGAGAAGAUCCUCCAUGUGAUACCUCUACAGCAGUCGGAAUGAAUCUCUGAGCUCUGGCUGCUGUCUGAGGGCCUCUAUAUCAAAGUAGGUCUCAGAGUGGAAGGAUCGAUUUCUGCAAUCCAAGUUGCCCUCUAUCGGUGGUCCGGCUAUCAUGGGACGCCUGAUAAUGGUCUCGGGAGUAUUUUCUACAGGAAUCUGAGGUUCCUCUGUAGCUGGCUCUGGCUGAGGUGCGUGGGAUGGCUCUCCAGGACCCGAGAACCUGGUCCUCUUCGCUGGUGGCCGAGAAACAGGGCUCGUGGCCUGAUCGACUGGUGCCACAGGGUCCGCGGGUGGCCUCCGGGUGGGGUAUCGGCUCUGAGAAGGAGCUUCCCCCUCAGAUGGGGGAAUGGCCGGGGCCUGAACAGGUGGUGAAGGUGCGGCUCCCAUGGCGGCUCGCUGUGGUCGAGGUGUCGGUGAGGACGGGGAGGCGGAAUGGCCUCCUCUGGUCUUCGCCAUGGCCGAAAUGAAGGGAGGUGGGUGUUCGGGAUUCCAGAGGUUUUUCAGCUGGUGCUUAGGAGAGUCCUUUGAGCUUCUGGACUUCAGGGGUUUAUAUAGGAAUGAGGUUUAAGGGGUUUCUGAUCUUUUAAAAUUUUUCAAGGCAACCGAAAAGUCGUUUUUGGAUGUUAGGCACAAUUUCGGGGGUAAAAUUUUAAUUUAAAAGUCGGUUUUAAAUUUGUAGAAGUUAAAAUUUUACCGUGCGAAAUUUUCGCACCUUGGCCUGCAAAUUUCGCACCUUGGAAUUGGGUGUGCGAAAAUGGCACCCCUUUGGCCGAUGAUUUCGCACGUUAAAAGGAGGUGUGCGAAAUUUUCGCACCUUGAAUAGUGGUGUGCGAAAUUUUCGCACACUAUUUCGCACAGUGCGAAAAUCAGCUUGAGGUGUGCGAAAUUGGCACACGUGUGCCAGGAGAGGAUUUCGCACAGUGCGAAAAUUUUCGCACCUUCCACAGUGGUGUGCGAAAUUGGAUUUUAGGAAAUUCGCACCUUGAAAAGGGAUUUCGCACCUUGAAAUUGAUUUCGCACCUUGAGGUAGGGGUGUGCGAAAAUUGCUUCCUUUGGCCCAAGGAUUUCGCACCUUGGUAUUGAGGUGUGCGAAAUUUUCGCACCUUGAAAUCAGGUGUGCGAAAAUUUGGCACCUUGAAAUUGGGUGCUCUGUUUCCUUGGUUUUUCUCCCCUUGGCUGCUUUUGACGAGCUCUCCCCAUCUUUCAUGAUUUUUUUCUGAAAUUUAUUAUCAAAAUUAACUUGAAUUAAGACAAUAUAAACUAAGAUUAGGAGAAAAUUAAAAUAUAAAGAAAUAAAAAUACUAAUAUAACUAUAAAACUAUAACAAAAAAUUCAUGGACUUCUUUAGCCCAUGAUACCCUGCUUUCCCUCAGAUUUGUGGUAGUUCAAGGAGAUUGAUCUCCUCCUUGUCUGUACUGUAAGGCUCUAAGAAUGGCUUGAGACGAUGGCCAUUGACUUUGAAGGUUUGAUUGCCUGUGGGAUUGAAUAUUUCCACCACUCCGUUGGGAUGCACUUCAUGAAUUAUGAAAGGACCCGUCCAUCUGGAUUUCAAUUUUUUUCGGUAAAAGAUAAAGCUUAGAGUCAUAAAGUAAGACUCUUUGUCCCAAAACAGCCCCCAUAGCAAGAUCUUAAAAAAAAAAACUAAGUUAAAUCAAACCAAAAUAAAAUUAAAGCAAGAAAUCAAAAUUAAAACAAGUUUAAAAAUAAAACAAAAAGAUAUGGACUAGCUAGUCUUUAGAAAGACUAAGUCCAUAAAAAAAAUUGGAUCCGGAUUUAGCUUGCCCGGAUCCCAUAUGAAGUUUGCAUCCCUCCCUUGAGACUUGCUUUGUAUGAUGGUGCCAUACAAAGCUUGGGGGAAAGGUGGAGGGAUGUGAUUCUUCAUCAUUUCUUCCUUUAAAAGAAUUUGAGGUUCCUCAUCCAUGCUUGGAAUGAUGCUUUCUUUCAUCUGAACUCCCUUUCCCUUUUGUUCUUUCUUCUUUUCUUCUUUUCUAUCAGCCUUGUCUUCUUUGGCUUUCCUCUGAUCAUGCUCCGGCUGAUGCACUUCCUUACCACUUCUCAAAGUGAUAAUAGCUUGCACGUCCCUCACCUUUGAAGAAUCCUCAUCUUUGGAUUCCACUUCAUGUAUCCCCUUAGGAUUUUGGUGAGGCUGAGAGGGAAACUUCCCUUUCUCAUUGACAGUGUUCAAAUUUGUGAGCCUUGAGAUGGAAUAUUGGAUGUUGUCAAUUUUCUGAGACAACUCAUUAUGCAUCCCAUCUAUCUUCUUGUUCAAUGUACUCUCUACGUUGUCAAUCUUCUGAUUUAGUUGAGAGUUGAUGGAUUUUUGCUCGCUCACAAAGUCACCCAUAACCUUGCUAAGGCUUACGAGUGCUUGCUCAACUGAGGAUUGACCUUGACUCUGUUGGCUUGAUUGGGCUGGUGACUGAUAUGGGUUUGGCCUUGGCUUCCAUGCAAAGUUUGGGUGGUUCCUCCAGCUAGAGUUGUACGUGUUGCCAUAGGGAGCAUUUGAAUUUGGCUUCCAUUGGCCAAUCAGGUUAGCUUGUUCCCCGAACAUUUCUCUUGCUGCCAGAAUGGUGGGACAUUCUUCCACCAUAUGUUCAAAUGACUGACAUAUGGAGCAAGGAUUGGCUUGUUGUUGAGGUUCUGAAAUAGCUUGGACUUCGUGAACUUUUCUCAACUCCAUUUCCUCUAUUUUUCUAGCCAUGGCAGCUACCUUGGCUUUCAUCUCCAUGUCUUCACUCAGACUGUACAUCCCCCCUCUUGACAUUUGCUGAACUGGCCUCUUCCCCAUUUCUCUACUAUUGGGCUCAUCCCAUCCACGGGAAACCUCUGAGACAUAACUUAGGAAGUCCAUAGCCUCCUCAGGGUUCUUGCUCAUGAAAUCACCCCCACACAUUGUCUCCAAUAUCUGCUUCAUUGAAGAUGACAUGCCAUCAUAAAAAUAGCUCACCAAAAGCCAUGUAUCAAAGCCGUGGUGAGGACAUGCAUUGAUGGCCUCCAUAUACCUCUCCCAGCAUUCAUAAAAUUUUUCAUUUUCACGUGCUGAGAAGUUGGAGAUUUGUCUCUUCAAUCCAUUUGUUCUGUGAGUAGGGAAAAACUUCUUCAAAAAAUCAGCUUGAAGUUCUGUCCAUGUUCUUAUGCUUCUCGGCCUCAAGGAAUUAAGCCAUAUCUUGGCUUUGUCCUUUAAUGUGAAUGGAAAGAGCUUCAACCUCAUAAGCUCAAUAGUUGUUCCCCCUUCUUGAAAAGUAUUGCACACAUCUUCGAAUUCCUUUAUGUGCGCAUAUGGAUUUUCACUUUCCAUCCCAUGGAAAGUAGGAAGCAGAGGCACGAUGUGUGGCAUGAUAAUCAAUUGCUCUGUAGGAGGAAUGAUGCAAGAUGGUGCACUCAUCCUCGGAGGGUGCAUCCUGUCCCUCAUGGACCUAUACAAGUUCGGAUCAUUCCCCUGCCCGUGUUGUGAAUGUUGAUCCUCUGGUUGAUUCUCCAUGAUCUCCAAAAUAAUAUCUAAUUCAGUAGCUCGUGGAGUCUCUAUCCGCACUAACCUUCCCUCUUGGUCUCUAAUCCAAUAGGGCAUGCACGGAUUCAGCUGGAACAAAACAAAUAAACAAAACAAAGAAAAAGAAAAAAAAAACAGAGCAUGCGGAAGGAAAAACAGAGUAUGAAAAAUAAACUAAAAAUGAAAGUUAAAAGCUAAAAGAAACUUAUCUAAACUAAGUUAAAAAUGUUCUAAAACUAAAAUAAAAAGUUAGUAAAUGAAAAAGGAGAUAGAAUUCACCUUACUCAUGAGAAGUCUCACAAGUUACCUCCGGCUGAUAUAUUCACAGUGAAGUAGCACCUUCCCCGGCAACGGCGCCAUUUGAUACGCUUGACUCUUGGUAGCUUGGCAUGUAAGGGUAUCAACAAAAUUUAUACCUAAGGUCCUUACACUAAAGUAGCAAAGCUACUAUAGUAUAGUGGCUCUAGGAUCGAACACUGGGAAGGGUUUUUACUUUAACUAGUGAAGUUCAGAGGAUGGAGUGAACUUUUCUUAAUAAAAAUUAGGUUAAGAUGAAAACAUAAAAAGAUGAAGGUGUUGUAAACUAAACUAACAUGAAAAUAGGAUAAAAGAUGGAAAAAGAAGUUUCUCAAAGCUUUGGAUAGCCAUGCUUAACUCACCAUGUAAAAAUGGAGAUUUUGGGACUUUUCACCUCGCGUUGGGGAAGCAACUAAGGUGAUGCUUACUUCCCGAACCGGUAUGAGUUUAACAACUGAGUUUUAGUCCUUGAAAACUUACAAAAAGGGUAGCUGAACCUCAUAAAUGCCCUUUUAAUGAUAUAGGUCAUCUACUCGACUUGCAAUACAAUGGCUCGUAGGAGAUAACUAACGAACGUCAGUGGAUCUAACAAUAAGAAUCCACUGAGACCAAAAGCUUAUCAAGUAUUGGCCAUUCAAAGCAAGUCAGAGGGAUUAAAAGCUUUACUUUGAAUGAAAACAUUUAUGGUGCUCAGCUACUUACAUUCAUGGCUUGGAAAUCUCCAUCCUGACACGGGAGCUUCACAUGGCAUCCAUUACUUCAAGAAACUAAAAGGUUUUAGCCUCUCAUCCUUGGGGAUUUCAUCCUCCAAGGAUGUUUGGCUACUAAGAAAAUGAGAAAAUAGAAGAGAGAAAAAGAAAAAACAAAAGAGAUCUCUGUAUUUCACUAAGUAACUAAUUUACAUUGGUCUCCUGGAGAAAGCUCCCCGAAAAGAUAUUGUUUUCAGUGAUUACAAGAGAAUUUAUAUAGGAAGGUAGUUUUACCCUUCCUUGGAUACUUCCUAGCUAAGGAAUUACAUGGUUGGUUGAAUACAAGGAGAAAAUGGAAAUUUAAACACAAAAAUAUCAGAAGAAGAAGAGUCGGCAAACAUAUCCAAUUUUCGCACGCUGAAGUUCCAAUUUCGCACGUUGAUUUGAGGUGUGCGAAAUUUUCGCACAGUGGACUGAGGAUUUCGCACCUUGAUUUCCAUCGUGCGAAAAUUUCGCAUAGCCUGAUGCAGUUGUCUUCCGAAGGCCAUAUCUUUCUCAUUUCAGCUCUAAAUCAUACAUGGUUUAAACCGUUGGAUUCUUGACUUUCUGAGCUUUGAAAUGGUAUAUAGAAUGUAAAAAAUGAACUUCGGGAAGUGCUCCAAAAGUGCAAUGAAAGACUGCAGCUGUGUCCCCUGUUUUCCUCUUCUCCAUUGUUUCUUCCUUGUAUACUUUGAACCACUAAGGCAAAGGAUUAUGAGGCUCCAUAGCUUGAUUUCUUCAUAAAUUUAAGCUUUCAAAAGCUUUGCUCUGAACUAUAAAUAGCUCUCCCUCAUUCUUAAAUUGCUUUGGUGAGCAUAAAGCUAUCAAAAAGCACCAAAACUUAACACAUUUGUUAGAAAUGAUUGCAAAGGUCCCUAAUAUGUUAAUUGAGUUAAAAGAUAAUAAUUACUACUCAAGGGUGUUUAAAAGAGCUAAUUACAAGCUACAAAAUAGCAUGUUUUGAGUAGUAAUCAGCACCCUAGGUCCACUUACACACCCUAGGUCCACUUAGGCACCCUAGGCCCAUUUAGGCACCCUAGGUCCAUUUAGGCACAUAAGGCUCAUUUAGGCACCCAUAGGCCUAUUUCGGCACCCUACCUCCACUUAGACACCUUAGGCCCAUUUUGGCACCCUAGGCUCAUUUAGGAACCCUUGGCCCAUUUAGGCACCCUAGGCCCACUUAGUAACCCUAAGCCCACUUAGACACCCUUGGCCCAUUUAGGCACCCUAGGUCCACUUUAGCACUCUAGUCCCAUUUAGGCACCCUAGGUCCACUUAGACACGCUAGGCACAUUUAAGCAGCCAAAGCCCACUUAGGCACCCUUGGGCCAUUUUGGAACCCUAGGCUCAUUUAGGCACCCUAGGUACACUUAGGCACCCUAAGCCCAUUUAGGCAUCCUUGGCCCAUUUAGGCACCUUAGGCCCACUUAGGCACCUAGGUCCACUUAGACACCUUAGGCCCAUUCAGGCACCCUAGGUCCACUUAGGCACUCUAGACCCAUUUAGGCACCCUAGGUCCACCUAGGCACCCUAGGCCCAUUUAGGCACCCUAGGUCCAUUUACGCACCCUUGGCCCAUUUAGGUACCCUAGGCCCAUUUAGGCACCCUAGGUCCAUUUAGGCACCUUAGAGUCAUUUAGGCAUCCAUAGGCCCAUUUAGGCACCCUAGGUCCACUUAGACUCCUUAGGCCCAUUUAGGCACCCUAAGCUCAUUUAGGCACCCUUGGCCAAUUUAGGCACCUAGGCCCACUUAGACACCCUAAACCCACUUAGACACGCAGCGCCCAUUUAGGCACCCUAGGUCCACUUAGGCACCUUAGGCCCACUUAGGCACCCUUGGCCCAUUUACGCACCUAGGUCCACUUAGGCACCCUAGGCCAAUUUAGGGACCCUAAGUCGACUUAGACACCUUACGGCCAUUUAGGCACCCUAGGCUCAUUUAGGGACCCUUCGCCCAUUUAGGCACCCUAGGUCCAUUUACGACCCUAGGUCAACUUAGGCACCCUAGGUCCAUUUAGGUACCCUAGGUCCACUUAGACAGCCUAGGCCCAUUUAGGCACCCUAGGCUCAUUUAGGCACCCUUGGCCCAUUUAGGCACCCUACGCCCAUUUAGGCACCCUAGGUCAACUUAGGCAACCUAGGUCCACUUAGGCACCCCAGGUCCAUUUAGGCACCCUUGGCCCAUUGAGGCACCCUAGGCCCACUUAGGCACCCUAGUCCCAUUUACGCACCCUAGGUCCAUUUACGCACCCUAGUCCCAUUUAGGCACCAUAGGUCCACUUAGACACCCUAGGCCCAUUUAGGCACCCUAAGCCCACUUAGGCACCCUUGGUCCAUUUAGGCACCCUAGGCUCAUUUAGGUACCCUAGGUCCACUUAGGCACCCUAGGCCCAUUUAGGCACCCUUGGUCCACUUAGGCACCCUAGGCCCAUUUAGGUACCCUAGGUCUAGUUAGGAACUCUAGACCCAUUUAGGCACCUUAGGCCCAUUUAGCCACCCUAGGUCCAAUUAGGCACCUUAGGCUUAUUUAGGCACCCUAGGCCCAUUUAGAAACCCUAUGUCCACUUAGACACCUUAUGCCCAUUUAGGCACCCUAGGUCCACGUAGGCACUCUAGACCCAUUAGGCACCCUAGGUUCACUUGGGCACCCUAGGCCCAUUUAGGCACCCUAGGUCCACUUUGGCACCAUAGGCCCAUUUAGCCACCCUAGGUCCACUUACACACCUUAGGCCCAUUUAGGCACCCUAGGCUCAUUUAGGCACCCUUGGCCCAUUUAGGCACUCUAGGCCCACUUAGACACCCUAAGCCCACUUAGACACACUGUGCCCAUUUAGGCACCCUAGGUCCACUUAGGCACCCUAGGCCCAUUUAGGCACCCUAGGUCUAUUUAGGCACAUAAGGCUCAUUUAGGCACCCAUAGGCCCAUUUAGGCACCCUAGGUCCACUUACACACCCUAGGCCCAUUUAGGCACCCUAGGCUCAUUUAGGCACCCUUCGCCUAUUUAGGCACCCUAGGCUCAUUUAGUCACCCUUGGCCCAUUUACGCACCCUAGGGCCACUUAGUAACCCUAAGCCCACUUAGACACCCUUGGCCCAUUUAGGCACCCUAGGUCCACUUAGGCACUCUACGCCCAUUUAGGCACCCUAGGUCCACUUAGACACGCUAGGCCCAUUGAAGCACCCUAAGCCCACUUAGGCACCCUUGGCCCAUUUAGGAACCCUAGGCUCAUUUAGGCACCCUAGGUCCACUUAGGCACCCUAAGCCCAUUUAGGCACUCUAGGUCCAAUUAGGUACUCUAGACCCAUUUAGGCACCCUAGGUCCACUUAGGCCCCCUUGGCCCAUUUAGUCACCCUAGGUCCAUUUAGGGACGCUUGGCCCAUUUAGGCACCUUAGGCCCACUUAGGCACCCUUGGCCCAUUUAGGCACCCUAGGUCCAUUUAGGCACCCCAGGCUCAUUUAGGCAUCCUAGGCCCAUUUAGGCACCCUAGGUCCAGUUAGACACCUUAGGCCCGUUUUGGCACCCUAGGUGCAGUUAGGCAUUCUAGACCCAUUAAGGCACCCUAGGUCCACUUAGGCAGCCUAGGCCCAUUUAGGCACCCUAGGUCCAUUUAGGCACCCUUGGCCCAUUUAGGUACCCUAGGCCCAUUUAGGCACCCUAGGUCCAUUUAGGCACCUUAGGGCAUUUAGGCAUCCAUAGGCCCACUUAGGCACCCUAGGUCCACUUAGACACCUUAGGCCCAUUUAGGCACCCUAGUGUCACAAGCUGAUCCAAAUGAGCCUCCCCAUGGCCUUAUAUAGGGCCAGGAAGCUUCUGGAGACUCCUAGAGUGGGAAGAGUGUGGAAGGUUCUAGAGAAGUCUGGAGGAAUCCACACAAUUCUACACUAUGGUGGAAGGCACAAGAGGAGUCCUGGGCUUUCUAGAGGAAUCUAGAAGACUCUUGUAUAUACUUGUAUAUAGGCUUGUAUCUAGAAUGAUGUAGGACAUUCUAGAAUAGUCUUGAGUUGUAAGGAACCCUCCAAGGUUCCAGAGAGUUCCAUUGGUGCCUAUAAAUAGGUGAGGGCCUCAUUUGGCCAAGGCACCAAGCAAGUGAGCAUCCAAGCACUUGUAAAGGCUUUCUUGAGUUAAUAGAGCUUCCAUUCUUUCAAGAGUUGCCUACCAAGCUUCUUAAGCUUUUUGAGUCGCAGGUGUCUUAGACGAGCAAGCUAAGCAUUGGGGAUCAAGGCUGACUUAGCAAGAUGAAGCGUCUUGGCUUGUCUAAGUGCCGCACGAGCUUAGUGAAUGACUAAGUCUGUGAUACUAGGCUCAUUUAGGCACCCUUGGCCCAUUUAGGCACCCUAGGCCCACUUAGACACCCUAAGCCCACUUAGACACGCUACGCCCAUUUAGGCACCCUAGGUCCACUUAGGCACCUUAGGCCCACUUAGGCACCCUAGACCCAUUUAGGCACCCUAGGUCCAAUUAGGCACCCUAAGCUCAUUUUGGCACCCUAGGCCCAUUUAGGAACCCUAUGUCCACUUAGACACCUUAGGCCCAUUUAGGCACCGUCGGUCCACUUAGGCACUCUAGACCCAUUUAGGCACCCUAGGUCUACUUAGGCACCCUAGGCCCAUUUAGGUACCCUAGGUCCAUUUAGGCACCCCUUGCCCAUUUAGGUACCCUAGGCCAACUUAGGUACCCUAGGACCAUUUAGGCACCCUAGGUCCAUUUAGGCACAGAAGGCUCAUUUAAGCACCCAUAGGCCCAUUUAGGCACCCUAGGUCCACUUAGACCCCUUAAGCCCAUUUAAGCACCCUAGGCUCAUUUAGGCACCCUUGGCCCAUUUAGGCACCCUUGGCUCAUUUAGGCACCCUUGGCCCAUUUAGGCACCCUAGUGUCACAGGAUGCUUAAAAUGACCCUCCCCAUGGGCUUAUAUAGGAGGAGGGAAGCUUUUGGAGACUCCUGGAGCCAUCUACACUAAGCCAUUGGUGGGAAGAGUGUGGAAGGUUCUAGAAAUGCCUAGAGAAGUCCACACAACUCUACACUAUGGUAGAAGGCACGAGAAGGGUCCAAAGCUUUCUAGAGAAAUCUAGAAGUCUCUUGAAUAUUCUAGAAUAGUGUAGGACAUUCUAGAAGUCUCUUGAAUAUUCUUGAAUAGUGUAGGACAUUCUAGAAUAUUCAUGAAUUGUAAGGAACCCUCUAAGGUUCUAGAGAGUUCCAUUGGUGCCUAUAAAUAGGUGAGGGCCUCAUUUGGCCAAGGCACCAAGCAAGUGAGCAUCCAAGCACUUGUAAAGGCUUUCUUGAGAUAAUAAAGCUUCCAUUCUUUAAGGAGUUGCCUACUAAGCUCUUAAGCUUUCGAGUCGCGAGUGUCUUAGUCAAGCAAGCUAAGCAUUGGGGAUCAAGGCUGACUUAGCAAGAUCAAGCGUCUUGACUUGCCUAAGUGCCGCACGAGCUUAUUGAACGACUAAGUCCGUGACAAGUGGUAUCAGAGCAUGGUUACAAGGUGGGCAUAGCAAAGGAAGCAUGUCGGGCUCUAACGUGGAGGAGACUAGUGAGCAAACCCGUGGAAGGGAGACCGAGCCUACUGCACGGGGCAGGGGUAGGAAGGAUAAAUCUCGUGAUGCCAUUGCCAACAUGGAGGCAAGGUUAGCCAAGGUGGAGCUAGCCAUGGCGGACACUCGGGAGGGGUUGGACUUGAUCGAGCAAGGCAUGGAGAAGGGCUUAGAGGAUCUAAGGGAACAGAUCCAAGACCUUCGUGAGAGGGUGCUAGUCUCAAAAGUUCAGCCAGUGUCGCACGAGGAGUUUGUGUCCUUCCAAGGAAAGGUCUUGAGCAUGCUUGCUAGCAUGGAGUCAAGGAUAGAGGCCUUGACCACUCGAAUGGAGUCCCGAGACCAGGAAGUUAGGCAGGAGUUGGCCAUUUACAAGGCUGCUGUGUCGGCACGGGUCAUGGCCACACAAGGGGCAUCUAGGGUGGAGGUGCCGAAGCCACAAGGGUUUAGUGGCAAGAGGGAUGCCAAGGAGUUAGAUAACUUCUUAUGGCAUAUGGAGCGAUACUUCGAAGCUAUCGCAUUGACGGAUGAGGCGGCUAAGGUGAGAAUUGCGACCCUCUACCUUACUGACACAGCUACUCUAUGGUGGCGUCGAAGGUUUGCCGAUAUGGAGAAAGGCAUUUGCACCAUAAAGACGUGGGAGGACUUCAAGAAGGAGAUCAAGAGGCAGUUCUACCCCGAGGACGUGGCUUACCUGGCUAGGAAAAACAUGAGGCGUCUCAAGCACACAGGCUCGAUACGUGAAUAUGUCAAGGAAUUCUCUUCGCUCAUGCUUGAGAUUCCUAACAUGACUCAGGAAGAGUUGCUAUUCAACUUCAUGGAUAACCUGCAAGGGUGGGCCGAGCAGGAAUUAAGGCGCCGGGGCGUUCAAGACUUAGCCACUGCUAUGGCAAUAGCAGAAUCUUUAGCGGAUUAUAAGAGGGGAGACUCCUCCAAGAUUGAGUCUUUAGAGGAUAGCCACGCCAUGGGUGGGGGAGACGAGGAUCUAAUGGACCACAAUGCUCCUAAAAAGGGAUCAAGCAAGACGCCUAACGUCCAAGAAGGAAGGGGUAAGGCGGCAAGCAAGGAGUUCACGCCUAAAAUCAAAUGCUUCCUAUGUGACGGACCACAUUGGGCACGGGAUUGUCCAAAGAGGAAGGCGCUUAGUGCCAUGAUCGAGGAGAGGGAGCAGGAGGAUGAAGCACAUAUGGGCUCAAUGCAGCUACUAGGUGCCCUCCAAUUCAACCCGAAGCCUAGUACGCCUGAGACCUCCUUACUAGCAGGCGUGCAAGUAAAGGAGGAAAAAGGGGAGCGAGCUGAGGUAGCCCACACACGCAUGGAAGAAGUCACCAAGGGAAAGGUGAACUCAAUGGGUAAAAGGAAGCAGCACUCUAAGCAUCGAAAGCGCAUGGGUCUGCAUCCAUCUAAGGCCUCACGGGAGAAGGAGGUGAAGAAUAUCCUAGCUGAACGGGUCACUAGGAGACAAGGGGUCCCUCCUGUGAUAGAGUAUCUAGUCCGAUGGAAAGGACUACCUAAGAGGCCGCUAAGCUGGGAACAUGCGGAUGCCUUGAGAAAAUUCUGGAAACACAUCGAGAGGUUUCAGAAUGAGGCAACGACGAGGACGUCGACGGCAUCGGUGGGGGAGAGUGUCACAGGAUGCUUAAAAUGACCCUCCCCAUGGGCUUAUAUAGGAGGAGGGAAGCUUUUGGAGACUCCUGGAGCCAUCUACACUAAGCCAUUGGUAGGAAGAGUGUGGAAGGUUCUAGAAAUGCCUAGAGAAGUCCACACAACUCUACACUAUGGUAGAAGGCAUGAGAAGGGUCCAAAGCUUUCUAGAGAAAUCUAGAAGUCUCUUGAAUAUUCUAGAAUAGUGUAGGACAUUCUAGAAGUCUCUUGAAUAUUCUAGAAUAGUGUAGGACAUUCUAGAAUAUUCAUGAAUUGUAAGGAACCCUCCAAGGUUCUAGAGAGUUCCAUUGGUGCCUAUAAAUAGGUGAGGGCCUCAUUUGGCCAAGGCACCAAGCAAGUGAGCAUCCAAGCACUUGUAAAGGCUUUCUUGAGAUAAUAAAGCUUCCAUUCUUUAAGGAGUUGCCUACUAAGCUCUUAAGCUUUCGAGUCGCGAGUGUCUUAGCCGAGCAAGCUAAGCAUUGGGGAUCAAGGCUGACUUAGCAAGAUCAAGCGUCUUGACUUGCCUAAGUGCCGCACGAGCUUAGUGAACGACUAAGUCCGUGACACUAGGCCCACUUAGUAACCCUAAGCACACUUAGACACCCUUGGCCCAUUUAGGCACCCUAGGUCCACUUGGGCACUCUAGGCCCAUUUAGGCACCCUAGGUCCACUUAGACACGCGAGGCCCAUUUAAGCACCCUAAGUCCACUUAGGCACCCUUGGCCCAUUUAGGAACCCUAGGCUCAUUUAGGCACCCUAGGUCCACUUAGGGACCCUAAGCCCAUUUAGGCACUCUAGGUCAUAUUAGGCACUCUUGACCCAUUUAGGCACCCUAGGCCCAUUUAUGCACCCUAGGUCCAUUUAGGCACCGUUGGCCCAUUUAGGCACCCUAGGCCCACUUAGGCAACCUUGGCCCAUUUAGGCACCCUAGGUCCAUUUAAACACCCUAGGCUCAUUUAGGCACCCUAGGCCCAUUUAGGCACCCUAGGUCCAAUUAGACACCUUAGGCCCAUUUUGGCACCCUAGGUUCACUUAGGCAUUCUAGACCCAUUUAGGCACCCUAGGUCUACUUAGGCACCCUAGGCCCAUUUAGGCACCCUAGGUCCAUUUAAGCAUCCUUAGCCCAUUUAGGUACCCUAGGCCCAUUUAGGCCCCCUAGGUCCAUUUAGGCCCCCUAGGUCCAUUUAGGCCCCCUAGGUCCAUUUAGGCAUCUUAGGGUCAUUUAGGCAUCCAUAGGCCCAUUUAGGCACCCUAGGUCCACUUAGCCACCUUAGGCCCAUUUAGGCACCCUACGCUCAUUUAGGCACCCUUGGCACAUUUAAGCACCGUAGGCCCACUUAGACACCCUAAGCCCACUUAGACACACUGCACCCAUUUAGGCACCCUAGGUCCACUAAGGCACCUUAGGCCCAUUUAGGCACCCUAGGUCCACUUAGACACCUUAGGCCCAUUUAGGCACCCUAGGCUCAUUUAGGCACCCUUGGCCCAUUUAGGUACCCUAGGCCCAUUUAGGCACACUUGGUCCACUUAGGCACCCUAGGUUCACUUAGGCACCCCAGGUCCAUUUAGGCACCCUUGGCCCAUUUAGGCACCCUACGCCCACUUAGGCACCCUAGGCCCAUAUAGGCACCCUAGGUCCAUUUAGGCACCCUAGGCCCAUUUAGACCCCUUAGGCCCAUUUAGGCACCCUAACCCCACUUAGGCACGCUUGGCCCAUUAGGCACCCUAGCCUCAUUUAGGCACCCUAGGUCCACUUAGGCACCCUAGGCCCAUUCAGGCACCCUUGGUCCACUUAGGCACCCUAGGCCCAUUUAGGCACCCUAAGUCCAAUUAGGCUCUCUAGACCCAUUUAGGCACCUUAGGCAUCCUUGACCCAGUUAUGCACCCUAGGUCCACUUAGACACCUUAGGCCCACCUAGGCACCCUAGGCCCAUUUAGGCACCCUAGGUCCAAUUAGGCACCCUACGCUCAUUUUGGCACCCUAGGCCUAUUUAGGAACCCUAUGUCCACUUAGACAACUUAGGCCCAUUUAGGCACCUUAGGUCCACUUAGGCACUCUAGACCCAUUUAGGCACCUUAGGUUUACUUAGGCACCCUAGACCCAUUUAGGUACCCUAGGUCCAUUUAGGCACCCUUUGCCCAUUUAGGUACCGUAGGCCCACUUAGGUACCCUAGGACUAUUUAGGCAUCCUAGGUCCAUUUAGGCACAUAAGGCUCAUUUAAGCACCCAUAGGCCCAUUUAGGCACCCUAGGUCCACUUAGACACCUUAGGGCUAUUUAGGCACCUUAGGCUCAUUUAGGCACCCUUGGCUCAUUUAGGCACCCUAGGCUCAUUUAGGCACCCUUGGUCCAUUUAGGCACAUAAGGCUCAUUUAAGCACCCAUAGGCCCAUUUAGGCACCCUAGGUCCACUUAGACACCUUAGGGCUAUUUAGGCACCUUAGGCUCAUUUAGGCACCCUUGGCUCAUUUAGGCACCCUAGGCUCAUUUAGGCACCCUUGGUCCAUUUAGGCACAUAAGGCUCAUUUAAGCACCCAUAGGCCCAUUUAGGCACCCUAGGUCCACUUAGACACCUUAGGGCUAUUUAGGCACCUUAGGCUCAUUUAGGCACCCUUGGCUCAUUUAGGCACCCUAGGCUCAUUUAGGCACCCUUGGCCCAUUUAGGCACCCUUGGCCCAUUUCGGCACCCUAGGCCCAUUUAGUAACCCUAAGCCCACUUAGACACCCUUGGCCCAUUUAGGCACCCUAGGUCCACUUAGGCAUUCUAGGCCCAUUUAGGCACCCUAGGUCCACUUAGACACGCUAGGCCCAUUUAAGCACCGUAAGCCCACUUAGGCACCUUUGUCCCAUUUAGGAACCCUAGGCUCAUUUAGGCACCCUAGGUCUACUUAGGCACCCUAAGCCCAUUUAAGCACUCUAGGUCAUAUUAGGCACUCUAGACCCAUUUAGGCACCCUAGGUCCACUUAGGCACCCUAGGCCCAUUUAUGCACCCUAGGUCCAUUUAGGCACCCUUGGCUCAUUUAGGCACCCUAGGCCCACUUAGGCACCCUUGGCCCAUUUAGGCACCCUAGGUCCAUUUAGCCACCCUAGGCUCAUUUAGGCACCCUAGGCCCAUUUAGGCACCCUAGGUCCAAUUAGACACCUUAUGCCCAUUUUGGCACCCUAGGUCCACUUAGGCAUUCUAGACCCAUUUAGGCACCCUAGGUCCACUUAGUCACCUUAGGCCCAUUUAGGCACCCUAGGUCCAUUUUGGCAUCCUUAGCCCAUUUAGGUACCCUAGGCCCAUUUAGGCCCCCUACGUCCAUUUAGGCACCUUAGGGUCAUUUAGGCAUCCAUAGGCCCAUUUAGGCUCUUUAGGUCGACUUAGCCACCUUAGGCCCAUUUAGGCACCCUACGCUCAUUUAGGCACCCUUGGCCCAUUUAGGCACCCUAGGCCCACUUAGACACCCUAAGCCCACACGCUGUGCCUAUUUAGGCACCCUAGGUCCACUUAGGCACCCUAGGCCCAUUUAGGCACCCCGGGUCCAUUAAGGCACCCUUGGCCUAUUUAGGUACCCUAUGCCCAUUUAGGCACCCUAGGUCCAUUUGGGCACCUUAGGGUCAUUUGGGCAUCCAUAGGCCCAUUUAGGCACCCUAGGUGCACUUAGACACCCUUGGCCCAUUUAGGCACCCUAGGCCCACUUAGACACCCCACGCCCACUUAGACACGCUACGCCCAUUUAGGCACCCUAGGUCCACUUAGGCACCAUAGGCCCACUUAGGCACCCCAGGUCCAUUUAGGCACCCUUGGCCCGUUUAGGCACCCUACGCCCACUUAGGCACCCUAGGCCCAUUAAAGCACCCAAGUCCAUUUAAGCACCCUAGGUCCAUUUAAGCACCCUNNNNNNNNNNNNNNNNNNNNNNNNNNNNNNNNNNNNNNNNNNNNNNNNNNNNNNNNNNNNNNNNNNNNNNNNNNNNNNNNNNNNNNNNNNNNNNNNNNNNUAGUCCAUUUGGCAUCCUUAGCCUUUAGGUACCUUAGGUCCAUUUAGGCCCCUUACGGCCAGUUAGGCACCAAGAGUCAUUUAGGCAUCCAUAGUCCCAUUAGGCUCUUUAGGUCGAUUUAGACACUUAGGCCCAUUUAGGCAACCNUACGGUCAUUUAGGCACCCUUGGCCCAUAUAGGCACCGUAGGCCCACUUAGACACCCUAAGCCACACGCUGUGCCUAAUUAGGCACCUUAGGUCCAAAUAGGCACCCUAGGCCCAUUUAGGCACCCCGGGUCCAUUAAGGCACCCUUGGCCUAUUUAGGUACCCUAUGCCCAUUUAGGCACCCUAGGUCCAUUUGGGCACCUUAGGGUCAUUUGGGCAUCCAUAGGCCCAUUUAGGCACCCUAGGUGCACUUAGACACCCUUGGCCCAUUUAGGCACCCUAGGCCCACUUAGACACCCCACGCCCACUUAGACACGCUACGCCCAUUUAGGCACCCUAGGUCCACUUAGGCACCAUAGGCCCACUUAGGCACCCCAGGUCCAUUUAGGCACCCUUGGCCCGUUUAGGCACCCUACGCCCACUUAGGCACCCUAGGCCCAUUUAGGCACCCAAGGUCCAUUUAGGCACCCUAGGCCCAUUUAGGCACCCUAGGUCCACUUAGACACCUUAGGCCCAUUUAGGUACCCUAAGCCCACUUAGGCACCCUAGGCCCAUUUAGGCACCCUAAGUCCAAUUAGGCUCUCUAGACCCAUUUAGGCACCUUAGGCAUCCUUGGCCCAGUUAUGCACCCUAGGUCCACUUAGACACCUUAGGCCCACUUAGGCACCCUAGGCCCAUUUAGGCACCCUAGGUCCAAUUAGGCACCCUACGCUCAUUUUGGCACCCUAGGCCUAUUUAGGAACCCUAUGUCCACUUAGACAACUUAGGCCCAUUUAGGCACCUUAGGUCCACUUAGGCACUCUAGACCCAUUUAGGCACCUUAGGUCUACUUAGGCACCCUAGACCCAUUUAGGUACCCUAGGUCCAUUUAGGCACCCUUUGCCCAUUUAGGUACCGUAGGCCCACUUAGGUACCCUAGGACUAUUUAGGCAUCCUAGGUCCAUUUAGGCACAUAAGGCUCAUUUAAGCACCCAUAGGCCCAUUUAGGCACCCUAGGUCCACUUAGACACCUUAGGGCUAUUUAGGCACCUUAGGCUCGUUUAGGCACCCUUGGCUCAUUUAGGCACCCUAGGCUCAUUUAGGCACCCUUGGCCCAUUUAGGCACCCUUGGCCCAUUUCGGCACCCUAGGUCCAUUUAGUAACCCUAAGCCCACUUAGACACCCUUGGCCCAUUUAGGCACCCUAGGUCCACUUAGGCAUUCUAGGCCCAUUUAGGCACCCUAGGUCCACUUAGACACGCUAGGCCCAUUUAAGCACCGUAAGCCCACUUAGGCACCCUUGUCCCGUUUAGGAACCCUAGGCUCAUUUAGGCACCCUAGGUCUACUUAGGCACCCUAAGCCCAUUUAAGCACUCUAGGUCAUAUUAGGCACUCUAGACCCAUUUAGGCACCCUAAGUCCACUUAGGCACCCUAGGCCCAUUUAUGCACCCUAGGUCCAUUUAGGCACCCUUGGCUCAUUUAGGCACCCUAGGCCCACUUAGGCACCCUUGGCCCAUUUAGGCACCCUAGGUCCAUUUAGCCACCCUAGGCUCAUUUAGGCACCCCAGGCCCAUUUAGGCACCCUAGGUCCAAUUAGACACCUUAUGCCCAUUUUGGCACCCUAGGUCCACUUAGGCAUUCUAGACCCAUUUAGGCACCCUAGGUCCACUUAGUCACCUUAGGCCCAUUUAGGCACCCUAGGUCCAUUUUGGCAUCCUUAGCCCAUUUAGGUACCCUAGGCCCAUUUAGGCCCCCUACGUCCAUUUAGGCACCUUAGGGUCAUUUAGGCAUCCAUAGGCCCAUUUAGGCUCUUUAGGUCGACUUAGCCACCUUAGGCCCAUUUAGGCACCCUACGCUCAUUUAGGCACCCUUGGCCCAUUUAGGCACCCUAGGCCCACUUAGACACCAUAAGCCCACACGCUGCGCCUAUUUAGGCACCCUAGGUCCACUUAGGCACCCUAGGCCCAUUUAGGCACCCCGGGUCCAUUAAGGCACCCUUGGCCUAUUUAGGUACCCUAUGCCCAUUUAGGCACCCUAGGUCCAUUUGGGCACCUUAGGGUCAUUUGGGCAUCCAUAGGCCCAUUUAGGCACCCUAGGUGCACUUAGACACCCUUGGCCCAUUUAGGCACCCUAGGCCCACUUAGACACCCCACGCCCACUUAGACACGCUACGCCCAUUUAGGCACCCUAGGUCCACUUAGGCACCAUAGGCCCACUUAGGCACCCUAGGUCCACUUAGGCACCCCAGGUCCAUUUAGGCACCCUUGGCCCGUUUAGGCACCCUACGCCCACUUAGGCACCCUAGGCCCAUUUAGGCACCCAAGGUCCAUUUAGGCACCCUAGGCCCAUUUAGGCACCCUAGGUCCACUUAGACACCUUAGGCCCAUUUAGGUACCCUAAGCCCACUUAGGCACCCUUGGCCCAUUUAGGCACUCUAGGCUCAUUUGGGCACCCUAGGUCCACUUAGGCACCCUAGGCCCAUUUAGGCACCCUUGGUACACUUAGGCACCCUAGGCCCAUUUAGUCACCCUAAGUCCAGUUAGGCACUCUAGACCCAUUUAGGCACCUUAGGCCCACUUAGGCAUUGUUGGCCCAUUUAGGCACCCUAGGUCCACUUAGACACCUUUGGCCCACUUAAGCACCCUAGGCCCUUUUAGGCGCCCUAGGUCCCUUUAGGAACCCUUGGCUCAUUUAGGCACCCUAGGCCCACUUAGGCACCCUAGGCCCAUUUAGGCACUCUAGGUCCAUUUAGGCACCUUAGGCUCAUUUAGGCACCUUAGGCCCAUUUAGGAACCCUAUGUCUACUUAGACACCUUUUGCCCAUUUAGGCACCCUAGGUCCACUUAGGCACUCUAGACCCAUUUAGGCACCCUAGGUCCACUUAGGCACCCUAGGCCCAUUUAGGCACCUUAGGUCCAUUUAGGCUCUCUAGGCCCAUUUCGGCACCAUAGGUCCACUAAGACACGCUAGGCACAUUUAAGCACCUAAGCACCCUAGGCACAUUUACGAACCUAAGGCUCAUUUAGGCACUCAUGGGCCCAUUUAGGCCCCCUAGGUCCACUUAGACACCUUAGGCUCAUUUAGGCACCCGAGGCUCAUUUAGGCACCCUUGGCCCAUUUAGGCACCUAGGCUCAUUUAGGCACCUUUGGCCCAUUUAGGCACCCUAGGCCCACUUAGACACCCUGAGCCCACUUAGACAUCCUUGGCCCAUUUAGGCACCCUAGGUCCAAUUAGGCUCUCUAGGCCCAUUUCGGCACCCUAGGUCCACUAAGACACGCUAGGAACAUUUAAGCACCCUAAGCCCACUUAGGCACCCUUGGCCCAUUUACGAACCCUAGGCUCAUUUAGGCACCAUAGGUCCACUUAGGUACCCUAGGCCCAUUUAGGCAUUCUAGGUCCAAUUAGGCACUUUAGACCCAUUUGGGCACCCUAGGUCCACUUAGGCACCCUAGGCCCAUUUAGGCACCCUAGGUCCACUCAGGCACCCUAGGCCGAUUUAGGCACCCUUGGUCCACUUAAGCACCCUAGGCCCAUUUUGGCACCCUAGGUCCAGUUAGCCACUCUAGACCCAUUUAGGCACCUUAGGUCCACUUAAGCAUCCUUGGCCCAUUUUGGCACCCUAGGUCCACUUAGGCACUCUAGUCCCAUUUAGGCACCCUAGGUCCACUUAGGCACCCUAGGCCCAUUUAGGCACCCUAGGUCCAUUUAGGCACCCUAGGUCCAUUUAGGCACCCUAGGUCCAUGUAGGCACCCUAGGCUCAUUUAGGCACCCUAGGCCAAUUUAGACACCCUAGGUCCACUUAGACAGCUUAGGCCCAUUUAGGCACCCUAGGUCCACUUAGGCACCCUUGGCCCAUUAAGGCACCCUAGGUCCAUUUAGGCACCCUUGGCCCAUUUAGGUACCCUAGGCCCAUUUAGGCACCUUAGGUCCAUUUAGGCAGCUUAGUGUCACAAGAUGCUUCAAAUGACCCUCCCCAUGGCUUAUAUAGGAGGUGAGAAGCUUCUAGAGACCCUUGGAGACAUCCACACUUAGCCACUAGUGGGAAGAGUGUGGAAGGUUCUAGAAAUGCCUAGAGAAGUCCACACAACUCUACACUAUGGUAGAAGGCAUGAGAAGGGUCCAAAGCUUUCUAGAGAAAUCUAGAAGUCUCUUGAAUAUUCUAGAAUAGUGUAGGACAUUCUAGAAGUCUCUUGAAUAUUCUAGAAUAGUGUAGGACAUUCUAGAAUAUUCAUGAAUUAUAAGGAACCCUCCAAGGUUCUAGAGAGUUCCAUUGAUGCCUAUAAAUAGGUGAGGGCCUCAUUUGGCCAAGGCACCAAGCAAGUGAGCAUCCAAGCACUUGUAAAGGCUUUCUUGAGAUAAUAAAGCUUCCAUUCUUUAAGGAGUUGCCUACUAAGCUCUUAAGCUUUCGAGUCGCGAGUGUCUUAACCGAGCAAGCUAAGCAUUGGGGAUCAAGGCUGACUUAGCNNNNNNNNNNNNNNNNNNNNNNNNNNNNNNNNNNNNNNNNNNNNNNNNNNNNNNNNNNNNNNNNNNNNNNNNNNNNNNNNNNNNNNNNNNNNNNNNNNNNGCACCUUAGGUCCAUUUUUGCAGCUUAGUGUCACAAGAUGCUUCAAAUGACCCUCCCCAUGGCUUAUAUAGGAGGUGAGAAGCUUCUAGAGACCCUUGGAGACAUCCACACUUAGCCACUAGUGGGAAGAGUGUGGAAGGUUCUAGAAAUGCCUAGAGAAGUCCACACAACUCUACACUAUGGUAGAAGGCAUGAGAAGGGUCCAAAGCUUUCUAGAGAAAUCUAGAAGUCUCUUGAAUAUUCUAGAAUAGUGUAGGACAUUCUAGAAGUCUCUUGAAUAUUCUAGAAUAGUGUAGGACAUUCUAGAAUAUUCAUGAAUUAUAAGGAACCCUCCAAGGUUCUAGAGAGUUCCAUUGAUGCCUAUAAAUAGGUGAGGGCCUCAUUUGGCCAAGGCACCAAGCAAGUGAGCAUCCAAGCACUUGUAAAGGCUUUCUUGAGAUAAUAAAGCUUCCAUUCUUUAAGGAGUUGCCUACUAAGCUCUUAAGCUUUCGAGUCGCGAGUGUCUUAACCGAGCAAGCUAAGCAUUGGGGAUCAAGGCUGACUUAGCAAGAUCAAGCGUCUUGACUUGCCUAAGUGCCGCACGAGCUUAGUGAACGACUAAGUCCGUGACAAGUGGCAUCAGAGCGUGGCUACGAAGCGGGCAUAAGGGAAGCAUGUCGGGCUCUAACGUGGAGGAGACUAGCGAACAAACCCGUGGGAGGGAGGCCGAGCCUACUGCAUGGGGCAGGGGCAGAGGUAAGAAGGAUACAUCUCGUGAUGUUGUUGCCAACAUGGAGGCAAGGUUAGGCAAGGUGGAGCUAGCCAUGGCAGACACCCGGGAAGGGGUGGACUUGAUCGAGCAAGGCAUGGAGAAGGGCUUAGAGGAUCUAAGGGAGCAGAUCCAAGACCUUCGCGAGGGGGUGCUGGUCUCGCAAGUUCAACCGGUGUCACACGAGGAGUUCAUGUCUUUCCAAGACAAAGUCAUGAGCAUGUUCGCUAGUGUGGAGUCAAGGAUGGAGGCCUUGACUACACGAGUGGAGGCCCGAGACCAAGAGAUUCGACAAGAGUUGGCCAUCUAUAAGACCGCUGUAUCAGCACGAGUCAUGGCCACUCAUGAGGCACCAAGGGUGGAGGUGCCCAAGCCACACACGUUCAGUGGCAAGAGGGAUGCCAGGGAGCUAGAUAACUUCUUGUGGCACAUGGAGCGUUACUUUGAGGCAAUUGCAUUAACGGAUGAAGCCACUAAGGUACGCACCGCGACCCUUUACCUCACUGAUAAUGCUACUCUAUGGUGGCGUCGACGAUUUGCCGACAUAGAGAGAGGGACGUGCACCAUAGACACAUGGGAUGCCUUUAAGAGAGAAAUCAAGAGGCAAUUCUAUCCCGAAGACGUGGCUUACCUAGCAAGGAAGAGUUUGAAGCGUCUCAAGCACACGGGCUCGAUCCGUGAGUAUGUCAAAGAAUUCUCUACUCUUAUGCUUGAGAUACCUAACAUGGCUGAGGAGGAGCUACUGUUCAACUUCAUGGACAACUUGCAAAGUUGGGCCGAGCAAGAGUUGAGGAGACGUGGUGUCCAAGACCUAGCCACGGCCAUGGCAGUAGCCGAGUCCUUAGUAGAUUAUAGAAGGGGAGACUCCUCCAAGCCCAAGCCACCAUCCAAGGGUAACCAGGCCAAAGGUGGGGGAGACAAGAGGUCGCAAGGCCAUACCUCUAAGGAAGGAUCAAGCAAAGGCCCUAGUGGCAAGGAUGGCAAAGGCAAGGACAAGCGAAAGGAGUUCACGCCCAGGACCAAUUGCUUCCUGUGCGAUGGUCCGCACUGGGCACGGGACUGCCCUAAGAGGAAGGCCUUAAAUGCUAUGAUCGAGGAAAAGGAGCAAGAAGGCGAUGCUAAGAUGGGAUCGUUGCAGCUCUUAAAUGCCCUUAAGGCCAAGCCGAUGCCUAAGACGCCUCAAAGCAAAGGGCUGAUGUAUGUGGAGGCCCUUGUGAAUGAGAAGGCCACCAAGGCCCUGGUGGACACAGGUGCCACUCACAACUUUGUCUCGGAGGAUGAGGCAAGAAGGUUGGAGCUCCAAGCAUCCAAGGAAGGAGGAUGGCUCAAGGCAGUCAAUUCAGCCGCCAAGCCAUCACAUGGAGUAGCUCGCGGGGUGACUAUGCACAUUGGCUCGUGGGAAGGAAGGGUCGACUUCACAGUGGCACCCAUGGAUGACUUCAAGAUGGUGCUAGGAAUGGACUUCCUACAGAAGGUCAAGGCCGUGCCACUACCUUUCCUAUGCUCAAUGGCUAUCCUAGAGGAGGAGAAGUCGUGCAUGGUCCCUACGGUCAAUGAAGGUACGCUCAAGACCCCUAUGUUAUCCGCUAUGCAAGUAAAGAAGGGGUUAAAGAGGGAAGAGGUGACCUACCUCGCCACCCUAAAGGAAGAAAAGGAUGAUGGGUCGGGAGAACCCAUGCCUAGAGAAAUCGAGGGGGUCCUUGAUGAGUUCAAGGACGUUAUGCCGCCCGAGUUGCCCAAAAGACUUUCUCCUAGGAGAGAGGAAGAUCACAAGAUUGAGCUGGAGCCGGGAGCCAAGCCCCCUGCUAUGGGGCCAUAUAGGAUGGCACCACCCGAGUUGGAGGAGCUAAGGAGACAACUCAAGGAGUUGCUAGAUGCGGGGUUCAUCCAACCAUCCAAGGCUCCUUAUGGCGCGCCGGUUCUAUUUCAGAAAAAGCAUGAUGGGUCCCUACGAAUGUGCAUAGAUUACCGGGCACUCAACAAGGUGACGGUGAAGAACAAGUAUCCCAUCCCGCUCAUUGCUGACUUGUUCGAUCAACCUGGUAGGGCAAGGUACUUCACGAAGCUAGACUUAAGGUUAGGCUACUACCAAGUGAGGAUUGCUGAGGGAGAUGAGCCGAAGACUACAUGUGUGACCAGGUAUGGCUCAUAUGAGUUCUUAGUAAUGCCUUUCGGAAUCACCAAUGCCCCAGCAACGUUUUGCACCCUCAUGAACAAGAUCUUCCACCCAUACUUGGACAAGUUUGUGGUGGUGUACUUGGAUGACAUAGUCAUCUAUAGUAACACUCUAAAGGAGCACGUAGAGCACUUGAGGAAGGUCUUUAAGAUCUUGAGGCAGAACGAGCUAUACGUGAAGAAGGAGAAGUGUUCGUUUGCUAAGGAGGAAGUGAGCUUCCUUGGGUAUCGCAUCAGAGAUGGCAAGCUGAUGAUGGAUGAUAGCAAGGUGAAGGCCAUCCAAGAAUGGGAUUCACCAACCAAGGUACCUCAACUCAGAUCUUUCCUUGGUUUAGUUAAUUACUAUCGGCGGUUCAUAAAGGGUUAUUCGGCAAGGGCUGCUCCACUCACUGAUCUUCUGAAGAAGAAUAAGGCAUGGGAAUGGGAUGAAAGGUGCCAACAAGCCUUUGAGGACCUGAAGAAGGUUGUGACUGAGGAGCCAGUGUUGGCACUACCCGACCACACCAAGGUCUUGGAGGUACACACAGAUGCCUCAGACUUCGCUAUUGGGGGAGUCCUUAUGCAAGAAAGACACCCAAUUGCAUUUGAGAGUCGCAAGCUAAACGACGCGGAGAGGCGUUACACGGUGCAAGAAAAGGAGAUGACCGCUAUCGUUCACUGCUUGCGCACCUGGAGGCACUAUUUGCUAGGGUCUCACUUCAUAGUGAAGACCGACAAUGUGGCCACUAGCUACUUCCAGACACAGAAGAAGCUGAGUCCUAAACAAGCUAGGUGGCAAGACUUCCUGGCCGAGUUCGACUAUACGCUGGAGUAUAAGCCAGGAAGUGCUAAUCAUGUGGCUGACGCCGUAAGUCCCAAAGCUGAGCUAGCGUCCAUAACGAGUCAGCCCCAAGGAGACAUAAUGGAUCUUCUAAGGGAGGGACUGUAACAUAAUCCAGUGGCUAAGAGCCUCAUCGCCCUGGCUCAUGAAGGGAAGACCAAGCGGUUUUGGGUGGAGGACGGCUUACUCUACACCAAAGGGAGACGACUCUACGUGCCUAAGUGGGGGAACAUAAGGCGGAACCUGAUUAAGGAGUGCCAUGACACCAAGUGGGCAGGGCACCCUGGGCAACGACGCACUAGGGCACUACUCGAGUCGGCUUACUAUUGGCCUCAGAUACGGGACGAGGUUGAGGCCUAUGUGAGGACUUGUCUUGUGUGCCAACAAGACAAGGUGGAACAACGACAACCUAGAGACAUGUUAGAGCCACUACCUGUAGCAGAACGCCCAUGGGACAGCGUCACCAUGGACUUCAUCAUCGGGCUACCUAAGUUAGAGGACAACGACUCUAUCAUAGUGGUGGUGGAUAGGUUCUCUAAGUAUGCAACCUUCAUAGCAGCCCCGACUGACUGCACUGCGGAAGAGACGGCGAGGCUAUUCCUAAAGCACGUAGUCAAGUAUUGGGGGUUGCCUAAGUUCAUCAUCAGUGAUCGCGACCCGCGCUUCACUGGGAAGUUUUGGACGAAGCUCUUCAAGCUUAUGGGUUCGGAGCUUCACUUCUCCACCAGCUUUCACCCACAGACAGAUGGGCAGACUGAGAGGGUGAACGCCUUGCUGGAGCUAUACUUGAGGCACUUUGUGAGUGCCAACCAGAGGGAUUGGGCUAAGUUGCUAGAUAUAGCCCAGUUCUCAUACAACUUGCAAAGGAGUGAGGCGACCAACAAGAGCCCGUUCGAGCUAGCCACAAGGCAGCAACCCUUAACUCCUCACACGCUAACGAUAGGCUACACAGGGAGAAGUCCAGCGGCUUUCAAGUUCGCGAAGGGGUGGCAUGAGUAAGCUGACAUAGCACGCUCGUACUUGGACAAGGCCGCUAAGAAAAUGAAGAAGUGGGCUGACAAGAAGCGACGUCACACGGAGUACAAGGUUGGAGACAUGGUGCUUGUCAAGCUCCUUCCUCAACAAUUCAAAUCCCUAAGGCCAGUGCAUAAGGGCCUUGUGAGGAGGUAUGAAGGACCCUUCCCUAUACUUGGAAAGGUCGGCAAGGUGUCCUACAAAGUGGAGUUACCGCCAAGGUUAAAGAUUCACCUUGUCUUCCACAUGAGUUACUUGAAGCCAUAUCACGAAGACAAGGAUGAUCCAAGCCGAGGGCUUUCUAAGAGGGCACCUACAGCGGUUGUGACCUCCUAUGACAAGGAGGUGGAACACAUCAUUGCAGACCGAAUCAUCAGAAGGCGUGGUGUGCCUCCUGCUACGGAGUACUUAGUGAAAUGGAAGGGACUACCAGAAAGCGAGGCUAGUUGGGAGCCAGCAAAUGCACUAUGGCAGUUCCAGGAACAGAUUGAGCGGUUCCGGGCAGAAGACACGACGAGGACGUCUGCGGCUUAGGUGGGGGAGAGUGUCACAAGAUGCUUCAAAUGACCCUCCCCAUGGCUUAUAUAGGAGGUGAGAAGCUUCUAGAGACCCUUGGAGACAUCCACACUUAGCCACUAGUGGGAAGAGUGUGGAAGGUUCUAGAAAUGCCUAGAGAAGUCCACACAACUCUACACUAUGGUAGAAGGCAUGAGAAGGGUCCAAAGCUUUCUAGAGAAAUCUAGAAGUCUCUUGAAUAUUCUAGAAUAGUGUAGGACAUUCUAGAAGUCUCUUGAAUAUUCUAGAAUCGUGUAGGAGAUUCUAGAGAGUUCCAUUGGUGCCUAUAAAUAGGUGAGGGCCUCAUUUGGCCAAGGCACCAAACAAAGUGAGCAUCCAAGCACUUGUAAAGGCUUCUUUGAGUAAUAAGAGCUUCCAUUAUUUAAAAGUUGCCUACUACACUUCUCAGCUUCCGAGUCGUGAGCAUCUUAGCCUAGCAAGCUAAGUGUCGGGGGUAAGGCUGACUUAGCAAGANNNNNNNNNNNNNNNNNNNNNNNNNNNNNNNNNNNNNNNNNNNNNNNNNNNNNNNNNNNNNNNNNNNNNNNNNNNNNNNNNNNNNNNNNNNNNNNNNNNNNNNNNNNNNNNNNNNNNNNNNNNNNNNNNNNNNNNNNNNNNNNNNNNNNNNNNNNNNNNNNNNNNNNNNNNNNNNNNNNNNNNNNNNNNNNNNNNNNNNNNNNNNNNNNNNNNNNNNNNNNNNNNNNNNNNNNNNNNNNNNNNNNNNNNNNNNNNNNNNNNNNNNNNNNNNNNNNNNNNNNNNNNNNNNNNNNNNNNNNNNNNNNNNNNNNNNNNNNNNNNNNNNNNNNNNNNNNNNNNNNNNNNNNNNNNNNNNNNNNNNNNNNNNNNNNNNNNNNNNNNNNNNNNNNNNNNNNNNNNNNNNNNNNNNNNNNNNNNNNNNNNNNNNNNNNNNNNNNNNNNNNNNNNNNNNNNNNNNNNNNNNNNNNNNNNNNNNNNNNNNNNNNNNNNNNNNNNNNNNNNNNNNNNNNNNNNNNNNNNNNNNNNNNNNNNNNNNNNNNNNNNNNNNNNNNNNNNNNNNNNNNNNNNNNNNNNNNNNNNNNNNNNNNNNNNNNNNNNNNNNNNNNNNNNNNNNNNNNNNNNNNNNNNNNNNNNNNNNNNNNNNNNNNNNNNNNNNNNNNNNNNNNNNNNNNNNNNNNNNNNNNNNNNNNNNNNNNNNNNNNNNNNNNNNNNNNNNNNNNNNNNNNNNNNNNNNNNNNNNNNNNNNNNNNNNNNNNNNNNNNNNNNNNNNNNNNNNNNNNNNNNNNNNNNNNNNNNNNNNNNNNNNNNNNNNNNNNNNNNNNNNNNNNNNNNNNNNNNNNNNNNNNNNNNNNNNNNNNNNNNNNNNNNNNNNNNNNNNNNNNNNNNNNNNNNNNNNNNNNNNNNNNNNNNNNNNNNNNNNNNNNNNNNNNNNNNNNNNNNNNNNNNNNNNNNNNNNNNNNNNNNNNNNNNNNNNNNNNNNNNNNNNNNNNNNNNNNNNNNNNNNNNNNNNNNNNNNNNNNCAUUUAGGAACCCUAGGCUUAUUUAGGCACCCUAGGUCUACUUAGGCACCCUAAGCCCAUUUAGGCACUCUAGGUCAUAUUAGGCACUCUAGACCCAUUUAGGCACCCUAGGUCCACUUAGGCACCCUAGGCCCAUUUAUGCACCCUAGGUCCAUUUAGGCACCCUUGGCCCAUUUAGGCACCCUAGGCCCACUUAGGCACCCUUGGCCCAUUUAGGCACCCUAGGUCCAUUUAGCCACCCUAGGCUCAUUUAGGCACCCCAGGCCCAUUUAGGCACCCUAGGUCCAAUUAGACACCUUAUGCCCAUUUUGGCACCCUAGGUCCACUUAGGCAUUCUAGACCCAUUUAGGCACCCUAGGUCCACUUAGUCACCUUAGGCCCAUUUAGGCACCCUAGGUCCAUUUUGGCAUCCUUAGCCCAUUUAGGUACCCUAGGCCCCCUAGGUCCAUUUAGGCACCUUAGGGUCAUUUAGGCAUCCAUAGGCCCAUUUAGGCUCCCUAGGUCUACUUAGCCACCUUAGGCCCAUUUAGGCACCCUAAGCCCAUUUAGGCACUCUAGGUCAUAUUAGGCACUCUAGACCCAUUUAGGCACCCUAGGUCCACUUAGGCACCCUAGGCCCAUUUAUGCACCCUAGGUCCAUUUAGGUACCCUUGGCCCAUUUAGGCACCCUAGGCCCACUUAGGCACCCUAGGCCCAUUUAGGCACCUAAGGUCCAAUUUGGCACCCUAGGUCCACUUAGGCACCCUAGGCCCAUUUAGGCACCGUAGGUCCAUUUAGGCACCCUUAGCCCAUUUAGGCACCCUAGGCCCAUUUAGGCACCCUAGGCCCAAUUAGGCACCCUAGGUCCAUUUAGGCACCCUAGGUCCACUUAGACACCUUGGCCCAUUUAGGCACCCUAGGUCCACUUAGGCACUCUAGGCCCAUUUAGGCACCCUAGGUCCACUUAGACACGCUAGGCCCAUUUAAGCACCCUAAGCCCACUUAGGCACCCUUGUCCCAUUUAGGAACCCUAGGCUUAUUUAGGCACCCUAGGUCUACUUAGGCACCCUAAGCCCAUUUAGGCACUCUAGGUCAUAUUAGGCACUCUAGACCCAUUUAGGCACCCUAGGUCCACUUAGGCACCCUAGGCCCAUUUAUGCACCCUAGGUCCAUUUAGGCACCCUUGGCCCAUUUAGGCACCCUAGGCCCACUUAGGCACCCUUGGCCCAUUUAGGCACCCUAGGUCCAUUUAGCCACCCUAGGCUCAUUUAGGCACCCCAGGCCCAUUUAGGCACCCUAGGUCCAAUUAGACACCUUAUGCCCAUUUUGGCACCCUAGGUCCACUUAGCAUUCUAGACCCAUUUAGCACCCUAGGUCCACUUAGUCACCUUAGCCCAUUUAGCACCCUAUGUCCAUUUUGGCAUCCUUAGCCCAUUUAGUACCCUAAGGCCCCCUAGUCCAUUUAGCACCUUUAGGGUCAUUUAAGGCAUCCAUAGGCCAUUUAAGCUCCCUAGGUCUANNNNNNNNNNNNNNNNNNNNNNNNNNNNNNNNNNNNNNNNNNNNNNNNNNNNNNNNNNNNNNNNNNNNNNNNNNNNNNNNNNNNNNNNNNNNNNNNNNNNCAGAAAGCGAGGCUAGUUGGGAGCCAGCAAAUGCACUAUGGCAGUUCCAGGAACAGAUUGAGCGGUUCCGGGCAGAAGACACGACGAGGACGUCUGCGGCUUAGGUGGGGGAGAGUGUCACAAGAUGCUUCAAAUGACCCUCCCCAUGGCUUAUAUAGGAGGUGAGAAGCUUCUAGAGACCCUUGGAGACAUCCACACUUAGCCACUAGUGGGAAGAGUGUGGAAGGUUCUAGAAAUGCCUAGAGAAGUCCACACAACUCUACACUAUGGUAGAAGGCAUGAGAAGGGUCCAAAGCUUUCUAGAGAAAUCUAGAAGUCUCUUGAAUAUUCUAGAAUAGUGUAGGACAUUCUAGAAGUCUCUUGAAUAUUCUAGAAUAGUGUAGGACAUUCUAGAAUAUUCAUGAAUUAUAAGGAACCCUCCAAGGUUCUAGAGAGUUCCAUUGGUGCCUAUAAAUAGGUGAGGGCCUCAUUUGGCCAAGGCACCAAGCAAGUGAGCAUCCAAGCACUUGUAAAGGCUUUCUUGAGAUAAUAAAGCUUCCAUUCUUUAAGGAGUUGCCUACUAAGCUCUUAAGCUUUCGAGUCGCGAGUGUCUUAGCCGAGCAAGCUAAGCACUGGGGAUCAAGGCUGACUUAGCAAGAUCAAGCGUCUUGACUUGCCUAAGUGCCGCACGAGCUUAGUGAACGACUAAGUCCGUGACAUUAGGCUCAUUUAGGCACCCAUAAGCCCAUUUUGGCACCCUAGGUCCACUUAGACACCUUAGGCCCAUUUAGGUACCCUAGGCUCAUUUAGGCACCCUUGGUCCAUUUAGGCACCCUAGGCCUACUUAGACACCCUAAGCCCACUUAGACACGCUACGCCCAUUUAGGCACCCUAGGUCCACUUAGGCACCUUAGGCCCACUUAGGCACCCUUGGCCCAUUUAGGCACCCUAGGUCCACUUAGGCACUCUAGGCCUAUUUAGGCACCCUAGGUCCACUUAGGCACCCUAGGCCCAUUUAGGCACCCUAGGUCCACUUAGACACCUUAGGCCCAUUUAGGCACCCUAAUGUCACAAAAUGCUUCAAAUGACCCUCCCCAUGGCUUAUAUAGGAGGUAAGAAGCUUCUAGAGACCCUUGGAGACAUGCACACUUAGCCACUAGUGGGAAGAGUGUGGAAGGUUCUAGAAAUGCCUAGAGAAGUCCACACAACUCUACACUAUGGUAGAAGGCAUGAGAAGGGUCCAAAGUUUUCUAGAGAAAUCUAGAAGUUUCUUGUAUAUAGGCUUGUACAUAGAAUAGUGUACGACAUUCUAGAAUAUUCAUGAAUUGUAAGGAACCCUCCAAGGUUCUAGAAAGUUCCAUUUGUGCCUAUAAAUAGGUGAGGGCCUCAUUUGGCCAAGGCACCAAACAAGUGAGCAUCCAAGCACUUGUAAAGGCUUUCUUGAGUUAAUAAGAGCUUCCAUUCUUUAAGGAGUUGCCUACUAAGCUCUUAAGCUUUCGAGUCGCGAGUGUCUUAGCCGAGCAAGCUAAGCGUUGGGGAUCAAGGCUGACUUAGCAAGAUCAAGCGUCUUGACUUGCCUAAGUGCCGCACAAGCUUAGUGAACGACUAAUUCCGUGACACUAAGCCCACUUAGGCACCCUUUGCCCAUUUAGGCACCCUAGGCUCAUUUAGGCACCCUAGGUCCACUUAGGCACCCUAGGCCCAUUUAGGCACCCUAGGUCCACUUAGGCACCCUAGGCCCAUUUAGGCACCGUAGGUCCAUUUAGGCACCCUUAGCCCAUUUAGGCACCCUAGGCCCAUUUAGGCACCCUAGGCCCAAUUAGGCACCCUAGGUCCAUUUAGGCACCCUAGGUCCACUUAGACACCUUGGCCCAUUUAGGCACCCUAGGUCCACUUAGGCACUCUAGGCCCAUUUAGGCACCCUAGGUCCACUUAGACACGCUAGGCCCAUUUAAGCACCCUAAGCCCACUUAGGCACCCUUGUCCCAUUUAGGAACCCUAGGCUUAUUUAGGCACCCUAGGUCUACUUAGGCACCCUAAGCCCAUUUAGGCACUCUAGGUCAUAUUAGGCACUCUAGACCCAUUUAGGCACCCUAGGUCCACUUAGGCACCCUAGGCCCAUUUAUGCACCCUAGGUCCAUUUAGGCACCCUUGGCCCAUUUAGGCACCCUAGGCCCACUUAGGCACCCUUGGCCCAUUUAGGCACCCUAGGUCCAUUUAGCCACCCUAGGCUCAUUUAGGCACCCCAGGCCCAUUUAGGCACCCCAGGUCCAAUUAGACACGUUGCGCCCAUUUAGGCACCCUAGGUCCACUUAGGCACCAUAGGCCCACUUAGGCACCCUAGGUCCACUUAGGCACCCCAGGUCCAUUUAGGCACCCUUGGCCAAUUUAGGCACCCUACGCCCACUUAGGCACCCUAGGCCCAUUUAGGCACCCAAGGUCCAUUUAGGCACCCUAGGCCCAUUUAGGGACCCUAGGCCCACUUAGACACCUUAGGCCCAUUUAGGUACCCUAAGCCCACUUAGGCACCUGUGGACACCGCAUUUCGUGCUUGAUGCGUUUCCCACUCGAUGGCGAGCUCGAUUUUUAUUUUGAAAAAUUAAUUUUAUUUAUUGUUUGUUUAAAAAAAUGACUUGGAGUCGCCACUUAUUUUUGUUUUAUUUUUAAAGGGUAAACAAAAUAAGAAAGAAAAACCCUAAGUGUGACUCCUUAUUUUGGAAAAGGCGGUCUGUGAAAAACCGGAUCGGGUUCGGGGGUCAGGUUACUUAUCGGGAAGGUACGGUAAAGACCGUAGCACCCCUCUAAGUCCCUAAAAUCGUGUCUCUACUAAUAGAAUAAAGCUGACGUGGCAAUCAAUGAGGAAAUCAGCGGAUACUCAAAUCAAACUUGCACAUAUGAAAAUAAGAGUAUGCAUAGAGAAUAAUCAAAAUGAGAAUGAGUGCGUACCUGGACCUCCAGUGACAAAUGCGCUAUCAUGAAACAGGAUUAGUGAGCAAUGAACAAGAUAUAAUUAAGCGCAUAUCAAGAAAUAGAGUAAACCAAUCAUGCAUGGCAAAUAAAUCAAUCGAUCUGUCAAUCAAUCAUGAAGUCAAGUAUGUGGGGCCCCCACCAAAGCCCGUUUAUUUUGCAUGAAUUAAUUCCAUAAAUUCCAUUAGUCGGAAUUAUGGAAUUUAAUUCUUGCUUAUUUUUAAAACAUUUUAAAAGAUUAUGAAAGAUUUGAAAAUUGCUUACCGAAUAGAAAGUGGAAGCAAAUUUGAUUAAAAGUGAGACUCUUAGGUGAUCCUAAAAAUUCUAAGGAUGAAAGAGUGUGGAAUUGAAAUUAUUGUUUUAUUGAAAAAUGAGGAACUGGGAAAUUAUUAAAAAAAGUGAGAUUUGAAAAAUUGUUGUCAAAGUCAAAGAGGAUAAAAGGGAAGAUGUCACGUGACCAAAGGUGGCCAUGCAACUGAAUGCUCAUAUGCGCGGACCCAAGGAGGUCACUGGGGCUACUUUGUCGGCGCACCAUCCUCUCUUAUAACUGCAAAUAGGCUCGGUAUGAAAGAAACUUGAGACAGGUCUGGUGACUCAGAAUAUGGAUCAGAACCCACAGAACCUUUGAUCACGAUCACCUAGGAUGUAACACGUCCCUCUCUCAAAGCAAAUCUUUGUCCAGCUUCAAGAGGAACAGCAGAUAUCAACUCGAAAAACUACUGUAACAUCAUUCCCGGGCAUAACCAUCUUAACUUCUUCAAGCAAUUGAACCUUCCUAGUGGCAUCUGCAGUCCUCAGGUGGCUUUGAUUUAUCAGAAGAAUUGAAAGCCGAAGAUUUAGGCAUUGGAGGGGUCACAUGCAUUAGUUGCCUAGAUUGCUUAAAUGCCAAUUCCUCAAGCCGAUGUGUGUUAACAGGCAGCUGUGGUGUAGUGCAAGCCCAUGAUGGAGCCCGUGCCAAUGCUUCAGCCAUAUUAAGACCAACUGUAAUACUUGGAAGCCCAGGUGCUGUGGCAGAACGAUAUUUUGUUGAGCAGAUGAGGAUCCAAUGAGCAAAUUCUGAACAGCCAUGUUCAACCCAGGUGACGAAACCCUCCCAAGAUCCAAUUCGGUUCCAAGUGAAGAGAAAUCCUUAUCAAACACAGUCUUGUGGAUGGUUUCUCACAAAGCAAUCUCAUGGUUUACACUUUCUGCUUAUUUAUGAAGUUUGCUAAUCCUUUCCUUUCUUAUCCUCGGGACGACCUUCUUCCGAUCGAGCCUUCCUAUCCUCGGUGUGGCAUUUAUACGACAUAACCCAACUCACCUAUCAACCCAUAUCUGAAUUUGGCUGCGUCUUAGCAAGAUGCUUCACGGCGUCUUUCUCCAGCUGCAGCCACAACGUGUCAGCUGCCUCCACCCAAAACCUGAUAUGCUGAGAAGUUUCCGUCUAUUAUUGGAUUCGGUAUCUGAUUCCUCAGUCGCUUUCAUUCUCUCAAUCCCUUCCAUGCAUGCAUGAGGGUUGGUGUUAUGUGGUGUAAGGAGAGAAACGGGUAUGGGAUGUGAUCAAAUGGGUGUAUGUGUGAGGGUAUGAAAUAUAGGUGUGGAGACGGGUAUUAUAGGCAAAAGAAGUGGCCAUGCACAUGAGAUGAGUGUGAAGCACGGCCACGGGUAGUGAGAGAAAAUGGGUGGUUAUGUGUUAAGUAUGAGUGGUGAUGAAAUGUGUAUGAAGGUUUAAACAAUGGGUUUGGAGGAUGGAGAUAGGAGUGAGUGGAGUGGGUGGUUGGACGAGUAGUAAGGCUUAGAGAGAUGGUAGUGGGUUUGGAAUAGGUGCAGGGGAAGAUAAUGAAUGAAGAUGAAUGAAGAGAGCGUGAGAUAGAAGAUGGAUGUGAUGGACAAGAAGGUGGCCACGUGCCUGGAGCUUCAUGUAUAUGGGUAUGAAAGAGUUUGAAGAGAGAGAAAAGGUGGUAAUAUGGAAUGGGUUUGGUGGGUGCAAGCAUGAGGCAUGAAGAUGAGGGUUAGUAUGGAAGUGUGGGUAUGAUGAGCGAAAGAGAGAGAUGAGAUGAGUGCAUGGUGGUGUAGAAAGAAAGGUGAUCAUACAAAUGGGCAUAGGUAUGGAGGUAUAAUGGGUAUAGGGUCAUGGGUAUGCUAAAUGGGCAAAAAGGGUAUAAGCCCGAAAUUAAUGGAGUAGGUAGUGGGAGAUAAUAGGAAAUGGGUGUUCAUGGGGAUCCUCUGCGUACAUGGUGGGAAAGGAAACAGUGAAGAGUACCCACAGCCAACUGAACUUUCAUUAUUCCUCUCAUUUUAACAUAAGCUUGACCACAAUAUUUCUGAACUCUCUCUUAGGACUCAUACUUCCGAUGGCUAUUUUGUGGUCUACAAUGCCAAUGGUGAUAUUUUCCGUCUUUCAAAGCCGAAAAGAGGUAAGUGACCCUCAUCAAUCGAACAACUCACUUUCUUAUAUAUUCAGGCAACAACUAGAGCAACUCCAGAUCUAUGAAUAGUAUGGGCCCAAGAAUCUGCUUAACAGAAUGCUCCAAAUCUUCAACAAGUGUAAAUCAGUUGGAUACGAUUGCACAUUGUGUUGUAGCGUGAACAACAGAGAUGGCAAAAGGACUUCAUUGUCAUGACCGAAAAAGCGUCAACUUCUUUCUCAUUGACUGGCAUAAUAUCCUCAGUAACAAACUGAUCCAGAUCAAAUAUAAAUGCAGUAUUCCCACAAGAUACAACCGGAACAGGACCUUGCUUCUUUUCCAUCUAAGAUCUUUGCGCAACCCAGAUCAUCUGGAGGAGUUUUGUUCAUCCUCAACACUCACGAGCUAUGAUCUGUGCUAUCACCACCUGGCUCUCUCAAAUAGGGAUGUACAACCUGAUGUAUAACAAGGUAGGAUGCCGAAAACAGGGGAAUGGCAAAACCAAAUAGAAAACAAACCAGUGAAACAAAUAAAACAACCAAAGCCAUGUUUCAUGUUUAGAUCAACAGGUUUGGCUGUAGGUGAGUGAACUAGAAUGCACCUAAAGAGAUAAGAACAAGACAAAACUCCUAUAUGUGGCAUAGCGAAAACUAAAACAGAGCUGAGCCAUUCUCAAAUCAUCAUAAGGAAAAUAGGCAAGAUAGCCGCCAAGGAAAUCCGAGAACCAAGCAGGAACCAUAAGAUAGAACGUAUACCCAAACAAAUCACAGACAAUAUCAAGCAAAAGGAAUGAAACUACAUACUGAUAAAGAAUAUGAAGGAUCCAUGGCAGUCAUACCUCGCUUUUCUUCCCCCUCAAGCUCUCUGUUCUCUCUGGAUAUCUUAGCCAAAACUCCUCCUAGUUUUCCCUCUGAGCUCUCCUCAAGCUCCCAGAAAAACUCUCCCUCAGGCUCCUCCGGAAUCUCUCCUUUUUCUCUCCUCCUCUCUCAAUAUCCAGCUUGCUCCUUGCAAAAUCAGCACCCUCUCUCCAAAAACAUGCUCUGUUUUUCUUAGCUUCUCCCUGGUCCCUGCAUCCCCUAAAAAUCUCCUUUUCUCCUUUUUCUUUUCUCUCGGAUUUGCCCUUCUAACCAUAUCUGCAGAGACAGCCCCCUUCAUGCAGCUGGCAACCUUCCCAUAACAGAAAAAUACGCUCCCCUGAUUCCAGAAGAUUCUUUCCCUUUACAGGUGUCUUCCCCGGAUUAGUCCAUCAAUUCCACUAUUUUGAUCCCAUAUUGACUAAUUCGGGAGUGACACGUGGCCAGAAUGAGCUGCAUGAAAUAGCACCCAAAUAGGGGUCUACAAAUAUGUCCCUCUUUGGUAGAGUUCACGAGUGUAAAGAAUAUGAACACUGGAGUGAAAAGCAAGUGUGAAUAGUGAGUGCAAUGAAGUGAACUCUACUGAAGAACAAAGGAGACCCCCAAAAGGACACCAGUGGAACCCAAACUCACUCAGGCCAACAGAAUGAACAAUGAGGCUCUAAUCCUAAGAGAGAAAAAUGUCACAAAAUGCCUCUGAAGCCACACUAAGGAUCCAAGCUCCCUCUAAGACAUCUCCAAAAGUGACUCGAAGAUCAAUGUCAAAGAUGAGUAACGGUCGAACCACCCUGGAGUACAAUAAAGAAUGUGCCCGAAGGAGACUGCCCUAUGUGAACUAUACGAGAAUGCCAAGUGUAGGGUGCCCAACAACAUGAUCGAAAUAUGCGUCACGGAUCUCAAAAGACUGUGUCAUGUGUAGUGGAAAGGGAAGUCUAAAAGAGCAAUGAUGAAUAGGCGAUAAGCAUCAAGUAACCAGGUGAGGAGAAUGGCUCUGAACGCCUAAAAUGGAAAUGUGAUCCUGAAUGUCAUACUGAAGCAAAGACCUGGACGCCAAACUGACUUGAUAGGAAGAAUGAAUGACCGAUCUAUAUGGGUGCGGUCCCGACUCAAACUAAACACAAUCUGAUAGGGAAAUGACCGAUCGAUAUGGGUGCGGCCCCGACUCAAACUGAACUGAUAAGAAGAUGGCCGAUUUAUAUAGGUGCGGCCCUAGAAACUAAACUGACAUGACAAGGAGAUGGUCGAUCGAUAUAGGUGCGGCCCCGACUCAAACUGACACGAUAAUGACCGAUCGUAUAGGUGCGGUCCCAGAAACUGAACUGACAUGACAAGCAGAUGACCGAUCGAUAUAGGUGCAGUCCCAGAAACUGAACUGACAUGACAAAGAGAUGACCGAUCGAUAUAGGUGCGGUCCCGACUCAAACUGACACGAUAAUGACCGAUCGUAUAGGUGCGGUCCUGGAAACUGAACUAACAUGACAAAGAGAUGGUCGAUCGUAUAGGUGCGGCCUCGACUCAAACUGACACGAUAAUGACCGAUCGUAUAGGUGCGGUCCCAGAAACUGAACUGCCAUGACAAAGAGAUGGUCGAUCGUAUAGGUGCGGCCUCGACUCAAACUGACACGAUGAUGACCGAUCGUAUAGGUGCGGUCCCAAAAACUGAAUUGACAUGACAAAGAGAUGGUCGAUCGUAUAGGUGUGGCCUCGACUCAAACUGGCACGAUAAUGACCGAUCGUAUAGGUGCGGUCCCAGAAACUGAACUAACAUGACAAAGAGAUGGUCGAUCGUAUAGGUGCGGCCCCGACUCAAACUGACACGAUGAUGACCGAUCGUAUAGGUGCGGCCUCGACUCAAACUGACACGAUGAUGACCGAUCGUAUAGGUGCGGUCCUAGAAACUGAACUAUCAUGACAAAGAGAUGGUCGAUCAUAUAGGUGCGGCCCCGACUCAAACUGACACGAUGAUGACCGAUCGUAUAGGUGCGGUCCCAGAAACUGAACUGACAUGACAAAGAGAUGGCUGAUCGUAUAGGUGCGGCCUCGACUCAAACUGGCACGAUAAUGACCGAUCGUAUAGGUGUGGUCCCAGAAACUGAACUGACAUGACAAAGAGAUGGCCGAUCGUAUAGGUGCGGCCCCGACUCAAACUGACACGAUGAUGACCGAUCGUAUAGGUGCGGUCCCAGAAACUGAACUGUCAUGACAAAGAGAUGGUCGAUCGUAUAGGUGCGGCCCCGACUCAAACUGACACGAUGAUGACCGAUCGUAUAGGUGCGGUCCCAGAAACUGAACUGACAUGACAAAGAGAUGGCCGAUCGUAUAGGUGCUGCCCCGACUCAAACUGACACGAUGAUGACCGAUCGUAUAGGUGCGGUCUCAGAAACUGAACUGACAUGACAAAGAUAUGGUCGAUCGUAUAGGUGCGGCCUCGACUCAAACUGACACGAUGAUGACCGAUCGUAUAGGUGCGGUCCCAGAAACUGAACUGUCAUGACAAAGAGAUGGUCGAUCAUAUAGGUACGGUCCCAGAAACUGAACUGACAUGACAGGAAGAUGGCCGAUCGUAUAGGUGCGGUCCCGACUCAAACUGACAUGAUAAUGACCGAUCGAUAUAGGUGCGGUCCCGACUCAAAGUGAACUGAUAAGAAGAUGGCCGAUCGAUAUAGGUGCGGCCCCGACUCAAACUGACACGAUAAUGACCGAUCGUAUAGGUGCGGUCCCAGAAACUGAACUGUCAUGACAAAGAGAUGGCCGAUCGUAUAGGUGCGGCCUCGACUCAAACUGACACGAUAAUGACCGAUCGUAUAGGUGCGGUCCCAGAAACUGAACUGUCAUGACAAAGAGAUGGUCGAUCGUAUAGGUGCGGUCCCAGAAACUGAACUGACAUGACAGGAAGAUGGCCGAUCGUAUAGGUGCGGUCCCGACCCAAACUGACACGAUAAUGACCGAUCGAUAUAGGUGCGGUCCCGACUCGAACUGAACUGAUAAGAAGAUGGCCGAUCGAUAUAGGUGCGGCCCUGACUCAAACUGACACGAUAAUGACCGAUCGUAUAGGUGCGGUCCCAGAAACUGAAUUGACAUGACAAAGAAAUGACUGAUCGUAUAGGUGUGGUCCCGACUCAAACUGACACGAUAAUGACCGAUCGAUAUAGGUGUGGUCCCGACUCGAACUGAACUGAUAAGAAGAUGGCCGAUCGAUAUAGGUGCGGCCCCGACUCAAACUGACACGAUAAGAUGAUGAAUGACCUGAUCAAGUGACCCAAAACCACCACAAUUCUCCAUGCAAUGACGUGUGAAAAACCACCACUCAAGGUGAAACAAGGAUAAUGUCGAGUAAUCAAUGAGGAAAGGAAAAGACAGAGAACGAAUAUCACAAGUGGUGGUAUGUGAUAUCGAAAAAUAGUGAUGAAAUGAUGUCCAAGCGGAAAAUAUCACAGUGAAGAGUGAAGAAUGAGGCUCGAAUAUGUAUGUCAGGUCUAGAACUCAUGACGUAUCCAAACAUAGCAUGCAAGCACUACAGGGUCCCCAACCCGGUGUAAUAAGUAAAUGAGGUGAUGAAAGAAAAAGCUAUGUGCUCGUGUGAGGCUCAAAGGGCUAGCAACGGGUAACUCUAUAUGUGAGGGUGAUAAAGUAAAUAGGCUCAUGAAAUGAUGGCCACCCAUCCUUUGACCAAAACCUCGAACAUCGUGCUUUUGAGAUCUCACAUGGUCAAUACUAAAGACUGGCAUCCAUCCAACAUAGUCAUGACGACUCCUCUGAAAUCGUGCAAAAGGCUCCCACUGAUGCUCUGUGAUGAUCAUCAAUGUCGUCUGAAAAUCAACUCACUCUAUCAUCACAAGCCACUCACCAUCAUCUCAUAAAAUCACCAUGUCUAAUCAUCCCGACUCUCUGAAGUCAUGUGCAAUGGCUCAAAUCUGGAUGCUCCAUGAUAACCUCUCUAUCUCAACAAUAUCGUCAAACAAAUCAAGCCACUCUCUCAUCGUGAUCCAUCUAUCAUCAUGUAAAGCUCACCUCGGGUCUAACCAUCUCGGACUCUACCUGGUCAGAUCCAUGAAAUGAUGGAAAGGAUAGGCAAUGGUACUGUAGCAUGAUAAGGCGAAUCAAGGGUAGUAAAGGUCGUACGAUGGUACCAAGGGAUGGUGUCAUGUCAAGCUCAAAAUGGGUAGGUCAUCAAGUCCACAAAGUCAAGGUACGAAUAUGGAUAUGGUAUCGCUCUAAUCAAAAGGUGAUAUGAGGCACAGUCUCGAACUCCCUAGGUCGAUCUCCUGAUCCUAGGUCAAUAGACUCAAUAUCCUCCAUGAUAGGUCAGGCCAAAGUGAUCGUGAUGUAAGUGAAAGAUGUAUCAUAUUGAAAGUACAACACAUCAUAUGAAAUAUGGUCCCGUGAUGGCAAUCCUAAACUGGAAAUAUGACAGAAACUCUAAGGUCAUAAAGGUGUCCACUAUGAGAUGGCUACAAAUGUGACCAGAGAAUCUCCAUCAAUAAUCCGAGAUAAAGAGAGGUGUGAAAAACACGCUAUCACGAGAUCGGUACUCCAUCUAUAAACAUAUAUCCUUGAAUCAACCUUCAACUCGAGCUCCAUAAGAGAAAAAUAAUAAGGUGAUCAAGGCGAAUCUCUCGAAGACAGUGUGGAUGUGAAAAAUGCGCCUUUCACCUUUCUGUAAUGAAAAUAUGAGCAUCGAGUCGAAAAUUGAACCAAGGAUCAAACAAAUGAUGAGGUACUGAGCCCGUGAUAAGCAUACAGUGUAAAAAGAUGAUCAAUGAACAUAUCCCAAAGCAUCAUGUGAGUGAUAACAAAGUGAAGGGGUGUGUCGAGCCAAGAAAUGAGAAUGAAAACCCUAGGGAGAAAACAUGCUAAACUCGUCAAGUAAAAAGCAUAAUCUAGAGCGACGAGACAAAGGUGAUCCAAUCGAUACUCAAACUCAUACCGAUCUCCGAGCACUCUCAACUGGAGACUAAAAAGAGGGAACACUGGAUCCGAACUGUAACUAAAGAGGCUCUGAAGGCCCUCAGAUGCACCCACGUGUAGGGAGGGAGUCCUAAUCGAAGGAUCUACGGCUCAACCUACGAGAUCAAGGUGGCUCUAAAUGGAUAUGGGUGGACUUUAAAAAAAAUCCCUAGCAGAAGCGAUCAUACCCUCCAGCGGUACACAACCCUCUGCACGCCUAAAAAAAAGACGGGGCGCUUCCAUGCAAGGUGGACAUCGCAUCCACACAUGCACUACCUCGACAUCCUAGGGGGUUUCCUAUGGUGAAUCCUCUCAAACUCUCAACGCUCAAUAGUCAACUAGGGUGCAUAGUGAUCGGUGUGGGUGCAUCCGAAACCCUAAGAAGCUAAAGCAGAAGAUGAAACAUACUGGUCGCAUAAAUAUCCAUGAAACCUAGCUCGGGGCUAUACAGGUCUUCAAUGAUCGGACUCUAAUCGACAACAAUGCGCCGCUCGCCUCCAGAAUGCUCCCAAACAUCAGUAUAGCCCGUCGCUAGACCCUACUCUUAACUUCUAUCUCAGUCAGAGUACAAGCACACACAAGGCCUCACACUUGCAAAAGUGAGAACCGUAAUGAAGAAAGUGACUGAGACUAGAGAGUGAGAGAUAAGGGGAUAGAUGUGCGACCCACAUAAACAAGCGGCACGAAAUCACACAGAUGAGGGCAAUCAUGCAACACACAGUCAAACAAAACUCAGAUAUAUCAUCAAUGUACACACAAGAUAAGCGAGAAUACGACAAUCAGAUGGAUAGUGAUACAAAGACAACACGCUCAAAGAUGAUCAAAAUAAUAUACCAACAAGUGGAUCAGCAUGUCGAGUCGAAUGAUGUACAGUAGUGAGUGUAUGCACGUGAAGUGAUCAAAACAAUCAUGACAAAAUCAGGGUCAAUGUGCUAAGCAAAGCAAUAAGAUCAAUCAUCAAUGAUCCAGCAUGUCAAUGUCUCAAACAAAUAUAUCAAUGCAACACAGAAGAAAUCAUGGCAUCAGAAUCCUCAAUCAAUAUAAAUCAAUCAACACGAUCGACGUGUCAAAGUCUCAAGUGGAUAUAAAAUCCGAGCAUGCAUCAAAUAUCCUCAAUGUGCAAUCAAGAAAUGGGCAUCCACUGAUUGUCCAAUCGAAUGCCACGUUUGCUUCAUUCUAAGUUCAAGUUUGACCCUCUAAAUGAUCCCCAGUGGAGUCGCCAUUUUGUGGACCCCGCAUUUCGUGCUUGAUGCGUUUCCCACUCGAUGGCGAGCUCGAUUUUUAUUUUGAAAAAUUAAUUUUAUUUAUUGUUUGUUGAAAAAAAUGACUUGGAGUCGCCACUUAUUUUUGUUUUAUUUUUAAAGGGUAAACAAAAUAAGAAAGAAAAACCCUAAGUGUGACUCCUUAUUUUGGAAAAGGCGGUCUGUGAAAAACUGGAUCGGGUUCGGGGGUCAGGUUACUUAUUGGGAAGGUACGGUAAAGACCGUAGCACCCCUCUAAGUCCCUAAAAUCGGGUCUCUACUAAUAGAAUGAAGUUGACGUGGCAAUCAAUGAGGAAAUCAGCGGAUACUCAAAUCAAACUUGCACAUAUGAAAAUAAGAGUAUGCAUAGAGAAUAAUCAAAAUGAGAAUGAGUGCGUACCUGGACCUCUAGUGACAAAUGCGCUAUCAUGAAACAGGAUUAGUGAGCAAUGAACAAGAUAUAAUUAAGCGCAUAUCAAGAAAUAGAGUAAACCAAUCAUGCAUGGCAAAUAAAUCAAUCGAUCUGUCAAUCAAUCAUGAAGUCAAGUAUGUGGGGCCCCCACCAAAGCCCGUUUAUUUUGCAUGAAUUAAUUCCAUAAAUUCCAUUAGUCGGAAUUACGGAAUUUAAUUCUUGCUUAUUUUUACAACAUUUUAAAAGAUUAUGAAAGAUUUGAAAAUUGCUUACCGAAUAGAAAGUGGAAGCAAAUUUGAUUAAAAGUGAGACUCUUGGGUGAUCCUAAAAAUUCUAAGGAUGAAAGAGUGUGGAAUUGAAAUUAUUGUUUUAUUGAAAAAUGAGGAACUGGGAAAUUAUUAAAAAAAAUGAGAUUUGAAAAAUUGUUGUCAAAGUCAAAGAGGAUAAAAGGGAAGAUGUCACGUGACCAAAGGUGGCCAUGCAACUGAAUGCUCAUAUGCGCGGACCCAAGGAGGUCACUGGGGCUGCUUUGUCGGCGCACCAUCCUCUCUUAUAACUGCAAAUAGGCUCGGUAUGAAAGAAACUUGAGACAGGUCUGGUGACUCAAAAUAUGGAUCAGAACCCACAGAACCUUUGAUCACGAUCACCUAGGAUGUAACACGUCCCUCUCUCAAAGCAAAUCUUUGUCCAGCUUCAAGAGGAACAACAGAUAUCAACUCGAAAAACUACUGUAACAUCAUUCCCAGGCAUAACCAUCUUAACUUCUUCAAGCAAUUGAACCUUCCCAGUGGCAUCUGUAGUCCUCAGGUGGCUUUGAUUUAUCAGAAGAAUUGAAAGCCGAAGAUUUAGGCAUUGGAGGGGUCACAUGCAUUAGUUGCCUAGAUUGCUUAAAUGCCAAUUCCUCAAGCCGAUGUGUGUUAACAGGCAGCUGUGGUGUAGUGCAAGCCCAUGAUGGAGCCCGUGCCAAUGCUUCAGCCAUAUUAAGACCAACUGUAAUACUUGGAAGCCCAGGUGCCGGGGCAGAACGAUAUUUUGUUGAGCAGAUGAGGAUCCAAUGAGCAAAUUCUGAACAGCCAUGUUCAACCCAGGUGACGAAACCCUCCCAAGAUCCAAUUCGGUUCCAAGUGAAGAGAAAUCCUUAUCAAACACAGUCUUGUGGAUGGUUUCUCACUAAGCAAUCUCAUGGUUUACACUUUCUGCUUAUUUAUGAAGUUUGCUAAUCCUUUCCUUUCUUAUCCUCGAGACGACCUUCUUCCGAUCGAGCCUUCCUAUCCUCGGUGUGGCAUUUAUACGACAUAACCCAACUCACCUAUCAACCCAUAUCUGAAUUUGGCUGCGUCUUAGCAAGAUGCUUCACGGCGUCUUUCUCCAGCUGCAGCCACAACGUGUCAGCUGCCUCCACCCAAAACCUGAUAUGCUGAGAAGUUUCCGUCUAUUAUUGGAUUCGGUAUCUGAUUCCUCAGUCGCUUUCAUUCUCUCAAUCCCUUCCAUGCAUGCAUGAGGGUUGGUGUUAUGUGGUGUAAGGAGAGAAACGGGUAUGGGAUGUGAUCAAAUGGGUGUAUGUGUGAGGGUAUGAAAUAUAGGUGUGGAGACGGGUAUUAUAGGCAAAAGAGGUGGCCAUGCACAUGAGAUGAGUGUGAAGCACGGCCACGGGUAGUGAGAGAAAAUGGGUGGUUAUGUGUUAAGUAUGAGUGGUGAUGAAAUGUGUAUGAAGGUUAGAACAAUGGGUUUGGAGGAUGGAGAUAGGAGUGAGUGGAGUGGGUGGUUGGACGAGUAGUAAGGCUUAGAGAGAUGGUAGUGGGUUUGGAAUAGGUGCAGGGGAAGAUAAUGAAUGAAGAUGAAUGAAGAGAGCGUGAGAUAGAAGAUGGAUGUGAUGGACAAGAAGGUGGCCACGUGCCUGGAGCUUCAUGUAUAUGGGUAUGAAAGAGUUUGAAGAGAGAGAAAAGGUGGUAAUGUGGAAUGGGUUUGGUGGGUGCAAGCAUGGGGCAUGAAGAUGAGGGUUAGUAUGGAAGUGUGGGUAUAAUGAGCGAAUGAGAGAGAUGAGAUGGGUGCAUGGUGGUGUAGAAAGAAAGGUGAUCAUACAAAUGGGCAUAGGUAUGGAGGUAUAAUGGGUAUAGGGUCAUGGGUAUGCUAAAUGGGCAAAAAGGGUAUAAGCCCGGAAUUAAUGGAGUAGGUAGUGGGAGAUAAUAGGAAAUGGGUGUUCAUGGGGAUCCUCUGCGUACAUGGUGGGAAAGGAAACAGUGAAGAGUACCCACAACCAACUGAACUUUCAUUAUUCCUCUCAUUUUAACAUAAGCUUGACCAUAAUAUUUCUAAACUCUCUCUUAGGACUCAUACUUCCGAUGGCUAUUUUGUGGUCUACAAUGCCAAUGGUGAUAUUUUCCGUCUUUCAAAGCCGAAAAGAGAGGUAAGUGACCCUCAUCAAUCGAACAACUCACUUUCUUAUAUAUUCAGGCAACAACUAGAGCAACUCCAGAUCUAUGAAUAGUAUGGGCCCAAGAAUCUGCUUAACAGAAUGCUCCAAAUCUUCAACAAGUGUAAAUCAGUUGGAUACGAUUGCACAUUGUGCUGCAGCGUGAACAACAGAGAUGGCAAAAGGACUUCAUUGUCAUGACCGAAAAAGCGUCAAGUUCUUUCUCAUUGACUGGCAUAAUAUCCUCAGUAACAAACUGAUCCAGAUCAAAUAUAAAUGCAGUAUUCCCACAAGAUACAACCUGAACAGGACCUUGCUUCUUUUCCAUCUAAGAUCUUUGCGCAACCCAGAUCAUCUGGAGGAGUUUUGUUCAUCCUCAACACUCACGAGCUAUGAUCUGUGCUAUCACCACCUGGCUCUCUCAAAUAGGGAUGUACAACCUGAUGUAUAACAAGGUAGGAUGCCGAAAACAGGGGAAUGGCAAAACCAAAUAGAAAACAAACCAGUGAAACAAAUAAAACAACCAAAGCCAUGUUUCAUGUUUAGAUCAACAGGUUUGGUUGUAGGUGAGUGAACUAGAAUGCACCUAAAGAGAUAAGAACAAGACAAAACUCCUAUAUGUGGCAUAGCGAAAACUAAAACAGAGCUGAGCCAUUCUCAAAUCAUCAUAAGGAAAAUAGGCAAGAUAGCCGCCAAGGAAAUCCGAGAACCAAGCAGGAACCAUAAGAUAGAACGUAUACCCAAACAAAUCACAAACAAUAUCAAGCAAAAGGAAUGAAACUACAUACUGAUAAAGAAUAUGAAGGAUCCAUGGCAGUCAUACCUCGCUUUUCUUCCCCCUCAAGCUCUCUGUUCUCUCUGGAUAUCUUAGCCAAAACUCCUCCUAGUUUUCCCUCUGAGCUCUCCUCAAGCUCCCAGAAAAACUCUCCCUCAGGCUCCUCCGGAAUCUCUCCUUUUUCUCUCCUCCUCUCUCAAUAUCCAGCUUGCUCCUUGCAAAAUCUGCACCCUCUCUCCAAAAACAUGCUCUGUUUUUCUUAGCUUCUCCCUGGUCCCUGCAUCCCCUAAAAAUCUCCUUUUCUCCUUUUUCUUUUCUCUCGGAUUUGCCCUUCUAACCAUAUCUGCAGAGACACCCCCCUUCAUGCAGCUGACAACCUUCCCAUAACAGAAAAAUACGUUCCCCUGAUUCCAGAAGAUUCUUUCCCUUUACAGGUGUCUUCCCCGGAUUAGUCCAUCAAUUCCACUAUUUUGAUCCCAUAUUGACUAAUCCGGGAGUGACACGUGGCCAGAAUGAGCUGCAUGAAAUAGCACCCAAAUAGGGGUCUACAGCACCCUUGGCCCAUUUAGGCACUCUAAGCUCAUUUGGGCAUCCUAGGUCCACUUAAGCACCCUAGGCCCAUUUAGGCACCCUUGGUACACUUAGGCACCCUAGGCCCAUUUAGGCACCCUAAGUCCAGUUAGGCACUCUAGACCCAUUUAGGCACCUUAGGCCCACUUAGGCUUUGUUGGCCCAUUUAGGCACCCUAGGUCCACUUAGACACCUUAGGCCCACUUAAGCACCCUAGGCCCUUUUAGGCACCCUAGGUCCAUUUAGGCACCCUUGGCCCAUUUAGGUACCCUCGGCCCACUUAGGCACCCUAGGCCCAUUUAGGCUCCCUAGGUCCAUUUAGGCACCUAAGGCUCAUUUAGGCACUCAUAGGCCCAUUUAGGCACCCUAGGUCCACUUAGACACCUUACGCUCAUUUAGGCACCCGAGGCUCAUUUAGGCACCCUUGGCCCAUUUAGGCACCCUAGGCUCAUUUAGGCACCUUUGGCCCAUUUAGGCACCCUAGGCCCACUUAGACACCCUGAGCCCACUUAGACACCCUUGGCCCAUUUAGGCACCUUAGGUCCACUUAGACUCUCUAGGCCCAUUUCGGCACCCUAGGUCCACUAAGACACGCUAGGCACAUUUAAGCACCUAAGCACCCUAGGCACAUUUACGAACCUAAGGCUCAUUUAGGCACUCAUGGGCCCAUUUAGGCACCCUAGGUCCACUUAGACACGUUAGGCUCAUUUAGGCACCCGAGGCUCAUUUAGGCACCCUUGGCCCAUUUAGGCACCUAGGCUCAUUUAGGCACCUUUGGCCCAUUUAGGCACCCUAGGCCCACUUAGACACCCUGAACCCACUUAGACAUCCUUGGCCCAUUUAGGCACCCUAGGUCCAAUUAGGCUCUCUAGGCCCAUUUCGGCACCCUAUGUCCACUAAGACACGCUAGGAACAUUUAAGCACCCUAAGCCCACUUAGGCACCCUUGGCCCAUUUACGAACCCUAGGCUCAUUUAGGCACCAUAGGUCCACUUAGGUACCCUAGGCCCAUUUAGGCAUUCUAGGUCCAAUUAGGCACUUUAGACCCAUUUGGGCACCCUAGGUCCACUUAGGCACCCUAGGCCCAUUCAGGCACCCUAGGUCCACUCAGGCACCCUAGGCCGAUUUAGGCACCCUUGGUCCACUUAAGCACCCUAGGCCCAUUUUGGCACCCUAGGUCCAGUUAGCCACUCUAGACCCAUUUAGGCACCUUAGGCCCACUUAAGCAUCCUUGGCCAAUUUUGGCACCCUAGGUCCACUUAGGCACUCUAGUCCCAUUUAGGCACCCUAGGUCCACUUAGGCACCCUACGUCCAUUUAGGCACCCUAGGUCCAUUUAGGCACCCUAGGCUCAUUUAGGCACCCUAGGCCCAUUUAGGCACCCUAGGUCCACUUAGACACCUUAGGCCCAUUUAGGCACCCUAGGUCCACUUAGGCACCCUUGGCCCAUUUAGGCACCCUAGGUCCAUUUAGGCACCCUAGGCCCAUUUAGGCACCCUAGGCCCAUUUAGGCACCCUAGGUCCACUUAGGCACCCUAGGUCCACUUAGGCACCCUAGGCCCAUUUAGGCACCGUAGGUCCAUUUAGGCACCCUUAGCCCAUUUAGGCACCCUAGGCCCAAUUAGGCACCCUAGGUCCAUUUAGGCACCCUAGGUCCACUUAGACACCUUAGGCCCAUUUAGGCACCCUAAGCCCACUUAGGCACCCUUGGUCCAUUUAGGCCCCCUAAGCUCAUUUAGGCACCCUAGGUCCACUUAGGCACUCUAGGCCCAUUUAGGCACCCUUGGUCUACUUAGGCACCCUAGGCCCAUUUAGGCACCCUAGGUCCAGUUAGGCACUCUAGACCCAUUUAGGCACCUUAGGCCCACUUAGGCAUCCUUGGCCCAUUUAGGCACCCUAGGUCCACUUAGGCACUCUAGGCCCAUUUAGGCACGCUAGGUCCACUUAGGCACCCGAGGCCCAUUUAGGCACCCUAGGUCCACUUAGACACCUUAGGCCCAUUUAGGCACCCUAAGUCCACUUAGGCACCUUUGGCCCAUUUAGGCACCCUAGGCUCAUUUAGGCACCCUAGGUCCAGUUAGGCACCUCAGGCCCAUUUCAGCACCAUAGGUCCAGUUAGGCACUCUAUACCCAUUUAGGAACUCUAGGUCCACUUAGGCACCCUAGGCUCAUUGAGGCACCCUAGGUCCAUUUAGGCACCCUUGGCCCAUUUAGGCACCCUAGGCCCACUUAGGCACCCUAGGCCCAUUUAGGCACCCUAGGCUCAUUUAGGCACCCUAGGCCCAUUUAGGCACCCUAGGUCCACUUAGACACCAUAGGCCCAUUUAGGCACCCUAGGCUCAUUUAUGCACCCUUGGCCCAUUGAGGCACCCUAGGCCCACUUAGACACCCUAAGCCCACUUAGACACCCUUGGUCCAUUUAGGCACCCUAGGUCCACUUAGGCACCUUAGGCCCACAUAGGCACCCUUGGCCCAUUUAGGUACCCUUGGCCCAUUUAGUUAGGCCCACCUAGUCUCACCUUAGGCCCAUUUAGGCACACUUGGGCCAUUAAGAAAUUUUUAGCGUGACUUAUAUGACUUGCAUGGUUGCAUGGCUUGUGGGGCUCAGUUUUUUUUUUAUUUAUUUAUUUUUAUUUUUAGUUUUAUUUUUAUUUUUAUCAAUCACUUGUUUAUUUUUAUUUGUUAUAUUCCUUUCUAUAUUAUUUUUCUUAGUUUUUUAAUUAACUUAUUUAUUUAUUAUUGUUUUACCGUUUUCUAAUUUAUCUACUCAUUUAUUUAUUCAUUCAAUUAUUUAAUAUAAAAAAAUUUCAUGCUUUUGCAAGGAAACUUACCAUUGAAGUUUAAGGAAAGUGGGACUCUCCUUGGAAGGUUUUGGAGAGGGAGUUUGAAAUUGGGAGGAUUGUUUUUGAAUGGGAAGAUUGGAAAAAGAGGGAAAAAAAAUGGGGAAUUUCUCAGAGCCAUAUAAGGAGUAGACUGCCAUCAUGAGAUAAAGAAAAAGAAAAAAAAAAAAGUUAGAGAUUUUGAUUUUCUGGGGGAUAGAGAGAACAAUAGGAAUUUUUUAGAAGGGUUUUUUUGUUAGAGAUUCAAGCAUAAAGCAUAAUUUUUUUUAAAGAGAGCACACAGAAUUUUGGAAAAAAAGCAAGGGACUUGAGACGGAGAUCGGGCUGCCAUUUAAUCAUCAAGAGAGGAUUUUCUAUUUCACUUCAAAGGUUAGUUUUCUAUAUAGUACUUUUAUUUAGCCUAGACUUUUUUUUGGAAAUUUUAGUUUUUGAUUAAUUCUUUGUGUUAAAGUUUAUAUUAUUUUCUUUUUAAAUCCCCAAUUAGUUUAAUUCCAAUCUAUCUUUUAGUUUAAGUUUGUUAAUGAUUUUAAUUCUUAAGUUUAAAUAAUCAUAUUGAAUAAAGUUUGUAUUUUUAAUCCUGAUUAGUUUGAUUUCAAUUCGUUUUUAGUUUAAAUGUAUUUUGUUGAUCUUAAUUCUUGACUUUAAAUAAUCACGUUAAAUAAAGUUUGUAUUUUUAAUCCCAAUUAGUUUGAUUUCAAUUCGUUUUUUAUUUUAAAUGUGUCUUGUUGAUCUUAAUUCUUUACUUUAAAUAAUCACGUUAAUAAAGUUUGUAUUUUUAAUCCCAAUUAGUUUGAUUUCAAUUCGUUUUUAAUUUAAAUGCAUUAGUUGAUCUUAAUUCUUUACUUUAAAUAAUCACGUUAAAUAAAGUUUGUGUUUUUAAUCUCAAUUAGUUUGAUUUCAAUUCGUUUUUAAUUUAAAUGCAUUAGUUGAUCUUAAUUCUAUGUUUUAAAUAAUCAUGUUAAAUAAAGUUUGUAAUUUUAAUCCCAAUUAGUUUGAUUUCAAUUCGUUUUUUAGUUUAAAUGUAUCUUGUUGAUCUUAAUUCUUUACUUUAAAUAUCACGUUAAUAAAGUUUGUAUUUUUAAUCCCAAUUAGUUUGAUUUCAAUUCGUUUUUUAGUUUAAAUGUAUCUUGUUGAUCUUAAUUCUUUACUUUAAAUAAUCACGUUAAUAAAGUUUGUAUUUUUAAUCCCAAUUAGUUUGAUUUCAAUUUGUUUUUAAUUUAAAUGCAUUAGUUGAUCUUAAUUCCUUGUUUUAAAUAAUCACGUUAAAUAAAUUUGUAUUUUUAAUCCCAUUUAGUUUGAUUUCAAUUCGUUUUUUAGUUUAAAUGCAUUAGUUGAUCUUAAUUCUUAAGUUUAAAUAAGCACGUUAAUAAAGUUUGUGUUUUUAAUCCCAAUUAGUUUGAUUUUAAUUUGUUUUUAGUUUAAAUGCAUUUUGUUGAUCUUAAUUCUUUAGUUUAAAUAAUCAUAUUGAAUAAAGUUUGUGUUUUUAAUUCCAAUUAGUUUGAUAUUAAUUUGUUUUUAGCCUAAAUACAUUCAUUGAUCUUAGUUCUUUAGUUUAAAUAAUCAUAUUGAAUAAAGUUUGCGUUUUUAAUUCCAAUAAUAGAAUUUAAUUUCAAUUUAGUUUGAUUUUAAUUUAUUUUAUAAUUUGAAUGCGUUCAUGAUUUUAAUUGUUUGAUUAACUCUCUUAGACAAAUUCUAUAUAUUUAAUUUCGAUUUUAUUUUAAUUUUACUUUGUUAAUUUAUUUAUUUGUUUAAAAAUAUUUGCAAUUUCAUUUUGAUAGUUUAGCCAAUCUUAUUAGAUGAUGUUAAUGUUUUUAAUUUAAUCUAGUAUCAAUUAUUUUUAGUAUUGAAUGUGUUCGUGCGUUUCUGAAUUCGCCAUUUUGGAUUGUAAUCCAUUUAUAUCCAAUUUUGUAGUUGAUCAUAAUUUUAGUUAAUUAAUUUAGUCAAUCACAUGAUAUUAUACUCACAUUCUAAGUAUGGAAAUUUCAGCUUUGAUUCGUCAAUAUUUAGUAUGAGUUUUUUGGAAUUUUAGUUAAUUACAUGUUACUCUUUUAGUCAAUAUUUUCAAGUUUGCUAAACUUUGGUUUUUGAUUUAUCAUACUUUGCUAGAAUGUUAAUUUACCUUAAUUGAUUCCCUGUUAUUAUCUUUAUAUGCUAAGCUUGUUGACUUUAAUCUUUGGUUGGUUAUUUUUAUUUUAAUUCAUGUGUUUCUUGAAAUCUAGAUGUUAGUCUUGGAUAAUAUUUGUGUUAGUUUGUUUGAUUAGGAAACCAUUAGUUUGUUGCUUUAGUAAUUGUUGGUAAAAUCUUUUUUUUUGAAGGCCAUUGGAAAAUCAUGAAGAUUGGCAUCUACCAUCACCUUUAUCAUUUUUGUUAAUUACUAAAAAAAUUUUACUUUGAGGUUUCAUUUUUUUUUUUUUUUUUGUUUGGUAUUUUAUAUAUUUUAUUUUUUCCAAAUUAAUUCCUUUUAUUUUAAAAUAAAAUACUUUUCUCAAAAAAUCAUUUUAAAAAUCUAUUUCAAAAACUCAUUUAGAGUCCUCAGGAUCAAUUUUUUUUUUUUUAUAUUUAAAAAUAAUGUGCAACCAUAUCUUGUUCUGUUUGCAUCCUUCUCGGUUUUCAACAAAAAGUUUGGUUUUGAACAAAAACACGAAUCAAAGCUUGUGGUCCCAAAUAAAUGGGAUAAUUCUUGGCUAAAUUUGUGUAUAUUAAUUUGGGGAAUUGGUGAAACCCCUACAUAAGAAAAUCUUUUCAAAAAUUAUUUUUGUUGCCAUAUUUGUCACUUGUUGAAAUUAUGUCUAUCUUUUUUAGGAAUUGUAUACAAGAUGUGUGUGAUAAUUAAUGUUUUCAUAUACUUUGAUAAUUUUUGUUAUGCUAAUUAGAUAACAAGCAUGCUAGGGUUUCUUUAUUUUAUUAUUAUCUAAUCCCUCAUGUCUUAUGGAAGUGCAUUGUAAGUUAUCUAUGCUAUCCAGGUACAUCCCCUAUCACCUACUUUCUAAGUUUUGUAAACAUGAUUGUCACUGAGAACUAUGCUUAUGCUUGAGAAUACUUGGGUGUUCCGAUAUACAUGUUUCAUUGUUUGAUUAUUUCUAAUAAAACACAUGUUGGAUGAUAUAUUGUUUAAAUUAACCAUUGAUGUUUUAUGAUAGCGCUUGAGAAGCAGUCCGGGUACACACCCUAACUCUCCUUUAUUGUGAUUUAAUCUUGUUUAGCAUGUAAGUUUUUUGAAAUCACCUAGCCUACUUAGGUAUCUAUAAUUAAUUGAUUAAUUGCCACACUUCCCUUAACUUUGUCAGUAGAGACCUUUGUAGGGCUUAGAGGGGUGCUACCUUUUAAAGGUGCCUUCCCAAUAAGUAACCUGAUCCCCGGACUUAGACUUAGGUUUUUCAAAGACACACUUUUCCAAAAAUUAUGGAGUCAUUUUUUAGGGUUUUAUUUCUUGUUUUAUUUUCCCUUUUAAAAAAAAAUAAUAAGUGGCGACUCCAACUUUUUUUCAAAAAUCAAUUUUUCACAAAUAAAAAGCGAGUCUCGCCGAUUGAGUGGGGGCGCACGUGAAAAAUGCGGGUCCACAUGGAGUAAUUAGAGAUUAUUGCAUCACAUACGUCAAUGAAGUUGUAGGUAUUAGAGGGUAAGUUUUUAGGAUAAAACGACCAGGUAAAUUUGUGUAACUUGAUCUUGUAUAGUGGAUUUUGAUUAGUAGUCUUAGACCUUGUGGUUUUUUUUAUCUCCACAGUAGUGUGGGGAUUUUCCAUGUAAAAGUCAUUGUGUCCAUUGUUAUAUCUUGUGAUUAUCAUGAUUGUGGGGAUUUUGUUUAUCUCUGAUAUUAUCUCACAGGGUAAAAAUUGAGUAUAACAUAUAAUCUUUUUUUUAGAAUUCUUUUAAUUACACCCAUUCACCUCCGUCCUCUCUUUGGGUGUUACCCUACUAGACUUGGCUUUUUCAGUCUCAAAUUCUACAUUAGCAUUUUUUUACUUAAGUUAUAAAUGGAAAAAGUUAUAAACCCAAGAUAACUUGUUAAAAAAGUGAGAAAUAAUAAAGGACUCAUGUUAGAGUAUAAAUAAUUAAUCUAUUCUAGGCUUAAUAUAGCUCCAAUGUCAAACAUGAAUACUUAAUUAUUUAUUAUAUUUUGAAAAUAAAGUAAGUAUUUUUUAUAUAAAAAAUGAAACAACUUUUCUAGAACAACACAAGGCACUAAUGCAUAUAGUUGGUAACAAGUUGGAGAAAGAAAAUAAUGUGGAGAAAUAAAACAACAUGUACAAAGAAACAAAUUGGAGAUAAAGAAAAUGACUAACAAAAAAGAAAAUAGAGAAAUUAUAGAAUAUAAGAUAAUUAAACUUAUUUUCAUAAAAAUAAUAUAUUUUCGAAAAAUAGAAAAUUUCGUUCAUAUUCUCUUUUUCACUUAUUUUAAAAAUAAAAGUAAAAAUUAAUAUUUAUCAAAUGCAAAUAUUAAUAAUUAUGAAAUUAAUAUUUAUCACAUAUAUAAGAUUAAGAUUGAGAUAUAAACUUUUUAUAAUCUAAACUAUUAUUUUCAUUUUAAACAAGAAAGUUCGAUGUGACAUAAUAAAAUUUGUACACAAAAUUUAAAUUAUCUCUAUUCAUAUAGAAUUAUAUAUAGGUAUAGAUUCAUUUCAAAAUUCAAAUAAUUAUUUGAAAUUUACAUUUAAAUUUUAUUUUUAAAUUUAAAACUUAAUUAUUUUGUAAUAGGGUAUGUGUCAUAAAAUUGAAACUUAUAUAUAUAAAUGCGUCCACUUCCAUACCUCUCAUAAAAUUGGAGCCGACUUUUUUUGUUUUCUUUUGUGUGUUUAUAAAUGUCUCCAAUUCCAUAUCUAGCUGUGAUAUAGUUUUGGAGAUGAUUGUGAUUGAAGUAUAAUUUCUUUUAAUUUUAAUUUUAUAAGAAUUAAAAUCAAAGAAACUGUUGGGUAGAAAGAUGUUUCCCUCCAUACAAAUCUAUUUAAAAGAAAAAAAAAACACAAAGAAAGACAACAAUAGAUGAAAAUAAUUAUUCAUCUGUUAUGUUAGUGCAAAAUAUGAAAGAGAAGACAACAGUGUGCAUCUUCACUGUGACUGAGGAUCAAAUUCUCUUUGAGAUUGAUAUAAAUUAUUUAUAACUUCAUUGUUCAUGGAGAGUUGAUUCAGUAGUGUCUUCCAUUUGAAGACAUACAGAAAUGGUUAGAAUUAUCUAUUCAUUUCAAGAGAUAACUUGCAUCUAUGACCCUUAUACUCCCAUGAACUUUGAGCAUCUAUUAUUUAUAAAAUAUGGAUGAAAAUAGAAUAUAAAAAAAAUAUUUUCAUGGGAAGUGUAUUUUGGAAAAAAUAAUUCUCAUUUGAUACAUUGGAAAAGUGUCUACCUCACAUUACCCAAAAAUGUCGUUAUAUGUGUACAUGGGUCAUCAUCCAUAGUAACCCAAUUCACAUGAGGAUGGUACAUCAUUCAACCAAUAAAGGUACUUUAAGCUCAAAACAGUGGUACAUUAUAAUCAAAACAAUAUUACUUUAAUAUCAAAAUACAUGUAAGGACAUUUUAAGGUAAUGUGAGGUAAAUACUACUAUAAUACAUUAAAUAAGAAUUAUUUUCCCAAAAAUGUACUUCCCAUGAAAAUGAUUUAUGUAGGUUUUCUUUCAUUUAUAUUUUAUAAAUAGUGCAUGUUUACAUAAUUCUCUCAUUAAUAUAAUAUAAUCAUCUAUACCUGAUAAUUAAGGAAAUAAAAAAUAUUUACGUACUAAGCAAGGAUAAUUGAAAUUAAAGAGUAUGUCAAAAGAGAAAAAAAAUAUUAAAGAUAAAUUAAAACUCUAAAAUAAAAGCCUUCAUUUGCACAUAUAGGACAAUAUCUUAGGAGGUAUUUUAUUAAAAUAAUAAUAACAAUGAUUAAAAAAUGGAAAAAAUUAUGGGUCCCAUUUUUUAAGUAUUUUCAAUAACAUAAUUAUAAACUUCUUUAAAUUUAAAAUCAUUUAUUUAAACCACUUUAUUCAUUUAGCAACAAGGACUUAAUUAAUCACUAAGAUCAAACACAAUGAUUUAUAAUUUUUAUAAUAUUUUCUUCCAUUACUAUCAUUUUUUUGUUAAUAAAAUGAAGACUUCUAUUGAUGAAUUUUUAAUAAUAAAAUGUAACUUCUUUUAAAUUAAAACCAUUUAUUAUUAAAAAAAUUUAAUUCAUCUAGGAGAUUCUUUUAACUAAUUCUUUUAGAAUUUUUUACAUUUUUUUAUUUCAUAUUUAAAGAUAAAAAAUUAUUAUGAAAUAAUUUUCUUCAUUAUAAAAUUUAUCUUUCGUUUCUAAAUCAGAAUUUUUGUCAUGUCCAUUCAUAUAAUAAAAUUAAAAUUAUAAAUAAUAAAAAAACCUAUUUUAAUUGACAGCGUCAUGGAAUCUCUCCAUGCACACCUCUUAAACCAAGUGAGCUAUGAAUGCAUGUAAGAUGUAUAUAUAACUAUAAAUAAGGAUUCAAAAUGAGGGGAAAAAUCAUUGAGAAGGGUGAACCAUGGGUGAUAAGCCACUUUCCUUUGGAUAAAUAUUAAAAGUUAAAGAGUAUAAAAUGUCUAUGUAUGUCGUCAUUUUUUUUUUCACUUUUAAGUUAAAUAUAUUUUUAUUGUUAUAAAUGAAGUAAUGAAUGCCACCACAUUUAUUAUAUGAAAUGUUCAUUAAAAGCCUAUAAAAAUGUUUCCUAUCCCCUGUAAAAUGCAUCCCAAGCAAAGAAAUAAAUUUUCUUUCUCUCUUAUUCUUUUUUAUUUUUUUAUUUUUAUUCUCCAUAUCUUUCAUUCUUUCAAUUGUCCUAAUUAUCUUUUAUGAUUCCUUCCUCUCCAUUAUAUAUUAUUAUCAAAAUAAUAUAUAGUUGUUCUUUACUUUUAUUUGUGUUGCAUUUAUCCUCUUUUUACAACACAUAAUUAGCAUGAAUUGCUCUAAAGGUAAUUCUCAUAUCUUAAAUUUGAAGUUAUUUAUAUAGAAUAAAAUUUUACAUAUUUAUAUUGGUAUUGUUAAAUUCAUUUAAUUUGUGUUAUAUAUUAUUAAAAUCUAUAAGCAAAUUAUUUGAUUUUGAUUAUAAUCAAAAGUUAUACCAAUGCUAUUAAUUUAUAACUAAUUCUAGUAAUAUUGUUUUGUCAUAUAUCUAAAGUUAUUUAACAAUGUCAAAUCUCACAAAACUCAAAUUUGUGGCACUUGACAUUUUAGGAAAGAACUAUAUAUCUUGGAUCCUUAAUGCUGAAAUACAUCUUGAUGCAAUGAAUCUUGGAGCUACAAUUAAAGAAGGAAAUCAGGCUUCCUUGUAGGAUCAUGCAAAAGCGUUGAUUUUCCUUCACCAUCAUCUCUAUAAAGGUUUUAAAAAUGAGUAUCUUAUAGUAAAGGACACUUUUACGCUAUUGAGUAAUUUGAAGGAAAGAUAUGACCACUAAAAAAUUGUGAUUAUCCCAAAAGCUUGAUAUGAUUGGAUGCAUUUAAGGUUGUAGGAUUUUAAAACUAUUAGUGAAUAUAACUCUGCACUUUUCAAAAUCAACUCUCAAUUAAAGCUAUGUGGAGAAAAAAAUCAUAGAAGAUGACUAUUAGAAAAAACUUUACUACAUUUCAUGCCUCGAAUGUGCUCUUACAACAAUAAUACCAAGAGUGUAGAUUUACAAAAUACUCUGAAUUAAUAUCAUGUCUUCUUGUUGCUGAACAAAAUAAUGAGCUUUUGAUGAGAAAUCACUAGUCUCAUCCAAUUGGAUCUGAACCAUUCCCUGAAGUGAAUGCAAUAUUGUCCCAAACUCGUGGACAUGGGUGAGGACAAGGAAAUGGUUGUGGUCACGGAAGGAAUCUCCGAUAUAAUGGUUAUUAUGGUAAUAAUUCCUCAAAUUCUCAUAAAAUGAAAGCUUUAUUGCACCACUAGAAAUGGAAUAAUACUGAGGCAAAACAAGAAAAUGGGAAGUGUUUACAAGAUUAACCUCCAAAUAACCAUGAGAAUAAUUGUUAUAAAUGUGGUAUGAAGGGCCAUUGGUUGUGUACCUAUCAUACACUCAUACAUUUGGUCAACCUUUACCAAGCAUCAAUAUAAGUAAAAGGAAAAGAGAUAGAGAUGAAUUUUACCAAUGGUGAUGGAUUGAACCUAACCUACUAUGACAUCGAUUUCUUUGGAGGUCCUAGUGAAAAAAUAGACCAUUUAAUAAAUGAUGAGAAUGCUAACAUUGAUGGGUGUUACUUUAUAUAUCAAAUAAUAUAUUAUUAUGUGUUAUAUUUAUAUCUGAUUAUUACAUUUUCUUUUAUAUUGUUAUUUUAUUAUGCCUUGUUUUUUUAAUAUUAGUUGUAUCUAAAAUCCACGUGUUAUUUGGUCUCAAGAUGAAUGAAGAUGAUGUAUGUUUCACAAAUUGUGAAACCACGCACACAAUUCUUCGAGAUAAAAGAUAUUUCAUUGAAUUGACAUUGAUAAAAGCUAAUGUAAGUACCAUAUUUAGUACUACAAGCUUAGUUGAAGGCUUUGGAAGAGGAAACAUAAUGCUACUAAAUGGAACUAGAUUUCAUAUAAAUGAUGCUUUAUAUUCUAACAAAUCUAGAAGAAAUUUGCUCAGUUUUAAAGAUAUCCACAAAAAUGUAUAUCAUAUUGAAAUUUUGAAUGACUUCCAUUAUAUCUGGCCAAAAGCUUAUGAUAGAAAAACUCUCGACUUUUUCCUCUAGGUUGUAUCAUACAACUAUAAAGCAUAUUGAAUCAUAUUUUGUCAUGAACCAGAAGUUCAACGGCCCAAAAUUUUUUGUCCUUUGGCAUGUGAGACUAGGUCACCCAGGUUUUCAAUGAUGCGUCAAAUAAUCGAACACUCACAUGGGCAUCCACUAAAAAACCAGAAAAUUCUUUUGCAAAAUGAAUACUCAUGUGCUACUUGCUCACAAGGUAAAUUGAUAGUCAAACCAUUUUUUACUAAAGUCAUAUUUGAGUCACGAGUUUUUAAAAAGAAUACAUGAGAACAUAUGUGGGCCUAUCCAUCCACCAUGUGAACCAAUUCGUUAUUUUAUGAUCUUAAUAGAUACUUCUACUAGCUGGUUACAUGUUUGUCUCAUUUUUACAAGUAAUGUUGCCUUUGCUAACUCCUUUCACAAAUGAUCAAAUUAUGAGCACAAUUCCAAGAUUAUCUAAUUAAGAUAAUACAUCUUAAUAAUGUUGGCGAAUUUACUUCUCAAACAUUCAUUGACUACUGUCUAUUGGUAGGGAUAAAUAUUGAGCAUCCUAUUGCUCAUACUCAUACCCAAAAUGGUUUAGUAGAAUUCUUCAUCAAAUGUCUCUAAUUAAUAGCUCGACCAUUACAAAUGAAAACCAAAUUACCUAUUUCUACCUGGGGACAUGUUAUUAUGCAUGCUGCAACUUUAGAUUGUAUUCAACAUAUAGCUUGCCAUGAAUAAUUCCCUCCACAACUCAUACUUGGAAAACAACUAAAUAUCUCUCACUUAUGAAUCUUUGGUUGUGCAGUAUAUGUACCAAUUGCACCUAUGCAAUGGACUAAAAUGGGUCCCCAAUGAAGACUCGGGAUUUAUUUAGGUUUUAAUUCUCCAUCUAUCAUAAGAUAUUGUUAGAAAAAUUAGGCUAAUCCAACCUAAGGUAAUUACCCUAGAAGGAAAAGGAGAGGAUGAAUAGAGUGAUGGUAUUUUUUUUUAAAAAAAAAUUAAAUUAUAUGAAUACAAGAGACAAUUAUAUGCAAAUAUAUAAUAAAACAAUAUAAAGAUAGAUGCAUAUAAAGAUCUUAUCUUGAUCCUUAUACAAAUGAAUAUGAACUAGAAGUUCAAAGGAACAUUUAUUUGCAAAAUCUUGCAAACAUAUUACUAGAUGCAUUCAUUGAUACAAAGAAAGUGACAAAGUCACAUAUCUUGGCUACAAAUACUCCAACAUGGAUUGAUGUCCCUGUAGGACAGUUAACAAAUGAACCUAAGAUAUGCUUGAAGCGUAGUAAACCUGUCGACUCAAAUGAUGUAACUCCCUAGAAGAGGAGAACACAAGAAAAACUUGGCACUUUAGAAGAGUCGUUAAAAUGACUAAUCAGUCUAAAAUUGAUAAAUCUAUAGCCCCAAAAGAGGCACAAAUAAUGCAAAAAGCCCAUGAAGAGGCACUUAUUGAACAAGAAGCCCUUGAAGAGGCACAUAUUGAACAAGAAGCCCCUGAAAAGGCACAUCUACCUGAAAAUUGUGAAAUAUUAGUAAGUUAUGUACACAUGGGAAAAAAAUGGGAUCCAAAUAAUAUUGCUAUCAACAAUACUUUUACUUUUCAAGUGGCCUAUGAUAUCAUAAGAAAUUAAUAAGAUCCCGAAUAACAAAAUAUGGAAGAAUGCCGACAUAGAAAUGAUUGGCCAAAAUGGAAAGAAGCUAUGUAAGCAAAGUUAAACUUAUUAACAAAAUGAGAAGUUUUUGGACCUGUACUCUAAACACUUGAAGAUGCAAAGUUUGUUGGGUAAAAAUGGGUAUUUGUACAAAAGUGAAAUGAGAAUAAUGAAAUCAUAAGAUAUAAAGCGUGAUUAGUAGCACAAGGUUUCUUUUAGAGACCAAGUAUUGACUACGAGGAAACAUACUCUCCUGACAUGGACAUAAUCACAUUUCGUUUCUUAAUUAGUUUGGUAAUCUCAUAAGGAUUGGAUAUGAUCCUCAUGGAUGUUAUUACAACAUAUUUAUAUAGAUCCAUAGAUAAUGAUAUAUACAUGAAAAUCCCUGAAGAAUUUAAACUGCCUCAAACAAAUAAUACAAAGACUUGUAACAUUUACUCAAUCAAGUUACAAUGAUCCUUGUAUGGAUUAAAGUAAGCGGGAUACAUGUGGUACAAUCGCCUUAGAAAAUACUUCCUAAAAGAAGGGUAUGUGAAUAACCCUAUAUGUCCAUGCAUCUUCAUUAAGAAAUCAAAAACUGGAUAUGCAAUUAUUGCAGUGUAUGUUGAUGACAUAAAUCUUGUUGGAACUCCUGAAGAGCUCAUAAGAACAAAAAAUUACUUAAAAAAGGAAUUUGAGAUGAAGGAUCUUGGAAAAACAAAAUUUUCUAUUGGUUUACAAAUCAAGCAUUUUCCAAAUGGAGUUUAGUACAUCAAUCAACAUACAUUAAGAAAAUUUUGAAGCAUUUUUAUAUGGGUAAAGCGCAUCUUUUAGCCUUUCCAAUAGUUGUUUGAUCACUUGAUGUGAAAAAGAACCCAUUUCAGUCUUGCAAAAAAUGUGAAGAAUUAGUUGGUUCUAAAGUACCAUAUAUUAGUGCUGGGUGCACUUAUAUAUCUUUCCAAUUGUACAUGUCUAAACAUUGUUUUUUCUAUCAAUUUAUCAGCAAGAUAAAGUUCCACUCCAACUCAAAGACAUUGAAAUGGUAUCAAACAUAUAUUGCACUAUCUUUGCGGAGCUACUGAUGUGAGUCUAUUUUACUCAAAGGAAUCAAGCAACAAUUGCUUGGAUAUGUAGAUGCAGGAUACCUUUCAUAUCCACAUAAAGAUAGGUCAUAAACAGGGUAUAUGUUUAAUUGCAAUGGUACUGCUAUUUCAUGGAGAUUUGUUAAACAAACAAUGAUGUCACAUUAUCAAAUCAUUCAAAAAUACUUGCAAUUCAUGAAGCAAGUUAUGAAUGUGUUUGACUAAGAUCUAUGAUUCAACAUAUUCGAUAACCAUAUGGACUUUUCUCUAUCAAAAGUGGCACGACAAUAUUAUUUGAAGAUGAUGUUGCAUACAUUGCACAAAUAACAGGGGGUCAUAUUAAAAGAGAUAGAACUAAACACAUUUCAUCAAAAUUAUUUUAUACACAUGAACACCAGAAAAGUGGUGAAAUUGGUGUGCAACAAAUAUGCUCAAGUGAUAAUCUAGCAAAUUUAUUCACAAAGUCAUUGCCAACCUCAACAUUAAAGAAGUCAAUACACAAGAUUGGAAUGCAUCAACUCAUAUCAACAUGAGGGAGAGUUUGCUUGUAAAAGGGUGUUAGUGUACUGUACUUUUUUUCCCUUUGUCCAGAUUUUGUCCUUUUGGGUUUUACUAGCAAGGUUUUUAAUGAGACAGUCCUAACAUAUCAAGAGCAACUUAAAGAAUUAUCACAAUAUUGUACUGUUUUUCCUUCGCUAGGUUUUCCUAUAGGGUUUUUUACUAGCAAGGUUUUAAUGAGACAUAUUCUUCUAAUGUGGUUGACAUUCAAGGAAAAGUGUUUAAACAAAGUAAUGAAUACCACCACAUUUAUUAUAUUAAAUAUUCAUUAAUAUUAUUUAUGACUUCCAUUAAUAUUCAUUAAUGGAAGCCAUUUGGAAAGCCUAUAAAACAACUUCCCAUCCCCUGUAAGAUGCAUCCUAAGGAAAGAAAUAAAUUCUCUCGCUCUUAUUCUCUAUGUCUUUCAUUCUUUCAACUCUGUUAAUUCUCUUUUCUGAUUCUUUCAUUCCCAUUAUAUAUUAUUAUUAAAAUAAUAUAAAGUUGUUAUAUACUUUUAUUUACGUUGCAUUUAUCCUUGUUUUACAACACUUAGUUUUUUCUUUUCUCUAUUUUAUUUUAUUUUUUUCUCUUCUAGUUAUUAUAAUUAUAAUAAUAAUUAUUAUUGUUAUUUUAUAAACAUAAUAUAACCUAUCAAAAAAUAAUAAUAAUAACAUAUUUAUAAAUAAUAUAAUAAUUAAUUUACAAAUUAUUGUUUCAUUUGUUAUUAUUAUUAUUGUUAUUAUUAUUUCAAUUUUUUUUAAAUAUCAUAUAUAACUUAUACAAUAUGAAUAAUAAUAAAAUAAUUUUACAAAUAUUGUUUCAUUCAUGUUUUGAAGACAAAGUUUUCUUAUAUAAACUUUCAUAAAUUUUCAAUUGUUUUUUACAAUAUGAUUAUUAAGAAAAUAUUACAAUAAAAAAUUAGUAUUGAUAAUUAUGAAAAAACAAAAUUAAAGCAUGUGUUAUCGUACUUUUAGUGUACUUAUAUUUUAAUUUCAAUGCAUAACUAUGACACAUACAUUUUGUCACAAACUUAAUAGUGUUAGAAGCAUUGUCUUAUCCUAGUAUAUUGAUUUCUAUAUUAUUAAGGCAUCCCAAUGAAUUAGCAUCAUAUACUAGAUGCAUUCUUAUUAGCAAUAAUUCUUAUAAUGAAACUCAUACACCUUAUAAAAAAAAUGUCUUAUAAGGUUAAUUUAUAGUAGAUGAAAUGUUAAAAAAUAUACAAAAUAUAUGACAAUCAUUUAUCAAUGCUUGUUUAAAAGGAAAAAUUUUAAAAUAAAGUUAGGUUAUGCAGUAAUGUAUAAGACAUUUAAAGUAUUCAUGUUGUAAGAUCAUUAUAUUUUUGUGGUACGAAUACGUUGGCUUUUAUAUUAAUACAUAAUAUCGGUGUACUAGCAUUAUACAUUUAAUGAAUCAUUAUUAUGCAUGAUUUUUAUAAUAAAGCCUAUAAGUUUUAAGAAUUAGGUGAAAGAAAGAUCAUAUUCUAAGAUUGGUUUAUAAUCAAUGACAUUAUAAUAAUAAAAAAUAUGAAUAAUGACACAUAUGAAAUAUUAAUAAUGUAAAACUAAUAUCAUAAAUAAUAAUAUUAAUAAUGAUGAUAAUAAUAAAUAUAUAAUUAUAAUUUUUUUUAAUAAAUAGUAUAGUUAGUCUUAACAUAUAGUAAAUAAAGCACAAAAGGUAGAAAAGAAAAGUAGAAAAGUAAAGUUAUAUGGGAGUAGGAGGAAAAGACAAAAUGAUGUAAUUGGAAUUAUGGAAUGAUCAAGUUAUCAAACUAUAACUUGUGAAUUUGACAAGACUUUGAGACUUGGUGACCCUUAAGGGAGAGCUUAUCAUCACUUCGAGCUAGGUGACCAUUUUUUAAAAAAUUUCAAAAAUAAAGCCCAUGAAAAAUUUAUUUAUUAAGAAUAAUAACAAUUUUGUAUUUUUUUAUAUACAAAUUAGAUAUUUAAUUUAUUAGAAUCAUUUUGAUGGUAAUGACAAACAAAAUAACUCCUUAAAUAGGUGAAAUAAUUCAUUUUCUCAAAUUUAUAUGCAAAAUUAUUUUAAAACAAAAGGGAUGAUACAUUAUUUUUGUUCAACAAUCCACAUUUUGACUUUCAUUUUAAAAUCCAUCUAUAAAAAUCUCUCUUUAUAUAUAUCUGCCUAGAUUGCCUGAUCAUCUAUUCAUUCAUUGUCUAUAACUUCUUGCCUGAUUAUCAAUUUAGAUGUUCAUAUUUGCAUAUAUUUAUUCAUUCCACCAUGUAUUUUGUUGCUUAUUUGUAAUGUUUACAAUUUUGAUGAAAUGUUUGAUUAUUUGAAAACCGAAUUUCCCCAAACCCACUAAUAAAAAGCAACUAAAAGUCUGACCAAUCUAGAGGGGUGUUCUUGGCCGGUGGCCAUCCUGAUAAGUCACCUUAGCCGUAGACUAGAUUUAGAUUUUGCAAUUAGUACCUUUCUUUUCCUUCUAGGAAUCACUAUCAUCUUGACCAAUCUAGCCAUGUACCAAAAAGUCAAUUUUGCCAAGUUUAAAAAGUUUGCUUUAAGCCUGUUCAUCAUAGUUGACAGAAGUUAGAAUUACAAUGAAAUAUCUAGGAGAAAAUGUCCGCAGGAGCAGAGAGAGAGAGAGUGAAGGCAAUACAUUCAGUCAUGAAUUUGAUGCAAAUCCCAACGUACAUAAUUGUAUCGAAUACUCUCACCAUGAUUGUCGAUCUAUCGGAUCAGACGAUUACUAUGUUUGCCAAAAAUGCCUGGGCCGUAUGUGGAAUAAAUCAAUUCCACAAGGAAGGGAAACUGCAAAAUUCCGUACAAGGUCACUGGCAAACAGACUAAUGCUGCCAAGGUAAUAAGAAUCCAUGCCUUCUUUUCACCAAAGAGAAGAUAGAUUGCGCUACUGUAGGCUAUCAUCAUGAAUGUUACGGAGAGGAAUAGAGUAACAAGGCCAAAUAUCAACCUCCUGGGAAGGGCAAAAAGAAAAUCAUCUUCUGCAUA